GGAAUGGGUGCUCUGGGAACGUCAUUUCAAAUGCUGUUUGAUGCUGUAAAAUCAGUGCAGGAGGAGAAUACAAUGUUCCAACACCUCCUCGGAGACAUCAAAUCCACACUGAACUCUCUACAACCACUCAUCAAAGACAUCGAAAAGUAUAACUCCAAGGAGGGACUGGAAAAUUAUGCAAUACAGAUGGAGGAAGGAGCAAAGCUUGUUCAGAAGUGCAGCAAAGUAGGCGUGUGGAGAAAACACACAUACACCAAGAAGCUUAGUCAACUGGACAAAUCUCUCCGAAGAGUGUUUGAUGUGCUUAAACGGCAGGGUAUGAGGGAUGCGAGGGAGACGUUAGUUUCUUUGAGGAGUAUCCAGACGGUGCUCUCUCGAAUAGAAGAGAGUUUGAAGAUGAAAAAUAAUCAGCCUGAAAUGGUUAAAUGUUCGUCUGCGGUGCCUGAAGCGCCAUCAGUUACAGUCGGGUUAGAUUUACCGUUGAAGGAGUUGAAGAUGAAGCUCCUUAAGGAUGAACAGGUGUCUAUGCUUGUGCUGACUGCUGCUGGAGGAUGCGGGAAAACCACCUUGGCUAAAAUGUUUUGUCAAGAUCAAGAAGUCAAAGGUAUGCUAAUUAAAAAGUAAUACACCGUGUAGAGGAUUAUGCAAGUAGAACUACGCGCUAGGGCCUAUAAAAUGUCCGCUAUACUCCCUCCAAACAUACACAGUAACCAAAAUUUGUUAAAAGAAAAACAACGAAGGGGACAUGAAACUAAAGCGCACGAAAGGAAUAUAAGAAAGAUUAGAAAGACCUAAAUGGGCAUGCCCAACAUAUAACAAGUGGUAGUGAUAUGAACUUGACAUGAUUUUCUUUGUACUAAAUGUAAGUUAAGCUGAUGCCUUCCUCUUAGAGUUAACAAGUCUUGCACUGAGCUACCGCUUGAUUACUUACUUGAUCUCAGAAUUGCAGACAUAUCUUGUCAACCUUAUAUUAACACCUUUCCUACAUUCUGUUUGGUUAGAUACAUUCAAGAACAACAUCUUCUUUGUCAAUGUCUCGAAAAAGCCCAACUUGGACCUUAUUGUACAUGAACUAUAUCAACGGAAGGGGUUCGAGCUGCCUGCUUUCGAAAACGAAGUCAUGGCAGCUAACUGGUUGCAACAAUUUCUGAAGGAAUCAAGACAAAAUCCUCUACUGUUUGUCCUGGAUGAUGUUUGGUCAGGAUCAGAGUCCCUUCUUGAGAAGUUUGAUCAAUUCAAGUUUUCAAAUUGCAAGAUUUUGGUCACUUCAAGAUUUGCAUUUCCAAGAUUCGGUUCUCCUUAUCAUUUGGCACCAUUGAAUGAUGAAGAUGCAAUGGCUCUUUUUCAGUAUUCUGCAUCCUCGGAGGAUAAGAGCUCUUAUACUUAUGAAGAUCCUUCGAGAAAGGUGAUUUCUUAGUCCACAACACACACACACACACACAUAUAUAUAUAUGCUUAUUUAUGCCUCAGAAGAGGGUAAAGAAAUAACGUUUGAGCAUCCACACACGUUAAUGAACUGUGAAGAAUGAAGUAAGAAGAAUGAAAGAGUAGACAGUUUACAAUUUUAUCAUCUUUAUGAAUCCAUUUAGAUGAUUUUCAAGAAUUUAAUCAAAUAAUAGUAAUUGAAUUCUUUUUGGAUAAUUAAAUUGCAGAUUAUCAAGCGCUGUAAGGGAUGCCCACUUGCCAUUGCAUUGGUCGGGAGAUCACUUCGCGGCCAGCCUAUAGAAAUCUGGCACAAAAGAGUAGUGGAAUGGUGCAAAGGUUCAUCUAUUCUUGAUUCUGACAAGGAUUUACUUGCUUGCCUCCAAAGCAGCUUAGAUGCCUUGGAUAAAGAGAAGGCUAUCAUCAAGGAAUGUUUCCUCGAUCUAGGUUCUUUUCCGGAGGACCAAAGAAUUGCUGCUGCCACCCUCAUUGAUAUGUGGGCGGAGUUAUAUGGUCUAGAUGAAGAAAUUCUGACCAUUGCCAACCUUCACGAGCUCACCACCCGAAGUUUAGCUAAUCUUGUUGUCACAAGGUAUGCAGGCUGCUCAUAAUUUUUUCUAUUUCAUUAUGUAUGCCGAACAAAUCAUUAAAUAAAUUAGUAUUGAUCAUCCAGACAUGAGGGGGAGACAGAUGGCUAUUACGCUGAACACUUUGUCACCCUGCACGGCAUGCUUAGAGAGUUGGCGAUCCAUCAGGCGAGUCAAGACCCAAUAGAACAUAGGAAACGACUAUUUUUAAAUAUCUGUGGGAACAAACUUCCUAAGUGGUUGACAGAACAAAAGUAUCAAGCGAUCAAGGCUGGGCUAUUAUCUAUCUCAACAGGUUCAAUCAAUCUCUCUUUAGUAAAUACUUAUACGCUCGGGACACACGUGUGCACACACACCCAUGCUCUUUCUUACUAAGACUUCAAUCGGACUUCGACACAUUUAAGUUCAACCCACGCUAACAUCUUAAAGCUUAUUGUUUGCAGAUGGAGCCUUCUCAGCAAAAUGGCCAAACAUGCAAGUACCCGAAGCAGAGGUUCUAGUUCUGAAUUUUCAAACAAAGAACUAUGCCUUACCUGAGUUUGUGGAGAAAAUGGAUAAACUAAAGGUUCUAAUACUAAAUAAUUACGGUAUGUUACCUGCUGAACUAGAUAAUUUUGAACUACUUGGUUCGCUAUCAAAUCUUAAGAGAAUUAGAUUAGAACGUAUUUCAAUUCCUCCCAUAAGCAAGGUCCUUAAACAGUUGAAAAGCUUGCAAAAGAUCUCUCUGUUCAUGUGUGAUAUCGGCCAAGGUUUCGUCAAAAAUUUAGAUGCACUGCCAAAUCUAGUGGAAUUGAACAUUGAUUAUUGCCAUGAUCUGGUGCAACUUCCUCCCAACCUUUGUGACCUUGUUCACCUUAAGAAGCUUAGCAUCACCAACUGUCAUAAGCUUUCUGCCUUGCCUGCAGACAUCGGAAAGCUAGUCAAUCUUGAAGUGUUGAGGCUUAGGUCAUGUGCAGAUUUGUUAGAGUUGCCAGGCUCGAUUAGGAACCUUAAAGUUUUAAAAUUUCUCGACAUAUCUGAUUGCUUUAGCGUAAAGGAGUUGCCAGAGGACAUUGGUGCAAUGUGCAGCAUGGAAAAGAUCAACGUGAGCCAGUGUUCUAGACUGAAAGGGCUGCCUGCUUCUGUUAUGGAUCUUGAGCAGUUGAACGAAGUGAUAUGCGACGAGGAGACGAAAACUUUAUGGGAACCCUUCUUGCCAAUUCUCACAAACAUGCGCAUUAAGGUGAUCAAAGAAGAUAUCAACCUAAAUUGGCUCAACAAGCUUCCACCCUAAGGCUAUGGCCCUUCCAUCAAUGAGUGUUGGUGCAAUGUAUGCAGUAUGAUUGUGUAUAAUGUUAUUUUUCCUUUGUAAUUUACUUCUAUUUUAUGUUUUAUGUGUUUUUAAAUAACCUGGCAGCACUGUAAAUUAUUGUAAGGCCAAAUUGAAUAAAUGAUCCCUAUGGUUAUAAGGUAUUUGGAAGAUAACCUCUGUGCUUAAAAAUCUUAGAUUUAAACCCCUAUGGUGUACUCCAUGAAAAACUUUAGUCCAAAAGUGAUUUUUCCGUUAACUAUAUGUUAAUAUAUGGGUAAAAUUGUACUUUGACAUGUGCACUCUUCCUCGUCUCUCUGCUCUCUCUUCAACACAUCCCCCACCAGUACCUCUUGAAGCAGGUUACUGAAACGCUGCUCCUUCACGUCAACCGGCAAUAAAUCAUCAAUCUCUUUCUCAAUAUCAAAUACUGUCUCAUCAACUGGUGCAUCCAUAUAACUUCCCAUACUUGAAGCUGCCUGGAUGGUUGAUUCUUUUAAUUCAUUUAGUCCCUACAAUACAAAUGUGUUUCAAUUAAAGCACGAUGAUCACCUGGUAAUUAUUAUUGUUGAUGCACAAAACUGGAGGGGUCUUGGAAUAACGUAAAUCCGACCGUGAAUCUGCAAGAAAGUAAAGAACAUAAGAUGUAUCGUGGUUCACCCCAAUUUUUGGGCUACAUCCGCACUGAUGUUGAUAUUGUUUCACUCUGAAUGAUGAAUAUACAAGAAGGCUAGAGCCAGUGUGCUGUCUAGCCUAUUUUCUCUCUUCCCUUGGCCUGAAACUUGACCUCCCUCAAUGAAGAGAGUGAGGAGUCCUUUUAUAGAAUAAGGGCUCCUCACUUAUUACAUAUUUGCCCCUUCAUUUAUUACAUAAUUACAUUUGAGUCCCCCGAGUAUUUAUACAAGAUCUAAAUACAGAGGCCCUAAGUAUGGUACAAACAAUAGUCUCCCAAGUCUUCAGUCAAGAGAGUCUUUUGGCUGGAGACUUGAAAUUCAGUCCAUGUGUGGGCCGAAGUAACUAGAUGUCGUCUAGAACUGAAUACUCGAUAUGAGGCGGUGCUCAAUAUGAAAUGAUACUCAACUAGAAGUAGCACAUGUUGCGAGGCUGCUCGACUUGUGGCUUAUAUUGCCUUGGUUGGCUCAGCUUGUGGCGUUGAAUGUGAAGGAGUCCCUUUUAUAUAAUAAGGGCUCGCUCCUCAAUACAUAAGUGAUGGGUUAGGAGUGAUGCUCGUGGCGAGGCGGUUGCUUAGCAGGCGGCGAUGUUCUCUAAUGAUGGUGAAGGAGUCCCUUUUAUAGAAUAAGGGCUCGCUCCUCAAUACAUAAAUGAUGGGGUAGAGUUGAUGCUCGCGACGAGGCGAUUGCUCAGCAGGCGGCGAUGCUCUCUAAUGAUGGUGAGGGAGUCCCUUUUAUAGAAUAAGGGCUCGCUCCUUAAUACAUAAAUGAUGGGUUAGAGUUGAUGCUCGCGGCGAGGCGAUUGCUCAGCAGGUGACGAUGCUCUCUAAUGAUGGUGAGGGGGUCCCUUUUAUAGAAUAAGGGUUCGCUCCUCAAUACAUAAGUGAUGGGCCAAGAGUGAUGCUUACGGCGAAGCGGUUGCUCAGUUGGCGGCGAUACUCUCUAAUGAAGGUGAGGGAGUCCUUUUUAUAGAAUAAGGUUUCGUUCCUCAAUAUAUAAAUAAUGGGCUAAGUCCCCCAAGUGUUUUUCAUGAGGCCCAGUUGCGGAAGCCCAAUAUAUGGUACAUAGUGUAGUCUCCCAAGUCUUCAGUCAAUAGAGUCUGUUGGUUGGAGACUUCAAAUUCAAUCCAUGUAUGGGUCGAAGUGGCGGUUGUUCGGAGGCGGUCUUUGUAUACCAUGCACUGAAGCUUUGUAGGUGAAGCUUUGAAGCUAGAGCUUUUGUAAAUGAAGCUUUGAAGUCAGAGCUUUGUAAAUGAAGCUUUUGAAACUGAAGCUCUUGUAAAUGAAGCUUUCGAAGCUAGAGUUCUUGUAAAUGAAGCUUUCGAAGCUGGAGCUCUCGAAGCUGGAGCUCUGUAAAUGAAGCUUUCGAAACUGAUUGACAUAAGUGAUGCUCAUGAAUGUUUAUGUUGAUUGACAUGAGUGAUGCUCAUGGAUGUUGACAUGAGUGAUGCUCAUGAAUGUUGACAUGAGUGAUGUUCAUGAAUGUUUAUGUAUGAUUGACAUGAGUGAUGCUCAUGAAUGUUUAUGCAUGAUUGACAUGAGUGAUGCUCAUGUAUAAUUUUGGAGUACUGGACGUACUUUUGAUCACCUGAUUGGUGAUAAUAGUGGCAGGCUGUUGAAUAAUUUUGGAGUACUGAACGUACUUUUGAUCACCUGGUUGGUGAUAAUAGAGGGUGAACCUAAAGUGGAGGGAUAGAGGUUGGAGUUUGAAGCCAUAGGGCCUGGCUCUUUUGGGCAUAUGGGCCUUCGCCCUUCACAUAACAUUCCAGCCUACUAUCAUUUUGCCCUUUUUUUUUUGGCAUGCUGCCUUCUUUCUUUAUUUAUGAUUACCCUCUGGUGGGGUUAUACAGAUGUCUCCAAAAGAUAAGAAAAAGUAAAUCACAUCAUUAAAAAAAAACUGUUGUGCUGGGACUUGGCAACAACGAGAUUUCUCCCUUCACAUCAACCUCAGUGGUCUAGCUAUUGGAGGAAACCUUCACGUGGAGGCAGGUUUGGUCCGCAGGCAUGAUCUCUCAUACUUUGAUAGUACAAUCCCGUGGCUUUUUCAGAAAAUGGGGGGAACAUGCACUCCCCUUCAUGAUGAAAGUUUCAUCUUUUUCAACAUGUUGAUGGGCAUCUUCUGGUCCAACAUGAAGUGGAGACGGGGGACCUUGGUGGGCAUCUUCUUAUCUUAAUCAUGUUAUCCUGUGGGAUAGUGGAAUAGUGGAACAUAAUAAAUAAAAGAGGUAUUUAUCAAUUUCCCCCCUGAACUUGUGAUUAUUGGCCAAUUUCCCCCCUCAACUCUCAUAAUUAGACAAUUUCCCCCCUUAACUUUAAUUUGGCCAAUUUCCCCCCUCAACUCUCAUAAUUAGUCAAUUUGCACCCUACUGUUAAUUUUUUAAUUUGAUCAUAAUUAAACAAGUGUGUGUAAGAAACUAAAUAAGAUGUAUGUUAAUCAUUUUCCUAAGUCUUUAUCCUAUUACAAAUAGAUUAAAAUUUAGAAUUUUACAAUUUAUCAUAGAUAGUAUUAUUAGUCAUAAUAAAUCAGUAUGGAGUAAUUUUAUUUGAUUUUUUACUAUACAAAAUUGAUAACGAAACGGAUUGAUGUGUACAUUUUUGUAUGUGAAUACAAUUUUCUUUAUAAAAGUGAGAGCUAAGUUCAAGUAAAUUGCGGAGAAUCGAGCUUUAGUGCAAAAAUGGCUAAUCAAUUCAUAAUUUUCGACUCCUUAUUAAGAAUAACCCAUUUUAUUGAAAUAGGUCGGAUCCAUGAGUUUAGGAUUAUUAUUUCUUCUUCUACAUGCUUUAAACCCGAUUCAUAACUUUUUCUUAUAAUCAACCCAUAUCACAUACUAAUUGUAUUAUGUUUUUGUACAUUUUACCCUAUAUUAUGCAGGUGAGUUUAUGUUAAUUUUAGUACUUUGUUGGAAGUUAUUAGAAAGAUUGAAAGAAAACAAAAAGAAUAGAUGAAAAAUUAAAAAAAUUAACAGUAGGGUGCAAAUUGACUAAUUAUGAUAGUUGAGGGGGGAAAUUGGUCAAAUUAAAGUUGAGGGGGGGAAUUGACUAAUUAUGAGAGUUGAGGGGGGAAAUUGGCCAAAAUUAAAGUUGAGGGGGGGAAUCGGCCAAUGGUCGCAAGUUUAGGGGGGGAAUUGAUAAAUACCUCUAAAUAAAAUAAAGCAUUCGUUGGGGACCACCAUCAUAGGGACCCGAACUCUCGAAUUCCAGAUUGUCGCACGCACUUUUGCUUUAUUCGUCGGUGUUCGUACCAUUGGUCCCAGUUGCCCUCCAUUUUUUGUAGGGGAAACAUAACUUCCACCAUUGUUUUCCUCCUCUGUUCAAAAACAGAUGGCGCAAAAUGUCUGUCUUUCUUGACACUUUUUGAAGCUGCUGCACCAACAGCUGAAUGAGUAUUUGGCAUUACCCUAAUAAAUUGGCUAUGACCUGCCCAUUCCUGCAGAUCUUUCAAUUUGAUACCAGCAUCAAUUGAAACAAGCAACUUCUUCCUGGAAAGCAGCGGCCUCAACUGCAAAACUACAUCUUUAACAACUUGAGGUUUGACCAAGAAAAUGACAACGUCAUUCUCUUCCACCACGUCGUCGUUUUUGGAGAUGAGAUGGACUCAAGAGGACUCGAAGGCUUGGCGUCGACUGGCGUCAGGGUGGAAGAUAGCGAUGCGAUUGGGAGGGAGAACGCCCGAUCAGAUGAUUCAUCUGGCGAUGCUCUCGGUCAUUUUACCAGCUCCGACAAACCCUAGCUUUUAUGUUUCCGUCGGGAUGGGUACCGCCUCCAUGGCUGCAAUGCGACGUCGUAUCGUUGCUAAGUCUUCUGAUUCAGUUUGCUUAGAUUGGGGAUUUAGGGUUACGGAAGAGAGAGGAGAAGCGGGGGUUUAUCAUUCGAUAAGCCUGUGAGCGUCUUUGGGGGAGAGCUUAGGGGCGAAGGCAGGAUCCGUGUCCAGGACGAUGCCGUUCUCGUCCAGCUUUCGCUUCUUGGUUGAGUCCAUUGGCAGAAGAGCAAGUUUAAACCCUAACCCUUGGGAAGAGAAACAGAGAGUCUAGAGAGAGAGAGCGAGUUGGGAUUUUUUUUGUUUACUAGCAGAGAGAGACCAGGCUCUUCUUGUUUGUGGUCAUGUGGAAUGUAGAGGUAGAAUGGUCGGAGUUUGGGGUUUGGUUUUCUUGGGUUUUUUGCAGAUUCACGGUGGAUAUUGUGGUGAGGUUUCACGGUGGUGAGAUGAAAAAAUGAAAGAGAACCGACAUAGCUUUUUGUGUCGAUUCCCACAGACGGCACUAAAUGUUGAUGCACAAAACCGGAGGGGUCUUGGAACAACGUAAAUUCGACCGUGAAUCUGCAAGAAAGUAAAGAACACAAGAUGUAUCGUGGUUCACCCCAAUGUUUGGGCUACGUCCACACUGAUGUUGAUAUUGUUUCACUCUGAAGGGUGAAUAUACAAGAAGGCUAGAGGCAGUGUGCUCUCUAGCCUAUUUUCUUUCUUCCCUUGGCCUGAAACUUAACUUCCCUCAAUGAGGAGAGUGAGGAGUCAUUUUAUAGAAUAAGGGCUCCUCACUUAUUACAUAUUUACCCCUUCAUUUAUUACAUAAUUACAUUUGAGUCCCAUGAGUAUUUAUAUGAGAUCUAAACACGGAGGACCUAAAUAUGGUACAAACAGUAGUCCCCCACCAUCAUUAGAGAGAGACUCUUAGCCCAUGAAAAAUACUUGAAGGACUUAGCCUAUUACUUAUGUACUGUGGAGCAAAGCCUUAUUUUAUAAAAGGGACUCCCUCACCUUCAUUAGAGAGAGACUCUUAGCCCAUCACUUAUGUAUUGAGGAGCGAACCCUUAUUCUAUAAAAGGGACUACCUCACCUUCAUUAGAGAGCAUUGUCGCCAACUGAGCAACCGCCUCGCCGCCAGCUGAGCAACCGCCUCGCCGCCAGCAUCACUCCUAACCCAUCACUUAUGUAUUGAAGAGCGAGCCUUUAUUCUAUAAAAGGGACUCCCUCACCAUCAUUAGAGAGCAUCGCCACCUAGCAACUGCCUCGCCACCUAGCAACUGCCUCGCCACGAGCAUCAACUCUAGCCCAUCAUUUAUGUAUUGAGAAGCGAGCCCUUAUUCUAUAAAAAGGACUCCCUCACCUUCAUUAGAGAGCAUCGCCGCCAGCUGAGCAACCUCCUCGCCGCAAGCAUCACUCCUAACCCAUCACUUAUGUAUUGAGGAGCGAGCCCUUAUUCUAUAAAAAGGACUCCAUCACCAUCAUUAGAGAGUAUUGCCGCCUGCUGAGCAACCACCUCGCUGCGAGCAUAAACUCUAGCCCAUCAUUUAUGUAUUGAGGAGCGAGCCCUUAUUCUAUAAAAGGGACUCCCUCACCUUCAAAGCCACAAGCCGAGCCAACCAAGGCAACAUAAGCCACAAGCCGAGCAGCAUUGCAACAUGUGCUACUUCUACUUAAGCAUCAUUUCACAUUGAGCACCGCCUCAUAUCGAGUAUCAGUUCUAGACGACAUCUAGUUACUUCGGCCCACACAUGGACUGAAAUUCAAGUCUCCAGCCAAAAGACUCACUUGACUGAGGACUUGGGGGACUACUGUUUGUACCAUACUUAGGGCCUCCGAAUUUAGAUCUCGUAUAAAUACUCGGGGGACUUAAAUGUAAUUAUGUAAUAAAUGAAAGGGAAAAUAUAUAAUAAGUAAGGAGCCCUUAUUCUAUAAAAUGACUUCUCACUCUCCUUAUUAGGAGAGGUCAAAAUUUCAGACCAUGGGAAGAGAGAAAAUAGGCUAGAGAGCAUACUGCCUCUAGCCUUCUUGUAUAUUCACCAUUCAGAGUGAAACAAUAUCAACAUCAGUGUGGACGUAGCCCAAACAUUGAGGUAAACCACGAUACAUCUUGUGUUCUUUACUUUCUUGCAGACUGACGGUUGGAUUUACGUUGUUCCAAGACCCCUUCGGUUUUGUGCAUCAACAAAUAUCAUCAAAUCUUCUAAACUACGGCCUUCUUGCCAUUGCAAAUCAAAGCCACAUGUUUAAUAUAUCAAAAAAUUUGAAAAUUAAAAUAUAUAUUCUUGUCAUACUCGAGAUGAGGCCUCCUGGUAAACCAAAGGCGUCUGCAUUUGUCGAUAGGCAUCUUGCAUAUUUCCAUACAGUUAGAUAAAGAAAAGGUUUUGUGUGAUUACCUGUUAUUUAAGAGUAGCCAAACUCUUUGUAUGCAUUGGACACUGUGGGAUGACUCCAUUUCAUGGAGGAAUUCCAAGCAGACCACACAUUAAAGUAUGCCAUGAAAAGCUCCAAUGAUAUAGAGGACUGGAACAUUGAGCAUGUCCUGUGAGAGGCCAGUCUUUCAAGCCUUUCAAUUCUUGUUGUUCGUAGAAAACAACGAGAGGCCAGUCUUGAAGCUUCCUGCCGAUCUCAAUGACGGCUUUCUUAGAAUUGGUUUGUGAAAAUUCAAAUUACAGAGAGAGUAGAGAAACAAGGAAGAGUGUACAUGUCAAAGUCCAAUUUUAUCCAUGUAUUAACAGAUAGUUAACGGAAAAAUCACUUUUGGGCUAAAUUUGGUAACGGAGUACAUCACAUGGGUUUAAAUCUGAGUUUUUUUAGCACAUGGGCUAUUUUCCGAAUACCUUAUGACCAUAGGGAUCAUUUAUCCGAUUUGGCCUUAUUGUAAUUAUUCACCAUGGCUAUUAUUGUAAAUAACAUGUUUGCACUCCUCAUUGUGCAACUCUUUUAUUGAUUCUCUUUGAUUUAUCCAAUCAAUGGGUGUUUGUAGGGGUGGGUUCAAAAAACCGAAAACCAAAAAAAAAUCGAGAACCGAACCGGACCGAGGCCGAAAAAACCGAAUCGAAAAAAACCGAACCGAAAACUAUCAAACCGAACCAAACCGAUAUAUAUAUAUAUUUAAUUAUUUUUUAUAAUAUUUUAAUUAUAAAAAUCAUAAAAAUAAAAAAAAAUAUCUAAAACCUAGAGGCUUGAGGGUUCGAACCCAAGCCUUUCAGGUUGAAAGGUUUCACUAAAACUAACCUGGCAACGGGUCUUGUUUUGUUAUGAUUGUAAGAUUAAAGUAUUUAUAAAGAUUGAAACCUAUAGUCUUUUGUGAAAUUAGAAAUCAAUAAAACCCUAGCCACUAGUGGUAGCAGCCAUACCUUUUUUAUUUUUCAUUCCCCUCUUCUCCUUUUCGCCCCUCCAUGUCCAUGCCUCCAAUUUCUCCAUUAUUUUCUCUCCGUUUCUCGAUCUUCUCACUCCUGGGUAAGAUCUCUAACCUCUCUUGUUUAUUUAGUUGAUUUAUGGUUUUUUUUUUUUGGAGUAAAGUCCAUGGAGGGAAUCUAAAAUUUUGGUGAUUGUUAUGGUUCGUAUUGCAGAUUUGUUUGAUUUUUGUGUUGUGAGAGUCUCACCCAUUUUUUUCCUUUUGUUUUUUUUUCUCCCCUGGUAUCAUUAUUUGAUUGGUUUUCCUCUUUUUUUGCCUCAGCUGCAGCAAGGGCAGUGACAGCACCACCACCACAACCAGUUGCAGCAACUGCAAUAGCACCACCUCCACCAGCUGUGGUGGUCUUGCCGCCCAACACAGCCAAUAAGUAUGCAGCGACCACUUUCAUCUCUGCUUGAGAUGGCUUUGGAUCUGCGGAGUGUGGAGAGAAAGGGUAAAUUUGCAGCCGAAUGCGGAAAAAAAGUACUUUAAGCUCCAGAUAUUAAAAAAAAUGCAUGAAAAAACCGAAAAAAAAAAUCGAAACCGAACCGUUUAGAACCGAACCCAGCCCUAGGUGUUUGUGCAAUGUAUGCCGGGAUAAGUGCAUGGAAAGAAAAUAAGAGUUCAAAAAUAACAACCCUUUGAUUUAUCCAAUUAAUGAGUGUUGGUGCAAAAUGUAUUAACUUUUGGUUGUUUCUCCACUCUCUCUCUUGCUACACCUCUUUAUCCCCUUCAGUUAAAUAUGCCAUAACAUUACUGUUUUAUUUAAGGGUAAUUUAAAUUAGUAGAUAAAAUUUUGCAAACUAAGUGACAUGGAAAUUGAUAAUUGGAAUAUGACUUAAACGUAGAUAAAUGUGCUUAAUCCUAUUGGUAACAUAUCAUUUAGUUUGCAAAUUUUGUCCUCUUAACAUUACUCAUAUUUUAAAUUAUUUAUUCAAGAGCACAACAUUUUUUUUACUAUUUUAUUUUCAACUAUAUAUGCUACAACACAAAAUUUUAAAAGCAGUGCAAUACCAAAUCAUAUGCACUAGAAAAUUCUGUAUCUUCUCGCCUCCUAAUGGCGCGUCAAAUGUCUUACCCGACUCAUUCGUUUUCUUUGGGUGAAAUUCAUUGCUCUUCGUUAAGUUGUAUAUAUGUGUGCUGAAACCAACAGACAGCUUACAUCACAUUCUUACUUUCUCAUCAAACUAAAUUAACAAAGAGGAUUAAGGGUUAGUUUGGGAUUGUUGUGUUUUGUUGAUGCACAAAAUCAGUGAGGACUUUGGUACAACAGAAAGUGUCAAGUUUGUGACCUUCGUUAGAUUGCUCCAGUCACUAGUGUGGAUAAGUAUGUAAAUGAAUAGAGGCAAGGAAGCAAGUAUAAGGUGUACGUGGUUCACCUAGAUUGGCUACGUCCAAGGAGUCGAGGAGUUCUCAUUAAUUGUGAAGGGUUUACACAAGUAUAUAGGUUCAAGCUCUCCUUUAAUGAGUACUAGUGAAUGAUUUAAUACAAAUGACAUUAGGGAUUAUUGUGGGAGAAUGAUCUCCUUUUAUAAAAGAGAGUUUCUAGCUUUGUUAUGGCUUUGACACGUGUCAUGCUAUGAUUGACCUUUGAUGUUGACAUGUGUCUCCUGUGAUUGGCCUCUUGGUGUUGACACGUGUUACGUUGUGAUUGGCCUUCUGGUUGAAGGGAAACUCUUCUGGGUCCUUGACGGUAUAACGCUGACCGGUGCUUAGUAGUUUCGGGAUUGGGGUCAAGUAUGGUACAAACAGUGCUCCCCUAAGUUCUCGAGUGAGGGAAGCUCCUCGGUUGGGGACUUGUAAGAUCCAAGCCGCUGAGUAAUCACGAAACUUCUAAGUACCGAAGUGUGGUAUUGUUUUCACUUGCCUUAUCUGUCUCAUAGGUAGAUGUGGCAUCUUCUCUGGAAGUACUUUUCCUCUAUCUAGUGGUGGUAUCUUUAACCGAUGGACAUGCAUAAGGUAAUGUAUCAAUUUCACUUGAAGCUUACUUGUAGUUUUGGGCUUGGACAAGCGCAAUACAAACCCUAUAGUAGGAGUCCCCCAAGUCUUUGAGCGAGGAGAUCUGCUGAAAGAGGUGACAGACAAAGUAAGCAAUCAGAGUUCCAAGCAGUCAGUCUUAGAUCAAAAGUUUGAUCUCAUGUUCCGGCUGAUUGUUCUCCUUCUUCUUAUUCUGUAGACAUCAACAAGGACAAAGAAAAUGACAUGGAGAAGAGAUGAUAUAAGAUACUUUUGCUUUUGAAGAAGUAACUUUCCACAUGCUUAUUCUUGAACUGGGCUGGAGGGUUUUCUGGUUUCCUCUAGAGUAUAAGGCUAACUUAAGAAUUUGAGGGUCAAAACAAGUCCAUCAAAUCAAGAGUGCGUUCGACCUUGAUGUUAUGGGAUACUUUUGUUGUUGACAAAGUAAUAGAUAAAUCGACACAUGUUCUGUUGCACUUGUCUCCACAUACUUCCUUGUAUCCUUCUCACUUACCCUAUCUGUUCCUCAGGCAGAUGUGGUAUCUUUUCUGGAAGCACAAGAUGUUGAAGAUGAAUACUCGAGAGAAAUGCCAGGUAAGUAAUCAGGCAAGGGGUUCCAGGCAGUCAGUUCAUGACUGGAAGCUUAAUUCCAAGUGCUGACUGAUUGCUCUCUUUCUCAUUGUCUUGCAGGUAAGAACAAGGGCAAAGGAAAAGACAGGGAAAAAGAAUGAUAUGGGAUACUCUUGCUUUAACCCCGAUGAUAUGAGAUACUCUUGCUCUGGUGUGGCUUGUUUGCAGAGGUAUUAUCGGGGGAAAGAAAGUUGAGUAUUUCGAGAGGCUUCGUUGGAAGUGCCCUCUUAGAUAUGAGGAAGGGUUGAGCAUUUUUGCAGGUCUGACUGUCCGUGAAGGAUGGAGGUAGCCAUAUAUAGGAGUUUCCCCAACAAGUAGUAAUGUUAUUCCUUUACCCUUCUUGGUCAUAGCAAUGUAGUGGGAGCUGCAAGCUUCACGUGUUUUAACUUUGUCAGCACUUUGAAAAAGUGGUCCAUGGUGUCUGGAGAGCUGAUAUUGCGUGUGAAGAUUGCAGACAAGCUUUAUCCAAGGAAAUCUGGCUCUUGAAGCUCAAAGAGUGGUGCCUUUUCAGUUUUCGGGAAAGAAGAUAUGUUAAAGAUUUGGCUCUCGAAAUUUGGAGAGCGUUGCCUCUUCGAUUUUUCAACAAGCAAUCCUAUUGGGAGUCUGGCUUUAAAUAUUCAGAGAGCGGUGCCUCUUUGAUUUUUGAGAAAGCAAUCAUGUUGGGAGUCUGACUCUCGAGAUUCGAAGAGCGGUGCCUCUUCGAUUUUUGAGCAAGUAAUCCUGUUAGGGGUCUGGCUCUCGAGAUUCGGAGAGCGGUGCCUUUUCGAUUUUUUAGCAAGUAAUCCUGUUGGGAGUGUUUUCUCAGAUGUGAGUAAAGGUUGAGCAUUUUUGCCAGUCUGCCUUGCCACGGAGCACGAAGGUUGACACACAUAGGGACUUUCCAGUUAUCAAGCAGUGGUGAUGUUCCUUUACCCUUGUGGGUAAUAGUAGGGUAGCUGGACCUUCAAAUUUUAUGUGGCUAAACUUUGUCAGAGAUCUUUGGCAAAGUUAUCUAGGGUACCCGAGGAAUUGAUGUUGCGCGUAGAGAUUGUCAACAGAUUUUACUCAAGAAAAUCCGCUUCUCGAAAUCCAGAGAGUGGUGCCUCUUCAAUUUUUGAACAAACGGCCCUGCUGCCCUUUCUUUUAUAGGGGCACCAAUUGUGUGCAGGAAGUAUGUUUAGAGAGUUAUUGCUUGUAGGAAUUUUCCCCUUAUUUUUGUACUUUAGAGAUUUAUUGGACCUCAUUUCUCCUUCAUCAUUUCUGAAAAUAUCUGGCCCAUCUGACCGUUGUUUUGACUUGAACUUUGGUGAAGAGGCAGCCAUGCCUCCUCAAGACAACAUAUGGCGCCCAUCUUUCUUAUCCCUUACUGGUUCUCUUACCGAUGGGGACUCUAUGAUGAAGAAUGAUAUGACCGCUACGGUGGUGGCCAGAAACCUUCUCACUCCCAAAGAUAACAGACUACUUUCCAAACGGUCUGAUGAGUUGGCUUAAGGAUUCUCUGGCUCUCAGUGUUUAGUGUGCGGGUUCUGUGUCUAAUAUGGCCCAACGCCUAUUUGCUCGAACCCGUCAAGUUGAAUCAUUGGUGACUGAAGUGAUAAGUCUCAAAUAGGAGAUCAGAGGGCUCCAGCAUGAGAAUAAACAGUUGCACAGGCUCGCACAUGACUAUGCUACAAACAUGAAGAGGAAGCUUGACCAGCUACAGGAAUUUGAUGGUCAGAUUUUACUUGAUUAUCAGAGGUUUAUGGGUUUGUUCCAAAGGCAUUUAUUGCCUUCAUCUUCUGGGGCUGUACCGCGUAAUGAAGCUCCAAAUGAUCAACCUCCAAUGCCUCCUCCUUCUGGGGUUCUGCCCAGUACUGAGGCUCCGAAUGAUCACCCUCCGAUGCCUCCUCUUUCUGGGGCUCUGCCGAUUGCUGAGACUUCUCCUGAGCAACCUUUGUGAAGGCUACCUCUUGUUUGUUUAUUUUGAUUCAUGUAUAUGUACAUAUUUGUAACUUAUCGGAGAUAUCAAUAAAUAAGCUUUGCUUCAUUUCAACGUAUUGUGUUAAAUACACCAAGGCCUCAUUCACUAAGUUCUUUGAAUUUAUUCUUUUGUUGAAGCUUAUAUGUUGAAGCUUUGUGAGUGAAGCAUAUAGGUUGAGGUAGUGCUCCCUUAAUUUCUCGAGUGAGAAAAACUUCUUGGUUGGAGACUUGAAAGAUCCAAAUCACUGAGUAGUCGUGAACCUUCCAAGUACCGAGGUGUAGUAGCAUAUGGUAGGAGUCCCCCAAGUCUCCGGUCGAGAGAGUUGACGAAGGAGGUGUCUUGCUAGUAGCCAAGUUUCCAAAGAAACAAAACUUCACCAUUUUCCUUUCUAAGUGGUAGCCCAAAACUCCUCCUUCAUUUGUAUUUGUUAUGAAAGUUGUUAGGCCCAAAGAAGGGGAGGCCUAGGCCUUUUUUUUUUUUUUUUUUUUUUUGAAUUUUUGAAUUUUUUUUUUCUCGAAUUUUCAAAAAAAUAUAUAUUUUUUAAAGCUUUAUAGGUAAAGCUUUGUAGGGUGAAGCUUUGAUGUUGAAGCUUUGUAGGUGAAGCUUUGGAGUUUGAAGCUUUGUAGGUGAAUCUUUGUGUUGAAGCUUUUGUAGGUGAAGCUUUUGUGUUGAAGCUUUGUAGGUGAAGCUUUUAUGUUGAAGCUUUGUAGGUGAAGCCUUUGAGGUUGAAGCUUUGUUGGGUACCAUGAAUUGAUUUUGCUUCACACUAUCUUGAUGAAGAGUGUGUGAAGCUUUUGAGAAUUGUAGUUGCCCUCCAUUUGUUGAAGCUUUUGUGGUGAAGCUUUGUUGGGUACCAUGAAUUGAUUUUGCUUCACACUAUCUUGAUCAAGAGUGUGUGAAGCUUUUGGCAUUUGUAGUUACCCUCCAUUUGUUGAAGCUUUUGUGGUGAAGCUUUUGUGUUGAAGCUUUAUAGAUGAAGCUUUGAGGUUGAAGCUUUGUUGGGUACCAUGAAUUGAUUUUGCUUCACACUAUCUUGAUCAAGAGUGUGUGAAGCUUUUGACAUUUUGGGGAAAACUAGAAAUUUGAAAAUGUGGGAGAGACAACACAUACAAAUUUUUCUUCCACACUUUGAGCAAGAGAUUGUGGUGCAAGCCACACCUUGUAGUAGUCAAAGGUUUGGAUGAACCAUAUAAAUUGAAUUUGCUUCAAACAGUCUUGAUCAAGAGUGUGUGAAGCUUUCUAUGAGUUGUAGUGUUUGCAUUGUUACAAAGGAGAAAUGUCCGAAGCAGAUGCAAGAGGGCUGAAGAGCUUAAUCUUCGUAUGCCAUGCACUGAAGCCAUUGUUGGCUUGCAAUAAGACCUUGUUGGUGACUAUAACUCUUGUUAGGCAUAAGUGUUCUCCUAGUUGAGUUGUAAAGCUUGAGGGUUUUUGAUUAUUUGUGAAUGCUAGGAGUUCACAUGUACAAGUUGUACCAUUCGUCUUCUGGUUGGUGGAAUGAAUGGUGAGUUGCUUUCAUCACUUUGAUUCAUGGUACGAAGGUGAGUUCCUUCAUCACCUUUUAUCACAUUUCAUCACCUGGUUGGUGGCACGAAGAUGAGUUCCUUCUUCACCUGGUUGGUAAUAAGAGUGGCAAGUUGCCAAAUAAGAUUAGAGUACGGGUUGUACAUUUCAUCAUCUAGUUGGUGGCAUGAAGAUGAGUUCCUUCUUCACCUGGUUGGUGGCAUGAGUGUUAAGUUGCCAAAUGAUAUUAGAGUAAGGGUUGUACAUUUCAUCACAUGGUUGGUGGCAUGAAAGAGAGUACAGGUUGUACAUUUCAUCACCUGGUUGGUGAGAAUAAGGGCAAUGUGUCGAGGCACAUUGUAGCAAGUGUUGAAUGACACAAACUAUGUUGAACCCUUUCGAAGCACAGUUGGCUUAUGUAUGGAUGCGUUGGAAUGUAUUAUGUUUAUGUAUGAAUGUGUUGAAAUGUAUGAUGUUUAUUUAUGAAUGUGUUGGAAUGUAUGAUGUUUAUGUUGAUUGACAUGAGUGUUGCUUAUGAAUGUUUUGCUAUGCAUGAAGGGAUCCAUGCUUUCGAUAUGCGAACCAUGUUGGUUGUAACACUUAGUAUCACAUACUUUGUGUCAAAGUACGCAUGUUGAAGCUCUGAGUUGGAUUAUAGGGGUAGGUCAGUGUAGACCAAGUGUUCCAGUGUUAGAAAUGCAAAAGACUCAGAAGAAGUUGUCUGAAUUCCCUCUUCUUUAAAUAUGUGCCGAAUGGCUUAUGUGACAAAAGAUCUCAAACGGUUGAGAGUCAAAACAUUUGUAAUGUGUAUGCCUUCUUAUAAUAGCAUUUCCUUUAGUACCUAGUCCUCCACUUUGAAAGAGUGAGGCUUGGCCCCAUAGUCAUAAUAGUCGACGGUACGUUCACCCCUGGUUUUCUUGAUACGAACUUUUAUCCCUCUUGUUGUAAUGGGCUUGCUGAGAGUAAAAAUCUUUCCUCUUACCAAGAGACAAAUAUGUUUGGUGACUUAGUGAGUAGCUAAAUGAGGCAGUAGAUGAUGCAAUGGGUGUCUUAAUGGCCAAGAUCUCCUCACUUGGUAGAACUUGACUUCCACUUCCCACUUGUUGAUAGGGGUUAACCAUAUAGGGGUUCCCUUGGUAUGUCCUUGCUUCGGCGGAAGCGUGGCUGUAAGCCUGUGCCAUCACCUCAGAGUAAGUCUUCCAAGUGUUGGCAUUGAUCAUGUACUUGAAGAAACAAUCACGUAGGCUUGUCGUGAAGGCUUUGAGGGCAGUCUUGUCAUCUGCCUCAGCGCAGCGAGAAUACUCAUAGCUAAAGCGACAUGCAUACUCUCAUAAUGACUCGUCCGACUUCUGGCGAAUAGGGUACAAGUCAUUUGCAGAAUGUAAGCGAUCAGUCUGAAAGAUGUGUUGAGAGACAAACAAUUUCCUUAGUUCUUCAAAUGAGUCUACUGUUUCGGGUGGAAGAUGACAAUACUAGUUUAGAGCUCCGUCAGAAAGGGUGGAAGGGAAAAGAAGACAUCGCUCUUCGUCGGUGUGCAUCCGAUAUGCCAUGGUGGACUCAAAGAGGUUAAGGUGUUCAAUCGGGUCCUCCAUUCUAGUAUAGAGUUGUAAACCAAACUUUUGUUUUGUCUUCGCUUGAAGAGGGGUGUCAAGGAUCCUCCUUAUGAUAGGGCUAGGCUUGGGUUGGUUCCAGUUAAGUAUCUCGGCCUGACGUUCGGCCUUCAACUUUUUUACUUCCUCAAGGAGCUGUAGGACAAUGGGGUCCUGAGUAGAGUCAUGUACCACUGGAAUUUUCUUCCGUAAGUCUCCAUUGUCUCUCAGAAGUAGAAAAGUUUAAGUAAGAGCGUGUGAUUUUUCCUUGGACUCGCCGUACUGACUUCUAGGGCGAGUCUGUCGGAAUACCUCCGAGUCCCCUGUACUUUCAUAUUCCUCUGGGACUUGUCGUUCCUUCCUUAGAUGGGCAGCUGGCUUGGGUCGUGGGAGGGGACCGAGUUUUUCAGAAACCCUUGGGUCAUUGAUCUUGGAGCUUAUGUGAAGGGGAUUCUCUCAAUGUUGUUUUAGGAAGUCUCGGCAGUCACGAUAAACAGCUUUCGAUCCUUCCAACUCUUCUGCAAGGAGGUGUCUUCCUCCACUUCUCCUGCUUCAGGUCGAAGCAGCUUGGUUGAGAGAAGUCUCAUGUUGAUCAAUGUUUUGAUGAUUAGCUCGCUCCUCAUUAGGGAUACCCAUGUCGAAGGAAGGUGACCCUCCGUGUUGAGGGGUACCCAGAUGAUGGUUGAUGUCCACAGGGGCAACAAGCUCGCGUGUUUGAGUACGCCUAGUUUCGUGGAACGUCUCGAAGAGCUUCUCAUAUUGUUCUUGGAGGAUCUCAUUCUUUAUUGCUAUCUUGAUCCUCCAGCUUCUCGACUUUAGCUUGAAGAAUGAGCUUCUUUCCUUCUUUCUUUCUUUGCUUCGCACUAGGUGUAAGAAGGGUGUCAUUAUGUGUGUCGUGGCUUCCUUUGCUCCCUAUGUUAGAGAGGGAUGCCUGGUCAAAAGAGAGUGUACAAAUGGUGGAAACCAGCUUGACAAAGUGAAGAAAGUGGGAAUAAGUGUCAUUCCAACAUACGGCGCCAAAUGUUGAUGCACAAAAUCAGUGAGGACAUUGGUACAACAGAAAAUGCAAGUUUAUGACCUUCGCUAAAUUGCUCCGGUCACUAGUAUGGAUAAGUAUGUAAAUGGAUAGAGACAAGGAAGCAAACACAAGAUAUACGUGAUGUAAGGUUAGUAUUUGUAGUGGUAGGUGAUAACAUUUAUUUUAUUCUCUAAGGAAUGUGUUUGGAAGGUUAAACAAUGUCAUUUAAAAAAAAAAAUUAAUGAGGUAUUACAACAAUUGAAAAUAAUUAUUAUAAACACAACUCUACUUUUUUUUAUUAAAGCAGCUUUUAAAAGCAACUUGUGGGCUGCUUUUAAAAGAUGCUCUUUGGAGUCUCUUUGUUUUGGUAAAUAUGUCUCUGGCUUCGGUCGGAAUGGGUGCUUUCAGAACGGCAUUUGAAAUGUUGUUUGAUGCUGUAAAAUCAGUGCAGGAGGAGAAUAAAAUGUUCCAACACCUCUCCCGAGACAUCAAGUUCGCACUAGACUCUGUACAACCACUCAUCAAAGACAUCGAAAAGUAUAACUCGAAAGAGGGACUGCAAAAUUUUGCAAUACAGAUGGAGGAGGGAGCAAGUUUUCAACAACUGUUACAUAAUCUCAGUGGCAUUCUCGAAUAUAGAAGAAAUGUAUAUCGACUAUUGCAGUGAUUUAAUAGAGUUGCCCGCCGAGUUUUGUGAUCUUAGUAAACUAAAGAAGCUCAGUGUCACUAACUGUCAUAAGAUAUCUGUCUUUACCUGAAGGGAUUGGAAAGUCGGAAAAUUUAGAAAUGUUCAGGCUAAGAUCCUGCACAGAACUGUCAAAGCUUCCAACCACGAUGAAGAACCUUGGAAAGGUAAACUUUCUUGACAUAUCUAUUUGCUUCAGCAUCAAGAUGUUGCCCAAAGACAUAGGUGAAAUGAGUAGUUUAAAGAAGAUCAACGUGAGACAAUGCUCAAGGUUGCAAGACCUGCCUCCAUCAGUCAUGGAUCUUAAGCAGUUAAAGGAAGUUGUCUGUGAUGAAGAGAUAAAAUACUUAUGGGAAUCUUUCUCAUUGCGUCUCAACAACGUAAGGAUAAUUGUGGCCAAAGAGAAUAUCAACCUAAAUUGGAUCCACAAGACUCAGUUCUGAUACCUGUGUUUCCUCGGUGAACGUUGCUCUUCAACCUCUCUUGACUUGUGUUUCAUUGUCUUCCUAUUUUAGGCUAUUUCCCAUCUCCUUUUCAGUUUACGCCCUUCGUUUCGUAAAUAGUAGUGUGGGAUAUUAAACCAUUGGUAUUAAAUAUAGAAAUUAUGAAAAUAACACAAGAAUUUCAAUAAUAAUAAUUACAAGGAAAUUCACAACAUCACAUGUGCACAAAAUUAAUAUAAACAACCAGAGAGAAAGUUAGAAAAACUGACAAACUUGGAGAUUGAGGCUUGCAUAAAUGCAAUGUCCUAAAGACAGAAUUUCGCCCCUACUCUUAUGCUUGUAGUUCGGUAGGCAUCCGUCUCCUAGGAUUCAACAAUCUAUAAUCCGAAGUCAAAGCAUUCAAUCUUCGGACUUUGGCUAACUUUAUAUAUUAUGUACUCUCAAGACACGACUCAGAAGUUUGACUAAGACAUUAGAGAAAACUAUUCUCAUAAUACUCUCACGACUAUACUAACGUGAGUUUAUAUAAAACCUAAGAUACUGGUUGAUUAAGAGACACAAGCAUUCAUGUAUUAGAUGAUACCGUUUACCAAAGAUUGCCUUGAUCCCUUUCAAAAGGUUAUGCAUUUUUCAUUCAAUAUUUUGAAUUAAAUAUUAUAAUUAUUAAUAUUAUAAUAUAUAAAUUCCAACAAUCCCCCACAUGAAUGAAAAAUUAGGAAGAAUUUAAGAGUACAGGCGAAAAAGAGAUGCAUCGGGAGAGGUAUCUUUUGGACUUGAACCUACCCUAGUGAAUACUUAUCGGAUUUACUUGGUGACGCAGUGAAUAUAGAAUCUUAAACUGUUCACCGUAAUAGUAAACCGAGACAAUAAGCAACACACAUCACUAAUCCUAAUAUAUUUUGGUUCAUAUGGUUGUGUUCAUUUUGGUCCUGAACAAAUCCCAGAUUCAUGAGAGCUUUAGAGAAUUUAGCCAUCUCAUACGCAUAGAAGCGACCCACUUCUACUCUCACAUAGGUGACCACUGAUUAAGAAUAGUCUACUCUAUUCCUCUUAUUUAUAAGAUAUCACUGUCAUUAAGUAUAAAUAUACAACCUAAAACCUCUGCAGACAACACACUUUUUCCAUCAUAGGAAUGAGGUAUAUAGUGUGUUAACUUCUUUGAAUCAUGCCCAACCAGUUUGCCUAUUGAACUUAGACCAUGGGAUCUCCAAUCAACAAAGUUAGGUUUCCGCUCGGCUGAUUCAUUAGUUAUGUUGGCUUUAGCCUCAUUCCCAUCGAUGAUCAACUUUCUCUCUAGUCUAACCUUUAAUAAUUGAAUCCACUACUAGGUUGACUAUUUUUAAUGGUGUGCACAAUCCAUCUUAUGAAAUUAUAUUUCAUACGAGAGGAGUUGUUUGACAUUACUUGAAAUGUCAAGUCCUCAAAAUUAUAUUAGAAAUCUCAAGAGUAAAAAUUAACUCUAAUUUUCUAUAUUUAAUACCAAUGGUUUCAUGGGUUUAUAUAGAAUCCAACUUCUACUUAUUAAAGAGAUGUAACUUUUCAUCUAUAAGUAUACAUCACUUAUUAAGGGAAUACACCUAAACAACAUAACCUUUCUAAGUAAUUUGCUAACACUAAGCACUUGGGUAAACUCCCCCACAUUUAAGGUAUUUGUAAGAAGAUCUCUAACCUUGCCAUACCUUAAAAUUAUUCAUUACAACAGAUGACAUCUUAAAUGUCGUUCAAUUAGCAAAUUACUUUUAACCAACUCCCACAAUUCUUUCAUAAUUGUAGUUGCUUUUAAUGCUAUCAUUAAAUCGAUCACAUUUUCCACUUUAAGAAGUAAGAAACAACUAAGAUAGACUCUAUCUAUCUUUUUAGGCCUUCAUGCUUCACUAGAAAUGAUGAGAAAAUCACUUCUUGACUUUCAUUCUUUCCUUACUCUGACUAACAUGCAUGAUCCGACUCAUAUGCUUACUUAAUAAGCAUCAUUAUGUCGAAUUCAAAUCUGUGAAAUGUCUUUCACAUUUUUAGUAUGGUCUUGUCCUUUUUUGAAAGACCCCCACACUUUCAUGAUUAUUUCUUUAUAUUAAUAUCACUUUAAAUGACACUCAAUAUCAUCAUGGGCCUCUUGUAAUUUAGAAAUAUAUCACUUCAAAGAAAGCAUAUAAAUGAUUUUGCAACAUUAUUAUCACUAUAUGAUAAUACAUCCAAUCGGUAUGUGGAAGUUUACAUACCAGCCAAUGAACACAUUUGAAUAUGCCAAUGACUAGUUGAAAAUGUCAUACCCCUUCACUGUCAAAAGCAGCACUUCAAAUGGCAUGCUUUUCCUUUGAAUCUCACAUGGUAGAUUUCAAUUUUCAAUUCCACCUUACAAAACCAUCCAUUUGUUAAAUAGUUGCAUAUUUAUGCAACUUUACCGCCACAUGGUUCAAUAUAAGUCUUGGACCUUGACCCCAUAAUUCAAUAAGCAUCUUUCGACGUUGAUAGAUAACUCAUCUAAAAUGAGUUCAGUUUAUUAGUUUAUUUUUGUUGCUUCUCAAAGCCAAAUUCAUCCACUUUCUGGGUUCUUAUCAUGACUGAAGGCUAGACCCAAUUCUGCAUAUGCACACAUAUGCCUGAGUAAUUGUUCAAUUUUCCUCAUACGUAUUCCAUUCAUUCCAUGAGUGGACAUGUACAUAUGAGUACUGCACUCAUCUUAUAUUCCAUGAUACCAUGGAAGUUGGGUUCAUAUCUUGUACUGGAGUUUUCCAACUGUUUCAAUACAAAUUUGAAACAACCCCAUUUUAUUUGUGUAUUCACUCUUCAUCAAGAGCUUUCGCUGACAUCUUUAUGAAUAUAAGGGUUUUCUCAACAAAAACCUAUUAAUCAUCAUCGUGCCCAAUCAAAUAUUGAUCUCCUUUGUCCCAAGAAAGAAACAUUGCAUUAGUCCACGAACUGGUACAUUAUGUCCCUUUUAGAUUUGCAAAUAAUGCAAAUUUUUGUAUGACUAUUGAAGAAAGUUGGGAUUCCAACAUAUAACCAAUUGAGAAUAUGGAGAACAAUCUAAUUCCUUAUAAGCUUUUGUUAUAUUUCUCAUUUCACCAAUGUGAAACCCCUUUUGUCUUCACAUCCUCACAAUCAUACCAUUUCACUUGGCCUUAUUCGAAACCUUUCUUCAUAUAAAGGAGACAAACACUGAACAUGGAUUUUAAGUAGAUCUGAUAAUAAUUGCAGUAGCCAUAUAAUAAAAAUUGUUAUCACUGUAUCGUUCUGGAAACUAGAAUCUUGAUCUUUUCUAUAUAAAACAGUUAUAGAGACAUGUAUAAAGUAACAGCCAAGUAUGAGAUUUCUAUAUAUCAAAGGAUUUAUAUAAUUAACAACAACAGCAACAACAGUUGCGGCAUGCAUAAUAAUUUACCAUGCCUCAAAGUUUAAAACAUUGUCUGAUCGCGACAUGCCUAGAAUGCCAAGAGAAGGUAAAUUCAAACUAACAUUAAUUUAAAAGCAGUUAGAUUCUAAUUUCUAAUAAAUAUAUAUAAGACAAAUAACCUUCUAUCCUAAUCAUCAUCAUCAUCAUCAAUAAAUCCCAAAAUUGUUGUGUUGUUUUGUGUGUGUAUAUAUAUAUAUAACUUUCAACACAUCAUCUAGCCCUGAUCUAUCUUUUCGUAGAAAUUUAAAGGAUUCAUGUCUUAGAUGCAUCGGUGAAAUAUACUGAUGUCUUCUUCUUUAUUUCUUCAAGAGGGCUAGGCUAAACAUAAAUUACAAUAUUUUCAUUGCGAAUCCCUAAAGUCCUAGGCUUUACUCAUAUUUUCUAAUUGUUUCAUAAACAAAUUUCUGUCUUUAGAUUGUUGGAGCAAUAUUAGAAAGUAUGAAAAUAACACAAGAAUUCCAAUAUUAAUAAUUACAAAGAAAUUCACAACAUCACAUGUGCACAAAAUUAAUAUCAACAACUAGAGAGAAAGUUAGAAAAACUAACAAACUUGGAGAUUGAGGCUUGCAUAAAUGCAAUGUCCUAAAGACAGAAUUUCGCCCAUACUUUUAUGCUUGUAUUUUGGUAGGCCUUCGUCUCCCAGGAUUCAACAAUCCAUAAUCCGAAGUCAAAGCAUUCAAUCUUCGGACUCUGGCUAACUUUAUAUAUUAUGUACUCUUAAGACACGACUCAGAAGUUUGACUAAGACAUUAGAGAAAACUAUUCUCAUAAUACUCUCACGACUAUACUAACAUGAGUUUAUAUAAAACGUAAGAUGCUGGUUGAUUAAGAUAUACAAGCAUUCAUCUAUUAGAUGAUACCGUUUACCAAAGAUUGCCUUGAUCCCUUUCAAAUGGUUAUGCAUUUUUCAUUCAAUAUUUUGAAUUAAAUAUUAUAAUUAUUAAUAUUAUAAUAUAUAAAUUCCAACAAGGUAUAAUCAUUUGUCGUUAAAUGAGCACUAUUUUGACAACCUUAAGAAAUUUUCUAAACUUGUGAAAUGUGAGGGGAAAUUUAAUAUCUGAGCAAUAAGUUUAAUGUGAAAGUUGUUUUUUUAGAGGGAAAAUGUGGUUUGUGUUUUUAAUGGGACUUCUUAAACUCUACUCUGACAUAGUUUCACAAUCAAUCCCUAUACACAGUUUCUUAACCUUUUGGUUUGAAAAUCUGUAUGUAUAGUUCAACAUCACAGUGUGAUUAUGCUCUCCCAAAAUAAGUUUUAUAAGUAAAAGGAACCAAAAAGAAGGGGUUGAAGAGUCUCCAUAAGACAAGAACUUUUAUGUCACAGAGUCAAGUAUUAAUCUCGUCAUCGGUAAGUUUCUCAAGUAUCUAUAUUCACAUUUGUUGGUCAAGUUUUCAGAAUUGUGUUCACAUAUAAUCUAAAUUCAUUGCCAAAUGUUGAGGAAUUGAUUGUUAUUGACUAUUGCGAUGAAUUGGUCUCAAACUACGUUUUCCAACCAACACGGUUUGAUCAGUUUUAAAAAAACCACUGUUUGAUUAGUCUCGUUCAAUACCAUUACGUGAUUAGCUUAAAUUUACUUUUCAUGUUCAAACUAGUUAAACUAAGAAAGAACGGGCCAUAUUUUCUUUCUUUUCAAAGUUGUUCACAUAGAAGUGGACAUUGACAAAGUAGAUAAUGAAUAACAUUAUAACAUUGUAAUUUGGAUGAAAAUACACAAAUCCAAUACUUUAAUUAGAUGCAUUAUACUUUAAAUGAAAAUAAAUAAAUUUAAUAUUCUUAGAGGUCACAAUAGAAAUUUCACAACUAAGAACGGAUUAGGGCAUGCCAAUACUUAAAAAGCCGACUUUUCUAAUUCAAUUCACAAGAUUCUCAAAACCAUUGCUCACACAUAUUCUAAAACUAAGGCUAGAGUGACACAGUUAAGCCAAGCCUACAUCUUUGAAGCUGAUAUCAAAUCUAAGAAACCAACAAGUCAAGUGAUGCAACUUUGGACCACUUAAACGAAUCCAAACCAGAAAACAAUUCCGAACCAUCACUCAACGGAAUCGUGGAGUAGAAGGGAUUUAGGACCAUCACUCAAAGGAAUCCAAACAAGGAUACGAUUCCGGACCAUCACUCAACGGAAUCGAGGAGUAGAAAGGAUUCCGGACCAUCACUCAAUGGAAUCCAAACAAGGAUAUGAUUCUGGACCAUCACUCAAUGGAAUCACUUGCACUAUCAACUUCUCAUGACCACUAUCUUGUCAUACAAGCAUAAAAGUUAUACAUAAUACUUCUCAUAAGAUUCUGGGUUCACAUCGUCCUAAAAACAAUCAUACACAUCAUAUUGAUCAUACAUAUCUAACCACAUUUCAUAAAUGUUUCCAAGCUACAAUCGAAUCACAAUUAAUAAACAUAGAUCGAUGCUAAAAUAAAAUAACACUUCAAUAGAAAGCACAUUUAAUUAACAAGUAUAACUCAAUAUGAUGCAACUAAUACAUAUAUCGAGACACACAUCAACCAAGAAUGACACGUCAUCGUGAUGAGCCAACUAAGUUCCAUCAAGCCUCAACAGCAAACUAGAGAUAAACGACACUCUAGAGUAUAACACGUUGACUAGAACGUUAACCGUCAAUAAGGUAGGUCCAUUAAGAUCAACAAUCUAAGGUUAUUUAAACCAGAAGAUCCGCACAUCAGAUUUCCGAUCCGUAAGUUCUCAAAGGUCCAACAACUGAUACCUAAGGUGCUCACAAAAUUGUACGACGAUCCAACAAUCGGAUUGUCAUCAAUCAUACAAACAAGUGGUAGUCCAAUUUGAUUACCACAUCAAACAAUUUAAUUUCGGGAAACCGAGCUAGACAUAGGUUCAUAGAGUCACUAGAAGGUAUUUAGUACUUAGACAACAUUCAUGGACGGUCUCACGCACCGCCACAAGCGAUGGUAGCCAUGGUGAAGGGUUUGAAAACCCAAAUUUUCAACCUUAACCAAAAAGGUUCAAAUUUAUGUGGUAACUAGAGCUCAACAAGGGAAACAUUAUUCACAACUAGGCCAAUGACAAAUUCUAACCGGAAACCAUCCAAAUUCAUCGGGAAAAACCGGGUUUCUAGGGUUCUAAACACCCAACUCUAAAACAAAUACGAAAGCACAAAACAAGCAUAUCAACUUGAAGAUUAUGAAGAGUAGAUGAAGCUUAAUACCUCACUCGAAAGAAAUGGUUGCCGAAAUCACCGGAAAAAUGACAAAAUCGUCGGAAACCAAGGAACUUUGCUGCCUCGAACUGGAAAAAUGGAUAAGAAAAUUGGAAAUGUAACACUGCAGAGAUGUAGGGCUCGUCAAGAGCUUUCUAUGGACUCCAAGAUCACCCAAAACGGAGAUCGGAUGAAGGAGAUAUGAGCAGAUCAAGUUUGCGGGUUAACGGGUCUAAUUCGCCCCAAAACGGGUUUUUUCUUCUUUUCUCUCGCCACACUUCCGUGGCUUUCUUUUCCUUCCCUCUUUUAGCCACUCCCGUGGCUUUUUCCUUCUCUUUUCAUUUUUUUUAUUUUUUAUUUUUUUAGCAACAACUUCAAACGUCCGUAACUAUACCGUUACAAUUUGGACUCGCAAACGGUUUUUGCCUAUACGUUCAUAAUCUCGAUAUCUAUUCGACAAUAUAAAUUGUGACCUCGAAUGGUCUACAGAUUUUAAAUAAUUAAUUUCCCGAAAAAUAAUAUAAAAUUUCUAUAAUACCAAUACGUAGAUUAUAAUAAUGAAAUCCAGGAACGGGAUUUGACAUUCUCCCCCCCUUAAAAAAAUUUUGUCCUCGAAAUUUUAGUAUCAAUUCAAUAUCCACCAAUGCCACAAUUCAACCGAAUGACAAUUUCGAAAUGGUAUUUACUCUUUAAUUAUAAUCGAAUUUAAUUAACAUCAAACUCGACAACAUCGAAUCACAAGUCACAAAUACAAUUAUCAUCGUCUCAGCACGACUUCACCACCAAUCUUUGCACAAUCACAAAGAAUGGCACUACUAAUAAGAAUUCAUCAAUAUACUCAUAAUUCUGGCAACCAUACCAACCAAUUUUGUAAUUACAAGCAUUUCCCAUUAUUCCAUUUAUGGUGAAUAAGAUCAUAACCUCAGUCUACGAGUUUAUUCAACUCAAAACAAAUAAAUUAACGGAUAGAUCAUCAUGAUUCUCACCCAUAUACUCAGAUUCACAGCAAUAUUUAUUGGCAGAAUAAAUAUUAGAAAUUCUAGCCAUACACAUUGUCAAAAUAUUUAUUAAACAUCAAGCCACAGUCUUCAUAACUUAAAAUAAUUACUAAAUUAUCAAAUCACAUUUACUAUUGGUUAGACAUAUACUAACAUAAUAAUUACAAUUAUUGGUAAACCAUCCACCAUCAUUGGCUAUACAUAGUCGUAACUACGAUUCUUUCUCAAAAUUUCUAGCCACACUCCCUUGCAAAAUAAUAUCCACCUUAAACCAUAAGUCUUGUUGGCUAAAUGAAUAUUAAAAUUUCAGCCAACCAUUAAAAUUGACAAAUCAAGUUCCAAAAUUCCAACCAAAAUUAUUGGAAUUUCCAAACACAUCACUAGGUAAUGGAAAGAAGAAUACCAAGUGAUCACAAAUAAACCGAAUUAUGAGUCAUUGAUUAAUUUGACUCAAAUUAUUUCCAUAUCAUCUAUUAUAUGCUUAUUUUUGCUCAAAAACAAAUUUUGACAUUCCUUUAGUGUUGUUUUCAGAGCAUACCUACGUCAUAUUUUACUACACAAGGAACGAGAUCAUAGGUAUCAAUGUAAACGUCGUGAAAACAAUCUUUGAAUCAAGAAUAGCUAUCAUGGCAGCAGUUAUUCUCUUCCUUACAAACGAAGGGUUAAAAUUUAGUCACCAUUCCACAUUCAACCAAUUUGUUUUGAAUCAAGGUUAUAGCGGUGAGACGAGCAUCGAUAUUAGAUCAUUUAUUGGCUGAGUUGUGCAAUAGCAAUUUUUAUAAACUUUCACAUACUCCAACACAAUGAAUAAGAUAGUAAUAAUUCAACCAAUUUCUUCCCAAUUUCUCACCAAAACAGAUUAUGCAACCAGUUCAUGUAUCAAUUUAAAGAUAGUCUCAGUCAUAGAACUAACUUAUCUCACAUUGACAAAGUCACAUGCCAAAUCUCAAGCCAUGACUAACAUGGCUAACAAAAUAUCAUAAUUUCAUACCAUAAUACGUUAAUGGUAAACCAACCAAUCAAGUUUAUAAUUAUCAACCUUUCGCGUCAAUUCUUUUCAUCAGACGAAGAAACUCAGUUGGGAAAGCAUUUAUAUUAAAUGAAUUCAAAUUUUCAUUCUAUAAUUUCAUUCAUAUUCACCCACCAUUCUCAUUAUAAUGGCAAACCAUAAUCACAGUUUAUAAUUUCAUUCCCCUUCAACAAAUCACCAUAUCUUCCUUAAAUGUUAACAUUUCCAACCACUUUUAUCGUUGGCCAAAACAUUUUAAAAUUUCUAUCCACACCUAUCAUUGACGGAAUAAUGAUUUCACCAUCUUUUUCUUUUAUUUCAAUCAGUGACUAGUAAUCUGGAAAAGAUUGUAAUAUACCUGACCAAUACACAUCACACUUUCUUUUUCUUUUCUUCUUCUUCUUUUUCUUUCUUUUUCUUCUUCUUUUUCUUCUUCUUUUUUUUCUUCUUUCUCACAUCUACGGGCCUUUUCCGCCCAUUUACACAUUCGCAGGCCUUUCUUGCCCAAUUUCACAUUUCCACCCUUAUAUCCACGGGCCUUUUGCCCAAUUCAAUUUCUCAAGUGCCAGGUCUAAUACAAACUCUCCAUCUACUUAUCACCACCUCAAAAUCACCUUAACAUUCAACAUUUUCAUAAUACAUAGAAAAAUAACCAAGUAGGCAAUUACGUGACUCCCUAAUGCGGAUUAACCAGCAGGACCACAAAUGGCCCCCCAAUGCGGAUUAACCAAGCAGGGUCAAGAUAAUCAGGUAGGUAGUGACCCCCCAAUGAGGAUUAACCAAGCAGAGUCACACCUGCAGAACUGUUAGGCAGUGAUCACCCAACGCGGAUUAACCAAGCAUGAUCACCCCUAAGUAUAAAUAGCCAUCAGGAUCGCCCAACGCGGAUUAACCAAGCGCGAUCCAUAUAUAGUAUGGUCCCCUAAUGCAGAUUAACCAAGUAGGAUCACUAAUGACCCCCUAUCGUAGAUUAACCAAGCAGGGUCAUAGUCUCCUAUUAGGCCUCAAUUUAACAACCAUUCCAAUAUGCAAUUCAAUUCACUUUUUCAAAAAUAUUAUCAAUCCAAUUUACUUCACUUCAUGAUGUUUCACAACAUAAAUAUACUUCUCACAUAACUUUCUCAUUACUUAAAGAACUUAGGGAAUAAUGCAAUACCAAUGCAAAUCAUAAUUCCCAUUAAUGAGUUUUUCAUAAUCACCAUGGAAAUUUCACCACAACACAAUGCAAUUCAUAUAUGUAUCUCAAAAGUAUAUGUGUCCAUAUAUCACAUGAAUGCAUCUUUAUGCCCAAAAAAAUUAUGAAAUCAUGCAACCACAAUGCAUAUCGUAAUUCACGCCAACAAGACUCGAAAAGGUUGUAUAUCAUAGAGUAUGAUCAUUUGCUCUGAUACCAUUAAAUGUUGUCACGCCCCGAUCCCGACAUACGUCUAGAAUCGACACGUGACGUCACCAAAUACCCAUAUCUAUCAUACCUCGCCUUUGGGAUAUGGGCAGAGCACAAUUCGAUAAUCGAAUCGCAUAGUAAUUUUACGUAUGCUUUAUGGCUGCAUUUAACCUCCUCGUUAGACUGCCUACGUACCCUAAACAGGGAUCAAGUCAUUCGUAGUUCGUCAUGUACUAUAAUUGACAUAUGUCACAGUCCGUUUAAGGCGAAGGGCAUAACAUUUCUCAAUCAAUCAAUAGCUUAACAAGCAUGAAAUUUCUAGACUCAAGGUUACAUAACAAACCCACCUGAAAGUCAUGAUUUCCCUUCCAGCUUCUGUAUAAGUCAUUAUGUCGCAACAUGAUACCGUAAUUCACAACAUAUAUCAUAUCAAGAAACCGACGAAGCACAAUACAAUUCUCUAGCCACAUUAAUUAACUAAUUUGCCCAAAAUAAUAACAACUAUAACCAUAUCUUCUAAAUUCAUACUUUAUGAAAUCAUAAUUGAAUCAUAGAAAAUCAUGAAGGAGUCACCCAAACGUCCAACAACUUUUCUAAUUCAAUUCACAAGAUUCUCAAAACCAUUGCUCACACAUAUUCUAAAACUAAGGCUAGAGUGACACAGUUAAGCCAAGCCUACAUCUCUGAAGUUGAUAUCAAAUAUAAGAAACCAACAAGUCAAGUGAUGCAACUUUGGACCACUUAAACGAAUUCAAACCAGGAAACGAUUCCGGACCAUCACUCAACGGAAUCGUGAAGUAGAAAGGAUUCUGGACCAUCACUCAACGGAAUCCAAACAAGGAUACGAUUCCGGACCAUCACUCAACGGAAUCGCGGAGUAGAAAGGAUUCCGGACCAUCACUCAACGGAAUCCAAACAAGGAUACGAUUCCGGACCAUCACUCAACGGAAUCACUUGCACUAUCAACUUCUCAUGACCACUAACUAUCUUAUCAUACAAGCAUAAAAGUUAUACGUAAUACUUCUCAUAAGAUUCUGGGUUCACAUCAUCCUAAAAAAAAUCAUACAAAUCAUACUGAUUAUACAUAUCUAACCACAUUUCAUAAAUGUUUCCAAGCUACAGUCGAAUCACAAUUAAUAAACAUAGAUCGAUGCUAAAAUAAAAUAACACUUCAAUAGAAAGCACAUUUAAUUAACAAGUAUAACUCAAUAUGAUGCCACUAAUACAUAUAUUGAGACACAUGUCAACCAAGAACGACACGUCAUCGUGAUGAGCCAACUAAGUUCCAUCAAGUCUCAACAACAAACUAGAGAUAAACGACACUCUAGUGUAUAACACGUUGACUAGAACGUCAACCGUCAAUAAGGUAGGUCCAUUAAGAUCAACAAUCUAAGUUAUUCAAACCGGAAGAUCCGCACAUCAGAUUUCCGAUCCGUAAGUUCUCAAAGGUCCAACAACUGAUAACUAAGGUGCUCACAAAAUUGUACGACGAUCCAACGAUCGGAUUGUCGUCAAUCAUACAAACAAGUGGUGGUCCAUUUUGAUCACCACAUCAAACAAUUGAAUUUCGGGAAACCGAGCUAGACAUAGGUUCUUAGGAUCACUAGAAGGUAUUUCGUACUUAGACAACACUCAUGCACAGUCCCACGCACCGCCACACGCAAUGGUAGCCAUGGUGAAGGGUUUGAAAACCCAAUUUUCAACCUUAACCAAAAAGGCUCAAAUUUACGUGGUAACUAGAGCUCAACAAGGGAAACAUUAUUCACAACUAGGCCAACGACAAAUUCUAACCGGAAACCAUCCAAAUUCAUCAGGGAAAACCGGGUUUCUAGGGUUCUAAACACCUAACUCUAAAACGAAAACGAAACCACAAACCAAGCAUACCAACUUGAAGAUUAUGAAGAGUAGAUGAAGUUUAAUACCUCACUCGAAAGAAAUGGUUGCCGAAAUCACCGGAAACCCAAGGAACUUUGCUGCCUAUAACUGGAAAAAUGGAUAAGAAAAUGGGAAAUGUAACACUGCAGAGAUAUAGGGCUCAUCAAGAGCUUUCAAUGGACACCAAGAUCACCCAAAACAGAGAUCGGAAGAAGGAGAUAUGAGCGGAUCAAGUUUGCGGGUUAACGGGUCUAAUUCGCCCCAAAACGGGUUUUUUCUUCCUUUCUCUCGCCACACUCCAGUGGCUUUCUUUUCCUUCCCUCUUUUAGCCACUCCGGUGGCUUUUUUCUUCUCUUUUCAUUUUUUUUAGCAACAACUUUAAACAUCCGUAGCUAUACCGUUACAAUCCGGACUCGCAAACGGUUUUCGCAUAUGCGUUCAUAAUCUCGAUAUCUAUUCAACAAUAUAAAUUGUGACCUCGAAUGGUCUACGGAUUUUAAAUAAUUAAUUUCCCGAAAAAUAAUAUAAAAUUUCUAUAAUACCAAUACGUAGAUUAUAAUAAUGAAAUUUAGGAAUGAGAUUUCACACUUAUAGUUUUGAAACAAAUAAUUUUACAUUAGAAAAGAUAACUUAUACUUUCACUAAAAAGGAGAGCUGAUUUUUAUUAAUUAACAUUGAAGUUUUUGCCUAUUCAAGAGAUGUGGGUCCUGUAUUUCAAUCAACACAUGUGAGUCUCAUCUCUAUUAAAAAAAUGAUACAAAUGAUGGUUACAAAUAAAUGAUAAGAAUAAUAUUUUUAUUUACAAAAAAAUUAUUAUGCACUCCUAUCUAAUAAAGUAAACAAGGUCAAAAGGAGGACAAAGUGGGUUUCUUUUAGCGCUAAUAUUCUUUUAGAAACUAUAUAUUUGAUUGUAUGAACAAUAAAGUCAUUGUACAAUUUAAAUUUAAAACUCAUAAAGAAAAUUAUACAAGGCAUACAAAGUUUAUUAAUCAACAUUGAACCUUUUGUGCAUAUUCUUUGAAAACAUAAGGAAAUUAUACAAUGGUCUCCUCACAAGAAAUUCUCAACUCUUUCAUUUUUUGUGAACUUGUGAUACACGCUAAAGGGGAUGAAUUCUUCAAUGAAAUUUUGACAUGUAAAAAUGAGACCUAUUCGUAAGUUUAUUGAAAAUAAUAAAGCUCAUAUGAGUAGCCCAGAAUAUAAUUUCCUUGUGUUUUCAUAGCAUAUGAACACAAAAUAUAAUGUUGCAAAAUAAGUUUGAUGUUUUAUGUAUAUAAUUAUAAGUAUAAUAUUUUCUCACCUUCUAGUACAAGUUUUGUGCAUAUUCUACAAAACCAAAAACAAAUUAAAACUCAACAUCAUAGCAAUAUUUUCUCAAAAAUAAAAAAGCAUUUCGUAGUAAACGAAUAUACUUUUCCCUCACACUAAAUUUCGUAAAUAUUUUAUGAAAAUAUAAGGAAAUUACACUAUGGUCUCCCCUCAAGAAAUUCCAAGAAAUUCCCAGCUCCAUUAUUUUUUGUUAACUUAUAAUUCAUGGGAUCAAUUUACCAAAGGACGUAUGAUACACGUAAAUAAGAUCAAUUUAUAAGUGCAUUGAACAUGACAUAUUAUGUUAAUAGAGAAACAUAUAAUUUUCUUAUGUUUCAUGGCAUGUGCACAAAAAGUUUUAUUGUUGAAAAUUUUAUAUGUAUAUAAGCAUAUUUUCUCAUCUUAUAGUAUGCUAAAAGGAAACCAAAUAGUAGCAUCUUCAUAAUAAAUUCUCUAACUUGCUUACACCAGGCCUAUAGUGGCGAAGCCACGUGAGGGCGAGGAGUGGCGUCCACCACUCCCCUAGCCUGAAAAACAAGACUGGAGCGCUGAUUUUGCCCCUCCCCUGCCGGAAAACCCACUGGUUCUACUAUUGUUGGUCUUCGUCUCCGACUCUCCGGUCUGCUUUGCAGAUCUAACUUUUUUUUUUUUUAAACAACCAGGCCAAAACAACGUCGUUUUGGACCUGGUAAAAAAAUUUUAAAAAGAAAAAGAAAAAAAAAUGAAACGGGCAGUUUUGAUAAGUUGGAAGUCAAAAAAAAAAAUUAUAUAGGGGGACCGCGUGUCCCCCAUUCAUUCAAUCUCUUCCUUUCUCUCUCUGUUGUGUCGUUUUGCACCUUUCCCCUUUUCAUCCUCCAAUCACAGCAGCAAAGGGCAGCCAUUGCUCCCCUUUUCGAAGCAGAAAAUGGAACGGAACUUCUGCACAGCAGCACCGUUUGGCAUUAGACCAAUUAGCACUCAACAGCAGCACAGCGCCACUGCCAGGGCCCAGCUUCCAACCAUCAAACACAAUAUUUAGGUAAAUUUUUUAAUUCCCAAAUUUAUAAUCCCUAACCCUAAUUAAUUAUUUAAAAUGAAUUUUGUUUAAUUGGUAUAGAAUCAUAUAGUAAAACACUCAAUGCACUAAUAUGGUUAUAGUUAUUGAUUAUUGAUAUGAAAUUAUGAAAUUAUUUUUUAGGGUAAAAAUUAAAAUUUGAAUUCUCGAUUAUUUAUUAAUUAAUUGAAUUAUUACAUAAUGUAUUACAAUUAUUCAUGUGAUUAGUUGAAUUGAAUUUUUAUUUAUCGAAUAAUUGUUUGUUUAUUGGUAUUGAUUAAUUGAAUUGUUGGUUGGAUUAGUUAUUAUGCAUACUAUAGUAUAGUCUACUCUAGGAUUAAGAGUCUAAGAAUUUUUUUUUUCUUUCCAUUUUACAGUUAUGUAAUGGAACGAUACUAUAAGAAACAAUGCUUAAAUCCUCCUUCAAACAUUUCGGGUAGUCCUUCUCCUUCAAACAUUUCGGGUAGUCCUUUUCCUUCAAAUAUUCCGAGUAGUCCUCCUCCUCCUUCAAAUAUUCCAAGAAGUCCUCCUUCGAAUAUUCCUAGUAGGUCACAACAAAGUAAGGCCACUGAGUUGGAUGAAAUAUUAGCUAAUCUUCCUGCAGACCCUGGACAUAGACGUCAAAUGCUUGAUUAUCCACCUAAUUAUCGUGAAGCAAUUCGUAGACACUAUCUCCAAAAUGAUCCUUGUCAACCUAGAGACCACAUCAUGCCAAGAAAAGUUUGUGACAAAAGAUGUUUUAUCAUCGGUUGGUUUGAUAAGUUUAAGUGUUUGGAGUAUAGUAUAUCAAAAAAUGCUUCAUUUUGCCGUUAUUGCUAUCUUUUCAAAUGUGAUUUCGAUCAAAUGGGUAGCACUAGAAGUGAUGUCUUCACUAAGAAAAGGUUUACAAAUUAGAAGAAAGGACCUCAAAAUCUUCGAGUCCAUGAGGGAGGUGUUGGAAGUCUUCAUAAUAAAGCUGUACAAUAAGCUAGAGAUUUGAUGGCACAAAAACAACACAUUGAAACAUUUGUGAGUAAGCAAACCGAUGAAGCUCGCAUUAAUUAUCGUACUUUCUUGAAUGCCUCACUUGAGUGUACAAGAUGGUUGUUAGGACAAGGUUUGCCUUUUCGUGAUCACGAUGAAUCAUUCAAAUCAAGCAAUAGAGGUAAUUAUUUGGAGCUUAUGCAAUUUCUUUCCAAGCAUAAUGAGCAAGUUAGGAAAGUUGUGUUGAGAAUGCUCCCAAGAAUCUUAAGUAUACUUCUUCCGAUAUUCAAAAAGAUCUUGUCCGUGCUUGUGCCAUUGAAAUUAUAGAUGCAAUCACUAAAGAUAUGGAAGGUGCAUUCUUUUCUCUUUUGGUUGAUGGAUCACAUGAUUCUUCAACUAAAGAGCAAAUGGCAGUAGUAUUGCGUUAUGUGAACAAAAAAGGAGAAGCAAUUGAAAAGUUUUUGGGUGUACAACAUGUCACUUCUACAACUAGUAGCUCACUUGAAGAGGCUAUUGAGAGAUUUUUUGCUACAACAAAUUUGAGUAUGUCCAAGUUACAGGACAAAGCUAUGAUGGAGCUAGUAAUAUGAAAGGUGAGCUAAUGGCCUUAAAACAAAGAUUUUGAACAAGUAUCCUCAAGCAUUUUAUGUUCAUUGUUUUGCACACCAACUUCAACUAGCUCAUGUAGCCGUUGCAAAGGGAAUUGAGGGCGUCGCCAUUUUCUUCAACAAUGCUAGUAUCUUGGUCAAUACUAUUGGAUCAUCGUGUAAGCAUCGUGAUGCAUUUAGAGAGAAACAACUAGAACAAAUUACAAAAACUCUUGAUAUUGUUGAUCUUGAAAUGGGUAGAGGGUUAAAUCAAGAGAGCAGUCUCAUGUGUCUUUGUGAUAUACGUUGGAACUCACAUUAUGGUACUAUAAUGAGUAUUAUUGUCAAUUUUGAAGCUGUGGUGGAGGUGCUUGAAUGGAUUAAAGAUGAUACCAACCAAGACAAUUUCGAAGAAGCAAGUAAGUUAUUCCAUGACAUACAAACUUUUGAUUUUGUGUUUCACCUUUUUUUUAUGAGACACAUAUUGGGAAUUAUAGAUGAGUUAUCACAAGCAUUACAAAAGAAAGAUGAAGAUAUUGUGAAUGCGAUGGCAUUAGUGGAGGUAUGCAAGCAAAGAUUACAAUCCUUGAGAGAUGAUGAUUUUGGGAACUUGCUUGAUGAUGUACAAAAGUUUUGUGAAGAGCAUGAUAUUGUUGUUCCUAACAUGGAGGAUUUGCAUUUCGUACCCGAAAAAUCAAGGCGUAAAGCUCCAAGACUCACAAACUUCCAUUACUAUCGUGUGGACCUCUAUUUUCAAGUCCUUGAUACGCAAUUAAAGGAAUUGAAUGAUCACUUCGAUGAGGUAAACACUGAAUUGCUUCUUUGUAUGGCAUGUUUGAGUCUGGUGAAUAAUUUUGCAUCUUUUGAUAAAGCAAAAAUUGUUCAUCUAGCCCAACAUUAUCCUCAAGAUUUUGAUCGUAUGGACCUCAUAAAUCUUCCAAUUCAACUUGACAAUUACAUUCAUGAUAUGAAGAUGCAUAGUGAGUUUUCAUCAUUGAGAGGAAUUGUGAUCUUGCAAAGGAGUUGGUGAAGACCGGAAGGUGUGCAAGCUAUAUCUUAGUGUAUAAGCUUCUUACAUUGGCUUUAGUGUUACCGGUUGCAACCGCUUCGGUGGAGAGAGCUUUUUAUGCUAUGAAGAUUGUGAAAACACCAUUGCGUAACAAAAUGGGAGAUCAAUUGUUAAGUGAUAACAUGCUUGUUUACAUUGAGAGAGAUGUAUUUGCUUUUAUUGAUAAUGAGCCUAUUAUGCGACGUUUUCAUGAUAUGAAACCUCACCGGCAACAAUUGUAAUUGUAUUGAUAAAUUAUGGAAGACAUUACUAUAUAAAAGGAUUUGGUUGUUGCUAUUCUUUUGAACUUUGCAAUCUUUUAACUUCGCCCCUCCCCCCGUCAAUUCCUGGUUUCGCCACUGCAGGCCUAUGAAUUCACUCGCAACAAAAUUUGAAUUGAGAAAAAAAUUCAUCUUACACUAUUCUCCAAUGAAAUAAGAAAGGUCAAAAGGAGGGCAAAGUGAAUUUCUUUUAGCAAUAAUAACAGUUUUUUUUUUUUGAACAAACAAUAUAAUCCAUACUAAGGAGGUGAGGGAGGUGGGCUAAGCCUCACAAUGACUAACAAUAAUGUGGUUCAAAUUCUUCUUUGGUGAGAAUCGAACCUAAGAACUCUUACUUACAAGUGAAAAGGAAUACUACUAGACCGUAGUACUAAGUUGCCUAAUAAUAGUUCUUUUAAAAACUAUAUAUUUGAUUACAUGAACAAUAAAGUCAUUGUAUAAUUUAUAUUUAAAACUCAUAAAGAAAAUUAUUUAGGAAAUAAAAUUAUAUUUAAAGACAUUCAAGUUUUAUUAAUCAAUAUUGAAACAAUUGUGCAUAUUCCAUGAAAGCAUAUUGAUGAGAUUAUAAUAUAGUCUCCCACAUGAAAUUCUCAGAUCUAUUAAUUUCCGUGAACUUGUGAUACACAAUAAAUGUGUGAAUUCUCCAAUGGACUUCUGAUAAUUGUAAAUGAAAUCCAUUCUUAAGUUUAAACUGGAAAUGACGAAGCAACCAAGAAGAACAAAGUAGACCCAGGAGGAGCCAAUAACACACCAACACAAAACUAAAAUACUCACUAGAGAUACUCACAAAUAACCUCAAGAAAAUAGUAAGGCUAGGAGAACGGAGAUGGGCAGCCAUUGGCCACAAGCUAAAGAAAGGGGUCAGGAGCUGUGAAUUUUAUAAAUAUAAGAUUUUAGUAGAGGAAAGGAGAGAGACGCUAGCAGUAGUUUCUUAUAUAUUAGCAUUCCAAGAAUCCAUCCUUUUGACUUUUAUUAAUGUAUUUCUAGUACAAUUUUAAUAAGAGUAUUAUCGGAAAGUAAAUAUGUAUUUUACACUAAUAAGAAAGAUGUAAAUUUGGGAGCUCAUUUAUUUAUGGUCUCUUUUAACCAAUGAAAAUGGAUAUACAUAUUUUUUUAGUCCACCUCUUAAAAAUGUAAAUAUACAUUUUAUUCACAUGUUUACACUAAUCCUUUGAGAGCUUUCCAACCAAAAAAAAUUAAAUUGUAGUACACCACAUGCUAUUAUAUAAUUGGAAAAAAAAAUUAAUUUUUCAAGUGUUAUUCUAUUUGUAUAAUGAUAUGUGUUAUAUUACUUUGUGUUUUGUGCACUGAAAAAUAUCUCGUAUCAGAUAUGCUAGUGGAGUACCAAUUUGGGGUUGUUGAAAUUAAUUUUUUUUUGUCAAAGGGUUGUUGAAAUUAUUUAAAAGAAUAAAUUGUAGCAAUGGUACCUCAAUUUUAAUGAAAUUAGAGCAAUGAUUCUUCAACUAAAAACCUAUUAUCAUUCGUCCUUCAACUCAUCAAAACGUGUAGCUGUGAUCCUUUUCGUCAACUUGGUCAAAAUGAAUUAUGUUGGAAGGACCAUUGCUACAAUUAGAUUAAAGUUUAGGGACCAUUCUCCAAUUGGAUUAAAAUUGAGAGACCAUUUUUUCAGUUAAAUUAGAAUUGAAGAACCAUUGGUAAUAGAUUUUUAGUUGAGGGACUAUAGCUGCACGUUUUGAUGAGUUAAAAGACCAAUGCUAAUAGAUUUUUAGUUAGAGAUCAUUAUUUCAAUUGAGUUAAAGUUAAUUGACUAUUACUAUAAUUUACUAUAUUUAAAAAGCAACUUAUUAAAAAAUCUGGUGAAUGGUGAACAUUAAAGUUUAAUGAAAAUUUUAUGAGGAUAGCAGUACCCUGGGUUUUUAAUUAAAAUUACAGCCAGUAUCUUCGCUUCUCCUUUCCCCUUUCUCCAUGUCGUCCUUCAAAUCGAAGGUUGGCGACCUUCAAUUACCUGGAGAAAUCAACAAUAAGCCAUAAUUCCUUCAAUUAGAGGAUGCUCUGCUCGUCUUCUGCUGACUUUUCUUUAAAUUUUGAGCUUACAGUGCUCACAUGGGAACAUAGAGAGAGAGAGAGAGAGAUAAAGAGAGAGAGAGAGAGAGAGAGAUUGAAGUUUUUAUGGAAGGAAAGAAAUUUGAGCUUUGUGUAGGAUAGAGCAGGCGAGUGAGAUUGCAUGCGACGAAUCAGUUAGGUUUCUGACUUCAAAUGGCGCCGUUUGUGGUCUGAUCCGUCCGAGUUAUGGAGAUCGGACAUUGGAGCUCCUAACUAGCAAUAAUUUGGAGCUGCAGAUUCGGUGAGAAAUUCAAAAUAUUUGGAAUGGCUAUGGGGAAACGGGAUGACACAGAGAGAUUGGGUGAUUAGGAUUGUGCCGUGGGCUGGGAGGUCGCGGCGGCGGCGGAAGGAACCCAGACAUAAAACCGUAUAAUUAUUAGAAAUAUUUAGAAAUUGAUGGGCUGGUAUUUGUUCAAUAAAUCUAUGGGCUGGAUAUAUGGGCUGGUGUUUGUUUAAUUAAUCCAUGGGCUGGUGUUCAAUAUGACUUGGAUUUAAGGUGAAAUUAUUAGAAAAUUUCUAUUAAACUAUUUGAUGGCACGUAAGUGCAGAAGCUGAAGAUAAACAUUGAAGAAGAUAAACAUCGAAGGAAAAAUGGGGAAGAUAAGAUUAUUAAAGAAAAAGGUUAGAUAAAUUAUCAUCCAACCUUAUGAUAUUUUCAGUCAUCUCUAUAUGGGCUUGUUUGACGGCCUGAAAGAUUUUGGACCUUAGAGAGAAAAUUAUAUUAAUAGGGAUUUGAAAGGUAAAACUUGUAACCUAUGUAUAAAGAUAAAUUAGAUAACAUAUUUUAUUGUGAAUUCAUAAUUCAUCAUUGUAGAUGUAAAUUUCUUUCUCCUUGUUCUUGGACAAAAUUGCACCUACAAAAUAAAUAACAACUUAGAUCAAGACCAAGAGCCUCACGCGCCCACGAUGAAUUAGGGGGGCUUUGGUCGAAAAACCUCUGAUGUCAAAAUUAGAAUUUUUAGAGAAAAUUGUUUGAAGAAUUUUGAGUGUUUAGCAAGAGUGAAACUUAGGUUUUUAAAGAAAAUAAGGAAGAAUAUAUAAGGCAUGGCCGGCCCCCUUGGGAGAGAAGAUGACCGGCCUCUUGUGUGUUUUUUUGGUGUAAUUGGUAGUUUAAUUAGCCAUUAAUAAAUUAAUUAGGUAAUAAAUCCAUUAAUUAGUUAAUUAACAUAAUUUAAAAGGAAUGUUUUAGGGGUUACCUCGUGGAGAAGAUAUGAUAAGGGACGGAUGAAAUAAGUUAUAAAUAAAUACCUAUUUGUGCACUUUUGACUUGAUUGUGAGAUGAUUGUCCACUGCUCGUGUGUAGUAAUUCCAGUGUGCCUCAAGGAUAAUUUUGUCAUUUUAACCCAACAAUCCACGUGUCGCCUCUUGAUUAUUUUUAGCUCCACAAUCAUGUCAUGUCCACUUUACUUUUUAACACAACAAACAACGAAUUAGAUUAAGGUCUAUUUUAACUAUUACAUGCUAACACAUAUUGUGCGAAAAAUUUCUUUUUAUUUUGUUUUGUAUUAUAAAGUGUUGAUUAUUUUAAAAAUUCUCGAAAAAGCUUACAUGAGGUGCUCAGAUCAGAGUCGAUCGUUUUCAAGUCGUAACCCUUUUCGGAGCUGUGGGGAAGAUGGUGGCUUGGUAGUUGGGUUGGGUGAUAUCCGCCUCUUAUGAAGCUUUUUCUAUUUUUUUUAUUUUUUAUUGUUAAUUUUCUUUUUAUUUGUUUGUUAUUAAAUUUUGUGGGAUUCACAUGUGUGUCACGUUAACAUUCUAACAGAAGUUUUGACGAAAAUAUAAUGGCAAAUUGAUUUGUAGCAUCCAAUUCAAAGGCUACACUGAUCGAUUUCAAUUUCAAAUGUCACCUUAAUUAGUGCGUCAAUUUCCGACUAUUUGCGUUGAAGACACAUUAUAGAAAAAUCUACUACACACACAACGUGUGGGGGGUGUUGAUUUGAACGCCCGGUGAAGUCACGGUAAGACCAAAACAUGUAGCCAGAAAAUUCGGUGUCUCGCCUUCCCAACUCGUUCGACCUAUGUAUGUGUGCUGAAACAGAGUCGAAAACAAACAACGCACGACAUUCUCAGUUUCUCAUCAAACUAAAUUAUUUUACGUUCUCUCUGUAAACCGUUGGAAUUUCUGUUCUUCUUUCGUCACCCAAGAACAGAUUACGUAAUUGAAUCAAGUUUUGAGUCUCAUUGUUUCCGUAAAUUAUGUCUCUGGUUUCGGUCAGAAUGGGUGCUCUGAGAACGUCAUUUCAAAUGCUGUUUGAUGCGGUAAAAUCAGCGCAGGAGGAGAAUACAAUGUUCCAACACCUCCUCGGAGACAUCAAAUCCACACUGGAAUCUCUACAACCACUCAUCAAAGACAUCGAAAAGUAUAACUCCAAGGAGGGGCGGGAAAAUUAUGCAAUACAGAUGGAGGAAGGAGCAAAGCUUGUUCAAAAGUGCAGCAAAGUUGGCGUGUGGAGAAAACACACAUACACCAAGAAGCUUAAUCAACUGGACAAAUCUCUUCGAAGAGUGUUUGAUGUGCUUAAACUGCAGGUUAUGAGGGUGCGAGGGAGACGUUGGUUCCUUUGAGGAAUAUCGAGACGGUGCUCUCUCGAAUAGAAGAGAGAUUGAAGAUAAAAAAUAACCAGCCUGAAAUGGUUAAAUGUUCGUCUGCGGUGCCUGAAGCGCCAUCAGUUACAGUCGGGUUGGAUUUGCCGUUGAAGGAGUUGAAGGUGAAGCUCCUUAAGGAUGAAAAGGUGUCUAUGCUUGUGCUGACCGCCGCUGGACGAUGCGGGAAAACCACCUUGGCUAAAAUGUUUUGUCAAGAUCAAGAAGUCAAAGGUAUGCUAUUUAUGAUUUCAACCAUACACAGUAACCAAAAUUUGUUAAAAGAAAAACAACGAAAGGGGACAUGAAACUAAAGCGCACGAAAGGAAUAUAAGAAAGAUUAGAAAGACCUAUAUUCUCUGUACUAAAGUUAAGCUGAUGCCUUCCUUUUAUUAACACCUUUCCUACAUUCUGUUUGAAUAGAUACAUUCAAGAACAACAUCUUCUUUGUCAAUGUCUCGAAAAAACCCAACUUGGACCUUAUUGUACACGAACUAUAUCAACGGAAGGGGUCCGAGCUGCCUGCUUUCGAAAACGAAGACAUGGCAGCUAACUGGUUGCAACAAUUUCUGAUGGAAUCAAGACAAAAUCCUCUACUGUUUGUCCUGGAUGAUGUUUGGUCAGGAUCAGAGUCCCUUCUUGAGAAGUUUGAUCAAUUCAAGUUUUCAAAUUACAAGAUUUUGGUCACAUCAAGAUUUGCAUUUCCAAGAUUCGGUUCUCCUUAUCAUUUGGCACCAUUGAAUGAUGAAGAUGCAAUGGCUCUUUUUCACUAUUCUGCAUCCUUGGAAGAUAAGAGCUCUUAUACUUACGAAGAUCUUUCGAGAAAGGUGAUUUCUUAGUCCACAAUACACACACACACACACACACACACACACACACACAUAUAUAUAUAUGCUUAUUUAUGCCUCAGAAGAAGGUAAAGAAUAACAUUUGAGCAUCCACACACGUUAAUGAACUGUGAAGAGUGAAGUAAGAAGAAUGAAAGACUAGACAGUUUACAAUUUUAUCAUCUAUACGAAACCAUAGUAAUUGAAUUCAUUUUGGAUAAUGAUAUUGCAGAUUAUCAAGCGCUGUAAGGGAUGCCCACUUGCCAUUGCAUUGGUUGGGAGAUCACUUCGCGGCCAGCCUAUAGAAAUCUGGCACAAAAGAGUAGUGGAAUGGUGCAAAAGUUCAUCUAUUCUUGAUUCUGACAAGGAUUUACUUGCUUGCCUCCAAAGCAGCUUAGAUGCCUUGGAUAAAGAGAAGGUUAUCAUCAAGGAAUGUUUCCUCGAUCUAGGUUCUUUUCCGGAGGACCAAAGAAUUGCUGCUGCCGCUCUCAUUGAUAUGUGGGCGCAGUUAUAUGGUCUAGAUGAAGAAAUUCUGACCAUUGCCAACCUUCACGAGCUCACCGCUCGAAGUUUAGCUAAUCUUGUUGUCACAAGGUAUGCAGGCUGCUCAUAAUUUUUUCUAUUUAAUUAUGUAUGCCGAACAAAUCAUUAAAGAAAGUAGUAUUGAUCAUCCAGACAUGAGGGGGAGACAGAUGGCUAUUACACUGAACACUUUGUCACCCAGCACGACAUGCUUAAGAGAGUUGGCGAUCCAUCCGGCGAGUCAAGACCCAGCACGACAUCACUUGAUUUAGUUGAGUAUUGAAGAAGUUACGGACGUUUAAAGUUUACCCAGUUUCCGGCGAGUUUUCUAGUUUUCCCUUGGACCAGUCAACUUUGAGGCUGUUGUCUGACCAUCUCUGGCAACCAUUGGGCUUCUAAAUAGGUAUAAUCUUAUUCUACACUUUCCUAUCUUCAUUUUGAUAUUAUGGAUCGAAUUUGAUUAAGAAACAAUUGAGUUACGAGGCUUUGAAAAUUGCCCAAACUUCCGGCCAAGAGCUCCGGGACACUGAACGGAGUUUUUAACAGAUUGACCACUAUGAUGGAUAGUGAACAAUCUCAGGGACCACUUCUAUUGAUUUGAAAUCUCAGGUACCCAAAUGAGGAGUUAUGCAAAUCUCAGGGACCAUUUUGGCUAAAAAGCCUAUUGUAAAUAACAUGUUUGCACUCCUCAUUGUUCAACUCUUCAUUGAUUCUCUUUGAUUUAUCCAAUCAAUGGGUGUUUGUGCAAUGUAUGCAGAAAAUAAGGGCAUGGAAAGAAAAUAAGAGUUAAAAAAUAACUUCCCUUUGAUUUAUCCAAUCAAUGAGUGUUGGUGCAAUGUAUUAACUCUAUUGGUUGUUUCUCCACUCUUUCUCUUGCUGAACCUCUUCAUUCCCUUUCAGUUAAAUAGGCCAUUAAAUUAAUGUUUUAUUUUAAGGGUAAUGCUAAAGACAUUAAAUUUGUAGACAAAAUUUUGCAAACUAAGUGACAUAGAAGUUGAUGAUUAGAUUAUGGCUUAAGUGUAGAUAAACGUGCUUAAUCAUAUUGGUAACAUAUCAUUUAGUUUACAAAUUUUGUCUCUAUAACAUUACUCGUAUUUAAAACUAUUUAUUCAAGAGCACAACAUUUUUUUUACUAUUUUAUUUUAAACUAUUUAUGCUACAGCACAACAUUUUAAAAGCAGUGCAAUACCAAAUCAUAUGUACUAGAAAAUUAUGUAUCUCCUCGCCUCCUAAGAGCAAGUCCACCCCUGUGGACUUUGCGCCAGCACCCAGCGCAUUUAUCCACUCAAAUGAACAGUAACAGACUCCAAUGAACAGUAAUAGGCCAAGGCAUCUCCACCCCUAAAACUAAAUAGCCUAGUCAAUUUUAUUAAAAUAUUAUUAAUUUUUAUUAUAAAAUAAUAAUUUUUAUUAAAGUACUCUUUGGACUCCAUUCUUCUUUUUCUUCCGUGAUUUUCCAACUGUGCUGUCAAGCACAGUUUCACCACUUUUUCUUCCCUUCUUCUUUUUCUUCUCUUCAAACCACCAAAACCCAUGUGAGAUUAGCCAAGUUCAGCCCUACCCCACGAGCUGCAACCACCAAACGAACCCGACGACCCACAAUCCCACCCAACCUUCCUCCCCGAUCCCCUCACCCACUGGUGCGCCAACCAAAACUGCAAACCCUUCGCCGUCGAUCCUCUCGAUCCCCGGAGCUCAUCCGAUUACGACUGGUUCUCCGACGCCGCCUCCGAUUCAGACCAUGACGUCAGCUACUUCGUCACCGAUCUAUUCAAUCGCUGCAGCUCCGAGCAACAGCCCAAGACCGAGAGGGAGAGUUUUGGAUAUGGAAGCUCGAGUUGGGGUGGUGGUGGAAGGAAAGCAGAGAGCUUCGAAUUCAGCUCAAGGAGAUAUGGCGGUAUCACCUGGCAUCAUGUAGGCCGGGCAAGAGCUCAGCACAUUCUGAGCCGGCCUAGAGACCAGCUUGGGCUGGGUGCCAGCCUAUCUGCUCGGCUGGAAUGGAUUGGCUGGGUGUCGGGCCAAUAAUUUGGCUGGGUGCUGGCCUAAAGGUUCCCCGGUGGAACUGCUCUAAUAACGCGUCAAAUGUCUUUCCCAGCUCGUUCGUUUUCUUUGGGUGAAAUUCAUUGCUCGUUCGUUAAGUUGUAUAUAUGUGUGCUAAAACCAACAAAUAGCUUACAUAUCAUUCUCACUUUCUCAUCAAACUAGAUUAACGAAGAGGAUUAAGGGCCAGUUUAGGAUUGCUGUAUUAAAAAAAACUAAUUAUGUUAUGCUUUAAGAAUAAUCAGCUGUAAAAUAAAGCUGAUGACCGUUUGGUUAAUUGAAUUUUAAAAGUGUUGUGAAUAUGAAAAGCAACAUAAAAGCGUUUGGUAAAAUUUAAUGUAAAAGUGAUAUGAUUGUAUACAAUGAUAGAUGGACAUAGUAGUAGGAGUGGGGGCAACGACAACAGUGGUGGUGGUGGUGGUGGAGGUGGUGGUUGCGGUAGAGGUGGUGGUGGUGGUGGUGGUGGUGCUAAUAGUGGGAUGUGUUGGUUGAGGUGGAAAGGUAACACUAGUGGCAAGGCGUGGUGGUGCUAAUAAUGGGAUGUGUUGGUUGAGGUGGAAAGGUAACAUUGGUGGUAAGGUGGUGGCAGUGGUGGCGAUUGCGGUUAUGGUGGUGUCGGCAGUGGCGGCAAUGAUGGUGGCAAUGACAGUUGUGGUUGUGAUGGCAAUGGUGGCAGUUGCAGUAAUGGUGGUGGUGAUGGUGUUUGCGAUAGCAGCAUCGAUGGUGGUAGUAGUGGUGGUGGCAAUGGCGGCGGUGCGAUAAUGGUAGUGAUGGUGGUGACAAUGAUGGUAGUGAUGAUAGUGGUGGAGGUUGUGGUCAUGGCAGUGGUGGUGACAAAAUUGGUGGUUGUAAUGGCGAUGAUGGCGUAAAGUUAGUAUUUGUAGUGGUAGGUGGUAGCGUUCACUUUAUUCUCUAAGGAAUAAAAUGUGUGUGGAAGGCUAAACAAUGUCAUUUAAAAAAAAUUAAUGAAUGUAUUACAGCAAUUAAAAAUAAUUAUUAUAGACCCAACUUUGCUUUUUAUUAAAGCAACUUACAUGCUGCUUUUAAAAACUGAUGUAUGAAGCCCAUUGUUUGGAGUCUCUUUGUUUUGGUAAAUAUGUCUCUUGCUUCAGUCGGAAUGGGUGCUCUCAGAAUGGCAUUUGAAAUGUUGUUUGAUGCUGUAAAAUUAGCGCAUGAGGAGAAUAAAAUGUUCCAACACCUCUCCCGAGACAUCAUGUCCACACUCGACUCUGUACAACCACUCAUCAAAGACUUCGAGAAAAGUAUAACUCGAGGAGGGAGCAAGCUUUCAACAGUUGUUACUUAAUCUCAGUGGCAUUCCUGAAUCUAGAAGAAAUGUACAUCGACUAUUGCAGUGAUUUAAUAGAGUUGCCUGCCGAGAUUUGUGAACUUAGUAAACUAAAGAAGUUCAGUGUCACUGUCAUAAGCUGUCUGCCAUACUUGAAGGGAUUGGAAAGUCGAAAAAUUUAGAAAUGUUGAGGCUAAGAUCCUGCACAGAACUGUCAAAGCUUCCAACCACGAUGAAGAACCUUGGAAAGGUAAAAUUUCUUGACAUAUCUGUAUGCUUUAGCAUCAAGAUGUUGCCCAAAGACUUAGGUGAAAUGAGUAGUUUAAAGAAGAUCAACAUGAGACAAUGCUCAAGGUUGCAAGAGCUGCCUCCAUCAGUCAUGGAUCUUAAGCAGUUAAAGGAAGUAGUCUGUGAUGAAGAGACAAAAUACUUAUGGGAAUAUUUCUCAUUGUGUCUCAAUAACGUAAGGAUAAUUGUGGCCAGAGAGAAUAUCAACCUAAAUUGGAUCCACAAGACUCAGUUCUGAUACCUGUGUUUCCUCAGAGAACGUUGCUAUUCAACCUCUCUUGACUUGUGUUUCAUUGUCUUCCUAUUUUAGGCUAUUUCCCAUCUCCUUUUCAGUUUACGCCCUUCAUUUCGUAAAUGUGGGAUAUUGCAAGUUAUAAUCAUUUGUCGUUAAAUUAGAACUAUUUUGACAACCUUAAGAAAUUUUCUAAACUUGUGAAAUGUGAAGAGAAAUUUAAUAUCUAAGCAAUAAGUUUAAUGUGAAAAUUGUUUUAUCAGAUGGAAAAUGUGGUUUGUGCUUUUAAUGGGACUUUUUAAACUCUACUCUAACAUAGUUUCACAAUCAAUCCCUAUACACAGUUUCUUAACCUUUUGGUUUGAAAAUCUGUAUGUAUAAUAAUUCAACACCACCAUCUGAUUCAUGCUCUCCAAAAUAAAUUUUAUAAGUAAAAGGAACCAAAAAGAGAAGGUUGAAGAUUCUCCAUAAGACAAGAACUUUUAUGCCACGGGGUCAAGUGUUAAUCUUGUCCUCGAUAAGUUUUUCUAGUAUCUAAACUCACAUUUGUUGGUCAAGUUUCCAGAACUGUGUUCAUAUAUAAUCUGGAUUCAUUACCAAAUCUAGAGGAAUUGAUUGUUAUUGACUAUUGCGAUGAAUUGGUCUCAAACUAUGUUUUCCAACCAACACAGAUUGAUCAGCCUUUUUUUUUUUUUAAAUAAAAAACUGUUUGAUUAGCUUAAACUUAUUUUUCUUGUUCAAACUUUUAAUAGUUAAACUAAUAAAGAAUGGACCAUAUUUUCUUUCUUUUAAAAGUUGUUCACAUAGAAGUGGUCAUUGACAAAGUAGAUAAUGAAUAAACAUUGUAAUUUGGAUGAAAUUACACAAAUUCAAUACUUUAAUUAGAUUUAUAUACUUUAAAUGAAAAUAAAUAAAUUUAAUAUUCUUAGAGAAGGGCACAAUAGAAAUUUCACAACUAAGAAUCGAUUAUAGCAUGCCAAUACUUAAAUAGCCGACUUGGCUUUGUAAUGGGAAGGGUACAAAGAAAUUUCACAACUAAAAAUUAAUUAGAUCAUGACAAUUAGGUAGAUGAGGGGUUCUUUUCUCCAAAUGAACUCUUGAAGUAUUUUUAUAGAAAACUUAUAGUUUUGAAACAAAUAAUUGUACAUUAGAAAAAGAUAGCUCAUAGUUUCACUGAAAAAGAGAGUUGAUUUUUAUUAAUUAGCAUUGAAGAUUUUGCCUAUUAAAAAGAUGUGGGUCUCAUCUUUUUAAUAGAGGUAUGACCCAUCAAUACAUAUUAAUCUCAUCUUUAAUAACAUUUUUUUUGCAAAAAUUAUUAGGCACUGCUUCCUAAUAAAGUAAACAAGGUCAAAGGAGGACAAAGUGGUUUUCUUUUAGCACUAAUACUCUUUUCGAAACUAUAGAUUUGAUUGUAUGAACAAUAAAGUCAUUGUACAAUUUAAAUUUAAAACUCAUAAAGAAAAUUAUACAAGGCAUAAAAAGUUUAUUAAUCAACAUUGAAACUUUUGUGCAUAUUCUAUGAAAACAUAAGGAAACUUUACUAUGGUCUCCUCACAAGAAAUUCUCAACUCUUUCAUUUUUCGUGAAUUUCUGACACACGCUAAAGGGGAUGAAUUCUUCAAUGAAAUUUUGAUACGCAUAAAAAUGAGACCUAUUCGUAAGUUUAUUGAAAAUAAUGAAGCGCAUAUGAGUACUCCAGCCCAUAAUACAAUUUCCUUGUGUUUUCAUAGCAUAUGCACACAAAAUAUAAUGUUGAAAAAUAAGUUUUAUUUUUUAUGUAUAUAAGUAUAAUAUUUUCUCAUCUUCUAGUACAAGUUUUGUGCAUAUUCUACAAACCCAAAAAAUAAAUUAAAAAUCAACAUCUUAGCAAUAUUUUCUCAAAAAAAUUAAAUAAAAUAAAUUUCACGGUAAACAAAUAUACUUUUCCACACUAAAUUUUGCAAAUAUUCUAUGAAAAUAUAAGGAAAUUACACUAUGGUCUCAUCUAAAAAAAUUCCAAGAAAUUCCUAGCUCUAUCAUUUUUCGUUAACCUAUAAUUCAUGCAAACGAGAUCAAAUUAUCAAAGGACGUAUGAUACACGUAAAUGAGGUCAAUUUAUAAGUGCAUUGAACAUGGCAUAUCAUGUGAAUGGGAAUAAAGAAGCAUAUAAGUUUCUUAUGUUUUCAUGGCAUGUGCACAAAAAGUUUUAUUGGUGUUGAAAAUUUUAUAAUGUAUAUAAGCAUAUUUUCUCAUCUUGUUGUAUGCUAAAAGGAGCAGAUAGCGGCAUCUUCAUAAUAAAUUCUCUAACUAACUUACACCAAGCUUAUGAAUUCACUCGCAAAAAAAAAAUUUGAACUGAAAAAAAAAAAAUCUUACACUAUUCUCUAAUGAAAUAAGAAAGGUCAAAAUGAGGGCAAAGUGACUUUCUUUUAGCACUAAUAAUAUUUUUUUUUUUUUUGAAUAAACGAUAUUAUCUACCCUAAGAGGGUGGGGGAGUAGGCUAAGCCUCACAAUAGCUGGCAGUAAUGUGGUUCAAUGUGGUUCAAAUUUGUCUUUUGUGGAAAUCGAACCUAAGACCUCUCACUUACAAGUGAAGAGAAACAUCACUCAACCGUAGUACUAAGUGGCCUAAUAUGUCACACCCCGACCCGGAAUGUCCAGUAGGACUCCGAAUCGAGCUGUGCUGACCGACACCUGGAAGGUGACGAAGUCAUAAAAUGUGAUGAUGUGGAAAAAAAAUGAAUAAAUUUAAACCUAAAAGUGCAUAAAUACAACAGUGCGCCGCGAACGGAAAUGAACCCAUUUCACACGUGACGUCAAAGCAUAAAUAAAGUACAAUAGAGUGGAUUGAAAAUCAUACCAUCAAAGGUAAUCUCCAAUACCAAGACUUGCCAUGAAUCCUCGUCGAUAUGAAAGCUUUGCUACUAGACUUGGAGGGACAAAACAAGAGUAAGUGGCCAGAACAUAAAGCUUUAAUAAAGACCUUCUAAACGAUAUAAUCCCUCACCGUAACACCUGUUUAGCUUCCAAAAAAUCAUACUACGGAUAAGUAUGAAAUCAAAAGUAUACUAACAUUAAAUCCAGAAGUAUACCACGACACAGCAUCUCAAUAACAAUAUAAAUAAUCAAGUGCUUAAUAACCCAUACUAGCACGCCAACCAUAUCUCAUCAAUCAAUACUAACACAUAAGUCGGAGUCACCUGUAGUGACCUGUACAACUUAUCCACAUCUCAUUAAUCAAUGCUAGCUCAUAAGUCGAAGUCACCUAUAGUGACCUAUACGACUUAUCCAUAUCUCAUCAAUCAAUGCUAGCUCAUAAGUCGGAGUCACCUAUAGUGACCUGUACGAGUUAUCCAUACCUCAUCAAUCAAUGCUAGCUCAUAAGUCGGAGUGACAUAUAGUGACUUGUACAACUUAUCCAUAUCUCAUCAAUCAAUGCCAGCUCAUAAGUCGAAGUCGCUUAAAACAUCAUAUAGUCAUGCCAUCACUCGAUCGUUCCAAAUAAAAUGUAAUCAUAAUUAUGCAUCCCACAUUUCACAACAUAUACUCACCUGAACUUAUCUAUGCAUCCUGCACUCACCUUCGUACUUUAAAGCAUUCAUAAUAAUUAUGUGCAAUAUAUACUUAUGGACAUGCCUUGAUGCAAUUCAAAACUUAACCAUAUCAUAGUGCUUCCAAAUAUAUAUAUAUAUAUAUAUAUAUAUAUAUAUAUAUAUAUAUAUAUAUAUAUAUAUAUAUAUAUAUAUCAAUACUGUGGCGUAAAAUGCACAAUCUAUAACGCCCUACUCCCGAACUAUUAAUUUUUAGGAAUAAUUAUUGGUGACAAGCUCAACUAAACAUUAGUUUAACUAACUAUCAAUACUUACAAUUCUUUACUUCAAAUUCUCGAUCCUUCACACAAUGAUUUAUGACCAACAUCCAAUCACUAAAUCAUAAGGUUAACUCUCACAUUUUCCACCAAUGUCCCUCACCUUGCACAAUUUCCCAAACAAGGCUAUUGCCUCAAUUAUUUAAUCUCAUUUAUGUUAUGGCUACAUCUAACGUCUCGUUAGACUGCCUACGUACCCUAAACAGAAAUCAAGCCAUUCGUAGUUCGCAUUAGUACUUCACAGCAUUCACAGUAAUUAUAUGAAAUAAUCAAUUUAUAAGCAUUUGUGGAAUUAUCAAUAUAUAUAUAUAUAUACACACACGAUAGAAAGGAAGAGACCCACUCACCUGAGGUCCGCGCUAUGACUCCCUAGCAUGAAUAUUGCGACAUCACGAACCAUCAUCGCCUAUAACAAUUAUCAAAUCACGUCUCAAAGUUCUUAUCAAUAAAAUAUGCAACUUACAUAACAUACAUCCCUGCGUAGUUCGAUUCGGAAGAUCCGCAUCACGGAUUUCCGAUCCCUUACUUCCAAAGAUCCACAUUAUACUUCUAGAACAACAUCCUAAAGUUCCAUUACGAUCCAACAGUCGGAUUUCCACCAAUUGCCAAAACCAAGUGGCGGUUAAUAUUUUAUUUUAUGAACUUAAAAAUCCAAUUCGGGAAGAUCCGUAUAUUGGAUUCCCGAUCCGUAAGUUCCUAUGGCCCUUAAAUAUCACGUACUAUAACAUAUUAAAGUUUGGGGACAAUCCAAUAGUCGGAUUGUCGAUUCAAAUAAUGACCUAUUAACGUAACAUAGAGAAUUUAGGUUCCAACAAUCAACCUACAUCAUACAAUUACCAAAACUGAGCUCAAGGUAUCUAAUUUAGCCUAAGAAUAACAUCGACUGCCCCCUGGCCACGCGACACCGCACGCACCGCCGUGGGUGGCAGUCGACCGCCCCGACUCGCCGGAAAAUCCAACUAUUUCCAAAAAUUACCAAAAUUUACAAGAAUGAAGAUCUCAAUGAGUAGAGUAAACUUUAUACAUGUGGCCAAUUCCAAUUUGGCCGGGAAAAGCUUCAAUUUCACUCAAACCUGCCGAAACCUAGAAAAUGGUGUGCUCCAAUUCGACCUCCAUACUCAUUCUGACGCCUCGACCAUUGCUUGGGCUUUAUGGUAAUUGGUUGGGUUAGCUUCAAUUUUUUACUGAUUGUCUCCAUACACCCACAGGGCCCACCGUCGGUUUUUCCUCCAAAAUACCACCAAAUUCUUCUAAUUUUGGGAUGAAAAUGGAAGAGAGAGAGUUAUGGUGGUAUUUCCAAGUAGUGAUUCAACACAAUUCACCGGAAAUUGGCCGGAAAAUGCACGAAUUUGGCCUUGAUACUCGGCCGGGUCGCACGGGUCAAGAAGGAGACCCGAUUUCCCCCUCUUUCUCACCUUCCUUCCUUUCCCUCCUUUCCUUUCUCUCUGGUUGGUCAGUCUCAUCUCUUCAUUUCCUCCGAUUGAGCAGCAGCCCUUCUGUCUUCUCUCUCCCGUUCCCCCCACUUCUUCUUUCUCUUUUUCAACUUUUAAAAAUCACUAAAUGAUAAAUAAAAUAUAGACAUUAUAAAAAUAUAUAAAUAGUGACUAAACAAAAGUACUUCUCGGGUUUACAGUUCUGUAAAACUUUAACCGUAACCCUAAAUCCUUUUCUGCUUACACCUAUGAGUCCGUAAUGUUGAGUACUUCAGGAAAACGCUAAAGGAUUAAUUCAUACACCUCGAUAUACGUUGGUCAACGGAAGUCAAGACCCUCGCCUCUAAGGGCAUUUUCGUAAAAACACACUUUUAAAUUUUGUAAAAACAUAAGAUUAGGGACGGGUCGUCACAUAAUAAUAGUUCUUUGAAAAACUAUAUAUUUGAUUGUAUAAACAAUAAAGUCAUUGUUUAAUUCAUAUUUAAAUUAAAACUCAUAAAGAAAAUUAUAAUUGUCACGCCCCAAUCCCGACAUACGUCCAAGAUCGACAUGUGAUGUUAGCUCAUCCCUGUUUAUUUAUCAUGUCUCGUCUCUGAGACAAUUCCAAAACGCAAUCAAUGAUUCAACCAAGCAGUGACUUUCCUUUAUUUCAUGGCUGAAUCUAACCUUUGCGUUAGACCCCAUACGUACCCUAAAUAGGGAUCAAGCCAUUCGUAGUUCACCAUUUACUACACUCUGACGUUUAUCAUAGUACAUUCUAACAGAAGGGCAUAUCAUCCCUCAAUCAAUUAUUAGAACUGGAAAAGCAUGAAAUUACUAGAUUCAGGGCUACAUAAUAAACCCACAUGACAAUCAAGAUUUCCACUUCAUCCAUCAUAUAAAUCACUAUGUUUCAACAUAAUACUGCAAUUCAUAGCAUGCAACAUCUAAAAGAACAAUCAACGAAGCGCAAUAUUAUUCUCUAGUCACAUUGGUCAAUGAGUCUAAUCGUAAUAAUAACAAUCAUAUCCAAUAUCGUUCCACAAUCACUCCAAUUAAUCAAUUCCAUGAAUCAAAGAAGAACGAUAUUAACAUUUAACUACGUUCAUCAAUCAAUAAGAUAACAUAUUAAUUCACAAAAUUUAAUAAAGGAAUCCUAUAUAAUUUCCUACUUGGAUUCCAAGUAAUAACAUGAUAAAUCUAAUUUAUAAACACAAUGUCUACUGUGAGCAAUUCCUAUUCACUCGAAUCUAGGGGCCGGACUAACUUUAUGGAAAUGAUAAAGAAUAAGGAUUCCGGACACUCACCGGAAUCCAACUAAAUUAUGGUUGCCUAUCAAACUAUACUAACCCUCAUCACCCCUGGAAUGCGUAUGGUCCCCAAUUGUGGAUAUACCAAGCAGAACCAUAGGCAUAAUCUAAGCGUGCAGGCAGUGAUCACCCAUCAUGGAUAUACCAAGUAUGAUCACCCUUGAAAUACGUAUGGUCCCCCAUCGCGGAUAUAACAAGCAGGACCGUAUCCUAUAGCUCUAGGUAGUGAGCACCCAUCGAGGAUAUACCAAGCAUGGUCACUCCUAGAAUGCGUGUAUGGUCCCCCCAUUGUGGAUAAACCAAGCAGAACCAUAUGCAUAGUCUAAUAAUGUAGGCAAUGAUCACCCAUCGCGGAUAUACCAAUCAUGAUCACUCCUAAAAUGUGUAUGGUCCCCCAUUGCGGAUAAACCAAGCAGAACCAUAAGUAUAGUCUAAUCGUGCAAGCGGUGAUCACCCAUCGCAGAUAUACCAAGCAUGAUCACCCUUGAAAUACGUAUGGUCCCCUAUCGUGGAUAUACCAAGCAGGACCAUCCUAACCACUGCUACAUGGUGCAGUCACAUCAAUACACAACAAGCACCAAAUUAAUAUGAAUCAUAAUUCCUAGCAUACACACCAUCAAUUCGACAAGACAACGAUCAUUGAAUCACAUCAUACACAUUCUAUAACAUGUGUCUAUGCCGAAAUAUAUAAAAUUAACUUUUUUUUACCAAAAUAAUUGUACAUACAUGAUUGUACCACAAUAUAUUAUAAUGAACCUAAAUGUAUGUACCAAAAUGUAUUCUAUAGAAUUAAUGUACCUAAAUGUUAGUACCAAAAUGUAUUCUAUAGAAUUAAUGUACCUAAAUGUUAUGUACCGAAAUAUAGUAUAUUAAAUUAAUGUACCUAAAAGUCAAUACUCAAAUGUGUGUACCAAAACGUACGUACCGAAAUGCAUUAUAUUGAAUUAAUGUACCUAUAUGUUUGUAUCGAUGAAUAUACCUAAAUAUUCAAAUGUAUUAAUGUACCUAAAUGAAGAACAUACAAAAUUGUUAUCAGAAUAUAUAUUAUAAAAAAAUUAGUUGCUUAAAUGUAGACAUUAAAAUAUAUUAUGAUGAAUGAAAUAAAAAUUAAAUUUAAAUGUAAUUAAUACAUUAAAAUAAAAAUAAAAAGAUAAAUAAAACAUCAAAAUAUAACUAAUAAAUGAGAUUAUUAAAUGUACUAGGCAUUAGAGCAUCUCCAAAGGAGAUGUCUAAAUUGCCAUGUAGGCAUACAACAAUAAAAAAUGGUAGCAAACUCUCUCCAAUCGAGCCUUCAAUUUCUUACAUGGCGCUGAGUCAUUUGAAGGCAAAGCAUUUUGCUGUUAUGUUUUUGAAAUAUUUGAUUGGUUGCCUUAAUAAUUGGACUCCACAAAAAGAUAAAAAAUUUAUUAAAUGACAUUAUUAUUUACUAUAUCGGAUGGAGCAAAAUAUUGUACAAAAUGUCAAAACUGCCACAUAAGCUAUCAACUAUCAUUUUUUAUGUUUAAAAUUUGACAUCUCCUUUGGAGAUGCUUUUACAAAGCAAAUCACAUCCAAAAACAUUGAAAGGAAGAAAUCAUUAAAGUAAAUAAGCAAAUGUGCAUCCACAACCCAAUUAAAAAAAAAUAAAGGAAACCACUUACAUAGAAAGGAAUCUCAUGAGAAGAGAAUUAAACUUCUCCCUUGGCUUAAAGUCAGAUUUCGAUGAAUUGGUCGGAAUUUUUUGUUUCUCCGUCGGGUGCUUCUUUUCUUGCCCUUGUUCUGCCCUGCGUGGUCAUUUCGAAGGAAAAUCGGGGUGGUAAAUGUGUUAGGGUUAUUGAUGCUUAGAUUGAUAUAAGAUUUGUCGAAAACGAUAACCGAAUGAAAAAGAUGUGAAGAUUUGAAGUUAGAGGAGCCAAAUGGAGAAGAGAAAAAAAAAUCAAGAACAGCAGCAGAGCUGCUAGUUUCACACGCAGUUCGAAUUUACCAAAAUCCCCUUUUAUUUAGAAAAUUCGUAAAUUUCUCGUUCGAAUUUCAAACUCCAAUUUGUUUGCGCUUACGUGUUCAUAGUAACAUGUACUAUCUAAUUAAAUAUCCGAAGAACAAUAGAAAAAUAUGAAAGGAUCAAAUACAUCCAUGUAAAAUCUCGUUUAGCACAAGAGGGGCAUCUUCAUCUUUUAACCAUUUCAAGAAAAAAUUAAACGCAGCAAAUAUAAACGCGUCGAAACUAAGAAUACAAAAUACCUAAUUUUAAAUCGUGAAAUCCGGAGAUGGGGGUUCACAAUAAUAUUUUAGGAAAUACAUUUAUGUGGAGCCAAAAAUAAUCACAAGGCGACACGUGGAUUUUUUAGUGAAAGAGGACCAAACUACCCUUGAGGCACACCGGGAUUCCUACAUGCGAGCAACUCAAAAAUGCUCCAAAGAGGUAACAAUUCAACAUUCAUCUCAUCAAAUUCCCUUUUUUGCAAAGUAACCUCCAAAAUAAUAUUAAUUGGUAAAUUAAUAGAUUAAUUAUCCAAUUAAUCCAUUAAUUACCUAUUAAAUUAUACAAUUUAACCUAAAAAUUGUUAAAGGGCUGGCUACUUCCUUUUCAUCCUCACCUUUCUCACUUUUCUCCAUUUUAUUAACCCAUUUAUACAAAUAAAUAAUUUUGUAACCUCCCGCCGAGCAGCCCAUUCUCGUGGCCCAGCCUGCUCCCGCCGAGCAGCCCAUUCUCGUGGCCUAGUCUGCUUCCACGGCCCAGCCUGCUUCUGCCGAGCAGUCCACUCUCGCGGCCCAGUCUGCUUCCGCCGAGUAGCCCACUCUCAUGGCCCAGUCUGCUCCCGCGGCCCAGCCUAUUCCUGCUGAGCAGCCCACUCUCGUGGCAUAGCCUGUUUCCGCCAAGCAGCCCACUCUCAUGGCUCAGUCUGCUUCCGCGGUCGAGCCUACUUCCGUAGCAUUCCAAGCAGCCCAAAUCGGCUCAAGACUAUUUCGACCAUUCGGACCAACCAUCAAGCCGAGGGCAUUUUCACCAUGUUUCUCUGUGGAUUUGACAUUUCCCAAUUUAAAUCUCGCGCCCGGAGCCUACCACACUUCCACUGCUCAAUGAGGCACAUUCCUUCCAAGCUCUUUCAAUCCAAAUGGCAAACAACACUUGUCUCGACAAGUUAUAGAGUUGAUGAGCGCCCUUGCACAACAAACGACCUUGGUGAAUCAACUUUUGCAGCUCACCGAGAUCCAACGUGCCCCGAACGAGGUGUCACGAAGUAGGAUAAGGGCAGACGAAUCUUUCCAGUAGCGUCAAAUGCAAGCAGCCACUCGAUCAGCCAUGAGCCGAGCGUUCAGGCAGUGUACAUUCCCGAUUAGGCCCCCAAGAUAGCGUAUACUCCCGUCUUAGCGCGCGGAUGAGUGUGCACUCUUGAUUGGGCCCGAAGACAAGUAUACACUUACGGUUGGAGUCACAUUCCGAUAAUCAACAUAAGAAGCCUUUCAGGCAAAGUGUUUAUUCGCGGCUGGGCCUGCAAGGAGUAUCCUCCACAUUACAUCAGAGCAGGCAGCACGACGGAUAGAGAGAAACAGUCACUCAAUCUGCCUCAAGUUCAACCGGCAGUCUGCGAAGGAGUAUCCUCCACAUUACAUCAAAGCAGGCAGCACGACGGAUAGAGAGAAACAGUCACUCAAUCCGCCUCAAGUUCAACCGGCAGUCUGCGAAUAAUUCCCUUGUUUGCCAAGAGUGGACCACAUGCACCCUGCCACGACGUAGACGAGCUGAGAACAUGGAAAAGUAGCCUAGACCAGUAGGUCAAGACCGGGGCAACCGAUAGCCCUGCCACCCCCAACAAAGGUAAAUUUAGGAAGAAGUAGAAAGGCUCAUGACCAAGCGAUUGCGUAAUUUCCCGCACAACGAAGUUAUUAAUAAGACACUCCGAUGAGACAUGACCAACAUAAGCGAGUCAUCUUUCAAUGACAAGAUCGAGCAGAAGGGAUUACCCCACAUAGAUUGUCGAAUAUAAAGAUAACUUCUGCUCUGACAAACAUAGCAGCUCAGCCUAAUGGCGCACCGGGGGCAAACGAGUACCAAAAGGACACAUUAACCCAACUACCAAGAACCGGGGGCAGGUUAAGGAUUAUUUCAGUUGUCUCAUCAGUCUAGCUUUCCUCAGCUGCACUCACAACAACGACUUCCAUGCUCUCCAGUGCGAUAGGGUAAACCAAUUCCCCGACACCCAAAAGGGUAUGUUCUCUAGUGCGAGAGGUUAAACUAAUAUGCUUUCCAGUGCGAGAGGGUAAACCAAUUCCCCAACACCAAAAAGGGUCUGCUCUCUAGUGCGAGAGGUUAAACUAAUUGCUCUCCAGUGCGAGAGGGUAAACCAAUUCCCCGACACCCAUAUGGGUAAGCUCUCGAGUGCGAGAGGAUAAACUAAUUACUCUCCAGUGCGAGAGGGUAAACUAAUUUCCCGACACCCACCUAGGUAAGCUCUCCAAUGCGAGAAGGCCACAUAGUUCAAAAGAUCAAAUGCUUGAAGAUCAACUAAGUAACAAAUGGUUAGGGGGUAGCAGCUACUUUUACACUUAACAGUUCGAUCAUCCGACACUUCGUCUUCGACAACUCCGAUCUUGGCAACUUCAUCCUUGACUACUCCAUCUACGACAUCUGAGAAAUCAAACUCAAGCAGUUUCCUCAUUUUUGGCAAACAGCCCAGACGUGGCAGCCCAAAUCGUUGUCCAUGCCACGCCAUUUCCUCGGCCUAUGCUGAGCCAAUCCUUGGCUUCAAUCAAGCCAAGUAACACAAACAAUGGCCUUUGCCACAUCACCUCCUUGGCCCAUGCCAAGUCGACUCCUGGCCCCUACCAACCGAUGUGCCGUACCACCCCGAUGGUUGCCCCGUGGCAGCACCUUUCAAGAAGAAGAUAAGGAGAAUUAAGUUUUUCUUACAUCGGUGCGGCGUGGAGAAGACGAAGAAAGCAACGAAAAACGGUCUUUUGCACGGGCAAGAUAUAGAAGAUUGGUAGAGGAGGGGGAACAAGUAUCAUCUAAGCUCUCUCUCUCUCUCUUGUAGGGUAGAAUAAAUCACUUUUCAAAGUUGAUUUAAUAACCCACUUAAGGUGGACUUAAAUAAGCUUUGGGAGAAAUUUAUUUUCCUUUCCUAGAAGGAUCUAAUUUCAUAUUAAAGAGGGAAUCUACAUCAAAAUAGGAAGCAGUUCUAAGUUUCCUAGAGCAAGAAGAUCUCUACACCUGCUGCCUUUUUCUACGAGUAGUCCAGCAGGUGUGGGGGCAUUUGUGGAGCCAAAAAUAAUCACAAGGCAACACGUGGAUUUUUUAGUAAAAGAGGACCAAACUAUCCUUGAGGCACACUGGGAUUCUUACAUGCGAGCAGCUCAAAAAUGCUCCAAAGAGGUAACAAUUCAACAUUCAUCUUAUCAAAUUCCCUUUUUUUGCAAAGUAACCUCCAAAAUAAUAUUAAUUGGUAAAUUAAUAGAUUAAUUACCCAAUUAAUCCAUUAAUUAACUAUUAAAUUAUACAAUUUAACCUAAAAAUUGUUAAAGGGCCGACCACUUCCUUUUCAUCCUCACCUUUCUCACUUUUCUCCAUUUUAUUACCCCAUUUAUACAAAUAAAUAAUUUUGUAACCUCCCAUUUACUUCUUUCAUACUUAAUUAGCCUAUAAAUUGGCUAAUUAAGCCAAAACCAUAACCACAAAAUCCCUUGAAAAACCGGCCAUCCUAGCCCUAUAAAUAGGCUCCUAUUUUCACCAAACACUCAUUCGAAUACUUUGGCAAAAAUCCCAAAAAACUCUCCAAAUACUUUUCUCUCUAAAUUCUAACUUUGGCAUUGGAGGUUCUUCGGCCAAAGCCCCCCCCAUUCAUCGUGGGCGCGUGAGGCUCUUGGCCUUGACCUAAGGUGUUAAUUGUUUUGUAGGUGCAAUUUUGUCCAAGAAGAAGAAGGUGGGAAUUUGCAUCCACAAUUUAUACUUACAAAGACAUACAAAUUUUACUAAUCAACAUUGAAACAAUUGUGCAUAUUCCAUGAAAGCGUAAUGAGAUUAUAAAAUAGUCCCCCACAUGAAAUUUUCAGAUCUACAAUUUUCGUAAACUUGUGAUACACGGUAAAUGUGUGAAUUCUUCAAUGAAUUGUCUGGAGCCUAAAAUAAUUCCAAAAAUUCUAGAGGCAACACGUGGACUUUUGUUCGAGAAAGACAAGAUUGCCCUCAAUAACUGGACAUGCUCCUCAGAUACUCCCAUGCGCAGCUUACACCCCUGAAGGUCUCAACAGUUAAAUACAGUCUACACAUAGCUCACCUGCCCUUAGCAAGGAAAAGUCAAAGCAUGAAAGAUAAGGAUUAAUUACCCAAAUCCUAUCUUUAAUACAUUCCCAAUUGAAGAUUAACUCCAAUCAAGUAAGUAAUCCCAAUUUAAAUCAAUUAGGGAUAAUUACUCCAUUAUCUCAAGAUAUUAUUUCCUAUUUAAUAUCUUGAGAAUAUUUCUCCAUAAACAUUGAUCAAUAGGAUGCCGCCAUGUGUAGGGUAAAACCCUAACACUAUGGCCAGCCCUCUCCCUUAUAUAUACCCCAUAUUCUACCAAAUUUCAAAAGCUUUUGCUACCCUAAAAAAGCCCUAAUCACUUUACUCUCUCAGAGAAACUGAUUUAGGCAUCGGAGAUCCAUUGGCCUAACGCCCUCCCCUCCACCUUGUGGGCGCGUGAGGCUUAGGUCUUUGAUCAAAGGUGUUGAUUGUUUUGUAGGUGCAUUUUCGUUAAGACUGAAGACAGUGGAAAUUUGCAUCGACAAAUUAGUGCUUUCAUUGAGAGCUGAUUCAAAUACUUGAAGAAGCCUUUUGCAUUUGGUUUCUAGAAUUUUCUGUUACGUUGAAUUUCUCACAUGUAUCAAUUAGUUUUUCCUAGAAAAGUUUCUUGAUCAAUCCCUAGAGAAAGGAUAUAAUGGUAGAAAAUUCAAAAACCACGACGAAAGGAGUGUAAGUACAAGGACUUGGACCGGAGAGUGGAGAUGAGGACAUGGCCACACGACGGCGAUCCUCAAGGCUCAAUGGGAUGGCAGGAGGAUCCCCACUGCCACGGAAUCGCACCACCACCGUUGCCGCGACCCAGUAGCCACGACAAGGCCACCAGGCCACGGCUCAGGCUCCUACAACGCUGCCCUUGCAGUGGCCCAAUCCCCAAAACCCUGGGCAGGAGGCCUAAAGCCUGGCAGCUAGCACAGCAAGCCCAGGACAGGAGGCCCAGCCCACCGCAGUAGCAAGCUGCAUCGCGGACCUAAGCCCACAAGAGCCUAGUAGACCUGGCCCAGCCAGUAGGAGCAGCCCAAGGACAGGCGGCCCAAGCCCAGCUCACUGCUAGCCGAGCCCAAGCUUGUGAGGAGCAAGGAGCGGCCCAGCGUCAGCCAGCCCACGCGCUACCCUAGAGCGUCCCCACACAGACUCUAAUUGCGCAGAUUAAAGUCUAUUUUAACUAGUACAUGCUUACAUAUAUUGUGUGAACAAUUUCAUUUUAUUUUGCUUUGUAUUAUAAAGUGUUGAUUAUUUUAAAAAUUCUCGAAAAAGCUUACAUGAGGUGCUUGGAUCAGAGUCGAUCGUUUUCGAGUCGUAACCCUUUUCGGGGCAGUGAGGAAGAUGGUGGCUUGGUAGUUGGGUUUGGGUGAUCUUAGCCUCUUAUGAAGCUUUUCUAUUUUUUAUUGUUAAGUUUCUUUUUAUUUAUUUGUUAUUAAAUUUUGUGGGAUCCACAUGUGUAUCACGUUAGCAUUCUAACAGAAGUUUUGACGAAAAUAUAAUGGCAAAUUGAUUUGUGGCAUCCAAUUCAAAUGUUACACUGAUCGAUUUCAAUUUCAAAUGUCACCUUAAUUAAUGCGUCAAUUUCCGAAUAUUUGCGUUGAAGACACAUUUUAGAAAAAUCUACUACACAACGUGUGGGGUGUUGAUUUGAAAACGCACGGUCAAGCACGGUAAUACCAAAAUAUUUGGAAUGGCCAUGGGGAAAAUUCCGUAUCUCGUCUCGCUUGAACUCGUUCGCUAACCUAUAUAUGUGUGCUGAAACACAGAGUCGAAAACAAACAACGCACGUAACAUUCUCAGCUUCUCAUCAAACUAGAUUAUUUUACUUUCUCUCUGUAAACCGUUGGAAUUUCUGUUCUUUCAUCACCCAAGAACAGAUUACGUAAUUGAAUUAAGUUUUGAGUCACUUUGUUUCCUAAAUUAUGUCUGUAGUUUCGGUCGGAAUGGGUGCUCUGAGAACGUCAUUUCAAAUGCUGUUUGAUGCGGUAAAAUCAGCGCAGGAGGAGAAUACAAUGUUCCAACACCUCCUCGGAAACAUCAAAUCCACACUGGAAUCUCUACAACCACUCAUCAAAGACAUCGAAAAGUAUAACUCCAAGGAGGGGCGGGAAAAUUAUGCAAUACAGAUGGAGGAAGGAGCAAAGCUUGUUCAAAAGUGCAGCAAAGUUGGCGUGGGGAGAAAACACGCAUACACAAAGAAGCUUAAUCAACUGGACAAGUCUCUUCGAAGAGUCUUUGAUGUGCUUAAACUGCAGGUUAUGAGGGAUGCGAGGGAGACGUUGGUUCCUUUGAGGAAAAUCGAGACGGUGCUCUCUCGAAUAGAAGAGAGAUUGAAGAUAAAAAAUAACCAGCCUGAAAUGGUUAAAUGUUCGUCUGCGGUGCCUGAAGCGCCAUCGGUUACAGUCGGGUUGGAUUUGCCGUUGAAGGAGUUGAAGGUUAAGCUCCUUAAGGAUGAAAAGGUGUCUAUGCUUGUGCUGACCGCUGCUGGAGGAUGCGGGAAAACCACCUUGGCUAAAAUGUUUUGUCAAGAUCAAGAAGUCAAAGGUAUGCUAAUUAAAAAGUAAUACACCGUGUAGAGGAUUAUGCAAGUAGAACUACGCGCUAGGGCCUAUAAAAUGUCCGCUAUACUCCCUCCAAACAUACACAGUAACCAAAAUUUGUUAAAGAAAAACAACGAAGGAGACAUGAAACUAAAGCGCACGAAAGGAAUAUAAGAAAGAUUAGAAAGGCCUAAAUGGGCAUGCCCAACAAAUAACAAGUGGUAGUGAUAUGAACUUGGCAUGAUUUUCUUUGUACUAAUUGUAAGUUAAGCUGAUGCCUUCCUCUUAGAGUUAACAGGUCUUGCAAUGAGCUACUGCUUGAUUACUUGGUCUCAGAAUUGCAGACAUAUCUAGUCAACCUUUUAUUAACACCUUUCCUACAUUCUGUUUGGAUAGAUACAUUCAAGAACAACAUCUUCUUUGUCAAUGUCUCGAAAAAGCCCAACUUGGACCUUAUUGUACACGAACUAUAUCAACGGAAGGGGUCCGAGCUGCCUGCUUUCGAAAACGAAGUCAUGGCGGCUAAAUGGUUGCAACAAUUUCUGAAGGAAUCAAGACAAAAUCCUCUACUGUUUGUCCUGGAUGAUGUUUGGUCAGAAUCAGGGUCCCUUCUUGAGAAGUUUGAUCAAUUCAAGUUUUCAAAUUGCAAGAUUUUGGUCACAUCAAGAUUUGCAUUUCCAAGAUUCGGUUCUCCUUAUCAUUUGGCACCAUUGAAUGAUGAAGAUGCAAUGGAUCUUUUUCACUAUUCUGCAUCCUUGGAGGAUAAGAGCUCUUAUACUUAUGAAGAUCUUUCGAGAAAGGUGAUUUCUUAGUCCACAAUACACACACACACACACAUACAUAUAUAUGCUUAUUUAUGCCCCAGAAGAAGGUAAAGAAAUAACAUUUGAGCAUCCACACACGUUAAUGAACUGUGAAGAAUGAAGUAAGAAGAAUGAAAGACUAGACAGUUUACAAUUUUAUCAUCUUUAUGAAACCAUUUAGAUGAUUUUCAACAAUUUAAUCAAAUAAUAGUAAUUGAAUUCAUUUUGGAUAAUUAAAUUGCAGAUUAUCAAGCGCUUUAAGGGAUGCCCACUUGCCAUUGCAUUGGUUGGGAGAUCACUUCGCGGCCAGCCUAUAGAAAUCUGGCACAAAAGAGUAGUGGAAUGGUGCAAAGGUUCAUCUAUUCUUGAUUCUGACAGGGAUUUACUUGCUUGCCUCCAAAGCAGCUUAGAUGCCUUGGAUAAAGAGAAGGCUAUCAUCAAGGAAUGUUUCCUCGAUCUAGGUUCUUUUUCGGAGGACCAAAGAAUUGCUGCUGCCGCCCUCAUUGAUAUGUGGGCGGAGUUAUAUGGUCUAGAUGAAGAAAUUCUGACCAUUGCCAACCUUCAUGAGCUCACCGCCCGAAGUUUAGCUACUCUUGUUGUCACAAGGUAUGCGGGCUGCUCAUAAUUUUCUAUUUCAUUAUGUAUGCCGAACAAAUCAUUAAAGAAUUAAGCAUCGAUCAUCCAGGCAUGAGAGGGAGGCGGAUGGCUAUUACACUGAACACUUUGUCACCCAGCACAACAUGCUUAGAGAGUUGGCGAUCCAUCAGGGGAGUCAAGACCCAAUAGAACAUAGGAAACGACUAUUUAUAAACAUAUGCGGGGACAAACUUCCUAAGUGGUUGACAGAACAAAAGUAUCAAGCAAUCAAGGCUCGACUGUUAUCUAUCUCAACAGGUUCCAUCAAUCUCUCUUUAGUAAAUACUUAUACAUGUGCGCUCGGGACAUGGUUUGUGUGCACACACACACACGCUCAUUCAUACUAAAACUUCAAUAGGACUUCCACACAUUUAGGCUAAUAUCUUAAAGCUUAUUGUUUGCAGAUGGAGCCUUCUCAGCAAAAUGGCCAAACAUGCAAGCACCUGAAGCAGAGGUUCUAGUUCUGAAUUUUCAAACAAAGAACUAUGCCUUACCUGAGUUUGUGGAGAAAAUGGAUAUACUAAAGGUUCUAAUACUAAAAAAUUAUGGUUUGUUAUCUGCUGAACUAGAUAAUUUUGAACUACUUGGUUCGUUAUCAAAUCUUAAGAGAAUUAGAUUAGAACGUAUUUCAAUUCCAUCCAUAAGCAAGGUCCUUAAACAGUUGAAAAGUUUGCAAAAGAUAUCUUUUUUCAUGUGUGAUAUCGGCCAAGGUUUCGUCCAAAUUUUAGAUGCUCUGCCAAAUCUAGUGGAAUUGAACAUAGAUUAUUGCCAUGAUCUGGUGCAACUUCCUGCCAACCUCUGUAACCUUGUUCACCUUAAGAAGCUUAGCAUCACCAACUGUCAUAAGCUAUCUACCUUGCCUGCAGACAUCGGAAAGCUUGUAAAUCUAGAAGUGUUGAGGCUUAGGUCAUGUGCAGACUUGUUAGAGUUGCCAGGCUCGAUUAGGAACCUUAAAGUUUUGAAAUUUCUCGACAUAUCCGAUUGCUUUAGCGUAAAGGAGUUGCCCGAGGACAUUGGUGCAAUGUGCAGCAUGGAAAAGAUCAACGUGAGCCAGUGUUCAAGACUGAAAGAGCUCCCUGCUUCUGUUAUGGAUCUUGAGCAGUUGAACGAAGUGAUAUGCGACGAGGAGACGAAAACUUUAUGGGAACCCUUCUUACCGUUUCUCACAAACAUACACUUGAAGGUGAUCAAAGAAGAUAUCAACCUAAAUUGGCUCAACAAGCUUCCAUCCUAAGGCCAUCCUAAGGCCAUGGUCCUUCCAUCAAUGAGUGUUGGUGCAAUGUAUGCAUCGUGAUUGUGUUUAAUGUUAUUUUUCCUUUGUAAUUUGCUUCUAUUUUAUGUUUUAUAUGAUUUAAAAUAACACGGCAAUACUGUAGAAUUAUUGUAAUUACUCACCAUGGGUAUUAUUGUAAUACCAUGUUUGCAUUCCUCACUCUUCAUCAAGGUAUUAAAUAUCAGUAAUAUCGGAAAUAUUGGUAGUCCGAAAACACGGAAAUAUCGAUGGAAAUAUCGGGAUAAUAUCGAUAUCGAUAAAAAUUACAUGGAAACCACGGAAAUUGUAAGAAAAACUUGGAAAUUUUUAUUGAAACUUUGCAGGAUGUUUAUUUAGUCAAUUAUCUAUUAGUUUAUCACAAAAAAUUGGAAAGAAAUGCAUUGCAUGAUGGAUUUAACAUUAUCAAGUUGAUUAUAUAGCGAGCUGACAAACAUUGUGAGUGUAGAAAAUAUGUAGUAAUUAAUGAAAGAAGUCUAAACACACCAUAAUUAUUUAUAUAUAAUGAAUUAGUACAAUAUUUUACACUUUAUACAUUGUAUGGUAAGAUACAUGAGUGACUUAGUACCACAUAGAGUUCCUAUGAGGUUCAAAUUUUUCACUAUGUUCAUCAUCUCUAUGUGUAGAGUGAGUGUAUUGUGAAGAGUAGUUAUCAAAUGAUAAAUCCCCAAAAUAGUUUUGCAUGUAAUUGUUAACAUGCCACCCAUAUGGAUCCGAGAUUGGUUGACCUUGUCCAUAAGCAAAAUCAUUUGAAGAUUGAGUCUCGGAUUGUUUCCAUGAGUCGCUCGAUUCCAUCCCAACAGGAUUGGGAUAUGAAGGGUAGGGAAAUGGUUGGUUAUGAGUAUAACCAUAGUUACUACUUCCCAAUCCAACAGAAUCCGAAGUUAUAGAUAACGAGUCAUCUUCUUGACUUGACAAAAUCCCCUUGCCUCUUUCUCUAUAAGUAUAGUCCUUCCCUAUGGCACCAAUUCCUGGUCCUGCCCGCCUACUGUCAUAGUCAUCAUCCUGUUUUGCAUGCGUGAAGUUUCCCUCACCAGUGAAGGGGCUCAUAAAUCCGGGAGGUGCUCCAACAUAAUUUCCAUAUCCACCACCACUACCUCCAGCUCCACUAUAUCCUUCAUCAUUCCCACCUCCGGUGGUAGGUGAGUCUCCUGAUCUUGUACUAAAGCUAUCAUUAGUAUCAGCAUGAUGUUGUGGUUGUGUAGGAUUGGAAGAAGGUGGAAUUCCAGUGUUUCUUGGUCUUGGGCGCAAAAGUUCUUCCAAAGAGUCAGCGCUGCUAGAUCCCACCUCUUCCUCUAAUACUCUUUCUACAUUUAUCCCUUCAUUACGUGCUUCUUCAGCAACUCUGGGAGCUGGGUUGCCUUCAUCAUCAUCUAAAUGAAGAUGUCUAAUCCAUUGAUAAAAUUGGUUACCCUCUGUAUCAUCAUCUUCACCACAAUAUCAAACAUAUCUAAUGGGUCACCACGGUCGACAUGAUCUAUUUCUGCUUCCUUAUCUCGAAUUUGAAGCUUCAUGUUAUAGUAGCAAUAAACUAAUUUUUCCAACCUACUAUGAGCCAACCUAUUUCUUUGCUUUGUGUGUAUGAGUACAAAUGUGCUCCAAUUUCUUUCACAAGCAGAUGAGGAAGCUGUUUGUGAUAAUACUUUGAUUGCUAACUUUCUCACAGUUAGUGCAUCGGUCCCAUACAUGAUCCACCAUUCAGCUACAAUGAAAAACAAUGUUGAUAAGCCUAAUAACUCCAACAAAUUCUAUUAUAAACUUAUAGUGAAAUAUGUUUACACUCACUAGGAGACAUUGUUGUUCGAGCAACAAUUGAUGUUGGUUCUCCAAAAGUUCUCCAAAAGUUCUUCUUGCAUCUUUAAACCAUGUUAGCUGAAUUCAAUAAAUCGUGUUAGUUUAAUCCAACAAAGUAAUUAUUAUAAUUUAAGUAACUGUGUACCUCAUUUCCAAAUUGGCCAACUGCUGGUGAUGCAAGGUCUAAUUUAGAGUAAACAUUAUGUACAGCAUGUAUAAGGGUACCAUCAUCUUCAACACCUGGUCUGUAUUGGUAUCGAGGAUUCAAAUAAUAUGUUGUUCAAAUAAACACAUACUCUAAUAAGAGAAAUAAUACUUAUGCAACUAAAGAAAUGAAUUGCAAAUUAUGACAUAAUUUAUACCUGCUACAUGCAAAUCGUGGUAUAAUGUUUUAUACCAUCGGUCUUCAAUUAUCUUUAUGACCCACCUUGCACCAUGUUUUCUUUCCAAUUCAUCCUUCACUACACGCAUUAACUCAUAUACUGCCCCUAUAGUAGGAUACACUUCUGUGUCAACAAUCCGUAAAACCUUGUAAAGAGGUUCAAACACUUGGCACACAUGUUCUGAUUAAGUCCAAAAAGCAUGAUCAAGCACUAUACUUUCCACCAUACGACCUGCAUUUGAGCGGCUGAAAUUGUGGUUGGCCCAAUUGUCACUAGUGAAUAGUUGCUUCAACCCUGCUUUCUUCUUAAGUAGGCUGUCUAAUGCAAUAUAGUUGGUGGCGAAUCGAGUGGUAGCUGGACGAAUAAUUUCUCCUUUGCAAAAUUCACGCAUCUUUGCCAACAACCAACCGUGAUUGUAAAUAUAAUUUGUGAUCGGUCUAGCUCUUUUGACCACAGUAGCAACAUUCUCUCUCUUCCCCAUUGCCUCAAACAUGAGAUCAAUACAAUGUGCUGCACAUGAUGUCCAAAACACAUUAUGAUGCUUCAUUAACUUUUUUCCAGCUUUGACAAAUGCAGAACUAUUGUCGGUCACGACUUGGACAACAUUAUGCUCUCCCAUCUCCAUGAUUACAUCCCUCAAUAAUUUGUAAAUAUACUUGUAGUUCUUUAUAUGGUCUGAAGCAUCAACAAACUUCAAAAAAAAUUGUCUUUCCCUUGGAGUAUACCAUGAAGUUUAUGAUAGACAAUCUGGUCGGGCUGGUCCAUCCGUCACACAUGAUUGUGCAACCAUUAGUUUCCCACUUUGACCUCAACUUGUUAACAUACUCGCCAAUGUCUUUAUACUCCAUAUCCAAAUAUUUGUUUCUUAUCUCAUAGGGAGUGGGAGGUUGUACUCCAACACCGGCCUGUUGACAUCCCACUACCAUAUUUUUGAAAUGAUAUGAUGAUGUUUUCUCAGCAGGGACAUUUUCAUAGAUAAAGAACUUGCUAAUUAGACGCCCCAUUCCCCCCUUCACAUUACCUCCAGUGAAAUAACUCCAAACACUAUUUUGAUGUGCUUUGGAUGACUUAUAUAAACUUGGGGCUAUUGGUGGUGUUGGUUGUGAUUCUCUAAGAUUGCCUCCCCGUCUCAUUUGUGCACCACCACUUGUCCCGGAACCUUGUGCUCUAUUAGGAAUUUUAUGAAGGUGUUCUCUUUCCCAUGCUGACUGUUUGGAGGCACGUAAUGCUUGUUUCAAACUACGUCGUUCUUCAGGUCUCAUGUCAUCAUCACAUUCGUCCUCAUCAUCAUCAUCAUCACUGUCAACCGCUUGGCCAUAGACUUCUCCCCGUAGCCCAGCUCGAAUAUUUUCCAUUCCAUGUGUUAUCUUUUCCUUCUGCUGUUUUUUAUUUUUUAAUAAUGUGUUGAUGAAUGCCUUCACUUCUGGGGGGACAUUAUUGCAUCGUUGGACAUUUUUUGAUGGAUCUAAUCCACUAAGAUGGUACUUAAGUCGUGUCACUCCGCCACUCUUCAUUACCCGACCAUAAUAUUUGCAAAUUGUGCCAUGUUUGUUUCCGUCUAUUGGGUCUCCAUGUUCCCAAGCUGGAUCACGUUUAGUAACUCCACUAGACAUCUUAAACGUACCUAUAUUUAUUUUUCAUGAAAAUUACACAAUUAUUUUUUGGUAAAAUAAGAGAACCUAAAUAAUAAAGUUAUUCUACAGAAGAAUUAAAUACGAAGUAAAGAAAAUGAUUGUAAAAAUUUAAGUAAUUAUACAAAUAAUAUGGAAUAAUAAAACCUAAUAUUAAUGAAUAAUAAUCCAAUUUGAUAAAAAAAUAAUCCUAAUAUAAAACAUGGUGAUGAAUAAUAAUCCAAUUUGAUAAUAAUCCAAUUUAAUGAAUAAUCCAAUUUGAUAAUAAUCCAAUUUAAUGAAUAAUAAUCCAAUUUGAUAAUAAAAAAACCUAAUAUUAAUGAAUAAUAAUCCAAUUUGAUAAUAAAACCUAAUAUUAAUGAAUAAUAAUCCAAUUUGAUAAAAAAAAUAAUCCUAAUAUAAAACAUGGUGAUGAAUAAUAAUCCAAUUUGAUAAUAAUCCAAUUUAAUGAAUAAUCCAAUUUGAUAAUAAUCCAAUUUAAUGAAUAAUAAUCCAAUUUGAUAAUAAAAAAAACCUAAUAUUAAUGAAUAAUAAUCCAAUUUGAUAAUAAAACCUAAUAUUAAUGAAUAAUAAUCCAAUUUGAUAAAAAAAUAAUCCUAAUAUAAAACAUGGUGAUGAAUAAUAAUCCAAUUUGAUAAUAAUCCAAUUUAAUGAAUAAUAAUCCAAUUUAAUGAAUAAUAAUCCAAUUUGAUAAUAAUCCAAUUUAAUGAAUAAUAAUCCAAUUUGAUAAUAAAACCUAAUAUUAAUGAAUAAUAAUCCAAUUUGAUAAAAAAAAUAAUCCUAAUAUAAAACAUGGUGAUGAAUAAUAAUCCAAUUUGAUAAUAAUCCAAUUUAAUGAAUAAUAAUCCAAUUUAAUGAAUAAUAAUCCAAUUUGAUAAUAAAAAAAACCUAAUAUUAAUGAAUAAUAAUCCAAUUUGAUAAUAAAACCUAAUAUUAAUAAAAUAAUAAAUAACAUUAAACAUAUUAAAAUUAUCCUAGGGAAUAAUUAUACAACAUUACUUAAUUACUUAAAAAAAUUAACAUGUAAUUGUUAACAUUACUUAAUUACUUACAAAAAUUAACAUGCAAGUAUUAAUUACUUAAAAAAUUAACAUACGAGUCCACACAAAUUUAUUUGUUGUUGUAUAAAUCACAAUAAUAUAAAUAUAAGUUUGUAAACUUACCUUAAAUAUGGAACUCUUUGUGUUCAAGCUUUGGAAUGGAUCUGGAAUGGCUUUGAAAAUGGUAAGGGAAGAAGAAGAAACGAAAAUGCUCUGAAUGCCUCUGAUACUCCACCUCUGAUAAGGUGAAAGAAUAUAACAGACAAUGGCAAACUGUUUUGCAUGUGAAAGAAUAUCACGGACUCACAGUGGCACACGGUUUCAUUAUGAAAGCACUAUUAUUUGUUGUCCAUGGUCUGAAAUUGCAAAAAGUUAUUUGGAUCAUUGGAUCAGAGAGCUAGAGACAGGUUUUGAAUUAUUUGGAUCAUUGGAUGCUUUUUUUUUCUCACACGCCACCACACACACACAGAGUCAGAGAGUGAGUCACACUCACACGCCACCACACACGCACUUCGAGACCCCCCACACCACACACGCACACAGAGACUGAGCUCAGUCUCUCGAUCCUUCCUUUUCUCUCUUCUGAGUUCUGAGUCUUCUCCCUUCCUUCUCUCUUCUGAGUUUUCUCCCUUCCCUUCUCCCUUCUCUAGUUCUCCCACACACACACACAGACAUCAUCUCUCGAUCCAUCUCUCGAUCCUCCUCGUCCGCGUCUCCCUCUGCUCCUCCCUCGCCUUCCUCCUCGUCGAGCUCGUCACCAUGUCCCGCGACCUCUAUCUCUCCUCUGUCGUCCCCAUCGAUGCGAUCCUCCUCGUCCGCGUCUCCCUCUGCUCCUCCCUCACCUUCCUCCUCGUCGAGCCCGUCACCAUGUCCCGCGACCUCUACCUCUCCUCCGUCGUCCCCAUCGGCGCUCUCUACUCCCUCUCCCUCUGGCUCUCCAACUCCGCCUACAUCUUCCUCUCCGUCUCCUUCAUCUAGAUGCUCAAGGCCCUCAUACCCGUCGGCCGUCGCCGUCUACUCCAUCGGCGUCUCCUUCAAGCAAUGUUGCGAUAAUAUCGCUAAUAUCGCGAUAUUAUCUCGAUAUUUUGACGGAAACCUAUUGGAUAUGUGUAGAAAUAUUGGACUCCCAAAAAAAAACGAUAAUAUUAGUGAAAUAUCGCCGAUAUUAUCGAUUUUUUAUAUCUUGCUCUUCAUUGAUUCUCCUUUGAUUUAUUCAAUCAAUAGGUGUUGGUGCAAUGUAUGUACGGAGAAGUGCAUGGAAAGAAAAUAAGAGUUAAAAAAAAUACCCUUUGAUUUAUCCAAUCAAUGAGUUUUGGUGCAAUGUAUUAAUCUAUUGGUUGUUUCUCCACUCUCUCUUGCCGCACCUCUUUAUCCCCUAGGUCAAAACAUUACUGUUUUAUUUUGAGGAUAAUGCUAAGGUGAUUAAAUUUGUAAACAGAAUUUUACAAAGUAAGUGACAUUAAAGUUGAUGAUUGGAUUAAAACUUAAGCGUUGAUAAACUUGCUUAUUUUGAUUGAUGAUAUAUCAUUUAGUUUAUAAAUUUUGUCUUCCUAACAUUACCUCUUAUUUUAAAACUAUUUUUUAACAAGAUUUUAAACUAUUUAUUCUAAAGCACAACAUUUUUUUUACUAUUUUAUUUUAAACUAUUUAUGCUACAGCAGAACAUUUUUUAAAAGCAGUGCAAUACCAAAUCAUAUGUGCUAGAAAAUUCUGUCUCUCUCGCCUCCUAAUAGAGCGUCAAAUGUCUUUCCCAGCUCGUUCGUUUUCUUUUGGGUGAAACUUCGUUUUCUUUUGGGUGAAACUCCUUGCUCGUUCGUUAAGCUGAAACCGACAAACAGCUUACAUAACCUCCUGAGUUUCUCAUCAAACUAGAUUAUUUUACAUUCUCUCCGUGUAUCCAUUCGAAUUUCUUUCUUUCUUUCUUCAGCCAAGAACAGAUUACCUAAUUGAGUCAAGUUUUGAGUCUCUUUGUUAUGCUAAAUAUGUCUCUGGCUUCAGUCAGAAUGGGUGCUCUCAGAACGCCAUUUCAAAUGCCGUUUGAUGCUGUAAAAUCAGCAGAGGAGGAGAAAAAAUGUUCCCACACCUCCCUCCGAGACAUCAAUCCACACUGGAAUCUCUACAACCACUCAUCAAAACAUGGAAAAGUAUAACACGAAAGAGGGACUGCAAAAUUUUGCAAUACAGAUGAAGGAGGGAGCAAAACUUGUUCAGAAGUGCAGCAAAGUUGGCCUGUGGAGAAAAUACAAGUACGUCAACAAGCUUCAUCAACUGGACAAAUCUCUUCGGAGAGUGUUGAUGUGCUUAAACUGCUGGGUAUGAGGGAUGCAAGGGAGACAUUGGUUCUUUUGAGGAAUAUCGAAGUCUCUCGAAUACAAGAGAAUUUGUGAUGAAAAAUAAUCAGCCUGAAAAGGUUAAGUGUUCGCCUGUGGUGCCUGAACCGCAGUCAGUUACGAUCGGUUGUCCAUGCUUAUGUUGACUGUUGCUGGAGGUUGACCUUACCCAAAAAGUUUUGUCCAGACCAAGAAGUCAAAGGUAUGCUCUCUAUGAUUUCAACUAUUUUUUUGGUGAAGUUUUACGUCCUAUUAAAAAAGUAAUACACUAUAUAGAAGAUUAUGGGGCCUAAAAAUGCCCUCUACUCUCUCCCAGCAUAUCACUAACCAAAAUUUUCAUUUUCAAUUGUGAGUGUAGACAUCGAAAUUUUGGUAAAUAAAUUUUGACCGAUAAAUCAAAGUUUCAACGCUCAUGAAUUACAUAAAUUUUACACGUAGCGUGUGCCUCGACGAAAAAUUGAAAUGAGUCGGAAAAGUCAUCAAACAGGACACGUGUCAACACCUGGCAAAAACAACUUAUUUCAUUUGGAAUAUUAUAUUCAAAAUUAGGCCUUGGAAAUUUCUAUAAAUAGAAGGCUAAUUCAUUCAUUUGAAGGAACCAAAAUCAUUAGGCAAAAUUCUUGAAGCUCUGAAGCUCUGAAACGCCGAAGCUCUCAAGCAUCCAGGUUCCCGAAGAAUCAAGAAAGCUCUCUUCGUUCUUCGUUCUUCGUUCAUCGUUCAUCCUAAGAUCAAGCCCAAACGGCCCUUUGGAUCAACAAUCAUCCACCAAUUCAAGAUCAAGCCCCGAUGGCCCUUGAAGAAAGUGUUAUUCGUUCUUUGUUCAUCAGUCUUCCAAGAUUAAACCCCAACGGCCCUUUGGAUCAACAAUCAUCCACCAAUUCAAGAUCAAGCCCCGACGGCCCUUGAAGAAAACGUUCUUCGUUCUUCGUUCAUCGUUCUUCCAGGAUCAAACCCCAACGGCCCUUUGGAUCAAUAAUCAUCCACCAAUUCAAGAUCAAGCCCCGACGGCCCUUGAAGAAAGCGUUCUUCGUUCUUCCAAGAUCAAGCCCAGACGGCCCUUGGAUCAACAAUCCACCAAUUCAAGAUCAAGCCCCAAAGGCCCUUGAAGAACUUCCACCAAUUCAAGAUCAAGCCCCGACGGCCCUUGAAGAAAGCACCAUCGUUCAUCAUCCGUUCAUCUUAAGAUCAAGUCCCAACGACCCUUUGGAUCAACAACGUCGACAAAUCCACACAUCCAACCGUUCUUCAAAAUCAAGCCCAAAAGCUCUUGAAGAUCCGUUCAUCAUUGUUCUUCAAGAUCAAGCCCAAAAACCUUUGAAGAUCCGUUCAUCACUGUUAUUCAAGAUCAAGCCUCAACGGCCCUUGAAGAAACACUCAUCCUCAAGAUCAAGCCCCAACGACUCCUUGAAGAUUCGCUCAAAUCCACCUUCAAAGAUCAAGCCCAUGGCCCUUGAAGAAACUUCCAACAGUUCAUCCAAAAUCAAGCCUCGAUGGCCCUUGGAUCAACGAAACAUCCACAAAUCAACACCUUACAGAGAUUGAAUCAGAGGAUCAAAUUUGAGAGAGAUUGUAACCCAAAACCAUCAAAUACAAAUAUUAUUUUGUGCACGUUGUUCUUGUCGCUUUCGUUUCAGGAAAAUUUCGUGUUCACAAAUUUGGCACGCCUAGUGGGACUAUCUCUGCCUAUCAUCUCUUUCUCCGUUCAAGAAAAUCAAGCACACUUCCAAAAUCAAUGGCAUCAAGCAAAGGACAAGCCGUUCUCACAAAGGGAAGAAGCUUGAGCACUUCCGCCAUGAACGGAGCAUCCAUUGGCGCCACAACCGCUCCUCAACAUGCCACUUCAAAAUUGGUGUCGCUAAAAGAGCAAGGGGAUCAUCAAAGGCGCGAGUCCGUCAUCAACCUGACCUCGCUGGAGGCACCGAAGCAUGAUGCUGAGGCACACAAGAUGACAUCCCAAAGCAGCCAACGAUGUUCUUCGUCAGCUUCCUGGAUGUCUAAAGGAAAGUCACGUCUAUUGGUUGCACAAGUCAUGACCAUCGACGUUACCUCCAUCGAAGAACAACUGGCUCAAAUAAAUGAAGCGAUUGCAAGGCUAACACAGAUUGUGGAAGAAAAAUACUUGCAAAUCGCUGUACUCGUCAGCCGACUGGAGCCACAGGACGACGAGAACCCCAACCCAGAAGAUGAUCCACUAAAAAGAGAAGCUGGCGAAUAAGAUAAGCCUCCGAUAGAGAGAAUCGAUGUGAAGCCGGAGCUAGACCAAGCAGCGGCACUUAUGGGAUUUCUUUCUAUCCAGCAGCUGUAGGAGAUGAUCACCAACACCAUCAAGGCACAGUACGAAAGGAGCUCAAAUACUUCCGGGUUCUACUCGAAGCCUUAUUCCAAGAAGAUUGAUACCCUGAAGAUGCCAAAGGGUUAUCAACCACCAAAGUUCAUGCAGUUUGAUGGAAAAGGAAACCCAAAGCAGCAUGUUGCACAUUUCGUUGAAACUUGCAACAACGUGGGGACGGAGGGAGACUACCUCGCCAAGCAGUUUGUGCGCUCGCUGAAAGGAAACGCCUUUGAGUGGUACACGGACCUAGAGUCUGAGUCCAUCAACAACUAGGAGCAAUUGGAAAGAGAGUUCUUUAAUCGCUUCUACAGCACCCGCCGCACUGUAAGCAUGUUAAAGCUGACAAGUACAAAGCAAUGGAAAGAUAAGCCGGUCAUUGACUACAUCAACAGAUGGCGCACUCUAAGCCUCGACUGCAAAGACAGGCUCUCGGAGACCUCUUCAAUCGAGAUGUGCAUCCAAGGCAUGCAAUGGGGUUUGCAAUACAUCCUUCAAGGCAUCAAACCACGGACCUUCGAAGAGCUAGCCACCCGCGCCCAUGACAUGGAGUUAAGCAUCGCCCAUCAUGGGAAGAAGGAACCAAUCGCCGACUACAAGAACGACAAAGUUCUUGAGACAAAGGUGGAGAAGGUUGUGUGGAAAUCCACCAAGGAAGCAAUGACGGUCAACACAGCUCCCGUCAAAAUCCCUACAUGAGGCAAGGCGAUUCAAGCUGAAGCUUUUCGUGAUCAAGAGAUGCGUAAACGCACUUUGAAGGAGCUUGAGGAAAAGACUUAUCCAUUCCCCGACUCUGAUGUGGUUGCCAUGUUAGAAGACUUGCUGGAAAAGAAGGUGAUCGGCUUGCCUAAGUGCAGACGGCCAGAAGAGAUGAAUCGCACCGACAGUCUAAGGUACUGUAAAUUCCAUCGCUUCAUCAGUCAUCCGACAAAAAAGUGCUUCGUGCUGAAAGAUCUCAUCAUGAAGCUGGCACAGAAAGGAAUCAUCGAGCUAGAUCUUGACGAUAUGGUGAAGUCAAACUAUACCACCAUCAUUUUUGGCUCUUCUGACUCAAAGUUUUUACCUCAACCUCCGGGGGCAUCCUUCAAGACAAGUAAAGUUGAAGGAUGGACUCAAGUCAUUCCUAAGAAAUUGCACAAGAAGCAUACGUCUCCUCCAUAAGUCCGCCAAUCGGAAAGGGGGCAAAGCAGCUCUUGUCAACCUUCAAAGCAACGUGAACGUGUUAAAGAUGAUGAAAUUGCGAUACAAAGAUCGUCUGUUGCCAUCACGAUGCGCGACUUCUUACCCGAAGACUUCUUCAAUCACGCGGUCAAGGCUCCUUACUAUGAAGAUUGUGAGGAACGCCUCUCCAAAAUUGCUUGACAAAUUCACCAAUUUUCCUCACCCGCGUGAGUCUAAACUGCAUGGCACAAAGCUCCUGGUCUGCACGAGCAUAAAAGGCAACACUAAUGCUCCUUCUCCGCAAGAGCCUAAACUGCAGAACACUAAAGCUCUUGGUUUGCACGAGCAUAAAAGGCAACACCAAACGCUCCUUGCCUGCACGAGUUAAAACUGCAAACGGCACAAAAAAAAAUUCCAAAAAAAAAAAUCUGUAUUUGAACUACGUUUUCAUUUGAUCUCUUCCUUGGAGGGGUACGUAGGCAGCUCGAACAUUAAAUUUCGAGUUUAGUCACAUCAAAAUAAAAUUUAAAAAAAAUAAAUGUUUUAUUAAUGAAAGUCAAUUUCAUUACAAGAAAAAGAAUACAUAUGCUAUUACUAUGUAUUUUAGAAAAAAAGAAAAAAAAAGAAAAAAAAUAAAUACAUAUAUUAAAAAAAAAAGAAACACACACACAUAUAUAUAUAUAUAUAUAUAUAUAUAUAUAUAUAUAUAUAUAUAUAUAUAUAUAUUUGUAUAGCCCAGCUACAAAUCAGGCUUCUUUCAGUUCACAGGCCCAAUCUGACCACCAAGCAGCAGCAAGCCCAUCCUCACUUGUGUCUGGGCCCAGCAGCAGAAAGCUCAACCCCCUAGCCCUGAUCUCUCCCUGCGACUCCAAACUGCUCUUCUCCGCUCGCCAAUCGCAGAUCCAAACCGCCGCACGAUGGCAAAAAAAGCAAUCAAAACCCAAACAGAUUUCGCCGGCGAACGCAGUCUUUCUCGACGCUCUAGCUCCUGGCGUUAACAGUCCAAUAUGGACGACGCUGAGAUUUGUGUUUGUAAUGCUGGCUGGAGCUUUGUAACGUCAACUAUGGCUCGGCCAAGGCAUGUGCAUGAACGCAACAAGCUACGGCGUUGUUCGAUUGUCGCGGUGCUUACAACAGUGGCGGAGAAUAUGAACAUAGCAACAGAUACAAGACCGGCAGAUGCUGCAGUAGAAGAGAAGAUAGUGAGUCAUCCCUUGCCUCUAGCUGCAUCUUCCUGACGCUGUCUCUGCGUUCGCUGCCGUCGGUGUGCAGCUUCCUCUUGAUCCUGCUCCACGUGUUGACAAUUGACGGGGCUACAUCUAGAUGCGCAGCGGCGAGGAAAAAGUCGAGCUCCAAGUAGUACGGAGCGCACAUGGUGCUAAAGGCACUGACGGCGAUUCCAAGGGUCGCUGGCACCAGCAGUCGCUGACGGUGCUGGUGUUCACGAGGGCCUUCUCCUGCAAAUAUCCUGUCUCUCGUCAUCCGCCACGUCUUCUUCCUCUCAUGAAAGUGGCGGAGUCACCCACAAACAAAAGGAAGACCCGCAGAUGCACAAGAUCUGGAUAUUGUUGGAUGGCUUGCUAGGGAUCCUAAUGUCCUGCGUCGUGUUGGACACUUGCUGCUGCAACUUCCUUAUACAGUUUCACGCAGUCCAAGACAAAUUGUAAUAGCUGAUGAUUGCUUUCAAGAAGUAAAGAUUCCCGUUGAUAGGAUUGUUCAAGUGGUGAUCAAAUCCACUGAGAAGCUUUUUGGAAAACAAGUUUUGAAACAUGAAAAUAUUGGGGAAUACUGCAAUUCAAAAGUUCCAAGCUUGAAAAAGAUUUCACGGCCAGAAGAAGCUUCAUCCCUCAAAUUGCUUGCCAAUGUUGUGCAGUUUCUUCAAAGGCAUGAGUUCAGACAUAAUCAUGGGGAGUGGAUUGAUUCGGUAAAGCCUGUUUUGGAGUCUGCUACUUCAGCUCAGCACUGCGUCCUCCUCGGGCGACCACGGUCCCCUCACUUUCCUGCUGGGCAUUGCGCCCUCGUUCAACUCAGCUUCGGUGCCGGGGCGGUUGUCGGCUUCUUUGGGGACAACGUCGUUUAGGACUGUCAUUGGUGGUCCCCAUUGCUGGCAUUAUCCUCACAACAACUCUAUUGACAAGACCCCAAGGACUCGUCGGACAUUUCCCGCAUCUCCUCCUUGCUGUUGGAAUGGACCAAGCUCCUCUGCAACAAGCACAACACCAUCAAUACAGCUGCUUCAUCCACUGCCUCAGAACAAUCAUCUUCUCCGUCAAGCAGAAAAGUUAGAGGUGCAGGAAGCUGUCAAAGUUGUAGUGAUAUAUAGAAAGAAAUAAUAAUAAUAAAAAACAUUGGUGCGGCAUGAGUGGUGGUACCACCGAAAGCAAAGAAAAAAUAAUAAUAAUAAAAAUUCAAUAGAGUCAUGAUGCGGUGUGUUUGAGCACUACCAAAUGCCAAAAUAUAAAAAUAAAAAAAGGGAUGGUGGAGUAAAGUGGUGCUGGCACCACGUGAAAAAAAAAGAGGGUGCAUCUCGCACCGAAAGCAAAAAAAAAAAAUAUAUAUAUAUAUAUAUAUAAAAAAUAAAAAAAAUGCAUUGAGAGAAAUAAAGUCUAUUUUAUUUAUUUUUCUGAAAAUUUUACAUAAAUUUGCAUUAUACAUACCUAAAAAUAAAAGAGUAAACUGUCGAUUUACCCCCUGAACUUUCACCUCGCUUUCAAUUUCCCCCCUUUUCUAUUGGAAAAUUAAGGACUCAAACUAAUUUUUUUAGCCGAUUUGCCCCCUACCGUUAGUUUUUCAUAUAUUCCAUCCAUAUUUCUGUUAUGUGAUAAUUCUUUAAGGGCAGAAAAGUCAUUUAGCAAGACUUUCACACAAUAUACCCUUUGCACCAUCGCUGUUUAGAAAUUUAGGGUUUACACGCGACUUGCAAGGUGGGUGUUCACUGAAACUUGGGGGAAAUUGACUUCAUAGUUUGCUGAUGGUGGAUUCGACAAAAUCAUUAAGAUUACAAAAAGUUUUGAGAGUUGAAGAUGCCUUUGGAGGUGCGCAGUGGGGGAAUCGUCCAAAGUACUGCAAGUAUAUUUUAUACCUUUUGUAAUUGUUUGUUUAAUAGGAAGAUGUUCAUAAUACUCAUAAAAAAAUGUUCAAGAUAAUUAUAUACUUUUCAUAAUGUCAUAAUCCCAAUACAAUUCCACAAAAUGAUCCUUAAGAAGUUGGAAAACAUAAGAGAUUUUACCAUCCAUAAGGUAUAUAACCCAUAUAAUCUCGAUUACAAAAUAUGGGCAUUCCACUUAACCAAACACAAGCAAAAUAAGGUUUUAGUUAUCAAAACAAGAGCACAAACAUUCUGCUCGAAACGCACAUGACACGUGGAGAUCAACUACACUUUCCAUGGCCUUCCUCGUUUGGCUGGAAUCUUGUACCUAAACCUAUUUUCAUUUCUGAUGGCUGAGUAAGGUUGAGGGUGUGAUGUAGAAACAGCAACUUGAGGUUAUGCUUCACAUUGUGCUUGAGAUACAUACCCUUCUCUUGUAACCUAAAAAAAAAUAUCAGUUAAAGCAUUAACAUAAAUCAGUUGAAAUAUAAAAACUGCAUACCUUCCUCUUGUAUUUUCAUUUAUACCUAUAGAAUAGAAAAUGAUGUACUUACAGAAAAAAUUGUCGUCCUUUGAGCUUGAGAUUGAGAUUGAAUUGGACAUUCAGAAUGAGCUUGAGUUGGAACUUGAGAAUGAGUUUCACCUUGAUCUUGCUUACCUCCUAAACCCUGAAGUAAUUCAAUGAUGUUAACAAUAGUUUAUUUACCAAUUUAAAUAAAAAUAAAAACUUAAAUUGAUGGUUUUCAUCACCCCUGUUAAGUUUAGAGCUCCUCUGCCUCCUCUUGCUCCUCCACGUUGUCCUCUUGCUUCUCCACGUUGUCAUCUUGCUCCUUUACCUCCCCUUGCUCCUCUUCCUCUUCUACCUCCUUGUCCAUCCAUCUGCAAUAAAGUUGGGAAUUUCAAUGAAAUGCGUGUGAAACUAUGAGAACUAAAUUAAGUUCAAGUCAAAAUUUGAGAAUAUCAGAAAUACAUGCUCAUUGUUGCGACAAGUUGCUGAGUUAUGACCAUCAACACCACAAAUGUUGCAAUUAAUAACAAUGCCAUAUCUUCUCAACUUUGUUGCCUUUUUUGGUAUCUCAUCAGCUUCCCUUUUUCUACAAGUUUUAGGUCUCCCAGGUUGUUUGUGAUACAAAGGGGGCUUGAUAGGCACAAGGCCUGUUUUCCUCCACUCUUUUGGACCAGGCAUCGGAGAAAUGUAUCCCUCAUAAGCCCUGUCAUAUGCUGGCCUCUUAUAACAAGAAUGAACAUAAUCAAGUGGGUUAUGCUCUUUCUUGCCUAUUGCAGUAAUAGCAUGUGGACAUGGGAUUCCACAUAAAUCCCACUUUCGACAAGAACAUGUAUGACGUUCCAAAUCAACAGCGUACAUACCACCAUGAAGAUGGUUCACCUGAUACUUUCCCCCACCAGCAUAUGAGGCUAUGCAUAAAAAACUUUCAAUUUUAUAUUUCUCAACCAUUUCAAAUAUUCUGGGCCCAACUUCAUGAUUCCAAAUUAUCUCUCGAACCCUAGCCAUCCUAAGCAUCAAGUAUGGAUGCAUCCUUUGUAGCAAAGUCAGAAUGGGCUUAUCUCUUGCUUCCAAUAUAGCAGCAUUAAAAGACUCACACAAGUUAUUGAGUAGUAUAUCACACUUUGCAUUAGUAUUGAAAUGUGACCUACUCCAAUUAUUUGCUGGCUUAUCCUCAAACCAAUCAAAUGCUGACUUAGAUUGAGCUAACAUUUUAUCCAUUUCAGCCUCCCACAUAGGGAUUGUUGUUGCCCUUGCCGCAGCCCACAAUCUUUGUUUUAGUGCAAGACCAGUGUGACCUGCAGUCUUAAAAUUAUUGUGCAAAUGCCUAACGCAAUGCCUAUGUUCUGCAUUUGGCAUCAAAGCGGUAAUCGCAUUUCCUAAUCCUUUUUGCUUAUCAGUUAUAAACACCCAUCCAUUGCCAUUUUCAAUCCCAACAUCAGCAAAAAAUAUUUCCAUAAACCAUGUCCAUGUCUCCGUAUUCUCAAUCUCAACCACCGCAAAUGCAAUUGGAAACAUCCCAUUAUUUGCGUCGAUUCCGACUGCACUUAGUAUUUGCCCAGGAUGAGACCCUUUAAUGUGACAGCCAUCAAAGCCUACGACGGGCCUACAUCCUUCUACAAAACCCCUCUUCAAAGCUGCAAAACAUAUAUAAAUCCGUUUAAAAAUAGGAUUCUCACCUUGCAAGUCAGUUUUUACUACCACAGUACUACUAGGAUUAUUUCUCUUUAUCUCAUCGCAAUAAUCCCAUAUCUUUGCAUAUUGCUCUUCAAUACUACCUUGUAUCCUCCCUCUAGCUUUUCUCUUGGCUUUAUACACUUGGUUCUCUGUGAUGUCUAUACCAUAGUGUUUCCUCACAAGCUUCUUGAAUGCACCAACACUCAUAUUUGGAUUAUCUCUAAGCUCUUCAUCAAAUCUUUCAGCUAGCCAAGAAGAAGUGGCAUACUUUGUCUUUUGCAAUCUUCCACAAGUAUGUUCUGGUACAAAUGUUUAAUCCUUGUAGUCAGCCCCCUCCCUACAUGAGCUGCAUAUAGUAACCAAGGACAUUUUAUUUUAGAUGUUCCUAAACAUGAUACUCGAAGCCUAGUUCGAUCAUUCUUAUCCCAAUGCAAUGGUCUACUAAUAGCAACCGAAUAGUACCUUACAGCCUCCCUGCAUGCCUUCAUGUCAGGAAACUUCAUACCCAAAUAAAAGGUUGGAUUUAAUAAGUCAGUCUCUCUUCUGAAUUGUUUAAACCUUGGAGCUUUUCUCUUUCGUCUAACCUUUUUCACAACAAUACCUUCUUCAUCUGAAUGCUACUCUUCAUCAAGACUUACCAGCUCAUCUGAGUUGUACUCAUCAGUAGAAAUUUCGCCAGGCUCUUUAUGCGAUGCCUCAAAAGCCUCAUCAACCACAAACCUCUCAAAUAGAGUAUCAUCUUUCACAACUUCAGUAUCAUUUUCAGAUUGCACAUAAUCAGAGUCAACAUAUUCAAAGUCAUUUUCACUUUCCUCUCUUGCACCAUCAUCUUCCUCCAUAUCAAGCUCUGAUCCCACUUCAUCAUCAUCACCAACAUCUUCAUCAUCUUCAUUUUCAUUUUCAUAUUCAUCAUCAGCAUCUACAUCAAAUAUUUUUACAUCAACUCUUUGAUUCACACUAGCUUCAACAUUCACACCUUUUUCACAUUGUACUGUAGCAUCUACAAGAUGGUUGUCUAAGUCAGUUGCCAACAUUUCUUUCUCAAACCAAUUAUCCCAACCAUUACCCCACUGACCAUUAUUUGUCAAAUAUAAAACUUGAACCCUAAAUGAAGGUAUAUGAGAAACAAAUUCACUAACAUCGGCAUCUGCAAUAAGAGGGACAAACCCCUUUACUUUGUCUUUGUAGUGAAACCCUGUUUGUAGAUGGUUGUAGCCAAGUGAUACAGCCACAUCAUAUAUAUCUAGCAUAGACAUUAAGUCAGCGUCGAAGUUGUCCACCCACUGUACAAGACCACCAACAUACUUUCCAUCCUUAAGAUGACCUCCAUGGUGAAUCUCUAUUGUGAAUAAAUCAGGCUUAGCUACAAAAAUAAAAACACAUAAUUAAAAAUCUAUUUUUGUUAAAAUAACAAAAGGCCCAAGGUUCAAAUCCCUACAAUGUAAACAAACAAAAAAAAUAACAUAAACACAUCCCAUGGAGAGUAUUAGAAUCUAGAGAGUGGUAUUACAAGAUUUUUCAUCCAAAACUUCAAAAAAAAAGAUAUGGGACGACAAACUGACUAAAGCAACUACAAAAGGUAUAAAAUAUACUUACAGUACUUUGGCCGAUUCCCCCCACUGCGCACCUCCAAAGGCAUCUUCAACUCUCAAAACUUUUUGUAAUCUCAAUGAUUUUGUCGAAUCCACCAUCAGCAAACUAUGAAGUCAAUUUCCCCCAAGUUGUAAACCCUAAAUUUCUAAACAGCGAUGGUGCAAAGGGUAUAUUGUGUGAAAGUCUUGCUAAAUGACUUUUCUGCCCUUAAAGAAUUAUCACAUAACAGAAAUAUGGAUGGAAUAUAUGAAAAACUAACGGUAGGGGUAAAUCGGCUAAAAAAAUUAGUUUGAGUCCUUAAUUUUCCAAUAGAAAAGUUCAUGGGGGAAAUCGAAAGUGAGGUGAAAGUUCAGGGGGUAAAUCGACAGUUUACUCAAAAUAAAAAAUAAAUAAAAAGUCAAAUCAAAUUUACAGGAGGGGAUCUUCAAGGAUGAUCAGGUGGCGCCUCAUCACUCGGCGGAACUCCAGGAAGAAGAGGGAGUCAGAGGUUGAUCAUCUGGAGCUUCAUUACGCGGCAUAGCCCUAGAAGACGAAGACAACUGUUUUUGGAACAAACCCACAAACCUCUUAUGAUCAAGUAAAUCUGACCAUCAGAUUCCUGCACCUGGUCAAUCUUCCUUUUUAUGUUUGUAGCAUAGUUAUGUGCGAGCCUGUGCAAUUGUUUAUUUUCAUGCUUGAGCCCUCUAAUCUCCUGUUUGGGACUCAUCACUUCAGCUGCCAAUGAUUCAACUUGACGGGUCUGAGCAAAUAGGCGUUGGACCAUAUUAGACACAGAACCUGCACACUGAACACUGAGAGCCAGAGAAUCCUUAACAGCCAACUUAUCAGACCGUUUGGAAAGCAGUCUGUUAUCUUUGGGAGUGACAAGGUUCCGGGCCACCACCGUAGCGGUCAUAUCAUUCUUCAUCACCGAAUCCCCAACGAUAAGAGGACCAGUAGGGGAUAUGAAAGAUGGGCGCCAUAUGUUAUCUGGAGAAGGCGGGACUGCCUCUUCACCAAGGUUCAAAUCAAAACGACGGUCGGAGGGUCCAGACAUUUUCAAAGUUGUUGAAGAAAGAAGAGGUUAGACAAUUCAAGAUCUUAUAACUGCGAGAAAUGAGUUUCUACAAGCGAAAAUUCAAGUGUGCUUUGAAACGACCUGCAUGCCUCUAUAAAAAUCAGCACUCGACGGGAUUUCAAAGAUCGAAGAGGCGAGCUCAGAAUUUGAAGAGGCCAAUUCAAAAAUCGAAGAGGCAAGCUCAGAAAUCGGAGAGGCAUCUUGCUUUUCCAAACGUGUCAGCACCCGUCACACGCAAACUCAGCUUUGCAGAAAUCACGGGCAAUUUGUCGAAACGCUGAUCCCAGAUAUCGAAGAGGCGCCAGUCCUUUUCAGCCUCAUCAACACCUGUCACAUGCACACUCAGCUUGGCCACGAGUGAAAGAAUAGUACCUCUACAGGUAUUAAAAAAACUUCCUAUAACUGUCCACCUUCACCCUCCAUAGCAAGGCAGACAUACAGAACCUUUCUUCAUCUCCGAGGAUGUCUUCCUAACGAAGCCUCUCGAGUCACUCAGUUUUCCUUAUUCCUUGGGGUACCUCUGCAAACAAAUGACACCAAAGAAAAAGUAUCUCAUAUCACCAGGUUAGAAAGCAAGAGUUUCUCAUAUCAUGCGUUUUCCCUAUCAUUUCCUUUGUCCUUGUUCUUACCAGCAAAGACAAGGAUAAAGAAAGAAAUAUGCCGGAACCUCCACUCGAACUCGGGUAAGGAACCAACUGCUUGGAACCCUUCCCUGAUUGCCUACCUAGCACUGCUCUCGAAUACUCGUCUUCCACUGCUGCUGCACUUCCAGAGAAGCUGCCACAUCUGCCUGGAGAACAGAUAAGGCAAGUGAAAAUGAUACCUUGCAGCAUGUGGAGACAACGUGCAAAAGAAACAAGCAGAGAAGAAUGCAGCCUGCAUAGUCAACUUAGCAGACGGAGUCUGAGCUAAGGAACUCGAGAAGAUGCCACAUUCUGCCAGAAGAAUAGAUAAGGCAAGGGAAAAUGAUACAUUGAAGCAUGUGGAGACAAGCACAACAAAGCACGUGUCGAUUCAUCCGCUACUUCUUCAAAAUCAAAAGUAUCUCAUAUCAUCAAGGUUGCAAUCACUCUGGGUGGAGGACUCGUUUUGACCCUCAAAUUCUUGGGUCGACUCGCUAGGCGUUGUGGGUUACACGUGCCGAUUCACCACCCUUGAAUCAAAUCCUUAAAGAUCAAGUCACCAACUGGAAGAAGAGCCCAUCAAUCUUGAAUAUCAUACCGUUGACCAAACUGCUCAGGUGUGAAAUAGAAGGAUUGAACAAAGCAACAAGUCGUCACCUUUACCUCGUGCUUGCUUGCCAUAUAUUCAAUUCAACCUUCAAGAAUCAAACCAACGGCCCUUGAGGAAAUCACAAGUCCGAUUCAAGAUCAAGCAUCCGCCACCCUUGAAUCAAACCCAGUUCAAGAAUAAGUUGUGGAAAGUCAACAACUGGAGGAAUCCAGAAAAUCCUCCAACCCAGUUCAAGAUCAAAGCUGUGGAAAGUCAACAAGUGCAACAAAAUAUGUGCCGAUUCAUCCACUACCAAAGCCAAAGAUCAUCUACCACAUGAAGCUCCUUGUGGUCCAAUUUCAACCUUCAAGAUCAAGCCCCGACGGCCCUUGAAGAAAUUUCAAACAAAGUUCAAGAUCAAGCCUCAAUGGCCCUUGAAGAAAUUUCCCGCCCAAUUCAAGAUCAAGCCUCAACGGCCCUUGAAGAAAUUUCCAGUCCAAUUCAAGAUCAAGCCCCAACGGCCCUUGGAUCGACAUCUAUAAUAAGGGACUUCAAAAUGCAUCUCCUACACGUGACAAGCACGUGUAUACGACGUGCCUUGAAGUGGGGGCAUUUGUAGACAUCAAAAUUUUGGUAAAUAAAUGUUGACCGAUAAAUCAAAGUUUCAACGCUCAUGUAUUACAUAAAUUUUACACGUACCGUGUGACUCGACGAAAAAUUGAAAUGAGUCGGAAAAGUCAUCAAACAAGAUACGUGUCAACACUUGGCAAAAACGACUUAUUUCAUCUGGAAUAUUAUAUUCAAAAUUAGGCCUUGGAAAUUUCUAUAAAUAGAAGGCUAAUUCAUUCAUUUGAAGGAACCAAAAUCAUUAGGCAAAAUUCUUGAAGCUCUGAAGCUCUGAAACGCUGAAGCUCUCAAGCAUCCAGGUUCCCGAAGAAUCAAGAAAGCUCUCUUCGUUCUUCGUUCUUCGUUCUUCGUUCUUCGUUCAUCGUUCAUCCUAAGAUCAAGCCCAAACGGCCAUUUGGAUCAACAAUCAUCCACCAAUUUAAGAUCAAGCCCCGACGGCCCUUGAAGAAAGUGUUCUUCGUUCUUUGUUCAUCAUUCUUCCAAGAUCAAACCCCAACGGUCCUUUGGAUCAACAAUCAUCCACCAAUUCAAGAUCAAGCCCCGACGGCCCUUGAAGAAAACGUUCUUCGUUCUUCGUUCAUCGUUCUUCCAAGAUCAAACCCCAACGGCCCUUUAGAUCAACAAUCAUCCACCAAUUCAAGAUCAAGCCCCUUCGGCCCUUGAAGAAAGCGUUCUUCGUUCUUCGUUCAUUGUUCUUCCAAGAUCAAGCCCCAACGGCCCUUUGGAUCAACAAUCAUCCACCAAUUCAAGAUCAAGCCCCGACGGCCCUUAAAGAAAGCGUUCUUCGUUCUUCGUUCUUCGUUCAUCGUUCUUCCAAGAUCAAGCCUCGACGGCCCUUGGAUCAACAAUCCACCAAUUCAAGAUCAAGCCCCAAAGACCCUUGAAGAACUUCCACCAAUUCAAGAUCAAGCCCCGACGGCCCUUGAAGAAAGCACCAUCGUUCAUCAUCCGUUCAUCUUAAGAUCAAGCCCCAACGGCCCUUUGGAUCAACAACGUCGACAAAUCCACACAUCCAACCGUUCUUCAAGAUCAAGCCCAAAAGCCCUUGAAGAUCCGUUCAUCACUGUUCUUCAAGAUCAAGCCCAAAAGCUCUUGAAAAUCCGUUCAUCACCGUUAUUCAAGAUCAAGCCUCAACGGCCCUUGAAUAAACACUUAUCCUCAAGAUCAAGCCCCAAUGGCUCCUUGAAGAUUCGCUCAAAUCCACCUUCAAAGAUCAAGCCCACGGCCCUUGAAGAAACUUCCAACAGUUCAUCCAAAAUCAAGCCUCGACGGCCCUUGGAUCAACGAAACAUCCACAAAUCAACGCCUUACGGAGAUCGAAUCAGAGGAUCAAAUUUGAGAGAGAUUGUAACCCAAAACCAUCAAAUACAAAUAUUAUUUUGUGCACGUUGUUCUUGUCGCUUUCGUUUCAGGAAAAUUUCGUGUUCACAGUGAGAUCUGUGUUUCCUCAAUAAAUGUUGGAGCAACGUUUUUUUUUAUUUGUGUUGCAUUGUUGUCUUUAAUUUUCAUCAUCUUGUUGAAUUUUUCUUGUUUGAUUUCGUUCUUGGUUCUGUCUAAUUUCUAAGUUUUAUCACAUCAAUUUGUAAUACUAGUUAUAUCAAACUCUCUUGAGUCAUUAGAAAUUAUGUGUUAUUUUUUCCUGUAUAAUUGUCAUGUUAUUGUUUUACACAAAUAAAUAACGUGUGAUAAUUUCUUGGAUUGUACAAAAAAUGUGUAUUUACUACACAUAAUAUGUAUGUAUCUACAAGUUUUCUUUUAUUGCUUACUUUGGUAUAGCGGAAUAUAUAUUGAGACAUUCUAAGUUAAGGUUUACUGUAUAACGCGGACAUACAAUAAAUGCCAAUUUAUAUGCCUUUGUUAUUGUUAUGCCCUCGAUAUUACAAAGUUAAAAUUGUAAAAGACAAAUGUUAAAGAGAUUUUUUUCAAAAUUGAAACUCUCAAUAAAUUCUCUAUCACCUUAUAUUUUUAGUAUUCUUGUGCCAAUAGUAUAUAACAUUACGCAAAAUAUAUAAAAUAAUAGAAGAUUUAUGGAAAAUUACAUUUUAAGAGGAGUCUCUUUAGCAUUUCUCAUUGUAAAAUUAUUAUGAAUAGUGCUCGACCGUUGUUAAAAGGAAUGAUUUAUUAAUCAUUUAUUGCUCAUUGGUUCAAAACUUUUGUGCCUUUGCUUUUGUCUCCCUUCGAAACUAAACCUUCACAAUUUAAUGGGAUAAGGAACAAUAUUUUCUGACAAAAUUACAAUUGUGGUCAGCCUCUACCUGCGGUAUGGUUGGUGGGUGUCACCAUGAAACUUCCAAGAAAUGGUGAUGCAGUUUCCUGGUUAAUUUCCAAGUCUCCCACCACACUCAAUCAGCUAUCGUCAACGCGCUCCAACUCCGAAAUUUCUAUCGAGCUUCAAUCGUAAGUAUUUCUAUGCUAAAACCCAGAUAGUUUGGUGAAGAAAAUAUAUUUUUGUUUAUCCUGUUUUGCAUGACCACCAACAAUGUAAGAGAAAAUUUAACUUUGCAUUUCUUGAGUUGCAAAUUCUAGAGCGUCUCACUUUUUCACAGUUUCCACUGUUUCUAAUCUGUUGUUGUUUUCGGAAAGUGGCAAAAUGGUCCGAAAUCAAUCCAGUUGCUGAAUUGAUCAAAAUCUAAUAGCCAUGACAUACUGAAAAAUUGAUCAGUUCAUUGUGGCAAUUGGGUGAAAAAUGAUCAUUUCGGCCAAUUUCCAUAGUUUUUUUUUAUGUUGUAAUAAAUUUUAGUUUGAGACUUCUUUUGAGUUUUUCUGAUUUUGGUGUUGGGUUUUGUUGUUAAGAAUCAACGAAUGGGUGGAGGAGCAGAUGACCUUUUCGGAGGGGCUGGUGUCGGAGCAGUAUUCAAUGUGCUGUAUGACGUCCUCAAGGAGCUGACCACCAAGAAUGAAUGUUUAAGCCCCUCCUCAAAGACAUCAAAUUCAGGUUACACUCUGUGCAACCAUAGUUGUUUUGGUUUUUGUUUUUGUUUUUGUUUUUUGUUUUUUUUGGUCGAACUCUUUGCAACCAUAGUUGUUAGAUAUAGAAAAAUCCAACAAGAUAUUGGAUCUUCAGGAUAUGGAACUAGAAAACUUAAAACAACAUUUGGAGGAGGGCACAAGAAAUUUCACAACUAAAAAUCAACAAGAGCAUGACAUUUAGGUAGAUGAGGGGUUUAUUUUUUCUUUUCCAGUUGAGCUCUUGAAGUAUUGUUAUAUAAAAUUGUUUAAAACAAAUAAGUGUACAUUAGAAAAGAUCUAUAGCUGAUAUUUCACAAAAAAAAAAAAUAGAUCUGAUUUUUAUUAAUCAACAUUGAAGUUUUUACGUACAUUCUAUGAAAACAUAUGGAAAUUCACACAAUCGGAAUCAAUUUGUCAAUAUAUGUAUAAUACACGUAAAUGAGAUGGAUUCGUAUGUGCAUGUUUAUUAAACAUGACAUAGCCUAUGUGAGUAGGGAAGCAUAUAAUUUCCCUAUGUUGAUAGUAUAUUUUGUCAUCUUCUAGUAUAUAAAAAAUAAAUAAAAAAGUAGCAUCUUCUCAAUGUAUGUGUGGGUAAUGUUCGGGGGACCAAAUUUUUAAACUAAAUUUUGUAAACCAAAUUAUAUGGAUGUUGAUGAUUGAAUUAUUACUUAACUGUUGAUUAACGUGCUUACUUCUUAUAGAUGACACAUAAUUUAGUUUGCAAACUUAAUUUAAAAAUUUAAUCACUUUAGCAUCCUAUAGGUAUAUUGUGCUAUGCUUCCUAAUAAAAUAAACAAGAUUAAAAGGAGGACAAAGUGGCUCAAUCUUUUAGAAACUAUAUAUUUGAUUUCAAGAACAAUAAAGUUAUUCUAUACUUUAAAAUUAAAACUCAUAAAGAAAAGUAUUAUUUUUAAGGAAAGAAAAUUAUACAAGGACAUAAAAAGUUUAUAAUUAGCAUUGAAAUUUUGUGCACAUUCUGUGAAAACGUAAAGGUUAUACUAUGGGUACACAUAAACUUGUGAUACACCGUUAAAGGGGAUGAAUUCUUUAUUGAAAUUUUGAUACACGUAAAUGAACUAUUCGUAAGUUUAUUGAAAAUAAUAAAGCUCACAUGAGUAGGCCAGAAUACAAUUUCCUUGUGUUUUCAUAGCAUAUGCAUAAAUAGUGUUGAAAAUAAGUUUUAUUUAUUUAUUUUAUUUUAUUUUAUUUUAUUUUAUUUUAUUUUUUAGAAAACCUUGACGGUACGAGGGAUAUUUUAUAGACAAUGAAAAAAAAGUUAUACCUAGUUAGGGGGGACAUAAACCUUACCCCUCAUAAUACCAAGAAAAUGAGAAAAAGAACAUGAAUAAGAAAGGAGACAUAAAUCUUACCUCUCUAGAAACAAAAACAAAAAUGAUACGAGGAAAAGAGGGGGGACAUAAAACCUAACAUGUCUAAAGCCAAACCUAAAAUGUCUAAAACAUGCAAAACAAGUCAAACAAGACCACCACAAGGUUAGUAAAAAACAAGAAAUGAAGACAUACACAUAUGGCGAGAUGCACAUUAGUUUGAGAAAAGGAAACCGGGCAAGCUUACAUAGUCUGAAAACAAAGCAGCACGAGCCGGCGGUGGAAGGGAGUCAUGCCACACCAAAGUUGGAGAAGACAAGCUCAUGUUAGCAAAUUUUAUCCGCAACAACAUUUGUUUCACGAUAUAUGUGAGAGGUGUAGAAUGUCAUAUUUUGAAUGCAGUCUAGACAAAUGGACCAUUGUGUACGAAGAGGCCAAGGAGGAUAAAAUCAGUUGAUUGGAAAGUAGAAAUAACACUAGAAGAGUCACUUUCCAACCAAAGGCAAUGCCAACCCAGCUAAUAUGCAAACUCAACACCAAAAAUAAUUGCUGAUAAUUCUGCAAAAAGGGAGUUGCGAUGACCAAUCAAUUGGCAAAGCCCACCAAGAAACUGACCAUGGCAAUCUUUGAAAACUCCUCCACAUGCAGCAAGAUUAGGAUUUCCUUUGGACAAACCAUCUGUAUUUGAGCGAGGUUCAAAUGCGAUAAGUCUUGGGAUUGAAACUGGCAGACAGACUAAUGAUCGAAAGGGUUUAGGGUUUAGAUUAAGGACCCCUACGAGAAAUUUUUCAGUGUCCAAAAAUGAGGCAUUCUAAAAUACCUAACAUUUUUUUUUAAUUUGAAUUUGAUUUUUUUUAUGUAUGUAAGUAUAAUUUUCUCAUCUUCUAGUACAAGUUUUAUGGAUAUUCUACAAAACCGAAACUAAAUAAAAAAUCAGAAUCUAAGCACUAUUUUCUAAAAAAUAAAUAAAUAGAUAAACUUGCAUUAAGCCCAUGAAUUCACUCAAAAUAAAAUAAAAAACAUUGCAUGCUAAAUAUAGGUGUAAUUAUAUUAGCUAUAACAAAUAUACUUUCUCCUAACACCCAAUUUGUGCAUACUAUAUGAAAAUAUAAUGAAAUUAUACUAUGGUCUCCUCUCAAGAAAUUUCCAGUUCUAUCAUUUUUCGUUAACCUAUAAUUUAUGCAAAUAGGAUCAAUUAUUAAAAGACGUAUGGUACAUGUAAAUGAGAUCAAUUUAUAAGUGCAUUGAAGAGAAGCAUAUAAUUUCCUUAUGUUUUUCAUGGCAUGUGCACAAAUUUUUUUUCAAUGUUGAAAAUUUUAUAUGUAUAUAAGCAUAUUUUCACAUCUUCUAGUAUACCAAAAGGAAACCAUAUAGUAGCAUCUUCACAAUGAAAUCUCUAACUUACACUAAGCCUAUGAAUUCACUCGCAACAAAAUUUAAACCGAAACAAAAAAAAAAAUCAUUUUACACUACUCUAAUGAAAUAAAAAGAAAGGUCAAAAUGAGGGUAAGGUGACUUUCUUUUAAUGCUAGUAACGGUCCUCUUUUUUUUUUCUUUUUUUUUUCCUUCAAAAACUAUAUACUUGAUUGCAUGAAAAAUAACGUUACUGUACAAUUUAAAUUUAAAACUCAUAAAAAUUAUACUUUUUUAAGGAAAUAAAAUUAUACUUUCUGAGGAAAUAAAUUUAUACUUACAAAACAUACAAAAUUUAUUAAUCAACACUGAAACUAUGUGCAUAUUCCAUGAAGACAUGAUGAGAUUAUACCAAAGUCUCCCACAUGAAAUUAUUAUACCAAAGUCUCCCACAUGAAAUUAUUAGCUUUGUCAAUUUUUGUGAACUUGUGAUACACGCUAAAUAGUUGAAUUUUUCAAUGAACUUUUGAUAUACGUAAAUUAGAUCUAUUGAAAGUAGCUGCUUUAGCUUCAGCUACUCGAAUUUUUUAUAUUCCUUUUUUAUUUCUCAUCAAAAGAAUGACAUCUUAUUUUGAAAAUCGUAGCUAUCCUUAGCAUGAUAUUGGGGAAUCUUAUUGCUAUUACUCAAACAAGCAUGAAAUGUAUGCUUGCAUAUUCGUCCAUAGGUCAAAUUGAAUAUGUAAUUAUUGGAAUAAUUGUUAGAGACUCAUAUGGUGGAUAUGCAAGCAUGAUAACUUAUAUGUUAUCCUAUAUCUCCAUGAACUUGGGAACUUUUACUUGCAUUGUGACAUUUGGUCUAUGUAACUGAUAACAUUCGAGAUUAUGCAGGAUUAUAAACAAUGGAUCCUGUUUUGGCCCUCUCUUUAGCCUAUGUCUCUUAUCCUUAGAGCCGCUCUCGGCCCAAUAAUCUUCUAGAAUUUUUGUCAUGGGACGUCCAGUCUGUAUAGGCCUUCCAGUCAGGAUUGGCCGAAUCCUAUUCCGAGGGGAAUUAGUUUAGAUAAGAGCGCGAUAGUCGAAACCUAGUGCAAAAAUGAGUCUUAAGGCUAAGGAUGCUGAGACUUAGGAGAUGAAUCUGGUUUGUUAAAGAGCUUGGUUCAAAGUCCUAUUGGAGUUGGGAUUGGCCGAGACCUAAUUAGAUUAGGUUGAGGAGUUCUAAUCCAAAUACAAUUCUAGCUCGGUCAUGAAGAUGGUUUGCUACUAUAAAUAGAGAAAGGAGUGCAUAAUUCAAGGCCCCUCUAAAUCAACACACAAAUUGCCCUGCGCAAAGCUUCUUAACAACCUUUGAGAUUUUAUCUUCUUCCCCUUUCUUUCGCCAACACAUCUUCACUUCGGAUAAAUAGCACUGUGAAGGCAAUCAGCGACAUCUUCAGUUUGGAUAAACAGCAUUGGAGCCGUAGAAUCAGCCGAUCAAUGAGCACAUUCAGUUUGGAUAAACAACACUACUUUGAGACCGACUGGUUAUUUAUCCAAGUCUCAGUCGACAAGGAUUUUUAAGUUCUUGUUGGUAGAGGUUAUCACAUCAGCCUUCUCGGCGAAAUGAGGUGUUACAGGUUACUGGGCUCGGCAUAUUGAAUGCCAAGUUGUUUUAUGAUUGGAUACUCGCAAGUAAGUUUUAGAGUUCAACAUUCUGACGACCGAACAGCAUUUACCAUCAAGACAUACAUCUCUUUCGAGUAUUUGUGUCCAUAUAGUCUGGUACCAGUUCGGCGUGCUUAUACUCUUACGAAUAUAAUCACCGUAACUGAACCUAGUGCCGACGAUCGUGAACUUCGCAAGACUAGCAGCCUUGUCUUAAGGCUCUAGAACCCGAAGGCCAAUACGUGUUCCUUCCUUAACCACAGUUGUAAGAUCAAGAAGUCAACAUCGCACUCAACACCACAUCAACACAUUUUACUCCCCGACCGAGCUCGGCUGUCAAGUUGGCACGCCCCGUACAUAAUCGAAUGACGUAGUUAGCUUAUUAGUUACUUGGCCUGAACGCCAUGAAGGCUUGGUAGUUUUUAGAGUCAACAUUUUGGCACGCCCAGUGGGACCCAAUGCUAAAGCUACGAAGUUCAUGACCAUUGAGACAUGGUCAGUAAAAAAGUAAACAGUCGUAAGAAAGUGAAUGACUAAUUUUCCAGUUCAAAACCCAAGACAAGAUGGCUUGCCACAUGUACACAAUCAUUCUACUGUCGUGACACUUAAAGCCACAAGUACAACACGCCGAGAAAACGAAAUUAAUCUCGGCGAUCAGACUCGUGAUACAGAAAUCCCCGCCAAAACGACAAAGGUAUUUUUGUUGAAGGAUUAGUGGAAGAUUGCGAUGAGGAUAGUGGUGAGGCUUCUGAUCCACCAACUAGAUCGUUUUUUCGACAAUGACUUGAAGAAAAAUCCUGGUAGUUUGAGCAAAUGUUCAGCUGAAAGGUAAAAAGCAUACUCGAAGAUAUGCGUGAUAAUAGUGUUAUACACAACAUGCUGCUCAAAAUAAUGCUUAAUACAACCCACGUAGGAGGACCCGCCGAUUGUUCCAGGCAGCCUCCAAUUAAGAACAAUCUCUGCCAACGAUACAGGCCGAGACAGGAUCUGCUCAGCUCAAAAUGAUCGAUUUGGAAAAAAAAAGGUGGAUCAAGCAAUAGAUCGGACAAAUUUGACCAAGGAGCAGAAAUGACGUCUAUUGAUAUAGUCGAGGUCCAUAGAAUGAUUCAUUCGGCCUUCAAAAAGGGGUCGAAGUUUCCAAAAUUCAUUCACCCAUAUCUAGCAUUUGUAGAAAAGUUCAAAUAUCCCAAGGGAUUCAAAAUUCUGGAUUUCAGCCUUUUCGCUUGAGUGUUAUCCCUAUCGUCGUUAAAACACGUGGCUCGAUUCAAUGCUAAAUGUAGGGACGUUAACAGUGAUUUCCAUAAGCUAUAAUUGUUCAAUUUCUCGUUAACCAGCUCAACAUUUGCAUGGUAUAUCAACCUCCUACCCAACUUCAUUCAAAGCUGGGAAGAACUAGUUGAGAAAUUUCAUAAGCAAUUAUAUCUAGGGAUGGACGUGACAGUAUUUUCUUUGGCCAGGAUGGCUCAAGCCUCUCACGAGUCGCCAAUGGAAUACCUUACGAGGUUUAAGUCAGCCAGAAAUUGGUGCCGAGUACCUCUCUCUGAAUUCAAGUUUGUUAAGCUUGCCCUAAACGGCCUAGAUGUGGAGUACAAAAAGAAAUUCUUGGGGGCAAACUUUUGAGAUAUGUAUGAACUGGCCCAACAUGUUGAGUAAUAUGAUUAUUUGCUCCGAGAAGAAAACAUCUCGGAGUCUCCAUCCUGAAGAACGAUCUCCAAAAACCCUACGGUUAGUUAUGCAUCGGUCGAAGACGAAGAAUCGUAAUAUGCCAGUAUAGACGUGGCCAAGAUAGUGAUCGACAAACCAUACAUAUGCAAAGCAUUGGCUCAUGCUAAUUCCAAGGAUGCCAAAACCCGCUCGACCUAUGAGGAAGCUGCUUUCAAAACAUCGAAAGUCUAUACUUUUGACAUCACCAAGGGCGAUGCCAUCAUCAAGCUUUGGCUCGGGCAUAAUAUUCCCAAAGCUGAAGAUUUAAAAGGAAAGACAUAUUGCAAAUACCACAACUCAAACAAGCAUACGACAAAUAAUUUUGUAGUAUUUUGCGAUGCCAUUUAGAGCUAGAUCAACAAUGGUAAGCCUAAGUUUCUUGAGAAACAAAUGGUCGUCGAUGCCUAUCAUUUCCCUACGGCAACGGUAAGCAUGGUGAAUGCUCAUCUACCUAGGGAUAAAGGAAAAGGAAAGGCCGAGUUCAUUCCAAUGAAAUUCAUCCUUAAGCAGAACUCUUGGUCGCGAUUGAAAAUUGAUUUAUUUUCAAACGAGCCACCCAAAGAUUUGGCAGGACUAGCUAUUGUUGAGUCAGUGUCGGACUCUAAAAUGUAGGAAACUGACGGGCCGAUGGUUUUAUGUAGUUAGUGAAAAGAAAACAUCAUCUUGACUAAGCCAAAGAAAAGUCACUUCAGGUUGAAAUACGGCAAUAUCCCAAAAAGGUGCUCAGUGCAGGCCAACGUUAGAAAGUUUUCGAUAGGCUCAACCCUCAAGUACAAGAAAACAGGCAUUCUUUGCCUAGACGACGCCUUUCGACACACCAUUUUACAAUGAAAAUUAUUAUGUGUGCAACACUAGCAAUUCAAGUUCACCCAUGAACCAACGCACCUUUAGACCACCUGAGCCAUGUGACCAUCACUGGUAUACCUACAACUUCCCUACCGAUGUAUAUACUGCGUUGUCAAAAUCACAAAAACACCAGCGCCAUAAAAUGGACUGUAUGGCUCGCCGACAAACGGCCCAGGAUACCUCAGCCACCAAAUGGCAGCCGAAAAAGACAGUUGGCAGUAAAGAUGACCAACAACCUCCGGCAAUCAUAACCGAGUUACUUCAAGGAAAUAAGGUAAUUUAUCGCGAUUUCGAAACCAUAAUUAAGAAUCUAAAAAGCGAAUUAAGCUCAUUCUUUGGCCUGGGGAAAUAAAAGCUCACCUCGAACACUUCCGGAAGGAAGCCGAAAGCAAACUCCCCCUGCUAUAUACACAAGAACCGUUGAUAAAAGUUAGACGAAAUCUCCAUCCACCAUUUCUUGGUGAGGCUUUAGAAUACAUGCAAGAGUUUCACAAGAAGCAUUCGGCAAAUAACUUAAACGGCAUGCCAAAGGCAUGUCAAUAGGCUAUUGAUCUAGCUAUAACUUGCCUCAACGCCAAACAGAUCAUUCAAAAGACCACGGAUCCGGGGAUGAAGGCUAGGUUUCAGCAUAUACGCGAGGCUCGGGUUCUCAACUUUGAGGUAGACCCGUAUACUAUUAUCGACGUAGCUGACAUUCCCUUUUCUCUUGAGGACCUCUAAUAUUUGCGCUAUCAUUUUGAAGUUUACUCAACUGUUGCCCUCUUUGGUCUACGAUCGAUGAAAAUGAGCGCGUGGUACAAUUAGACACUUACCUGGACACGAUAGACGUCUGCAUCGCGUAUCAGGAACAGACUUACAAGGAUUUACAAGACCAAGUUCCAAUGCCGAGCGAGCCAGAGGUCGGAACUCAGAAUGAAACAGCUUUGACAAACAUGCCACAUGACCACAUAGCCACUACAGUCGAAGAUAGCUAAACAAGUGAUGCCCAUGAACAAGAUACCUAGCCAGAAAAUCCAGAGGCCGAGGAUCACGACCUGAUGGGCCCUUCGUUCUAGACAACAUGGAAAUCAGCAUGGUCCAUAUCUUACCUGUCAAGUUCCAGCCAACCUCAUAUCAACCAAAUUUUCUGGACGGUGACGUGGUUGCCGAGGAAGCCACACAAGUCGAUUUAAUGGUCACCGAAGAGAUCGGGCAAGAAAGCAAAUAUGAUAAACUUAGAGCAACCCUUACAUAAUUGUUUCCCCGAUCUUCAUCCAUUAAUCUUCAUCAUUUAAAGCCGAUGUAUGUUAUGGCUUAUAUUGAAGGAUACCCAGUUUCCAAAAUUUUCGUCGACUAUGAAAUAAUAGUCAACAUCAUGUCCAUUUCUAUCAUGAAAGCAUUACGUCGCUCCAACAACAAACUCAUUCCAUCGGGGGUAACCAUAAAUAGCUUUUUCGGCAACAAAUCUUAGACCAAGGGAGUGUUUCCCUUAGAGGUGACAAUCGCAGGUCGAAAUCACAUAACUGCGUUCUUUAUAGUAGAUUCGAAGAUUAGGUAUAAUGCCUUGCUUUGUCGGGAUUGGAUCCACCAAACUGGUUGUAUCCUCUCGUUUUUGUGUCAAGUCCUUAUCUUCUGGGAUGACAAGUCGGCCGUAGUUCAUCUGGCCGACAAUCAGCCGUUUGAAGCUAAUAUAAUUCAGGCUCACUAUUAUGAUAAUCACAUCGACUGCAUCACCCUACAAGGUUUUAACAAAAAAAGACGACCGACUCGGAUCUCAGUUCAGAAAACCAUCAAGGUUGACGCCAAAACUGUUCACCAGGAUUCAGUGAGACUCGGGUUGGCUGACCUAAUCGCUAAUCCUGAUGUCUGAUACCAAACAGGAAAAACAUCGGGCCACGGUUUCAUCUACCAUAGAAUGACUAGGCAUUGGUAUACUAUUUCUAAGCAAUUGAAUUUUGGUGUAAACUUAGUAGAGUUCUUCACCGAAGGAGACAACGGCCCAGUCCUGUCACUUGACAAAGUCCAAGCCACUCUAGCCGAGCUCGAAGAUAGUCUGCCCCAAGUCAAAGAUCCAUUAAAAGAAAUAAAUGUCGAAAUGACCAAUGAUCAUCGGCCUUUAUUUAUUAGUGCUUUGUUACCCCAACUUAUGAAAUCGAGCUUUGUAAAUUACUCGAAGAAUUUAAAGAUUGUUUUGCUUAAAGUUACCAUGAAAUGCCUGGUUUAGAUCGAACACUCGUCGAACACGAAUUACGCAUCAAGGCUGGUUCUAAACCUUUCCGCCAACCCCAUCGAAGAUUCUCGAUCGAAGUUCAACUCGGCAUAAAAGAUGAACUCAUUUGACUUUUAAAAGUUGGGUUUAUUCAGACAGCUUGAUGCGUCGGAUGGUUGGCGAACAUCGUCCCAGUUUUAAAGAAAAAUGGUGCUCUACGUAUUUGCAUUGGUUUUUGAAAUUUGAAUUUAGCAACCCCUAAAGAUGAAUAUACAAUGCCAAUUUCAUACUUGUUAAUCGACGCAGCAGCAAACCAUGAGCAGCAAACCAUAAAACUACUUUUUGUUGCCCCGGGGUGCUUGAGACCUACAAAUGGGUCGUCAUGCCUUUCAGCCUUAAGAACACUGGUACCAUAUAUCAAUGCACUAUGAAUAUCGAACCACCGCCGAUCACAUUUAGAAGAUAUUCGACAAACUUUCCUUCCAAUGCGCCAACAUAACCUCAAAAUGAACCCCACCAAGUGCACCAUUGGUGUAUCGAAAAACAACUUUUUAGGGUUCCUUGUACAUCGAAGUGGAUGUAAAUAAAGCUAAAGCAAUCAUUAAUGCUCUACACCUGACAACCAAGAAGCAAUUACAAUCAUUACUCGGUAAAAUCAAUUUCCUCCACCGUUUCAUUUCCAAUUCGGCAGGGAAGAUGAAAGUUUUCUCCACAAUCUUGAAACUUGAGGAUUCUGACAAAUUUGAAUGGCGCGAGGAACAUCAAGAUGUUUUCAUGCAAAUCAAGGUCUCCCUCACUACUCUACCUGUCUUCGUGCCACCUCGGUGCGGCAAACCCCUCAAGGUGUAUAUCUCGACGGUCGAGGAAUCCAUUGGCUAUCUUCUUGUACAAGACAACGACACGGGGCAGGAGCAGGCCAUUAUUUACCUUAGCCGAAAUCUUAACCCCGCUGAGAUAAAUUAUUCACCUGUCAAGAAACUCUGCUUAGCUUUGUUCUUCGCUACGUCUAAGCUCAGGCAUUACAUUCUCCAUUCUAUUACGCAGGUCAUUGCCCAAACAGACGUUAUUCGCUAUAUGCUCACUCGGUCGAUAGUGAAAGGUCGAAUCAGGAAGUGGACAAUGGUGCUGUCCAAAUUUAGUUUGCAAUACGUGCCCCAAAAAGCUGAACAUCCAUUUGCUGAUUUCUUGGCUCAACACCCUUCUCUAUAUGGUUUUGGAGGCAAUGAUGUCAAAAUUGGCAUGAUGAAAACACGUGAUAGUUAUUGGACGAUGUAUUUUGAUGGCUCUAGUACCUUGACCUCGACCGGCGUUAGAAUCGUCAUACAGUCCCCUGAUCACUACCGAUGGUAUUUUUCUUUUAAGCUGGAUUUUGACUGCACAAAUAACCAGGCCGAAUACGAAGUCCUUAUCAUCGGCCUUAACAUCCUUCACAACUUGAGGGCAGCCUGCGUGCUCAUCCUUGGCGAUUUAGAACUAGUGAUUAACCAACUCAAUGAGGCUUUUCGUUGCAUGAGUUGUACUCUAGCGCCCUAUCACAUGGUUGCUAACUAUUUAGUCAAAUCAUUUGAAGACAUUACAUUCAAGCACAUCUCACAGGUUCGAAAUACUGACGUAAACGAAUUGGCUCAAAUAGCCUCCAGAGCACAACUUCUGAAGGGCGAGCUAGGCUAGGUCAUACCAAUAAUGCGACGUCCACAUCUUGCCUUGGUUAAUCAACAAGUUCUCCAACACGACCAUGUAAUCUGUACACGAGUUAUGUCUCUAGUUUCGUUGUUGGAAUGAAAGGAUCCUAUAGAUGUUUGUGCGGUUAAGACAUUACCUGACGACUGGAGAAAGUCAAUUAUGCAGUAUCUUGAUAAUCCCAAUGGCAACCACGACCGCAAAACAAGGGUACAUGCCACAAAUUACGUAAGAAUAAGUUAUACCGAAACGGUGAAGACAGUCUGUUGUUAUUAUGUCUCGGUUCAGAAAAAGCCACCCAAGCUAUUACUGAGGUACACAAAGGAAUAUGCAGGGCUCAUCAAUUUGGACGUAAAACACGAUGGUUGCUUCACUGACACGGCUAUUUCUGGCCGAAUAUGUUGAAAAAUUACAUUGAAUACGCACGAUGAUGGGUACAAUGUCAAAUCCAUGGGCAUGUAUAGAAAGUCCUGGCCAAAUGACUUCAUUCAAUCACUAAACCAUGGCCAUUCAAAGGGUGGGCCAUGGAUGUGAUCGGCAAAAACAUGCCAUCUUCUGGAUUAGCAAAGCAUGCAUGGAUACUCAUUACGACAGAGUACUUCACUAAGUGGGUCGAAGUGAAGUCAUACGUGAGUUAACUUCUAAAGAGGUCUGCAACUUUGUAGAAGAAAACAUCGUGACAAGAUUCGGCAUACGAGAAAUGAUCAUCACGAACAACGACAUAAUUUUUACAUCCGACAGGUUUAAAAAAUACGCAGCGAGUUUGAAAAUUCGGCUCAAUCAGUCUACGCCCUAUUACCUACAGGCAAACGGAUAGGCCAAAGCAAGUAAUACAGUUUUAAUAGGUAUUCUUGAGAAAAUGAUAAAAGAAAAGCCUGGUAUGUGGCAUUUGAAGUUAAACGAGGCAUUAAGGGCAUAUCGAACUUCACUCUGAUCAACAACAGGGACAACCUUAUAAACUCGUUACGAGUUAUCUAACAAAGCAGUUUAUUCAAUGCCGAGUACAAUCAGGCCAUGAGGCAAAAGUUGGAAGACUUGGAGGAAGCUCGGCUUGAUGCUUAUAACUUACUAGUGGCAUAAAAAAAGAUUGUUGAACAAGCUUAUAAUCGAGGAGUUAGGCAAAAGACGUUUAGCGAAGGUGAAUUAGUAUGGCAAACCAUUUUGCUAGUGGGGAUCAAAGACCCUAGAUUUGGGAAAUGGUCGCCGAAUAGGGAAGGACCAUUCGCCGUCCACAAAGUUCUCGGCAAAGGGGCAUACCACCUUAAGGAUCAAAUUGGUUUAGUCCAUAAAUUACCAAUCGAUGGGAAAUUUUUAAAGAAGUAUCAUCCAAUUACUUGGGAAAUGCAAGAAUAAUUUUUUUUUUUCAUUAAUUCUCAAAAGGGGUACAAGCAAGAUUACAAAAAGUCAAUGGCCUACAACUGCAGACAAAAUCCUAAAGGGUCGAAGGAAGAAAAGCUUCAAGAGCGACUUUCAGUUCUAACCACCUUACUUCGCCUAUCGUGACUUCGACCUGCAUUGUUCUUUUAUCAAGUUGUAGUUGCUGUAUCUGCUUCGCGUCAGCUCCGUAUUCCGCCAGUAGAGGUUUAUUCGACUCAAAAUCCUUUUCAAGCUCCAAAGCAACGACCGACCUUUGACGUUGAAGUUCAGCGAUUUAACAGUCGAGGUCGGUCAGUCAUUUCUUCUUUGCCUUUAUUGCCUCAAGCUCUGGUCGGAUAGCUUCAUAAGCAACCAUUUCAGCAUUGAGGUCAUCCUCUGCCCAAAUAGCCCUCUCAAAAAUAGUGAAGUACUGCCAAGUUCGCUCUAGGACAUUGGACAUGUGAAUAACACUCUCAUUGCUCAGAAGGUCGUCGGUUGCAAGGUCGUUCAUUCAUUGUCCUACAGAAUAGUGGCCUUUGCGUUGGAGGAUUUGCGAGGCCAACAGGGAUAGAAGCUUCUGCAACAUGGCGAAUGUGCCAGACUUGGCGCAGUUGCAGAAGCCUCAGGGAUCCUAGAAGUGCUAGAGAGAAGAGCGUCGAGCUCGACUUCCCUUGAAGGCUGCAUAAAGAAUAAUUGUUAGGAAAAAGAGAAUUCAAAAGGGAUGGCUGAAAAUGAAGUGGUGUUAGACCUGCUAAGAUGAGACUUCAGCCAUGUCUGCUGGUUCGAUGCUCAAACCCAGAGAGCUUAAUGGUUGAGCCCAGUGUUUAAGACAGCCUUUUAAUUUAUAUGACCGAUGAAGGUUAUCUACGUUUGAUGGCCAUUGAGGUGGCCAGGAAAUAUAAAUAACGCCCUUUGGCGUAUAGAAUUUUCAAUGAAAUAAGGGAUUGGGCACCUGACAUUUAAUGGUUUUCUUGGUUUAGAAUUCUAAGGUUGUAAAUUAAUAAAAGAAAAUGAUUGAGCCUUACAAAAGUCGAAGUGAACUUUUGAGGAAGAAUGCCAAUAUUUUGGUCCUAAUGAUGAACCAGUGUCUCUGCUAUCGCCUCUGGCUCGACUAAAGGCGCCGCUUCAAGCCUAUGACCUACUUCAACCAGUCGAGGGUGCCUUACUAGCAAGGAUGCCUCGCUCUUCUUCUCCUGGUCAUAAAAAUUGGUCGUCCAGUUAAGAGAUUCAUUUAAAAUGAUAGAACACCAAAGGAAAUUGUUAUACCUUUUCUUCUAGGAUGAUCACUGAAUGUUUCUUUGGAUUAGGGGGAGGGUCCUUCUCGGCUGUAGAAGUCGUCUUCUGCAAAGUAGCAACCGUUGGGUCGACAUCAGCAUGAGCAACGCCCGGUGUCGAAGUUGCAAGUUCCUCGAUAACCGGAGCUAUGAUCGAUUCGACCACGACAACGACUUGCGUGGUAGGUUGGACCGCGGUCGCCUGGCCUGUGGUUGGACCGUCGGGUUUCGCAAUACCAUUGCUGAGACUUGGAUAACAUGAGAAAGGAGAGGGGCACUAUGAGUUAUUGCUCCCAUAGUUUGACUAGAGAUGAUGUGAAUUUCCUGUUAUUCCUCCCUUACCUUUUUCUUGAUGCUUUUUUCAGGCCAGGCAACAUUGCCAGUUGUCUUAAGCUCCGGGUGAGAUUGUUUACUCUGUCCAGUCAGCGUAGCAGGGGUUACUGCUCGAGUUGGUUCAAAUGAGGAAGGUACAACGGUCAUAGCCUUCUUGAGAGGAAGGGCGAGUUUUUUCUUGGCCGCGACCAUUGCAACCACAUCGGCCCAUUUUAUUAACCAACCACCUAGAAAAACUAAGCUUGAGUCAAAACGAAGUUUAAACAGACAAAGUUGAGGAGAAAUAACAAAGAAAUGAAGAGAUGUAUACCUUAAGCCAUUUCUUUGGAUUUUGGAGUAAGAGUCUUUUAAGGCCAAUCGCCAAAAAGCUUAUUUGAAGUAAGCAUCCCACCAAUCGGCAAAGGUGCUGGUACAGUGGGUUUCUGGAAUGCUCGGCCAAAGAUGGAAUUUAGUAUUUUGCUCUUGGAACUCUUUCUCGGCUUCUUUGCACUCCCUUUUCAAGGAGCCAGAGAGGCGUUCUCGGCGCAAGAGAGAGCGGGAAGUGAGGAGUGGCACAAGACAGCCUUGGAGGAAGCUUAGUUGACGAGCCAGAAAGUUGGGGUGAUAAACUUCCCAGCUAGCCCACCGAGGGUCGCAAACUAGGGUGAAUGAGCCCCAAGCUCGUCGAAAGUCGGCCUCUUCUGCUUCUUCCCAAGCCGAUGUUGAGAGUGUGAUGAAAUAUCGGUAUUUCUGGCGACGGUAGACUAGAAAUUCGUCGUUUGACAAAUCUUCAAGGCUGAAGAAAUAAUUGAAGAUUCCUUCAGUCGAGUGAGUAGGAAAAGGCACGAGGUCAAUUGGAGACCCAUCGAUUCGGAAGAAUUUGAAGCUUGGGAUUUCUUGCCUCAGUGUUGAAAAAAUAGACCUGCAGCCAGAGUUGGAAGACGUAGAAUGGGUCGUUCUCGUGUGUGUCAAUUUUUCCAACAAAAGCCUCGGCCAAGCACUAGUCGAGGUUGGCAAUGAUGGCUGGGCUAAGGGCUAGGACAUGGCCACUGGCUAGAGUUUCGGCCACUGGCAUGUUUUUGGCCAAGCACUUAUUUGACUUAGUACAAGAGACGAACUUAUUGUACCAAUAGAACAAGAAGGCCUCAUGCUCUCAUUUCUUAAGAGCUUCUCCAUUUGAGUCAGUGAAGUGGAUGAUCAGAAUACUGUAGUUGAAGAAAUUUUUGUGCAAUUUUUGCACGUCUUCUUAUGACGGCUCUUGAAAUCUUCGACGGCCCGCUCGUCGAAGACUGCUUUCAGGUCCAGGUUGAAUUCGUACCGAGAUAUAGUAGAUCAAUUAGGAGACCAAAAAGAGAGGUGCCAAGUAUGGCCGUGAUGUCUAGCACAGGUGAACUGAUGAAACCGAGAGGAAUGAUCAUGAUGUUGGUGGCUAAACACCAAAAGCUCAGGGAGGCCAUCAAGAGCUUUCCGUCCAUGGUGAUUUCAAAGGUCGACAGCUUGAUGGCAUCAAAGAUUCCGAGAGUCUUCCACUCGCCACUAAAAUGUGGUUCCAUUCGAGUGACCCAAGCAGCCCAGGUAGCAAGGGUCGAGGGCUAGGCUCUUUGGGGUUUGGCCGAUUCCCACUUCGACCAGUCGUACCCUUGGAGCAAGGGUUUCAGAUAGUGGGCCUUCAUCAUCUCGGUGAUGACUUCUAGGACGUUAUCUUUGAAAAGUGGGUCGACGAUUUGGUGGGAAGCACUCGAAUCACCCUUAAAUCGGAGGGUUUUGAUGGUAUUUCGAUCAAUGAAGUCUUCAUACUUGUCGCAUUCCUCGGCGAGCUUGGUGAUAAAGGUGUUGGUAGCCAUUGAUGAAGACUUGAAGGUUUUCUAGGUUUCCAGAUUUGGUUUCUUUUCUGGGUUGAGAGCAAAUGGCAAGAAAUUUUGGAGAUUUGAAAUCGUAAAAGGUCAAGUGAAUUUUGGAUGAGUAUUUAUAGGCAUUUGGAAAGAAGAUCAAUAGUUUAAUUUUCAGGAGUAAGGGGUAAAAUCGACCGAAGAGUUUUGUAAUCAUGAGAUAUUUGAAAAUACAGGUGAAGAGGCCGAAAAGCAUGGGGAUUUAGGUGCACGAUUGUGUGUAAUGGCGAAAUUUAUGACAAAGAGACGUUUAGGCGUUUGCACGCCUCGAACGUGAAGGCACGCAUGAUUGAAAAUGGACAGUCGCACGGAGAAGCUGCCACGUAUCGACCUAUGCAUGAAUAAGAUGGAAGUGGGAGAACGUGGGAGUUGCCAUGUGUCAAGUGGCGCAGCGUUGUCAGGGAAAUGAUGGGUGAAAAACCAUGUUUCAUAAAUGUGUUUGGACGAUUAGAGUGUUCGAGGUUUGUAGUGUUCUUUGGAUUUUCAAAGGGAAUAUGUUGAGGUUUCUUUGACAUGAAUAUCACUUCUUCCAGGUUGAGGCUUGGCUAGAGAUUGUAGGCCGAAGACCUCAGAAGUGAGGGGCAAUGUUUGGGCCCAAAAUGAUAGUUUGGGCCGAGCUUAGAGUCGCUCUCGGCCUAGUAAUCUUCUAGAAUUUUUGUCAUGGGCCGUCAAGUCAUCAUAGGCCAUCCAAUCAAGAUCGGUCGAAUCCUAUUGCGAGGGGGAUUGGUUUAGAUAAGAGCGGGAUAGUCGAAACCUAGCGCAAAAAUGAGUCUUAAGGCUAAGGAUGCUGAGACUUAGGAGAUGAAUCUGGUUUGUUAAAAAACUUGGUUUAAGGUCCUAUUGGAGUUGGGAUUGGCCGAGACCUAAUCAGAUUAGGUUGAGAAGUUCUAAUCCAAGUACAAUUCUAGCUCGGUCAUGAAGAGGGUUCACUACUAUAAAUAGAGAAGGGAGUGCAUAAUUCAAGGCCCCUACAAUUCAACACACAAAUUGCCAUGCGCAAAGCCUCUCAACAACCUUUGAGAUUUUAUCUUCUUCCCCUUUCUUUCGCCAACACAUCUUCAGUUUGGAUAAACAGUCCUGCUUCGAAACCGACUGGUUAUUUAUCCAAGUCUCGGUCGACAAGGAUUUUCGAGUCCUUGUUGGUAAAGGUCAUCUCAUCAGCUUUCUCGGCGAAGUGAAGUGUUACAGGUUACUAGGCUCGGCAUAUUGAACGCUGAGUUGUUUUAUGAUUGCAUACUCGCAAGUAAGUUUUAGAGUUCGGCAUUUUGACGGCCAGACCACAUUUACCAUCAAGACAUACAUCUCUUUCGAGUAUUUGUGUCCAUAUAGUCUGAUACCAAUUCAGCGUGCUUAUACUUUUACGAAUAUAAUCACUGUAACCGAACACGGUGCUGACGAUCCUUGAACUUUGCAAGACUAGCAGCCUUGUCUUUUGACUCUAGAACCUGAAGGCCGAGACGUGUUCCUUCCUCGGCCGCAGUUGCAAGAUUAAGAAGUCAACAGCGCGCUCAAUGCCACAUCAACACAUUUUAUUCCCCGACCGAGCUCGGCCGUCAAGUUGGCACACCCCGAACAUAAUCGAAAGAUGUAGUUAGCUUAUUAGUUAUUCGGCCUACGCGCCACGUAUGCUUGAUAGUUUUUAGGGUCAACAGCUCCUUACGAGCGUUGUUUUUGUUUACUAUUAUCUAAAACUAAUCAAAUUAUUAAUGACUUGACAAAACAAAGAAAUAAACCUUCACAUGAGUAGUGUCAAUAGGUACCACAACGCUGAAGUAACCCAUCCAGUGACGAUAUUGUAGCAGAGGCCUUGCGGAAAUAUAGCUCGACGCCAGGAUGAUAAAAAGUUUAACACCUCUCAUUCUUGUUACUUUUUCAAAACGGUAAACAAAAUUGAAAAUGAAACUUAAGUUUGAAAAUGACGAAGCUUGUGUGAGCAUAUCAUUAUACAAUUUCUUAUAUUUUCAUAGCAUAUGCACAAAAACUUUCAUGUUGAUGAAUAAGUUUAUUUUUAUGUAUAUAAUUAUAAUACUUUGUCAUCUUCUAUUAUAAGUUUUGUCCAUAUUUACGAAACUAAAAAAUAAAAAAAAUAAAAAAAUAAAAAAGUAGCACCUUCGCAAUAUUUAUUCAUGCCCAUAAAUCCACUCACAAUAAAAUUAAAAAACGAUGGCGUAAUCAUAUUGGUUAGAAAACCAGGAGGAUCCUCUUUGUGAGGAUCCGAGGGAUCCUCCAAUCACAUCUGUUCAUCGUACAUUGUGCGGUUAGAAACCAUUGUAAAUUUUUUUAUUUAAAAUUAAAUAUGAACAGUACCUGACAAAAAUUGAUCGCACAAUGUACGAUAAACAGAUGUGAUUGAAGGAUCCCCGAGAUCCUCACAAAGAGGAUCCGGCGAGGAUCCUCUCUCGUUAGAAAAGAUAUAUUAUUGCUUUAGCAUUAAUAUGUUGCCCCAAGGCAUUGGCAAAUUGAGUAGUUUAAAAAAGAUCAACAAUUAGUCAUUUAGUAUUGCAGUCUAGUCGUAUUCAUCUUCACUUGGAUGUGAGAGGUCUUUCCAAACUUGUGAGUUUAAGGGAAAUUUAAUAACUAAUCAAUAAGUUUAAUUUUUUAACUUGUUUUUCUCUUUCGGAGGGAAAAUGUGGUUUGUGUUUUUAAUGGGAGUCUUUAAACUUUUCUGUAACAUAGUUUCACAAUCAAUCAAUAUACAAAGUUUCUUGACUUUUUGGUCUGAAAUUCAGUAUGUGAAUCCAACACCACAAUCUGAUUCAUGCUCUCCCAAAAUAAUUUUUAAAAGAAAAAGGAACCAAAAAAAAAUGGUUGAAGAAUCUCUAUAGGAUAAGAACUUUCAUGUUACAAGAUCAAGUGUUAAUCAUGUCGUGUGUAAGUUUUUCUAGUAUCUAUACUCACGUAUGCCCGUCAAGUUUCCUGAGUUGUUCAUAUAUAAUAUUGAUGCAUUGCCAAAUCUAGAAGAAUUGAUUGUUAUUGACUAUUGCGAUGAAUCGGUCUCAAACUAUGUAUUCCAACUAAUACAGUUUGAUUAGUCUCGUUCAAUACUAUUAGAAAAAUUACAGUUUUUAUAGUUACCUUACUUGAUCAACUUUAAAUUUAUUUUCCUUGAAGUUGUCAUUGACAAAAUAGACAACGUAACUCAAAAGGAGGACAAAGUGGCUUUCUUUUAGUGCUAAUACAAAUUCUUAUAGAAACUAUAUAUUGAUUGCAUGAACAAGUUCAAUUUAAAUUUAAAUAUCAUAAAGAAAAAUUAUAUUUUUUAGGAAAGAAAAUUAUACAAGAUGUUUAUACCAUAUUUAGGGCCUCGUAUUUAGAUCUCGUACAAAUACUCAGGGGACUUAAAUGUAAUUAUGGAAUAAAGGAAGGGGCAAAUAUGUAAUUAGGGGAGGAGCCCUUAUUCUAUAAAAGGGCCUCCUCACCCUCACAAACCCUAAGCUUCCUCACACCCCCUAAGCUCUAAGCUCUCUCUCCCUCACUUCUCAGAGAAAUAUAAUACAAUCAGUGUGGACGUAGCCCAAACUUUGGGGUGAACCACGAUACAUCUUGUGUUAUUUACAUUACUUGCAGAUUCACGGUCGGAUUUACGUUGUACCAAGACCAUCCGGUUUUGUGCAUCAACAUUUGGCGCCGUCUGUGGGAAUCGACACAAAAAACUAUGUCGGUUCUCUUUCAUUUUUUCACCUCCACCAUGAAUCUGCAAAAUCUGCAAGAACCCAAAACCUUACUCCUAGCAAAGUGUGCCAUGAUUGUUGUUCCUUGGAGCGAAAUAUUAACAAUACGGGAAGGGUAUAGUGGUCCAGUGCAGAAGACGAAACGCAUGCUUAGACUCGGACUCAGCCUCGGGACAACGAUACCGCCGUCGCUGACCUUGACGCCGAUGGUGGCUUCUUUUCUCUGGAGGGAAUGUUACAGUGGGCCAUAGGCCACUCCGAUCCCGUCCAAUUGAAAGAGAAGGCGCGAGAUAUCGAGCGAUUGUCUCCCACCGACCUAAACGACUGCCGGCUGGCGAUAAAACAACUCACGGACGAGCUGAAGACGCCUUCGAACACGCAGCUGAUGCAGAUUACGAUUGACGACUUGAGUAACUUCUCGCUGUCGUUGGAAGAUCAACACCGUGCUCUGGAAGAACUGGUGCUCCAGCAGAUCCAUUGAGCCUCUGAUUUCAGACUAUGCAUCUGCCUCUACCUGUCAAACUCUUUCUCAUCUCUCUCUCUCUACAAAACCCAAAAAGCAGAAAAAUCAGAAAAAUGAAACCGAAAAGGGGAAACAUGUCAUGCUCCGUCGCAGUUGUUAACUCACCGAUGUCUUACCCGCCGUCGUCCCUAUUCUGCAACAAAUCCUCCAUGAUCUCUCUGGCCCCAGAAACCAUGACUUUACCUCCGCCGCCGUCGGCCUUGUCACCAUCGGGAUUGGCUUCGUGUUCGUCUCUGUCGUCAUCGUUUCGGAUUCGGAUCUUGAAUCCGUCGAACAGGUUGUCAUGUUCAGGUCCGGGGUCUCCAGUGAUGCAGCUGAAGAGGAAGAGGCCGGCGAAGCUUUGUAUUCUGGUGGUGUCCCCGGGAUUUGGAUCUGCUCCGCCGACGCUGUCGACGACCGAUUGGAGAUAGGUGAUAGAGGUUCGCUACUUAGCUAGUCUUAAUCUUGAAGGAACUGUUGAAAGCCGGGAGGAUCACAUUACCGACUCGAACGACUGAGAGUCAGAGGAGGAGAAACAACGUGGUAGUACAUGGUUUCCCCUCGUAGGAAAACUGUUGUAUAACCCCAUCAGUUCGAGCCCAGGCCAAUUACUCUGUGAUCAUCGGGGAAACAUGUCGUGCUCAGUCUCGUAGGGCCCACCAGAACCAGAAGGCGGAGCAACCCUGCGUGUCUGGAAGUGGAACCACAUAAUGUUUAAUGCAGACAAGGUGUGGUGUGUGGACCUGCAAGCCUAGUGAACUCAAUGAUGGAUCUAUACCAAAGAAAUCCAAAGAAAUCCAAGCUGGGAUCCACUGUGUACCCUUAUCCCCAGGUUUUUACAUCUGUGGUGGAGCUUUACAACAACAUUCUCUCAACCCAUUCUCUGCUGGAGCACACUAAUGUAUUUGUGUUGCUUGACAAUGAUGCCAUCUACGACAUCUGCAGAAACAAAAGCAAAAGAGAAAGGAAAAAGCAAAAGAGAGAGAUGCAAGCUAUCACCAAGUCGGUUCAAGCAAGGCUAGAGCAACAAAGGUGCAGAGAUCAAGAAAAAAGCAAAAAAGCAAGGGGGAACAAAGCAGAAAAGAGAAAGCAAAAGAGAAAAGCAAAAGAUUUUCCUAUUAUUAUGAUUCCUUCUGUCUACCAGGUUGCAAAAGUAAGGAAUAAACAUCCCACCCGAAUGAUGUAAUUUAUUUUUAUUAUCUUUCAAAAGGUAAUAUGUAUAAACCCCAUCAAAGGGUAAUAACAGUAAAAAAAAAAAAAAAAAAACGGCAAAGCCCAAAAUAAAUGGGCUGACAUGUUGUGGAGGGCAGAGGCCCAUAAGCCCAAAAUAGCUCCAAUCAGGCGAUCAAAAGUACGCUCAAUACUCAAAAAUUAUUCAGCAACCUGCCGCUAUUACCACCAACCAAGCAAUCAAAAGUACGCCCCGUACUCCACAAUUAUUCGGCAACCUGCCGCUAUUAUCACCAACCAGGUAAUCAAAAGUACGCCCAGUACUUCCAAAAUUAUUCGGCAACCCGCCGCUAUUAUCACCAACCAGAUGACCAAAAGUACGCCUAGUACUCCAAAAAUUAUUCGGCAACCUGUCGCUAUUACCACCAACCAGGUGAUGAAAUGUACAACCCGUACUCUAAUAUCAUUUGGCAACUAGCUAUUCAUACCACCAACCAGGUGAUGAAAUGUACAACCCGUACUCUAAUAUCAUUUGGCAACUAGCCAUUCAUGCCACCAACCAGGUGAUGAAAUGUACAACCCGUACUCUAAUAUCAUUUGGCAACUAGCUAUUCAUGCCACCAACCAGGUGAUGAAAUGUACAACCCGUACUCUCCUUCAUGCCACCAACCCGGUGAUCAAAAGUACGCCCAGUACUUCAAAUCAUACAUGAGCAUUACUCAUGUCAUUCAUACAUAAACAUUUAUGAGCAUCACUCAUGACAAUCAUACAUUAACAUUCAUGAGCAUCACUCAUGUCAAACAGCUUCAAAAGAUUCAUUUACAGAGCUCUAACUUCAAUGCUUCACUUGCAAAGCUUCACUUGCAAAGCUUCACCUACAAAGCUUCAGUGCAAGGUAUACAAAUACCGCCUCCGAACAACCGCCACUUCGGCCCAUACAUGGAUUCAAUUUGAAGUCUCUAGCCAACAUACUCUAUUGACCGAAGACUUGGGGGACUACACUAUACACCAUAUAUUGGGCCUCAACUGGGCCUCAUGAAAAAUACUCGAGGGACUUAGCCCAUUACUUAUGUAUGGAGGGGCGAGCUCUUAUUCUAUAAAAUGGACUCCCUCACUUUCAUUAAAGAGCACCCAUUAUUUAUGUACUGAGGAGUGAGCCCUUAUUUUAUAAAAGGGCCCCUCUCAUCACCAUUAGAGAGCAUCGCCGCCUACUGAGCAACCGUCUCGCUGCGAGCAUCAACUCUCACCCAUCACUUAUGUAUUGAGGAGCGAGCCCUUAUUCUAUAAAAUGGACUCCCUCACCUUCAAACGCCACAAGCCGAGCCAACCAAGGCAACAUAAGCUACAAGCAGAGCGGCCUCGCAACAUGUGCUACUUCUAGUUGAGCAUUAUUUCAGAUUGGGCACCGCCUCAUAUCAAGCAUUAGUUCUAGACGACAUCUAGUUACUUCGGCCCACACAUAGACUGAAUUUCAAGUCUCCAGCCAAAAGACUCUCUUGACUGAAGACUUGGGGGACUACUGUUUAUACCAUAUUUAGGGUCUCGUAUUUAGAUCUCGUACAAAUACUCAGGGGACUUAAAUGUAAUUAUGGGAUAAAGGAAGGGGCAAAUACGUAAUUAGGGGAGGAGCCCUUAUUCUAUAAAAGGGCCUCCUCACCUUCACAAACCCUAAGCUUCCUCACACCCCCUAAGCUCUAAGCUCUCUCUCCCUCACUUCUCAGAGAAAUAUAAUACAAUCAGUGUGGACGUAGCCCAAACUUUGGGGUGAACCACGAUACAUCUUGUGUUAUUUACAUUACUUGCAGAUUCACGGUCGGAUUUACGUUGUACCAAGACCAUCCGGUUUUGUGCAUCAACACAAGACAUAAAAAGUUUAUUAAUCAACAAUGAAAUUUUUGUGCAUCUUCCAUGAAAACAUAAGGAAAUUGUACUAUGGUCUCCUCAAAAGAAAUUCUCAAUUCUAUCAUUUUUCGUAACUUGUGAUACACGCUUAGGGAGAUGAAUUCUUCAAUUAAAUUUUAAUACACAUAAACGAGAUCUAUCUGUAGUUUAUUGAAAAUGAUGAAGCUCAAGAAUACAAUUUCCUAGUGUUUUCGUAGCAUAUGUAGACAAAUUUUUAUUUUUAAAAAUAAUAUUUUUUAUGUACAUAAGUAUAAUAUUUUUGCAUCUUUUAAUAUUAUUUUUCAGUUAAAACCUAUAUUUUUUGAAUUAAUUUUUAUUUUAUUUUAAUGCAAGAGUUGAAGAAGAUCUAAUAAUAAAAUACAUCAACUCACAAUAAAAUAAAAAAUAUACCGGCGUAAUUAUAUUGGCUAGAAUAAAUAUUUAAUUCCUUUCAAAAAUCAAAACACCUUGUUGAAUAAUUAAUUGAAAUUAUUGAAAAAGGUAAGUGUUAGAGUAAAUGUAGAAAUAUAGAGAAUAAAUUGAACGAUGACUUUGAGGUACAACUUGAAUUGUUUCCUUAAAGUGUUAUUUACCCCCACUCGAAUGAAUUUGCUAGAGUUCUUGGCAAAUCAUUUCCAGGAUACAACAAAAUAUGAAAUAUUCGAUUAGCAAAACCGAAUUGUAUUCCCUUAGAAAUAACUAGAAAGAAAUUGUAUGAGUGUGAUGGAGAGAAGAGAGAGCAAAGAAAUUGUGUAGACAACAAAUUUUUCAAUGAAUUUCUCUCUACCAAUUUACCAAUAUAUAGGGGAGAUUGCACCCGUUAGACAUAUCCUUUGGUUUUGGAUAUGCCUUCUCGGCAUGGGAUACAUCAUUUGGUUUUAGGUAUACCUUUUCGCCAUGGGAUACAACUGAAUUAAUAUUACAGCAAUAUGCUCAAUACGCAUGUCAGAUGUAAAGCAUCAAUUACCAAAGGCUAUGUCUGUUAGGCCCUGUUUGGCAGCCCGUAUAAAGCAUCGGAUAGGAUAAAUAAUACGGACCCGAGUGUUUGGCGUUGUUCCAUACUAAAUAGCAACCGGAUUAAUUAUACCGGCCCCACAUGAUUUAUACGGUACACACCUGUUAAUUUAUCCUCCCUAAAACGUAAGGAUUAUUAGUCGGGUGGGAAACAACGAUCGCUCUCUCCCUCUCUCCCUCUCUCCCUCUCUGUCCCUUACUCGUCGCGUUCCUUUCUCUCUCUCUCGCAUCGUUCAGCCACCGUCGUUCGUCGUUCGUCGUUCAGCCAUCGUUCAGACGUCGUCCAGCCGUCGCCGUCUAGCCGCCAUCGUUCUGCUUCUACUUUGCUCUGCUCAGUUCCUUUCUCUCUCUCGCAUCGUUCAGCCAUCGUCGUUCUUCUUCUACUUUGCUCUGCUCCGCCCUAAAUUAUUGGGGAAGUUAUAGAUCCCUUCAAAUUAAGUUUUAGAACUCCAUAAUUUCUAUAAAAUUCUAUGAAAUUACUGAGGGUUGGAAAUCCAAUUAAUAGAUUUGGUUAACAGGAUUUGAAACCCAACGACCUGCAAUCGCCUAUUCGCCGGAAUCUGGAGCAGAUCUCAUCGAUUCCCGGAAAACUUCAAGAGCCAAAUGCUCUGUCAAUCCUCGCCGACGUGGCUGGACCUUCUUCUCCGUUUGAAGCCGCACCUUCACAGUGCCUCGAUUUGUCGUAAAACACACCCUUAACGGAUCCAUGUUGUCUGCAGAAGAUCAACCAAAAAGGGUUUUAUGCCAAACAUGAAUGACAAAUUAAAGGCACUGCCCUUUUUUGAUUAUUCUAUCAUUUUUUUUUUUAUCAUAUCCGGUAUAAAACCAAACACCGUAUAAAUAAUACGGUCAUUAGUCCGAUACUGCACCAAACGUCCGACUAAUUUAGUCAGUACUAUCCGGUGACUAUUUAUCCUAUCCGACAGAAAUAGUCAGUACAGUCCGAGCUGUCAAACGAGACCUUAGUAAAUUAUGCACUAGUCAGACAUGGAUCAUGUCUUUUAGCAAAGUUGGAAAAGUCACAUUAAUCUAAUGAAGAGCAACUGUUGGGCAAAUACCCAACUUCUUCCACACGAACGUAUGACUUUUCAUUUAAUCUGAUGAGGCAAAUACCCAACUUCUUCCACACGAACGUAUGACUUUUCCUUCUUCCACACGAACGUAUGACUUUUCCUUUAAUCUGAUCAAGAAGAGCAACUGUUAGGCAAAUACCCAACUACUUCCACAAAAACAUAUUAAUAUAUUAUUAAAAUAUUCAACAGUAGGAACCUUGAAGGUAGUUGCAUGGUACUUUAACAUUUGGUUUUCUUUUACAAUUUCUUCGAAGUUGGGAAUGGAAUCAUCAAAAGAGAACAGGUUAAAGGUUUGUUGAAGAAAGUCACCCACUAUAGGACGGUCAACACGCUUUCGUUAUGAAUAAUGUUUUUGUGGUUGUUGUUGUCUUGGUCGUCGUUGUCAGGACAACUUUUCAAUUGAAUGCCCUUCCAUUUUUUUGGAACUGGAUUUCUCGAUCCAAAAUGAUUUAAGCCUACUAAUUAAUGAAUUCGAACCAUUAAAAUUUGAUUCAACGGUUAAAAAUAAAAGAUUCUUUUAAAAAUUAUAAUAAUUAUAGCUAUUGGAUUCAAUUUUAAUGGUCCAAAUUUAUUGAUUAGUGACCUCAUAUCCUUUUAAAUCCGGAGGAUCCGGUUCCCAUUUUCUUGACCCCGCCGUGCGCGUUAAACCGAAAGUCCUACCAAAUGACACGGUAACUCCAACAAACAUGGACAUGAAGUAUUAAAAUAUGUUUGAUAAUUAUUGUAGUUUUUCUAUUCUGGAUUUUAGUUUAAUUUAAAAGCUAAAAGUCAGAAAAAAUUUAAAAAUUUAAAUAUGUUUGGUAAUUGUUUUUAAAUUCAACAAAAAAAAAAGUUAAAAAUUGAAGAUGAAAUGGUAAUCAAUCAGCCUCAUAACUUUCAGUUAAUCAAUCGGUCUCGUAGCUUUCAGUUUUCAAUUAGCCUCACAAUAAGUGCAAACAAAAAUUAAAAAUGAAAUGAUUAGAAAACAGUCCCUAAAUUUUCUAAAUGCUAACUUGGCUAAACUAGUUGCCCCAACAUUGGCGGAUCUGAGAGUGAAACAGACAUGAUAAUAAGCAAAAAACACAUCCAAAUCUUGAAGUAAUCUAAACUCAAACUCAAAAGACUAAGAUGGAGCUCCAAAGCUAAAGAAACUUCAUGCAUGGUGAAAUUGUCAAACACUUCGCGAAUAAUAAGCAAAAAAUUGCAAUAUAACAAACAUGAAGACGCUAUUUGACAAUAAGCAGUGCCAACUCAAAGAAGAACUGGUAACAAAACAACUAGUGUCUGCCCAUGUGGAUUUUGUUAUCAACACCAUCACCGAAGCUACCAAGAACAACAAAGUAAACCAUAGAGGACCCAAUAACACACCAAUAAAAAAAACUAAAAUACUCACCAGGAGAGACUCACAAAAUCCACACCAAGAAGCCUCUUAUUGACGGAAAAAAUAAAACGAAAUUAAGGGCUGGUUUGGUAUUGCUGUGCUUUGAAAAAAAAAAAAAAAACUGAUUCUGCUGUGCUGUGAGAAUACGCUCAUUUUUGCUGCUUCAUGUUUUCAACUUUUUUCACCAAAAACUGUGAAAAUAAGCUGUUUUUAAGUGUUUACCAAACACUUUUUUGAGCUUAGCUUUUUUUUUAUACCCACUUUUUAUAAAAGCACCUUAGUACAAAACAAAUACUAAAUCUAUGACAAACCAUGAGAAGAGAAAAGUAGUAAGACUAGGAGAUGGGGAGGGGCUGCCAGGGGCCACAAGCUGGAGCAAGGGCCUAAGCUAUAAAUUUUGGAGAUUGAAAUUUUGGUAAGGGAAAGGACAAAAGCCACUAGUAGUAGUUUCUUAUAUAUUAGUAUUCUAAGAGCCAUGCUUUCGAGUUUUACUAACAAAACAUAAAGCAAAAAUAAUUGUAUAUCUACGUCUUGGUAAUUCAUUUGCAAUAAUUUUAGUAGGAAUUUUGUAAGUCCUGAGUGGUUUAUGCAUAAUGUUUUUUUGUAGUACAAUUUUUAAUAAGAGUAUCUCUGAUAAGUGUAAAUAUGAGUUCUACUUCAACGAAAAGAAUGUAAAUUCAAAAUUUUAUUAGUUUUGGCCUCUCUCUGAUCAGCAUAUUCCACCUCUUAAAUAUAUAAAUAUACAUUUCUAUUUACGUAUUACAUUAAUCAUUAGAGAGCUUCCGACAAAAAAUAUAUAUAAAUUGUUAAUUUCUGGACAUUUUGCAUCUUUUAUUAGAGAGGCUCUAAUUGAGAACCAUUUAUUUUGGGGGUGAGGUUGUUGAAAUUAUUUAAAAAACAACUUAUUAGAUGUUAUGGUAAAUGAAUGAAACUUGUUUUUUUUUUCUUCUUCUUUUUUUUCCUCAAAAUCAUAGGUUACUCACAGCAGAAAUCAAGAAAAAAGGUAAAUGUUGCCUCAUCAAUCACUUAGUACUACGGUCUAGUGAUAUUUCUCUUCACUUGUAAUAAUCUUAUGUUCGAUUCUCACCAAAGACAAAUUUUUAUCAUAUUAUUGUUAGCCCAUUGUGAAGUUAUGCACACCUCCUCCCCUUAGUGUAGAUAAUAUCAUUUGUUAAAAAAAAAUAUAUUAAAUAAAGAAAAAGAUGUCUCACUAAUAAGAAUGAACACUUUUAUCAACGUUUUAGUAAUAAAUCAAUAAUCAACUUUCAUAUCCUUUAGGCCAUCUCCAACCGAAGGUUGGCCAGAUGGCUCGUUUGAGCCCUCUAGCCCUCCAAGAUUCCCCAAGAUAUUAAUAUUUUAAUGAACAGUACAGGGCCAUAUUUGCCUCCGUAUCCAACCGAGGGCCAGAGGGCCAAAGGGCUCGUUUUAGCCCUGUCACAAAAAACCGUCUCCAACCGAGGGCCAAAGGGUCAUAGGGCCAAACAUAAUUUAUUAUUUAAAUUUAAAAACUACAACAACUUAAAUUUAAAAACAACAACUUAUAUUUAAACACUACAAAUUAAAUUUAAAAACAACAUUAACUUAAAUUUAAAAAUUACAACGACUUAAAUUUAAUAUCCAUAAUCAAUAUUAUCUUCAUCAUCCGCCAUUGUAGGAGUAUAGUCAGAGAUAAACAAUUGCCGCCGAGCCAUAAUUUCUUUUUUUUUCCUAUCAAAAUAGGUCUUACUCAUUGGAGUGUAAUUCGAAGUGUUCCUUUCCAUAUUCUUAUCAUUCAUCUCUUCUUGUAUUUGUUUGGCUCGCUCUUCAUGUCUACACUUCCUUUCUUCCGCCUCACGGGCAUUUUGCUCCGCCAGUAAUCGAAAUGAGGCCGCCACUUCAUGUUGAGCGGCGUAAUCAGCAUUUGCCUUGCCAUUUUCCCUCAACCUUCGGGCCUUGUUUCGUCCCAUAGGCCUAGGUAAAGAAAUUUCGGACAGAGUCGGAUUUUCUACCCUUGUUUGUUGAAUGGUAGGAGAUCCAUCUUCAUUCAUAUCUACAGAUGGGGAUGCAGCUUCCAAAGGAUCCACUCUAUGUUGAGGUGGAUCUUCAAAUAACACCCACCCUUUACAAAUUUCCCAACAACCGUGAAACUAAAAGGGUUUUGAGCUGCCCUCCAUAUACAAUUCCUCCGCUUGGCGUACCUAGAAAAUAUAAUUAAAAAAAUUUUAGGAAAUUAAUUCACGAAAUUAAUGUAGUAUAAUUAAACAUUUAAAAUAAACUGUAAAAACACUAACUUCGUCAUAGUAAUUGGCGCCGCUUUCAUGUCUACUUGCUGCUGCUAAUAGUGCUUGAUGCCAUUUAUUCAAACUUGGAUGAAGAUGUUUCUUCCAUCUUGAAGAGAACAACUUUCGUGGUUUCGGGUAUUCGGUGGAAUGGUGCCUUCGUAGAACUCUAAGUAUUUUUUGGACACACGAGUCCAAACACCUUCACUUGUUUGAGAAAUCCCCCUCACACUAUCUUCUGAGAUCCAUCUAUAAGCCUUGCAAAGAGCUUCAUCUUCUUUUCGAGUCCAAGCCCUACCUUUCAUUGCAGAUGAGGCCAUUUUUUUUUGAAAAAAAAUGAAGGAAAUAUUGAAGGAAAUAUUACAAAUGAAAUGAAGAAAUAUUAUAGAUGAAGGAAAUAUUGAAAAAUUGAAACAAAUAUUAUAGAUGAAGGAAAUAUUGGAAAAUAUAUUGAAGGAUAGAUGAAGGAAAUAUUGGAAAAUAUAUUGAAGGAAAUAUUGAAAAAUUGAAACAAAUAUUAUAGAUGAAGGAAAUAUUAGAAAAUAUAUUGAAGGAAAUAUUGAGAAAUAUAUUGAACAGUAAAAGAGUAUGGAAAAAGUAAUUUAAGCUGUGUGAAUAUAAGCUGUGUGAAUAUAAAGGGUGAACAGUAAAGUUUAAUGAAAUUUUCAUAAUGACAAUUAUACCCUAGCUAUAAGGUUUUAAUGAAAAAUCCUUAAAUUUUAAUAAAAAUGACAAAAAACUUAAUUUUUAAUGAAAAUGACACAAUUUAAAAAAAAUAAUAAAAAAACAAAAAAUCUGACAUGCACAGUACAUGUACACUGUUUAUAAAACUGAACAUUAUUUAUAAAAUUGAACACUAUUUAUGAAACUGCACUAUUUAUGAAACUGAACGGUAUUAUACUAUUUAUUGGUUCAAUUUCAAAAAUAGUGUUUAGUUUUUUGUUCACUUUUAUAAAAUAAUGUCUAGUUCUUGAUCAUGUUUCAUAAAUAAUGUCUAAUUAUUGGGUCCAGUUUCAUAAAUAAUGUAUAGUAAUUGGUAUAAUUUCAUUAAUAGUGUCUCUUUCUUAGUCCGAUUUCAUAAAUAAUGUCUAGUUAUUGAUCCACUUUCAUUAAAAAGACUAUAGCUACACAUUUUAAAAAGGAUUAUAGCUACACAUUUUGAUAAGUUGAGGGAAUUUUUUGUUACAGCCAGUUUCCUCCUUCUGCCCCCUCGCUCCUUAUCGUCCUUCAAAUUGAAGGUUGGCGACCUUCAAUUACCUGGAGAAAUCAACAAUAAGCCAUAAUUCCUUGAAUUAAUUAGAGUAUGCUCUGCUCGUUUUCUGCUGAGUUUUCUUUAAAUCUUGAUCUUACAGUGCUCACAUGGGAACAUAGAGAGAGAUUGAUGGUUUAUAGAAAGAAACAAGAAGGAAAAUGAAAUUUGAGCUUUGUGUGGAGGGAAGGUGAGCGAGACUGCAUGCGACGAAUCCAUUGAGUUUCGGACUUCAACUGGCGUCGUUGUGGUCUGAUCCGUCUGGGUUAUGGAGAUCGGACAUUGGAGCUCCUAGCUAGCGAUCACUUGGAGCCGUAUAUCCCAUGAGAAAUUGAAAUAUACGGGAAUGGCUAUGGGGAAACGGGAUGACAGAGAGAGAUUGGGUGGUUAGGAUUGUGCCUUGGGCUGGGAGGUCGCGGCGGCGGCGGAAGGAAGGAACCCAGACCUAGAUUAUAGGUAAAAGUAGGAGACGACGGCGACGGCGGAGGAAAAGGGGGUUUCUGCGAAACCGGAAGAUUUAAGGUAAAAUUGUUAGAAUUUUCCUAUUAAUAAAAAUGGAGAAGAUAAGAUUAUUAAAAAACAAAAGUAAGUUAAUUUUUUAUUCAAACAUCGUAAUUUUUUUAAUCAUUUAAUAGUCACUGUCACUUACUUUUACUGUUUUAUUUUAAACUAUUUAUUCGACAGCACAACUUUUUUUAAAAGCCGUGUAGGUGAAAAUUCGGCGUCCCUUCUCGCCUCCUGCAGAUGUCUUUCCUAGCUUCUUGGGUGAAUUUGCUAACAUCUGUUCGUGUCUAUAUAUAACCAACAGACAGCUGGAACCAACAAAAGCUUACAUAACAUUCUCAGUUUCUAAGCAAACUUAGAUUAUUAUUCGACUUUCUGUUCUUGUUUCUUCAGCCAAGAACAGAUUACCUAAUUGACUUGAGUUCUGAGUCUCCCUGUUUUGCUGAGUAUGUCUCUAGCUUCAGUCGGAAUAGGUGCUCUCAGUACGCCAUUUCAAAUGCUGUUUGAUGCUGUAAAAUCAGCGCAGCCGGAGAAUAAAAUGCUCCGGCACCGCCUCCGAGACAUCAAAUCCACACUAGACUCUCUACAACCACUCAUCAUAGACAUCGAAAAAUCUGACCCCAAAGAGCAACUGCAACAUUUUGCACUACAGAUGGAGGAGGGGGCAAAUCUUGUUCACAAGUGCACCAAAAAUCGUCUUCAGAAGUGCAGCAAAGUUGCCCUGUGGAGAAAAUACAUAUACGCCAAAAAGCUUCGUCAACUGGACAAAUCUCUUCGAAGAGUGUUUGAUGUUCUUAAACUGCAGGGUACGAGGGAUGCGAGGGAGACGUUGGUUUCUUUGAGGAUUAUCGAGAAGGUGCUCUCUCGAGUAGAAGAGAGUUUGAAGAUGAAAACUAAUCAGCCUGAAAUAGUUACAUGUUCGCCUAGGGUGCCUGAAGCGCCAUCGGUUGCAGUCGGGUUGGAUGUGCCGUUGAAGGAGUUGAAGAUGAAGCUCCUCAAGGAUGAAAAGGUGUCUAUGCUUGUGCUGACUGCUGCUGGAGGGUGUGGGAAAACCACCUUGGCUAAAAAGUUUUGUCAGGAUCAAGAAGUCAAAGGUAUGCUAUCUAUGAUUUCAACUUUUUUUGGUGAAGUUUUACUUCCUAGUGAUAAGUUGAUUCCUUCCUCUUAGAGUUAACAAAUCUUUGCAAUGAGCUCCCUGUUUGAUUACUUACUUGAUCUGAGAAUUGCAGACAUAUCUAGUUAACCUUUUAUUAACACCUUUCUUACAUUCUGUUUGGAUAGAUACAUUCAAGAAGAACAUCUUCUUUGUCAAUGUCUCGAAGAAGCCCAACUUGGGCCUUAUUGUACAUGAACUAUAUCAACAGAAGGGGACCGAGCUGCCUGCUGUCCAAAACGAAGUCAUGGCAGCUAACCGUUUGCAACAAUUUCUCAAGGAAUCAACACAAAAUCCUCUACUAUUUGUCCUGGAUGAUGUUUGGUCGGGAUCAGAGCCCCUUCUUGAGAAGUUUGAUCAAUUGAAGUUUUCAAAUUACAAGAUUUUGGUCACAUCAAGAUUUGCAUUUCCAAGAUUCGGUUCUCCUUAUCGUUUGGCAUCAUUGAGUGAUGAAGAUGCAAUGAUCCUUUUUCACUACUCGGCAUCCUUGGUGGAUAAGAGCUCUUAUACUUACGAAGAUCUUUCGAGAAAGGUGAUUUCUUAGUCCACUAUGCACAUACAUACAUGUAUAUGCUUAUUUAUGCCUCACAAGAGGGUAAAGAAAUAACGUCUGAGCAUCCACACACGUUCACACACGUUAAUGAAGUGUGAAGAAUGAAGUAAGAAGAAUGAAAGAGUAGACAAUUUACAAUUUUAUCAUCUUUAUGAAACCAUUUAGAUGAUUUUCAACAAUAUAAUCAAAUAAUAGUAAUUGAAUUCAUUUUGGAUAAUUAAAUUGCAGAUUAUCAAGCGCUGUAAGGGAUGCCCACUGGCCAUUGCAUUGGUCGGGAGAUCACUUCGCGGCCAGCCUAUAGAAAUCUGGCACAAAAGAGUAGUGGAAUGGUGCAAAGGUUCAUCUAUUCUUGAUUCUGACAAGGAAUUGCUUGCUUGCCUCCUAAGCAGUUUAGAUGCCUUGGAUAAAGAAAAAGCUAUCAUCAAGGAAUGUUUCCUCGAUCUAGGUUCUUUUCCGGAGGACCAAAGAAUUGCUGUUGCCGCCCUCAUUGAUAUGUGGGCAGAGUUAUAUGAUCUAGAUGAAGAGAUUCUGACCAUUGCCAAUCUUCACGAGCUCACCGCCCGAAGUUUAGCUAAUCUUGUUGUCACAAGGUAUGCAGGCUGCUCAUAAUUUUCUAUUUCAAUAUGUAUGCUGAACAAAUCACUAAAGAAAUUAGUAUUGUUCAUCCAGGCAUGAGAUGGGAGCGGAUGGCUAUUACACUGAACACUUCGUCACCCAGCACGACAUGCUUAGAGAGUUGGCGAUCCAUCAGGCGAGUCAAGGCCCAAUAGAACAUAGGGAACGACUAUUUAUAAACAUAUGUGGGGACAAACUUCCCAAGUGGUUGACAGAACAAAAGUAUCAAGCGAUCAAGGCUCGACUAUUAUCUAUCUCAACAGGUUCCAUCCAUCUCUCUCUAGUAAAUAUUUACACGUGCGCUCGGGACACGCUUGUGUGUGCUCGCGCGCGCACACACACAUGCUCAUUCAUACUAACACUUCAAUAGGACGUCCACACAUUUAGGCUAAUAUCUUGAAGCUUAUUGUUUGCAGAUGGAGCCUUCUCGGCAAAAUGGCCAAACAUGCAAGUACCCGAGGCAGAGGUUCUAGUUCUGAAUUUUCAAACGAGGAACUAUGCCUUACCUGAGUUUGUGGAGAAAAUGGAUAAACUAAAGGUUCUAAUACUAAAAAAUGACGGUUUGUUACCUGCUGAACUAGAUAAUUUUGAACUACUUGGUUCGCUAUCAAAUCUUAAGAGAAUUAGAUUAGAACGUAUUUCAAUUCCUCCCAUAAGCAAGGUCCUUAAACAGUUGAAAAGCUUGCAAAAGAUCUCUCUUUUCAUGUGUGAUAUCGGCCAAGGUUUCGGCCAAAUUUUAGAUGCACUGCCAAAUCUAGUGGAAUUGAACAUUGAUUAUUGCCAUGAUCUGGUGCAUCUUCCUGACUACGUUUGUGACCUUGUUCACCUUAAGAAGCUUAGCAUCACCAACUGUCAUAAGCUCUCUGCCUUGCCUGCAGACAUCGGAAAGCUAGUCAAUCUUGAAGUGUUGAGGCUUAGGUCAUGUGCAGAGUUGUUAGAGUUGCCAGGCUCGAUUAGGAACCUUAAAGUUUUGAAAUUUCUCGACAUAUCCGGUUGCUUUAGCGUAAAGGAGUUGCCCGAGGACAUUGGUGCAAUGGGCAGCAUGGAAAAGAUCAACGUGAGCCAGUGUUCGAGACUGAAAGAGCUGCCUGCUUCUGUUAUGGAUCUUGAACAGUUGAACGAAGUGAUAUGCGACGAGGAGACGAAAACUUUAUGGGAACCCUUCUUACCGUUUCUCACAAACAUACACAUAAAGGUGAUCAAAGAAGAUAUCAACCUAAAUUGGCUCAACAAGCUUCCAUCCUAAGGCCAUGGUCCUUCCAUCAAUUGUGUUGGUCCAAUGUAUGCAUCGUGAUUGUGUUUAAUGUUAUUUUUCCUUUGUAAUUUGCUUCUAUUUUAUGUUUUACUAAAUAAUAAGCAUGCACGUUGUGACAGGAAUCAACUGUUUCAGACGUAACUGCAUGAAUAAGACAUAUUUAACCUGAAUAAAUUCAACACAAUCAUGAAUGAACAGAUGGACACAUGAGUGAAUGAGGUCAAUAAGAUAAGCAACUUGGCUUUUAUAUACAUUCAACUCAGCAUAGCUUAUUCACGAGUUAAAAGAACUGAUUGAAAUAAAAACAGUCACAACACAUGACAUGAUUAGAUGGACCACUGCGUUAUCUGUAAGUUAAGUUGUGGCCCCAUAAAAUAGAUACACUUUCCAAUCCAUAACAAAAUAGAUUUUGAUUCAAGUAUACCUUGUAUGACAGUGAAUAAGCUCCUGUUGAUUUUCCCCAUCCAUCUAGCCUGUGAGAAUCAGAUGUACAAACUUGAACUCCAGAGCUUCAUUCACCAGAAUCACUUCCCAUUCCUAAAAUUAGGCAAAUUCCCAACAAUAACAACAAAAAACCUCUUAGACUUCAUCUUCACUUAAUCAUAGGCAUCCACUCAUCUGUAACAAAUGGAGAAAUAAGCAGAAUCACCUUGAGACAACACAGAGUCCACUGUUGCUGCCUCGGCAACACCUUGAACAGGAAGAAUACCAAUUAACCCCUUCUCUUCCCGCUGCCAUAACUCAUGCUCCACCAAUUUGACACUACAUUAAUCAAAUUCCUCAAUUUUAUCAAUUCGAUAAUCCACCAAUUAGAAAAAUCCAACUUACAAACCGCAUAACGAUCAAUUACCUAAAAAAAGGAAAAAGGAAAGUUGGCAUUUGAAAUUAACUCUAGCAAAAUUCAAGAACAAAAUAUGCAAAAUUUUUGCAGCAAAAAGUAAACGACACAGUUUGGGCAACAAAGAGCAUAAAAAGGAACAUAAUUUCCAAGCAAGCAUAGUAAUUGCAGAGCUAUAAAGUUUGUGCUGAGCUAAAACAGCUACCAGUUAAAGCACACACAGUUUUCUCAAGAUUCAAAUAGAAAAAACAAUCAAUCAAAAGACAAAUUUUAAGGCUCAAAGGUACCUGCCGGGUGAAGUGCAAUGAAUUCGAAGAUGGUGCAGGGUAGAAGGACCUUGUUUCAUAAAGGAAAGAUGCCUAGGCGAGUGGGGAGCUCCACCGAUUCCACCAUAUUUGGAAGUUGCACAAAGAGAAGAAUAAGAAAAAGAAAAAAGAGUCAGAGGAGGAGGUAGAGAACACAGGCAUAACCAUAUAAGUGCCUAAUAAAAACUAAAAAGUUAAAACAAUUAUGGACGUCUUUGUAGAGAAGCCCUUGCUUGCAGAGAAAGCAAGAAACUUAGGAAUAAGGCCAUUGGCGUGCAACUUUGACCAAUCUAAUUUUCAAAUUAACAAAUUGCAUCUCUUGAAAGAGGCACUCUUUUUCCCACUGCACCAGUUUUCGAGUCUUUCUAAUGUUUGGUUACCUAUUACUUCACAAAAUUUAUAGUAUAAUGGCUGUCUAUCCCCCACAAAAAAUGUAGUUAGACUUACAGUUCAAUUACACAAUUCCACAGAGAGUUAGUAUGAAAGUAAUCAACCUUAUAAAGACAGAGAAGAACUAACUGAUACAUAGACCCAAAGGGCAUUUUGCAAAUCAUUUUCCUUACAUUAAAUUCAAACGCUGAAUGUCCAAAAACAAAAAUUAGAAAAACAUAGUAUACUCUUAAUAACAAUCCAAUUGUUGAACCAAAUAACAUGAGCCGUUGUAUAUCUUCGUAUGCUAAAGAUUAAAAUUAAAACAAAACACAUUUUGAACUAACAGUCCAACAUUGGUCUCUUAAUUUAACUAUUUAUGUAAGCUCAACAUCAUGAUUUCAACAAAAAACAGUCAAAAGUUGAUAAAUACACACAAACAGGAAUCAUGAGUAUUUCACCAAAGUUGCGAAAUUUUACGAAGAAUCAUCAAUGCGGCCAGUUUGUGCUUAAACAAUCAUCAAAUUUUCUUCAACCCUACCCUCUCUCUGCAGCCAACACACUCAUUCUCUCAACCCUACCCUCAAACCGUGCACCCAAUCAACUCUCUUUCUGUCCCCCUAAUUCUCUCUGCAACCAAGCCCCUCCCUUAUCUACCCCAAAUUACGCACCACUCUCUGCAACCAACCCCCUCUCCUCUCUUCCCCCAUAUAAUGUGCCCACCCUGCGAAGGCACUGACAACAGACCACCUCCCUAGAAACCGGCCCUAAAAACCCAUACCUCCCUCACCCAAUAAAUCUUCGUGGACAUAUUGCAGAGAAAGGCACACAUAGGGAACAAGAAAGCAUGAAAUAAACAAACAUUCAUAGAAGUUUCAAAUUUUACCUGCCAAUCCAGCAACAGCCCCAAUUCAAAGGUCAACCCCUUCUCUACGUCACGCAAACAUCAUUCAUAUAAGAAGUUUGAGAUUUCUACUCUACAUUAUACAAAAUUAUUAAAUUAGAAUCAAACUAAUAAAGGAACUAAUAAGAUGUUACAGUGUUGCCUCAACAACCAUUUUAUGAAUGUCAUAGUUAUAUUGCCUUGCUUGAAAGAAAUUAUACCUACAGAGCGAAGGCAAAGGCAUUUGCUCAGCCAGAUAGAACCCUGCAAAGACCAAAAAUCCCUGAAAAUCAGUAUAUUAUACUACAUCUAUAUCAAACUGUAGUACAAUUUUCUUUUACAGUGGGCCCAAAGAUAACCAAAAAAAAAAUAUAUCUGACUAUCUGAGCCAUGAUUAAAAAAGAGAUGCAAUGCUGAAUUCUUCUCAACUUACCUAUUUAGUGAGUUAUUGGACCUAUUUAGAGAGUUAAUGGACUGAAAUGAAGCCAACUCUGCAACAGAGAAACAAAUGGAAAAGUCAAAAUCCAGAAAUCCAAGUUUUAACUCAAUCAAAUAUAAUAACCAACGAAACUUGCAAGCUGCAAAUACUCAGCAACAUAGACAAAGAAAUUUGCUUUUCAAAGACAUAUUUGGUCCUCUAUUUUAUUAAUUAUCGUUUGGGAAAGGAAAUUUGAGACAACACUAUUAAGGAGAAUGACAAGUCAUCAAAUUCUGUUACUGUCAAUAAUUCUAUUACUGUUAAAUAACUGAAUGUAAUUAGUUGUGGUAUCUGUUGAGAUUAGUUAGGAUAGUCAGGGGUAUCUAUGUAAAUAGCCAAAGGCUAUAUAUAUCUACACAGUGUGUAAAGUAUUCAUUCAAUCAAUACAAUUGAAAACUUACAGAGGAAGUUUUCUGUUUCUUUAUGGUAUCUCGCCAUCUUGCUUCACAGCUUCGAUCUUUUUUUUCCGCUCGCUUCAUCGAUCGAUUUGUGAUCGAUUCUUGUUAUUCUUCUUCUCUGAUCCUUCGAUUUGUCUUCUACGAUCUUGAUUUCUGUCAGUAAUGGCGGCUCCGUCGACUGGAUCGUCUUCUCCGGUCAUCUCCCCUUCGAGCCCAAACCCUAAUUCCUCUUGUAAUCCAAGUCCUAUGAAUUCCUACACUUCUCUUACCAUCCACAACAUCGGCAGCAUGGUGCCGAUCAAGCUGAAAAGAUCCAAUUAUCUACCAUGGCGCGCACUGUUUGGCCCGAUUCUCCGGCGUUACAAGCUUCUUGGCAUCAUUGAUGGUACCGAAUUCUGUCCAUCGCCAUUUCUUCCUGAUCGUCACAUCAAUCCUGCCUUUGAGGAAUGGUAUGAAAAAGAUCAAAAUCUUUUGAUCUGGUUGAAUUCCACACUUUCUGAGGAAAUCAUUCCUUUCACGGUUGGGGUUUCGUCAUCUCGAGAGCUUUGGGUGAAGCUUGAACAGCAUUUUGGAGGCAUUUCAGAAGCUCAUAUCCAUCAACUGCGAUCGCGCCUUCAAUCUGUUCAAAAAGGAUCUCGUUCCAUUUCUGAAUAUCUUCAAGAUCUAAAGGAAAUUUCAGAUUCCUUGCAAGCCGCUGGUGCUUCUGUGACUGAUCGAGAUCUUAUUGCAGCCACACUACAUGGCUUGCCUGAUGAAUUUGAGUCUUUUAUAGAUUCUAUCAUGCUUCGAUUGUCCUCUACCUCUCUUGAUGAACUUCAUGGCCUUCUUCUUACAAAGGAAUUGUCUAUGGCAAGGCGCAAAACUGUCAGUUCAUCUCCUGUUACUGAACCUUUCCAGGCCUUCUCGGUGCAAUCUCAGCCUCCCCUACUUCCUACUCCAUCUGCAUUUGCUGCUCAGUAUCAACCUCUUCACUCUGCAUCUCGGUUCAACUCCAAUCGUGGUAGGAAUACUAAGGGGCAGUUCUUUUCCAAUCGAGGUAAUCGAGGAAAUCGUGGUACCUCUACCAACAAUCGUGGCAAUCGAGGUUAUCAAGGCUCUCGCAACAAUCAAGGUUCUUCUCACUUCAAAGUUCCUUGUCAAAUCUGUGGUUCUACCAGUCAUGAAGCUAUUGACUGUUUUGAUCGUAUGAAUCCGGAUAUCAGUGGUCGUAUUCCUCUAGCUAAACUCGCUGCCAUGUGUGCUCAUUAUUCUGCUAAACCAUCUCAGCCUUGGUUAAUUGAUUCUGGUGCAACCUCUCACAUCACUAAUGAUGUUGCUAACAUUACCUCUCCUACUCCCUACACUGGCGAGGAUAAAGUGUAUAUUGGAGACGAUAAAGGUUUGUCUAUUCUUAAUGUUGGUUCAUCUUCUCUGCACACUCCUCAUACCUCCUUUCAACUAAGAAAUGUUUUACAUGUUCCUCACAUAAAACAUAAUCUCUUAUCUGCUUAUCAGUUUGUUCAUGAUAAUAAUUGUUCGUUGACACUUGACCCUUAUGGAUCCUAUGUCAAGGAUCGUACUUCGGGGAAGAUGCUUUUACAGGGACCAAUUAAAGAUGGUUUCUAUCCUCUUCAAAGUUCCAGCAACUCUCAUUCUUCUUCACAUACAACCUUACUCAGCAUUAAAGCUCCUGUUAAAGUUUGGCACAGGCGCUUGGGUCAUCCUUCCUCCUCCAUUUUCAGAAGGUUAAUUUCAACUAAUAAUCUUGCUUUACAAGGCAAGCCUACUGUGGAUUUUUUCUGCUCAGAUUGUGCACUGGCUAAGAAUCAUAAGCUCCCAUUUAAAGCAGCUACUUCAUCAACAACUCAAAGUCUUCAGCUACUGCACUAUGAUCUGUGGGGACCUGCCUCGGUCAAAUCCAAUAGUGGUUUUCAGUAUUAUUUGCUUAUUGUUGAUGACUAUAGCAAAUAUAGUUGGUUCUUUCCUUUGAAAUCCAAGGCUGAUGUAUUUUCUACAUUUGUUGUCUUCAAACCUUAUGUAGAAAAUUUACUUGGAAAUAAAAUAAAAGUUUUGCGUUCAGAUUCAGGGGGUGAAUUUACAAGUCAUUCUUUUGCAUCAUAUCUUAGCAAACAUGGCAUUCUUCAUCAUUUCAGCUGUCCCGAUACCCCUGAGCAAAACGGUUGUGCAGAACGCAAGCACCGGCACCUUGUUGAGACAGCUAGAACUUUACUUGUUGCCUCUCAUGUCCCUCAUCUUUUUUGGGUAGAAGCUUUCUCCACUACCAUCUACCUUAUUAAUCGUCUUCCCAUCUCAGGAGUUUCAAAGUCACCUUGGGAGUUGUUUCACCGCCAUCCUGACUACUCUAAACUAAAGGUGUUUGGUUGUCAAUGUUUUCCUUGGCUCAAACCCUAUAUUCAUAGCAAAUUGGAUCCCAAGAGCAAAAGUUGUAUCUUUUUGGGAUAUAGUCUUCAACACAAAGGGUAUAGGUGCCUUGAUCCUGUCACCAAUCGCAUCUAUAUCUCUCGCCAUGUUGUGUUUGAUGAAAGUACUUAUCCUUUUCAGUUGCUGCCGCACCAGAAUCCUGCUACAAGUUCUCCUCCUUUCUCAUCACCACUUUCAUCCUCUCUGGAUCUCCAAUUUCACACACACAUUCCUCCUGUCUCAAGUCAUCCUUCUGCAUCACCAUUAUGUGUUUCUGUGCCUGUUCCUGUUACUCAAACUUCUUCCUCCACUAACCUCAUCUCAGUAGGUAAUUCUUCAUGUUCUGUUCCCAUUUCAGAACAUUCAUCUUUGUCACAAAAUCACCCAAGUCAUCCUCUUGUCCCUGUUAAUUCCCAUCCUAUGAUUACAAGAUCAAAGGCUGGGAUAUUCAAACCUAGAGCCAUGCAGCAACUAAGCACCCACUUCCAGCGGAUCUUGACUAUGUUCCUAACACAUACUUACAAGCUUCUAAGUAUGCUCAUUGGAGGCAAGCUAUGCAAGAUGAAUACAAUGCAUUGUUGACCACUGGUACUUGGUCUCUUGUUCCUUCUCACCAUUCUCAAAACAUUGUUGGCUGCAAGUGGGUCUUCCGCAUUAAGAAAAAGCCCAAUGGCACAGUUGACAGAUACAAAGCCCGACUUGUGGCCAAGGGCUUUCAUCAACAAGAAGGUAUUGAUUUUCAAGAAACCUUUAGUCCAGUUGCCAAACCGGUUACAAUUCGGAUUCUUCUUACCCUGGCUGUGCAAUAUAAUUGGUUUCUCAAUCAGCUAGACAUUAGUAAUGCCUUCCUUCAUGGAGACUUAAAGGACGAUGUCUACAUGCAACAACCCCCUGGUUUUGUUGAUCCCUUACAUCCUACCUCUAUUUGUAAGUUGAGGAAGUCUUUGUAUGGUCUUAAACAAGCUCCUCGAGCUCGGUUUGAUAAACUGUUUCAAGCUCUUCACUCUUUUGGGUUCACACAAUCCUCUUCCGAUGCUUCUUUAUUUGUUCUCAAUAGUCCUCAGUUGGUGAUUGUUCUUGUCUAUGUUGAUGAUAUUCUUAUCACUGGACCCCAUCCUCAACUUUGUCAACACUUUAUCAAGCAACUCAGUGCCCAAUUUCCAGUGAAAGACCUUGGUCCUUUACACUAUUUCUUGGGUUUAGAGGUACAUAGAUCUUCACAGGGUAUAUUUCUCCACCAAACAAAGUACUUAUUGGAUCUUCUUAAGAAAACCAACAUGGAGGGUGCAAAACCUUGUUGCACUCCUCUUGGAUCUAAGAAACUAGAUAAUAGUGGGCCUCCCUUGUCCAAUCCUACUGAAUAUCGUUCCAUUGUUGGUGGUUUACAAUAUCUCACUUGGACUAGACCGGAUCUUGCCUUUGUUGUGAACCAAAUCUGCCAAUUCAUGCAUGCUCCCCGAGAGCAACACCUUCAGGCAGCAAAAAGGAUUCUCAGAUUUCUCAAAGGUUCUCUUUCCCAUGGUUUGUGGUUCACUAAAGGUCAUGUCCAUCUUUCAGCAUACUCUGAUGCUGAUUGGGCUGGCUGCACAUUUGACAGGCGCUCAACCACUGGCUAUUGUGUCUUCCUGGGUUAUAAUCUUAUCAGCUGGAGUGCCAAGAAACAAAGUACUGUUGCACGGCUCACACAGCUGCUGAAAUCACUUGGGUUUGCAAAAUUCUCAAAGAUCUACACUAUCCUCUAUCUACAUUGCCUACUCUUUGGUGUGACAACAUUUCAGCAAUCUCAUUAGCCUCUAAUCCUGUCUUUCAUGCUCGAACAAAGCAUGUUGAGAUUGAUUACCACUAUAUUAGAGAAUUGGUUCUAGCCAAACUUCUUCAAGUCCGAUUUAUUUGCAGUGAAGACCAAUUGGCUAAUCUUCAUACCAAGUCCCUGUCUAAAAACAGAUUCACCUAUCUGUGUUCCAAGCUUCCAAUUGGACUCAUUUCUGAUUCCCCUUCUAGCUUGAGGGGGUGUAUUAGGGAGAAUGACAAGUCAUCCAAUUCUGUUACUGUUAAUAAUUCUAUUACUGUUAAAUAACUGAAUGUAAUUAGUUGUGGUACCUGUUGAGAUUAGUUAGGAUAGUCAGGGGUAUCUAUGUAAAUAGCCAAAGGCUAUAUAUAUCUACACAGUGCGUAAAGUAUUCAUUCAAUCAAUACAAUUGAAAACUUACAGAGGAAGUUUUCUGUUUCUUUAAACACCUCAUCAAAGAAGAGAACCAUAUUAGCACUCCCUCCACCCCAAAAUCAGAAAAUUAGAAAAUAGAAUAUGAAACAUUGUACGUAGAAAGCAAGGAAUCGAUAAUUUAUGAGGUUUCACAGGACAAUAAUGAGCUUUUAGAUAUCAUUCAUCAUUCAAUGAAUUCAGAUUUCUGAUAAAGACAGAUGGCGCCUUAUUGACUCUAAUCCUCACUAACCAACUAAGCUUAAAUGCCAUUGUUUUGCUCAAAUUAAAUGAAUUGUAACCCCCAUUUUCCGUGCAAUUCACCACCUAAACAAUGCAAUAAAAAACCAAAAGGACUUUACACACAUAUUAUUCCAUCUCUCAAAUUUACACCAAUGAUGCAUGCAUGAACCUCAAUUAAUUGCUUACUGCGAGUGAAAUUUCCAUUUUUAACCACUAAAUCAGAACAACCACCGCCAGGUAAGCAAACAUGAGCUACUUUCAUAAAAAAAUUAAAAUUAAAGACAUAAACUUCACACAGCUAGAACCUGACAACCAGCAUAUAAAUCUAAAACAAAAACCAGGCUCAAACGUAUGUAUUUCCACAGAUGCAUGUAUAAAGCUGUACAUACACACAUGUAUAAUUGUGUAAGCACAGAGGAUUUGGGAAAGUUUUCAACACACCUGUGUAUUGCAGCAGCAGGUCGAAAUGCUGGCUUUCAUCCGUUUUUCAGGCCAGAUUUUGCAGCGUUUGCAUUCACCUAUAGCAUUUAAAAUUUUCAGUCAGAGAGCAAGAAGAAAUGUAAUAAAAUGCUCACAAGGGUAAACCCCAGCAAGCAAUAGAAUAUAUAUUGAAUGCCAAAUGGCAAUUAGGAGUUAAAGGUACCUUAAAAACACAUUUCCGAAACGCAGACAUCCCUUCUUUUGAUUCCCCUAAACCCUAGACUUUCAACUCCAAAAUCCCCAAAUAGUACCAGAAUUUUGCAACGUGCAGGGAAUAUAAUAAUAAAAAAAACUUAAACCACAAUCAAGCACCAUCUAUCUAAAACAAAAGGAGAACCCAAACCACAAACAACAUUACUAAAAUCAAUUUACCAAACCCCUAAAUCUAACAAUUUUAACAAAUACUAUAGCAUCAAUUGAUUUAACCCCAUACAAACUUAAUUUCUAGCCUUGCAUCUACGAAGAGAAACUUAAUUUCUAGCCUUGCAUCUACGAAGAGAAUAAGUACAAUCUUCACAGCCACUGUCAUUAGCAAAUAGCAACAGGGUAAGUUACAAUUGAUGAAUAAUAUUUCAGCUAUACAAAGUUUCAAGAUAAGUUCUAAGAUCAUAUUGUUAAACUUAUUUGUCAGCAGAACCUUUAUUUAAGAAUAAGUACAAUCCUUAACACAUGAAAUCAUGUAUAUAUAUUUUAUUAGUUUAUAUGCAUGUGUGCAUACAGCACAUAUACUUGCAGAGUAUGCAUUUGAUUCAAAUCGCAACAACCUUUUGUUGAGAAUAUCGCGUUUAAGAAUGGGAAAAAUAGAACAAACUCUAGAAAUCGAAAACAAAUAACCAAGAUAAAUAACACCAAGAAUUUACGUGGUUCUGCAAUUUGUGCCUAUGUCCACGGGACAACAACAAUCUUUCACUAUAUCAAUAAUGAGUACAACCAAUAAUCUUGCCAAAUCUCUAGAACUAGGACUUGACGAAACACCUGAAAGAACAAGAACAAGAAAUACACUAUCUCUUUUCUUUUCUCUCGCACACACUUUACAAUAUUCUCUCACUCUAAUCCCUUGAGUGGUAUACAAUUUAUUGUUUUGCUCCCUUCCAAUUCAAAACUAGCACAAUAGUCCCUUUAUAUAGACAAAAUAAAGGUCUUCUUCAAUAAGGAUUAUUAAUCCUAAUUGGAAUCUAGUUAUGAAUCCUUCUCCAAUUGAGAAACUAACUCCAAUUGGGAAAACAAUUUAAUCCUCUAAGACUAUAAUUCCUUAUAGACGUAGGACAACUUAUCAUGGGCUGGAAAAAACCUAACACCUUUUGCCUCAACUGCCAACGAAGAAAAAAAUUAGUCAGUGAUUAAAAGAGAAACGGACUUUUGUGAAGAUUCAUCAACAACAUCAUUAAGGCUUAGCCAAUUAAAUUCGUUAAAACGGAAGAAUAAUGCACAUAAAAAUCUUGAGUCUAAUUUAAGAAAAAUGAAUUAUGCUUAUGACUUCCCACUGAAAAUGUGUCAUGCCUGAACGACUGAGCUUAAAAUCCUAAUACAACAGCAGAAAGGAAAAUGGACUCAAAACAAAAAUUAACAACAAAAUUGAGUUGAUGAAUCCAUUUAAGCACAAAAGUUUAGGCAUUCACCAGUUGUCUGACUUGAACAGCGUUGUGGAUUUAGCAUUCCUCUUGUGGGUUAAAGCGUCACUAUCAAUCAAGCCUCUCUGUGAAGACAAAAUUUAGAAGUCAUUAUUUGAAUAGAUGCAAGCCUUCCCCAUUUUGACAGGAAGAAUAGCAGAGUGUGACAUAACCAUUCUGAAAACUAUAGUAGCAGGUUUCCAAAUCAUUAAAAAGGUCGUACCCAGUGCACAAGGCUCCCGCUUUACGCAGGGUCUGGAAGAGGUGAAUGUUGAAGAUAAUAAAUGAAUAGCUAGAGACAUUGAGAAUAGUUUUCUUCAUUACUUAAACAGUAGAAUGUGUACUGAGCAUAAGUGAGGUUUGCUAAUAUAGAUAUCCUCAUUAUAAAUAUCGCUAAAGCAUGCAUAUACAUUGUGAGGUUUGCCAAUAUUUCCAGCUAUUUCCAAGUGUGUGCUGGUGUGUUUUUUUCUUUUCAAAUAUGCAGUUUUUUUCCAUUUGAGUAUAGAUGUUAAUGCUUCUACGAUUCAAGUGCCAUUUUAUUUCUUCACUUGGAAAAAGAACUAAGCCUUUUCAAGUGGCCGUGGUGGAAAGCAGUUGGACACCAUUGUAUAAUUUCUUGACUCACUGGACAUUUUGUACCUAAAAUUUCACUUGAUUAUGUUUUAGCCUCUACCUAUUCUCUUCCUUAAUUUGGCUUUGCCUAACCAAAGUCUUUUCCCGUUUAAGGACGUGCACCCUAUGUUAUUUCCUUCUCCACUGCAUUCUCAUCUUGCUAAAAUUUAUAACAUCAAACCAUCAGAAUCUCAACCCAUAAACAGUUUUACCCGCCCACAAUAAAUCAGAAUCCUCAAGCCAACAACUUACAUUUGAUUCCGGAAGUAAAGUGACUUGUGCAAAUACUUCAUCAGUGUCUGGUUCAGCCUAUAAUUCAGCAGAAAGAAACAUAUUAUUCCCUCGCAAAGCCCAAUAACUUGAGUACAAAAGAAGCAGGUAAACAAUUAAAUCCAGAAUUCUUAGUUUUCUUUAUAAGAUCAGCCACCAUGCUACCUUCAAUGAUACAUUAACAACCUGACAAAGAAUCUUCAAUGCAAGAUUAUAAACUGGCAUCUGCUGAUCAGCCAGAUGAUUAGUCGAUGCCUCCACCUAUUACUGAAACCAGAAAAUCCAAUUGACAAUUAGUGAUAAAACCCAGAAACACAAACCUAAUAUGUAUCAGCUACAAAAACCCAAAUAAAUAAAUAAAACACUCAAAUUUCUAUGUAAAAGCGAACAUAUUUUGACCCCAAAACGAAGAUGUCAUAGAUGGAGGAAGAGAUAAGUGACAAAGAGGGAGUGACACUAACUCAACCCCACCAUCUCUCUGCAGCCAACACACUCAUUCCCUCAACCCUACCCUCAAAUCUUGUACCCAAUCAACUCUCUUUCUGUCCCCCUAAUCGUGCACCCGCUGUCACCUUCUCUCUACAACCAACCCCCUCUCCUCUCUCCCCCAUAUCACACCUCCAUCCUGUGAAGGCACUGACACCAGACCACCUCCCUAGAAACCGGCCGUAAAAACCCAUACCCGUACCUCCCUUACCCGUUCCCUUUCUCAAAGCUAAAAGUGUUAUAUAUGAUAGUACUCACCCCAAUCUUCACUGCAUAACACUCACCAGUAGGUAUAGGCUCACUCUUUGAGGAAAGCCUGAGGUCAAAAUUGGCAACAACAACUUAACAAAGCCAAAUGAAAGAAUAAAUCUAGAGUCACCACAAAUAUUUUCUAAAAUGGAAGAUAGACCAGAGUCAAACAGGAAAGGGAUAGCAGACACGGUGAGCUUUGUCUCAGUUUGAAAAGAAAAAAGAAAAGAUAAUUGGGUAGUUUCAGGAGCAAAAUAGUUCAUUUGUGUAGAACUAUAACAGCACUGAGAGCUGGGAAGUUAUCACCCAAUAAAUUUUGUUAUACCAAAGAUUAAGAAAAUGGGAUUAGGUAUGGUGGUACCCUUUCUCUUCACAUUUAUAAUAUACGGAACUAAUUAACUAUGUUGAGUACAGUGAAGGGGGAAAGCCAUACCUUCCUAUGAAUGAAUUUAAAAUAGCGGAUUUUCCUGCAUUUUUAGGACCAAAAAUGAAGCAGCUGAAAACAUUUCUUUUUGUUUUUUGGCUUUUAUGAUCUACUGAUCUUCUUCUAGUAACAUGGAUAGCUGAAGCAGGACUGCCAUUGUAUCCAACAUAUAUCAAAUUCGCCAAACUUCGCUUUGGAUUUAACAGUGUCAUGAGGGCCCACUGGAAUCACAAAAAAACAAAGAUAUAGUUACAAUUUACAAUUGGCUUAAGGAGAUUCUUUAAACAAAGAAAAAAGGGAAACAUGUACAUCCAAAAUAAAUGGGAAAAAAAAUCAUGAAGAGCAAAUGUAAGCUAAUUUAAACAGGGUAGCAAUGAAAAGGAAGAUACCUCAGACAAAAAUGCAUUAAGAGGUAAAUUCCCAGAUGCCGUUCUCUUUGCAGCAUCCUUAUAAGGAGAUUCACUCCAAGAACUGAAAUUUCAGUAAACAGCAUAUUAAAAAAUCUAUUUUUGGAGAAACCAUGAUAGGAACAUACAUUAUUUUAUCCACAAAUAACAAAAGGGUCAAAGGAAAAAAGGUAGAAAAACAUGGAGAUAAAUCAGGACUUCACCCAAGCUACAGUUACUUCAGGACUUCAUGAAUCCUAACAGCCGAAAACAAUCAGAAUUCGAGACCCUACCUCCUCCAUUCUCUGAGAGCGAAGCCCUCCUCAGGCAGCAUCUCCGACGGAGCCGACAAAAUCGGAUCGUCGGACGCGCCAAACCCUCCAUCAAAGACCUGGCCGUUCGAUUCGGCGUAGAUCGACGGAGGAGAGAAGGCCUCCGACGCCGGCUGAGUGGCGAAAGCGUCGUUUACGGCGGAGCCGUGGAAGAUUGGGGAAAAGGUGGCGGAGUCCUUGAGCGACUCGGAGUCGAAUCGCUGGGAGGAGAGUCGGGGGUCGUAUCCCAGGUAACCGUCGUCGUCGAACGGGCAAGUUGACCCGGUGGUCGGGACCGAGUCGUUUUCGGAGGAGAUUUUGAUGUUUUGUGGUGGUGGAGGUUGGAGUUGUGCGUUAUUUCGUUGUGCGGAAGCAGAGGCUUGCUAGAGAGAAGUUGAAACGGAAAUUUCUACGAUGAUGGGACACGUAAUCCAUCCAAAACCGAAAAUUCCAAUCUGAACGGAAAGUCCAGCCCAAAUACCCAAAGCCCUUUCUGAAGCCCAGUGGCAAUUUUGCAAAUUACGUUAGAUCAGGGGGCAGAGAGCUUCAUUAGUAAUUUCGUAAAGAUAGCUGUUAUUCUCACUUCAAUGUCUUAUCUUUUCACUCACCUUUUUAUGAAGUUUUUAAUUACAAAUUUAUCAAUUUGUAAAAUGACUAAUAAGGACCUUAGUUACCCCUUUUGCAUUACUUUUUUUUAUAAAAAAAUAAAAAAGAAAAUUUUGGGCUUGAUAACUCUCACGCUAUGUUUAGACGAUUUAUUUCCUUUAAACCCUAACUCAUCAUUCUCAUCUCCUUUCAUUCAGAGAAAGCAAAAUCAUUCAAAGAAAGCAAAAAGAAUGAACUCAGAAGAUGAUGUUUCUAUGAAAAAAGUAGAUGAUUAUGUUUCUGUCGAAGAGGUAAAAGAUAAUUUUAUGUGGGUUAUCUUGAUUUGUCAACAUCGUAUAAUUGAAGCAUAGCUAUGUGACUUUUUAUUUUAAUUUUCAUUAGGUUAGGGUGCAAUUUGUUUCACGUUUUCCUAUGAGAAUUCCUGACAUUUGUUGGAGGUGCUGUGUUGGGAGUUCUUUUGUUUGCCCUUUACUUCUUUUGGAUCCGUGCUGCUGUUCAUCUGUUUGGAACACCAGUGCAGUUGUUCACCCAUUUUCUUCUAAUUACACACACACACAUUGGUUAUUUUAGGAAUAAUAAUGGGUGGGAAAAUAACAUUUUAAUUUUUUAACUUUUUAUAGUCGGUGUAAAUAUAACCUGGGUGGGAAAAUAAGACAACGGGAUAGGUCUAGCAGCUCUCUUUCGUAAAUAAACUGAAAUCAGCCCAAAAUUGCACGAGCAAUGCUAAACCCAUCUCAUUGUCCUAUUUGCCCACCAUAUUAUAAUUUCACCCAUUAUAAAAUGUUAAAAAAUUAAAACACUAUUUCUCCACCCGUUAUUAUACCUAAAAUAACCUCAACUAUACAUUUAAAUUCUUUUUAAUUUGUAGUGGAAUAAAUAUUAGCUAAUAAGCCUAGCGACUUUGUUUUGCAAACCCAGCGAAAGAUACGAAGAGCUUCCUCCCCACGAUCUUGUUUUGCAAACCCAAUGAUGAUGUUGGUCCAUGAGACAGUUCUUCUUCUUGGCAUCUGCUUGAAUAACUUAUAGGCGUCAUCAAUUAAACCGCAGCUGGCAUAUAUGUGUAUGAGUACACCCCAACUCACAACACUCCUCUCACGCAUACCAUAAAACACCCGGCGUGCAUACUCCACACCACCACCCGACCCUCCACUCGUUGCAUACAAAAUUAAUCGAACUCAUCUGACCAAACACGGUGGAUCCACACCCACUUCCCAGACCCUCCAGUGCACAUGUUCCCCUUCUCUCACCAACAACCUUGCACUGAUACAUACGAAUAGGUAGUGUGGCCUAUGAUCAUCUAGUUCCACACAUUAGUACCGGGUUUUCGACAUUUUCAAAAACUUUGAGGGCGUGAUCGAGACACCCAGAAGCAAAGUAGAAUGAUAAAAUCUGAACAAGAAUGUAGCUUUUUUGUGUGAGUCCAUGAAUUGUUAUUUUUGGUGUGAAUUAAUGGUGUACUUGUAGAUCAAUGGAAGCAAGUAUUUUUUGUCAUUUUAUAAGAGGGUAUAAAGGGCAUCAAUUUUUUUAUUAAAAUGUGGGCGGGGAGAUAAGACAAUGGGGUGGAAUUAUUAGCUCUCAAUUGCACAGUGCCAUCCUCCCCUCUACUUUUAGACUAAAGUAAAGUAAUGUGAUUUUAAAUAACAUGGUGUAGAAUUAUUGUAAGUUCUUACCAUGGGCAUUAAUGUAAUAACAUGUCUGCACUCCUCAUCGUUCAACUCUUCAUUGAUUAUCCUUUAAUUUAUCCAAUCAAUGGGAACCCUUCUUAUCAUUUCUCAUAAACGUACACAAAAAGGUUAUCAAAGAAGAUUUCAACCUAAAUUGGCUCAACAAGCUUCCAACCUAAGGCCAUGGUGCUUCAUCAAUGAGUGAUUGUGCAAAGUAUUCAGUGUGGUCGUGUUUAUUUUUUUUUUCUUUCGUAAUUUACUUCUAUUUUAUGUUGUAUGUGUGUUUAAAUAACAUAUCAGCAAUGUAGACUUAUAGUAAUUAUUCACAAUGGGUAUUGACUUUCACACUCUGUGUUCUCUUCUGCACUCCUCUUUGUUCAACUCUUGAGUGUGAAGUGCAUGGAAAGUGUAUUAAUCUAUGUAAUAUGUGGGAUUUCUAUGCUUUCUAUGUAAUAUGCGGCAAAUCAUUUGACUUUACUACUUGUUUCCUUCUUUUUCUUCAUGCUUUUGCUAUUUUAUGUUGGCAAUAUUUUAUUUUACCAUUUUUUUAACAAGCGAUAUUAUCUAAUUAAAGGGUAGGAGAUUGGACUAAGCUUUAAAAUGAGCUAGCAAUAAUGUAAUUCAAAGUCGCUUUUGGCGAAAAUCAAACCUAAAACCUCUCACUUACAAGUGAAGAGGAAUAUUACUGAACCGUAUUAUGUAGUAAAUUCGUCAAUGUGGUCCUACUAGGUAGUUUCAAUGGGCUUUCCAAAUUACCAUUGCGCGCGAAUACCUUACGUCAUUGACCUACAAAGAUUGAUAGCACCCCAAAACUUGAAAUUUUUCUGGGGCGUUACAGUAGAGCUGACUACUAAAUCUGAAACAGCUAAGAAUAGAUAAAGAUAUUCGUUUGUAUGCGGCUUGGAAAUGAGAGGAGGUUGCGACAAGUACUUUUUCAAGUACUGCUGCUUGUGGAUAGCUUUCAUUUACUUUAGAUGAGCUUCAAUCCUCGUUGGGUGACUAAGUAGCCAAGAAAUCUGUCUGAGGAGACUUUGAAUGUUCUAUAGUGAAAUACAACUUCAUGUUUCACAUUUGAGCCACGAGCUUGAAGUUUGGAUCUACGUGCAGCUUACAGCAAAUGUCUAAAGGGAACCAUGCAAAUACGUCUUUGUUUUCCUAAAGAAACACGGGAGUUCGUUAUUCUUCCAUGUACUGAGCCUGCCUAUCCUCGCCUUCCUUUUGAGGCGAUCUGGAUCAAGUAUGACAUGUAUGGCAUACUCUUCUGGCUUCCAUCCUUAUUCCUCUAUCGUGGAGUCUGGUAAGAGUUCGCUUGCUUGAUCAUGGUUUGAGUUGCCUCGAGUCUUCUUGUUGUCAUAUGUUUUUGUUGAUUGGGUGAACUCUUUCCCUUUUGUUGUCCUCUGAUUGGGCGCACUUUUUGGUCAUGGCUUGACAGUCCGGAUCUCACCUACUCCACCGUUGAGGAUGAGAAAUUAAAUCUUCUGACAUUUGCUUAAAGUCUGGGUGGUGAUCUUGUACAUCUAUGGCUUGCUCAAGAUGUUAUUGUAGAGCGAUGGUUCAUCGAUGAUUGCAAACUUCUGAAAACUGACGAUAAGAGGUGUGUAGACGUUGAGCUCAAUGGUGGUAGAUGUGGCACCAUUACAACCAGAUAGCAGACUAGACUUCUUAGUGAUAAUCUUCUUCAUGCCAAGUUUAUUGACGAUGAAGUGUUGAAAGAAUUUGGCAACAUUUCCUUUAUCUACAUGUAUGCGAUCUACUUUCGCAUAAGUAAUCUAGAUAUUGAUGAUGAAUGCAUCGUUGUCUUCCAGAUCACUAGCCUACACCUAGACAUCAUAGCUUGGUGGAUCUUUCUCAUUUUCUCCGGUGCUCUAAUUCGGCGAUGAUCGAAUUAAUCCAAAUGACUUUCUGUGCCACGGCGCCUGGUGUAUCUACAUCCUUGGUCUGCUACUUUGCCUUCUCUCUGCGAAACUUUGUACAUCUAUGCUACUUAACUAACUUUUGGAGAUGGUUCUUCCAGUUUAUACAUUUGUCUGUCAGGUGGUCAGUAGCCUUGUGAAAGACACAAUACUUAAUUUAAUCCUUCUUGCCCCUCAUAAGCGAUGCUUUCGUGAAUGCGUUGUAGAUUUGGUGGACAGGGACGUUGAACUUAGUAUAGGUCAUCUUGGAAGAAUUAUCGUAUAAUGUGGAACGUCGCUGUCACUUCUUUCCGCACUCUAUCUUGAUUGAGCUUUUGUAAUCGGCUUCUUUCUUGGAUGGUUUCUACUUUGUGAUUGAAUUGGGUGCCUUUCUUGCUCGCUUAUUAUCUUCCUAAAUUGCAUGGCCCUUUGUUAAGUCAAAAUGCUUAGCUAAGGUUUGCUUUGGGGUCGUGGUAAUGUCUCUGCAGAGUGAUAACCUACUGGCAGUCCUCUCUUGAAAGCUAUCUAUGGGACUAUUUCAUCGCAGCCGAAAAUUUUAGCCAUUUUAGUCUCGAAGCAUUGAAUGUACUACUGGAUAGACUUAUUGGGCUUCUUCACCACGCGGAAAAGGUGAUCUGAAAAAUUUUGUCUACUCAGUAGGACGAAUAUUGUGAAAACAAAGAAGUUCCUAGAAAAUACCAAUAGAUAGUGGUCCACAGUGUGGAACCAAUCAUGUGUUGCUCUCUGCAAAGUUAUGGCAAAAACUUUACACAUCAAGACUUUGUCCUGCUUGUGAAGUGUCAUAACACUUUGUUAGUUAUUCGAUCAGGGUCUGAAUCUCCAUUGAACGGCAUGAAGAAAAGUGUGGAGAAUCUUUAGGGAGGUUGUGUUGCAUCAGAUGAAUCGUCAUGCUCCUCAUUUUCCUCGAUGGUGCGUUUUAGAUGAACCAAUCAUGUUAGAGUUGCUAACUCGAUUAGGAAUCUUAAAGUUUUGAAAUUGCUCGACAUAUCCAAUUCUAUAAAUAGGAAACCCCCUUUAAUCAAAGGAAUAAUUCCAACCUUUGACUUUUCAUGAAUGAAGAAUUGCAACUUUUAACUCUUCAUAAAUGAUCACAUGUUUUUCAAAGAGGUAUCUCAAAUCCUAUAAAUAGGGAAACCUUCUAUAAUCACUUAACAACUUUUCACCAUACAUAUAUUCAUACAUAUAGUGCACUAAAAAUUAGAGAGUUAUAUUGAGUCUAUAUCAGAGAGUGUUCAACACAAUUGUGGUUCAUUGAAGCUUUGUAAUUUGGAGUGCUACUAUUACAAAGACGUGGUUGUUCUAUCCUGGGAGACAACCUUCGAUCAACCAUGAGCACCAUAGGGGUUUAAACUUAUCUUAAAGACAUGGUGUCUAACACUUGCCUCGACCGUAUUUUCAGGUUUUUCUAAUCCAUUAUGUCAUGUUCCUUUAACAUUGGUUACUCAUGUGCAUGAAGGAAAUUGUAGUAAUGGUCUCACAACUUUAACCUAAUUAGAGUAAUGGUCACUCAACUAAAAAUCCAUGGUUAUUGGUCUUUUUCUUCAACUCCAUUAGAACUUCUAUCAAAAUGAGUCACGUGCCACGCACAUGAGGCUUAAUCAAGGGGCAGAUAUGGAAAACUAAAUGAGAAAAAUUGUAGCUAUGAUCCUUCAACUUUAACCCAACUGGAGAAAUGGUCCAUCAACUUUAACCCAAUUAGAGCAAUGGUCCAUCAACUUUAACCCAAUUGUAGCAAUGGUUCUUCCAACAUAACUCAUUUUGAUGAAAUACUGACGGAGUUAACGAAAACAACUAUAACUGCACGUUUUGAUGAGUUAAGAGACUAAUGGUUAUAGAUUUUUAGUUCCUAAUUUUUCCAACAAUCUUAAGACAAGUUUAUUAGUUUGAUUGUGAAAUUGGCACCAUGUGAAAUAACCUGCAAUUUAAAAUCUAUAUACGUGAUUGUCUGACUAGUCAACAACACUUAGUUUACUAAAAUGUUCCAGUUUACUAAAAUGUUCCAAGUAAAACUCAGUUUACUCACAGCGGAAAUAGUCAAAUUAAAACUCAGUUUACUAAAAUGUUCCAAGUUAACUAAGUUCCAGUUUUACACAUUUUAACUAUGACAAGCUUAGUUGCAUGGACUUAUCUUUUUGCAAAUAAUGUUGAACAUGUAUCACAAGCAAAGGGUAAGAUAAGAAAACUAGAAAAGUGAUAAAUUGCACUGGAUGUUUUUGGUUGGAAAAACCCACCUUUGAGUUAAAAAAUGGGGGACUCUCCACUGAGUCUAAUCCACUAGUGAGACAAGAUUCUUACAAAGUAACUACACAUGCUCAAUUCUUAGAUCCUAAUCUACGGAGUAGCUUGUACCUUUGUGCGAUUGCCUUUCAUGAGAUGGAUUCCUUCGGUCUUCACGAAGUGGCAACUCCUCUUGAGCUCUUCACCUUGUGGCACCGAAAUCAAAUUAACUUAUGCCAAUGAUGUUAUGCGCCGUUGCCAGGGACUGAUUUCAAUCCCCUCUAAUUGCUUGCUUUAUAAACCCUUUCUGUUUUUAUUUUCUUAGUUUAGAUUUUUCAUAUACUAUUUUUUUUUGUUUUGAUUUCAGGUGGUAUAAAAAGAUGUCUGGUGGAUGUCAAUUAUGUGCCAAGACCGGUCAUCCUCUUCAAUUCUACUCAAGAAGAGAUGAGUUUCCUACAUUUGUUCGAGAGCACUCACACUUCUUGAGUUUCUCUAACCAAAGGCCAAUACAUCCAUUGUCAAACACAUAUAGCCCUAUUUGGAAGAAUCCUUAUCAUGACUCUUGCAACAACAUAGAAGCUCAAAAUCAAACAUUUGAACCUCUACCACAACAGGACUUAUUUGACACUUCUUUGGAGGACACUCUGAAGCUAUUUGCUUAAAACAAUUUGCAAUUUCAACAAUCAAUGAGUAGCAUUAUUCAUAACCACUCCAACCAUUAAGCAAGUUGGAAAUUCAAGCGGGUCAGAUUGUCCAAGCUUUAAAUGAACAUCAUAUUCUCGCCAAAGACGAAUUUGAACCAUAUUAUUGCUAACCCAUUGUGAGACUACGCCCGCCCUCUCGCCCUUAGUGUUGAUAUUAUCGUUUGUUAAAAUAAAAAUGGGGAUCCCUUCCCUUAAAGACUUCAUACAUCAUGUUUUAGGAACUUUAAGGGAAGGGAUCCUCAUUUAAAAAAUGAGAAUUAGUUGUAGGACUCACUCCACAUCGAUCUGAACCAUCUAUUUUGCAAGUAUCGAUUCAUAUACAAUCAUUGCAACAAUUCAAUUCAAUCCUAAUCUAUUUACCUAUUUAAUUGUCACGAUAAAAUUUCACUAGUUUCUUGGAAUAUAGUUUUCAUCAAUUUCUUUGAACUCAAUUAGAUACCUCAAAUAUGUCAAAUGUGAUAUAUUCUUGCUUAUCUUCUCUUCAAGUUGUAUCAUUUUGCAAUGCGUUCGGUUUGUAUUUUUCAUAGUUCUAAAAGACACUAGACGUUAGUUGGGCGACAGACAAGAGCUAGCGCCAAGGCGGACGCCUAAGCGAACUAGGCUGAUUUAGUUGAAAUUAAUUAAUUACUAUAUAAUACAUAAUAUGAAAUACUAUGCUAUUAAAAAAAAAGAGAGAAUAUAAUGUGAGAGUUUAAAGGAAAAGGAUGAAAAUAAGACAUUACCAAGUAAUUUAAAUAAGGUUGUUUUUUAUUAGCAUCCUACACAAUGUUGAAUACACCCCACAUUAAAAUUUGAUAUUAAAUAACUUAUAUACACUAAUAUGUAAUGACAAUUUAAGGUUAAAAAAAAAAUCUAAAUACAUCCAAAAUCACUUUUAAUGUUUAUAUCCCGAUAAGAUUCAUUGCCUUCUUCAACUCUUAAAACCACUCUCACUCUUUAUUGUAGAACAAAACUUUGAAUAAUGAAACUCUGAUUUCAACGGCAUCAACAUGCCUAUAUAUAGUUAUGAAUAAUAUUCCUUGAAAAAAACAUAUGAUUGGUAAGGAGGAUCACACACCUAAUAAACCGUAGCCAUUUUCAUUUAAAUCGUACGAAAUCUCCUUGCAAUUCAUAGGAAACGAUUCCUAGGACACCCGAAUCUUUGGUGCUACACAGCACGUACCACAUAUGUGUAAUUUACCUUUUUGAUUCAUUGAAAACGGGACGGAAAACGGAAGUCCAGAAGCAAAAAGGAUAAAAAAUCCAGUGGUGGGAUGGGGUGCCAUUAAUUUACAGAAUGCUAGUAAGAUACAUCCAGUCAUUCCUCAUAUCAUCAUCUUAUACAUAUCCUAAAUUAUCAUUUUGGGAUACACCCCCUCACUUAUCAACGUUCACUAGUUAAAAAGAAGUUGAGCAAAUCCUUGUUGCUAAACAAUAGAAAAAACAUUAGCAAAUCCUUGCUAAACAUGAAUGAUUUUGUAUCAAACAGUACAUAGCACAGACCAAAAAGAAGAAUAAAGAAAUCAUUGUGAAGAGUGUGGGGUGUAUCCGUGUAUGUAGAAAAUGUAGGGGACCAAUGUAAGACGUAUGUUGAGAGUGUGGAGUGUAAAUGUAUUAUGGAAAAAUAUGUGUGAGUAUAUAUAAAUUUUGAUUGGAAAAGUAAAUGUAGGGUAUAUUAAAUACGUAAGGUUUAUUCAAUAAUACGUGGAAUGUUAAUAUAAUAAGCUUAGUUCCCUAAAUAAAGGAAAACUAAUGAAAAUGACUUGUAAACUUUGAGUUUUAACGACAAGAACAAAAUAAAGGGUAAAGUGAAUAGUACCAUGAUUGACUUUUUAGUGUAAAAAUAUGAUUUUUUUUUUGUUAAAAUAAGAGUUUUUAGUUAAAGUUAUCUUUAAAUAAACAUAAAAUUAAGAAAUGAUAUUAUAUUAUUGUAUGUUGCCAUUUACUAUUAUUAUAUAACAUAAAUUUGAAAGUGCUUAUUUCCAAAUUCCAAGUUAAUCUACACCGCUGGUUUUUUUCAACUUCUUUGAAAAGGCUAAAUAUGCUAAAAAAAUUGUUAAAUGGGACAAAUCUCUUCAAAGACUCUUGCCUCUGCUGAACGUGCAGUUAGAAGUUAAUUCCGCGGUGGUGCUCAACCGAAUUGAUGCAAUCUUGUGGCUCAAAAUCAAAACCAAAACCUUAUUCCAACUUGGUGUGCAGUUCCUGACCUUCCAAGCAAUACGCUUAUACUGGAUGCGCCUUUGGCGGAGAUGAAGAUGAAACUCCUUAGAGACGACGCGCUGUCAAUGCUUGUGCUCACUGCUCCGGGAGGAUGUGGGAAGACCACUUUGGCAACUAUGUUCUGUUAUGAUCAACAAAGUCAGAGGUAUCUAUCCAUAAAGUUUUUGUACGAUGCGGCAAACAUUUUUAAGAUACGCACACUCGAUAUUGUUGAUAUAAUUGAUAUAGCACACUUACAAUUGUCAAUGCAUGGUCGAUAGUUAGUCCACAAGGACAGUUAAUCAAAACGUAGAAUGACUGCUACCUGUAUACUAAUGAUAUCAUUUCUUUUCUCUUUUUUCUUCUAAUUAGUAAUGUUACAUUCCUAUGUGUUUUCUUGGCUAGAUAAAUUCAAGCACAAUAUCUUCUUUGCCACGGUUUCCAAUAAGCCCAGCUACCUUGUUUGUGUCAACAUGCCGGAUUCAGCGUACCUGCUUUAGUAAAAGAAGAAAUUGCAUUUAGCUGGCUGCCGCUAUUUUUAAGGGAAGCAGGGCAAAAUCCUUUGCUGUUAAUCUUGGAUGAUGUUCCUUCUGCAUCAGAAUCCCUUCUUGACAGGUUUGAUGAAAUCAAAAUUCCAGAUUACAAGAUUUUGGUGACAUCAAGAUACCAUUUUCCGAAAUUCGGGCCUCCAUAUAAUUUACAACCAUUGACAGAUGAAGAUGCACUGACUCUUUUUCGUCGUGGAGCAUUCCUGCCAAAUACGAGUUGUAACAUACCAAAUCAUCUUCAGAAAGAGGUGAUUUAUUAGUUUGAGUUUCUAACGUAUAUGCCCUUAUUUAUGCAUUCCUGCUUAUAGAAAAUGUCACUACACAAUCACCCAUGCACGCAAGUGAACCGUAGAUUUUACCAUAUCUGUAAAUAGUUAUUCACCUUAUUUGGGACAAUUGGACUGCAGAUAAUAAACCACUAUAAGAAAUUUCCGCUUGCCAUUACAACCGUAGGGACGUCACUUCGCAAUCAGCCUGUUCGUGGCGGGAAUUUCCGUGGGGGAUGCUUCCUGGCCGACGAGCACACAGCUCCCCGAGAGGUUGGCGCCGGUUGAUGCUUUCUGUCGCUUCUGCUUUACUGGCGGGCUUGUCGGGCAAAGCCUGUCGGGCAAGGCUGAAAGAGAAGGACAUAGUUAACUUUGAAAUGUGCCUUUGUGAGGCCUUAGGUGUAGGCCUUGAGGUUCACAAUCAAGAUUAACUUUUAAGUGCUCAGGCGUGCCACUGCCAUCUUCAGCAUGGCAGAUGUAGAACGGAUGUUUGAGUUUUAAUUAUAUAUAUUCGAGAAACUAUGUUAGUUAUUGACAGGUGCCUUUGUGGGGCCUUAGGUGUAGGCCUUAAGGCUUCCCAUAAAUAACUAACUUAAUACUCGAACACAUACGGUUCCUUUUCUUGGUUAUAUGAGUCUUAUAACUAGGGGUGGAAAAAAUUCCCAAAAUUCCCAAACCAAACCAAAAAAAUACCGAUCCCAAACCAAAAAUGUCCCAAACCGAUUUUCCCAAAAUUUCGGUAUUCCCAUACCGAAAAAAUACCAAAAUUUCGGUAUGGGAAUCGGGAUUGCCUUUCCAAUAUUUCGGUAUUCCCAUACCGAACCGAAAAUAUAUAUUUUUAAUUAUUUUAUAUAUAUAUAUAUAUAUAGAUAAUAAUAUAUAUUGUUUUUUUAAUUAUAGUUAGAGUUAAUUUGAACCGUUGGAUUGCUUCAAAUUAAUCCAUGCCAUCCAUUCCUUGUUAGGUUUCUCCCAGUCUAGUUUCAUUUCUGAUUUCUCACUCAGCCUUCCAACACCGACAGCCUUCCUUCGAAUCGUCUCUGACUCUCCAGCCGCCCAGCCUUCCUUCACGAAUCACCACCCAGCCACCGCCACGCCAAAGCAUCAAAGACUGAACUCUCCAGCCUUCCUUCACGAAUCGUCUCCGACUCUUGCGAUCUCUCUCUCACGGACAGAACUCUCGAUCUAGCACCGAGUCCGAGUCUCACUCUCACCCCAAAUUAGGUAACUAAUUUAGUGUUUUGAAAUCUAAUUUCUGACACUCAUCCAAAGUAGGGAUUGUUGAAGGGCUCGAGGCCGGUUAUAGACCCGCUGAUGGCCUAAUUUAUUCAUGCCGUUGGCAAUUUUUUUUGUUUGUGUGUUAAUAACUUAUACAUUUCUUCCAUCUUCAUCUGUUAGUUAGUAGUCAUUCAAUAAUUAAAAUGAUGUUUGAUUGAGUUUGUCGUAUUCUUUUAAAAAAAAUCGUUUCUUUUAUUGAUGAUGCGCUGCGGCACCCGUGUUUGAUGCUAUGUAUUUGGUUUUGGCGGGUUGUAGGGGGGUUAAAGUUGUUUCUGGUUGCAUCCUGCUCGCUUCAUUCAGAAUGUUGGUACUAGGCGCUGUGUUAGUCCAUUAAUUUCAUGUUCACAUAAUACUUACAGGGAAACUCUUCAACUUUCUAGAUGGCUAGUUCAAAUUGUUAGGCUCUAAUAUCAUAGCUUGGAAGUGGAGAAUUUCAACUCAAUUCUUAAUGAACUGCACUUUUGUUGCGAUACCUUAACUAACAAAGGGUUUAAUGAGAAUAAUACCCCUGAGUUUACACUCUGGAGAAAUAGAUUGAAGUUAUACUUUUUUCUUGGAGUCUUACUUGCGACAAUAAGUAAAUCUCUUUACACCUGCACACACAUCAUUGAAUUAAGCGUUCACUGGUGCACCUUUACAUGUAAUAAAUUAAACCGCUAUCAUUGAUCAUUAAUCAACAAAGAAAAUUAUUAAGCACUACUACAAGUGAUUAUCUAUGCUGACUGAUUUCCUGGUUAUCUUCAGGGAGAAGUGUUAGCAGGUUUAGCACUGCUGUAGCAACUGAGGAGUUAAUCAUUUCACCUGUUCAAACUUCAAAUUAGUCACACGCUGCGUCAGGUAAUAUUUUUUGUUUUGGCUAUAGAAUCUUAGAUACAUGGUCUUGCUUUAAUGUUUGAUAGCAAAUCAAGUUUUGUAAUUCUGUGCACAGAUUGGCAUAUUCUAGGCAGAUACUUAACUGGGCCUUGCCAUUUAAUUGGCAUAUUUGUGCACAGAUUAGUAGAAAAAAGACAUGACGUUACAAAGUCUGUAGGUUUGCCAUCCUCUAUAUUAGAAACGAGCUGGUUUUUAUUUGCUCGGAAUAUAUUUCUAUGUUGAAUGCUAAUAUUUUUGCUUUUGGAUUUGGUACUUAAUUUAUUUUUAUUGCAUGCAUGUGUAGUAGAAAUUGAAUAGGCAGAUGCUAUUGUGCACAGACAGAUUGGCAGAUUGCUUUUGAAUAGGCAGAUGCAAUGAAAGUAUGAAACUAUGUCAAAUUGGCAGAUUGGGCAGAUGCUAUGAAAGUAUUGAAUAGGCAGAUUUCUUUUUAAUAGGCCUAUAUGUCAAUUUUUCAAUAUAAAAGAUCGAAUUUUAGCCCAAAAGCAUAAUAUGUCAAAUUUUAGUCCAAAAGCCCAAAACCAUUUCGGGAUUCCCGAUUUGUCCCGAAAUCCCGAAACUAUUUCGGGAUUCCCGAAAAUUGGGAUUCCCGAAAAUUUGGUUUGGGAUCGGUAUUGCAAUUGGGAUUCCCGAAAAUUUCGGUUUGGGAAUCGGGACAAGGGUUUCGGUAUGGGAUCCCAUACCGAACCACCCCUACUUAUAACCAUUAUAUUUCUGAUUACCUGAGCCCAAAGAGCAGAAUGAAUCCAAAUAGGUGCUUUUGUGGGCCUUGACUAGGCCUUGAGGCUUCCCAUCAGAACUCCUUCUAUACUCAAUGUUCUCGCGUCGAGAAAUAGGAUGAAUCCAAAUAGGUGCCUUUGUGGGGCCUUGAAUGGGCCUUGAGGCUUUCCAUCAGAAUUCAUCCCGUACUCGAACGUUAUAUGAUAAUCAUAAUAUAACAGAAAUAAAACUAAGUGACAGGUCGAUUACUUGCGCCUCAAGUAACUUCGGACUUCUUGUUAUCAAAGAUUGUCGUGGAUGGGUUCAGUCCACAUCAGGUUCUUUUUUAUGCCUUGAGGCCAAGGACUUUUUAGAGUGAUCAAAUCUUAUAUGCCCGAGGGCUUAGAACUUAGAUCUGGCUUGAACUGUGAAGACAUAUUCAAAUCGGAUUCAAGCGCUGAGAAAGUCUUUUAAUAGCCAUAUUACUAGAAAUAACUUGGAUACAACUUGUAGGAUACAACUUGUAGUAUCCAACAUAUUGCUAGGCUAAUGAAUGAAAAGACAAAAGCAAAGAGGGUCGGGCAAGGCUGAUCGCCUUGCAACUUCCUAUCUUUGUGGUUUAUCAGGAGAUUUGAAAGCUUAGAAAAGGGGUUGGGAGGUGAGUUUACAGAAAGAAAUCGAUACUACAGCAAGAGUUGAACAGGGUAGCAGAGCUAUUACAAAGGGUUUAUCCCGAAAGGGAUGAAGGCUUGGGCUGACUGCAGCUUCGUUUUAAAGGCAAAUCUGGCUUUGAGCAGAGUUUGUGCUUGUAUUUGUUUGUUUGAGUGUCCUUGACUUUGAUUUCUCAUUCUCCUUUUAUAGACACUUUGGCCUGGCCUCAUGUAGCAAUAAUCUUGCCCGAAUGCAGUUUUGAAGGAUAGUGACUCAUCAGCUAUUUACUUGUACUGCCACUAUAAAGUACUUUUGGGCUGAUUAGUUGGCUGGUCUAUACCACUUGGCCCUUGGGUAGGUGAGCAAGUGGUGCAAAUGAUCUGCACGAAAUUUUAAGCCCAGAAAAGCCUUGGUCUGCUGGUGAGUUCUCCAGCCGAUUUGGGGUAAGUAAUUUUGUGAUUUGCAGUUGAUUUUGGGAAAUGAUUGAUGGGUUGCAGUUCAUUAUAUGAUAUAUAGAAUAUUUGCAGUUUUUUUUUUUCAUUUUAGGGUUUUUUUUUUUACUGUUUAGUUUUUGGGUUUUGUCUAAUUUUUGUGUUCUGCUUUAUAGGGUUUCGUUAUCUUUCAUUAGAGUGGACGGAUACCUGAAGUAGCUUUGAUGGCACGAUCUUACCUACCAAGCAAAAGUUUCAGAGAUAGUUUCAAUUUGGAGAAAUGACCUGAACAAGGUUAGACUUUUGCAGUGUUUUUCUUGAUUCAUGAACAUGAUGCUUUUCUUUCAAGUGAAGUGUAUAUAUGAGAUGUAGAAGUCAUAACAAAGAAAAAUUGUUAUGUCUUCUACUUUAUCGACCAAUUGAAUUGAAGCAAGGAAAUAUUUUUGCAUAUAUUUGGCUAUUCCAAGUAUUUUUAAUUUUGUAAUUUUAAUUUGCAAUAUGGCAGGUCAAUAAAAAAGCUCCAGAAUCAUUGGCCGAUCCGCAAGAGUGUCCUAAUUUGUUUGAGGACUGGCAGGUUUCUCUUGCCCUUGAGUCUAAAGAUGCAGAAAAUAGGUAUCCACCCUUCAUUUCACUGUUCAGCAUCAAGGCCAUGAAAAAAUCUACUUUUUAGCGCUGUAGUAGAUAUGAAUAUAAUUACUGAAUGGCAAGAAAUUGUGCUUAUUUGUUGGAUAAUUGUGGAUUGCUUUGUUGUCUUUUGCAGGGGCAUUCAUCCCCCUGUUGACGUAAGAGAUGAACGAACAUUCUUCUUUCAAUUUUUUUGGGCUUUUUCUAACCCAUCAUUUUCUUUUGAGUCAACCAAAUAGUCCCAGCUUGCAACUUAUGUUGUGUGGUAUUAUUGUCUGAAAAAUUAAGUAUGCAUGUAUAUUUUAUGUGUGUUCGCGUGCACACCUUCGCAUGAUGUUAAUCUCUGUGGGCCAUCUAUAUAUAUAUGUAGACAUAUAUGUGUGUGUGUGGAAUGCAACAUAUCGGAUUUAGGUUAUAAUGUGCAUAGUUUUAUUGUCUGUUGUUAUCUGUGCUAUACCAUAUCUAUGCAGGCUCAAACUUAUUCAUGAGCUUUAUAAGCACUUUCCAUAAUUUAAGCUGUCUGUUUUGGGUUCUUUUUCAUUAGGUCAUUAGCUACUGAAUGAUGGAGAAACGAGUACCAUGCCACUGAUUUUGGGUUCUUUUAAUAAUUUUCUGAUUUUUGGCGUUUUGCAGGUAGUGCUGAUGUACUGAUUUUCUGGGAUUUUUUUUGUCCUUGUAGGAUUUUUGGUCUUUGAAAUGGGUACGUGUUGUUUUUAACGUUUUGGUUCUUGUGUGUUCGGCUCUUCGUUGCUUCGUGAUUCUCAUUUUUCAGUGUUGGGUAAUGGAAAUUUGUAAAAAUAGUUGUAGUUUUUUGAGAAAGUUGGCAUUUUUAGUUAUAUUUUCUGUUUAAUCCCAAAUGUAAGAUUGAAAAAUAAUUGAAAUGAUGAUUUUUUAAAAACUCCUCUUAAUUUUUUCCUGGGAUUUAAAAGCAUCUUUUCCCGAUUGGUUACCAGGGUUAUGUUCUCUAUAAUUGGUUCACCUAAUUUUGAUUAGUUUUAAGAUUUGUCCUUUAAGUUUUGUUUUUAAGUUUUGUCUUCUGUGCUGUAAUGAGAGAUUUCUGUUGGCCUUUCGGAUUUCGGCAUGGGAAAGUUCACUUAUUUGUCUAAUUAGAUUGCGUAUGGCUUCGAUUCUUUAUUUAAUUGUUCUGUUUGCAUUCGGGUGUGAUGAUCUAAAUUUUAUAUGUUUGGAUUAUUCACUUAACACUAAUUUGUUACAUUCAGGUCUCCACCCCACAUUUCACAAGUUCCAUAGAAGUUGGUUGUGCAGAUUGUGUCUGCAAUUAGAUCAGAGGUCAACCACACUUUUGUUAUCAUGCGGAAGAUUGCUUUUGGGAAGGAUCUGAAGCAGUUCCUAUGUUUAUUGCCAUGUAGCUCUGUCUUUUCUAAUUGAUGGUGUUCAUGUUGCACUGCGAUUCAUGAUGAUGAUUUAAUUGUUUCUCGAUUUGUAAUUGUUUGUAAAUAAUGUGGCGUAUCUGAAUUGCAAUCUGUGUUUUGUAUGAAAGGGAUGGCAUAUCAUGUUGCUGACUUAAUUGUUUAUGUUUUUCAUAUUUGCGAUGGUGUUAUGAUCGAUUAGGUGAUUGCUGACCUGUGACUUUGUUUGGAGCUCAAAUUUUUUGAGCAUUAUAUUGGAUUGUAUUGCACUUGGUUUGAUGUUGUUUUGGUCGACAAUGCAGGGAUAGGAGAAACAAAGAGGAUGACACUUAUAACUGCCCCUCCCCAUCGGCCUUCUUCAAAUUUGGAUCACAAGAAGGGAGCAACAUAGGUAUUGAUCAUGGUGUUUUCCUUCUUAAUUUGGAUAUGGUUAAUGUAAAUAAUUGGACAAAAGAGCCAAACAAACCCUUUUCUCUCAAAUGGAGGAGAUGAUGUGGUCGACGGCCACCAGCCCCAACUCAAGAGUUUGGCCUUCUGUAUAAUCGGAUAUAGUAUAAUUUUAUUUUGGUCCAUUUCUUUUUUUCCUUUAUAUAAGUGCAGAUGUUGUGAUGUUUUGAAUGAAGGGUGGAUCACACACUUCCUCCUUACUUAGAGCAAGAGGAGAUGACGGUUUGUAUAAAAAGAAAAACUUACCAGGUACUUCAAUUUUCUAUUUUAUUAAUUAUUGUCUGGUUUGAAAUGUUGUAUUCAGAGAGAGAGAGAGAGAGAGAGAGAGAGAGAGAGAGAGAGAGAGAGAGAGCAAUUGUCCUUGAGAAACAAGUUUACAUUGCGAGAAUUUGCAGUGUGCAACUUUGAUUGGUUAUUUUAUUUGAUUGAGUUAAACUUGGAUUUCUGGAUUUUGACUUUUUCGUUUGUUUCUCUGUUGCAGGGUUGGCUUCAUUUCAUUCCAGUAACUCUCUAAAUAGGUCCAAGAACUCACUAAAUAGGUAGUCAAGAAGAAUUCAGUGUUGCUUUCCUUUUCUGUUUACUCUCUUCCUGGUUGCACUCUCACCACUUCUGUUGCUCACCACUUCAUCUCUUCUGUUGCCUACAAUCAUCACAAAAAAACUCGAACCCUCAAACCAACAUAUUCAUUUCUACAGUUUCUCUGACAAUUAAUCUAACCUUGAAACCAACAAAUUGCAGAAAUCCUCAACUGUUGGAUUCUGUUGAGAUGGGCAGAAUUUGGUGGUGUCUUCAUCGUCGAUUGACACCUGGACUGCAACAUCAUCUUCACUCACCCCAGCGUCAGCAGAUUCCACCUCCAAAUCCUCUCCGAUCCUUAUUCCCAAAAGCUCUCCCUCUGAUUUGUCAUCAGGUAAGAUUUUGGGGUUUUUGUUUGGCAUUUGAUUCAAGUUUUCUUUGCAUUAAAUAAGAAAACAACCUCAAGCCCUCAAACCAAUAAAUCAAAUUCUACAAGUUCUCUCACUCUUAAGUCUUAAUCUAAUCCUAAAACCAACAUAACAAUUUUGAAAUGUCCUCAGUUUUCCAACAAUUCCGGUCAGGUCAGCGUUGAUGUUGGUCUUAAACUAUUCCUCAGCGCCUCAGGUGCCUUCUAUUUCAUGUAAGAUCUGCUUCAAAUUUUUUAUUUAAUAUAAUUGGGUUUUAGUUAUUUUUUCGUAGGUUUUCUAUGGUUUGUGUAAAUUCUCAUCUGAUCGAUGAUUGUUUUUGUUAUCAUGGGCUGAAAAGUGUGUAAUGGGGUUAUGAGGUAGAAGACUGUUUGGGGGUGGCAGUGGAUUCUCUGAGUAUGACUGGGAUGUUGAGAAAUUGGAGCUCUUCUGGGGCCAUAUCCAUUUGGAUUUGCAGGGUCUGAUUGGAGGAAAAGAAAUGAAAAAUAUUUUGGGUUUUGGAUUGAUGUGGUGUUUGAUUUUAUUUAAUUUUUGUUCCUGCAUGUUUGGGUUUUUUUUUUUUUUUUUUUUAAUUUUUAUGCAUGUAUUUAUUUUUUUUUUUUUUUUUUGAAUUAACACUAUUUGUUUUGUUAAUUGCAGGUUUAUAGUGUUUGCUUGAUAAAGACGGAGAAUAGCACUGUCCAAAUGAAUAGGAAGACCUCAAAAACUCCUUGAUGUGUUGCUUUCCUUAAUGUAUAAAGACGGAAAAAGAGGGGCAAGUUGCGAAAAGACAAAAAAAAAAAAAAAAAAAAAAAAAAAAAAAACCAGAGAUUGGUACUUUUCAUGCAUUCGAGUCAAGUUUUAUAAUGUAUAUACAUGUAUUUUCCAUUUGGUGAAUUCCAAAAAAUAAGAGCGUUUCUGUACACUAUUACUCUUUAUAUGUAGGCAAAAAUGAGAGUGUCUCUGUACACUAUUACUCUUUUGUAUGCAGGGCAAGUGGAGAUGGCAAUUGUUGUGGUUCAUACAAUCCCUCCUUUUUAUUUAGAGCAAGUGGAGAUGGCUGUUUGAAUAAAAAGAAGAAUUUGGCCAGGUAAUUCAGCUUUCCAAUAACUGGCAUUUGGUUAUUUAAAUAUUUAUGCAGAGAGAGAUGAGUUAUGUACUCUGAUUUCCUUACAUUCUCAUUAAAUGUUACCCAAUUUAAAAUUGUCUCUCACAUGAAAGUUUGAUUUUGAUAAGAUGUGUGUUUUUAAAAUUGUAGUGUCGUGUUGGCAUUAUUGCUUAUUUAUGAAUGCAAGUCUAUUUCACAUCUAUGUAAUAUCUUUAAUUUUGAUCUCCACAUUAUUCAAUGUUCACUAGUGCCUUUAAUUGUCCUCUGUUUUACAUCUAACUGAUGACACCACUUCCACUGCACCAGCUCCAGAGAAAAAUCUAUCAGCUUUUGACUCAAAUUCCAACUAUGCCUUAUCACUCUGAAUACCAAAGCAACCCCAAGCAAUUCUGGAAUAAUUUUUACGAGUAAAAAAAUACAUUAUGUAUAACUUAACCUCAAAUUUAUUCAUUUCACAAACAUUCGCAUCAAAUCCGUAGUUUUUUAUUGCUUGAAGUUCCAUACCACUCAAUGUUUACUAACACUUUUCAUUUUCCACUAUUUAACAUCUAUAUACUUAUCAUUUUUGCAAUCGCUGGGUGUACGCAAAUAGCAAAAGAAAUAUAAAACGCAAUAUCAUAAAAAGAAAUUGUUUUCUGUGUUACUAAGGUGUUUUGGUUCAAUUGAGUUACGAGGGACCGAUCUUGAUUCUUCACUAUCUGCCUGAAAUUUUCAAAAAAAACAACUUGGGAGCUCAAGUUUGAAUUUUUUUGCUAUUUAGUAGUCAAUUUGUAGCACAGUGGAAAUGUGGAAUGAUAUUUUUGCCUUUCAAUUCUAAUUGGCAAUCUGCUGCCAAUUUAAACCUUUUCAGGGCGUUUGCCACGGAGGUUAUGCAGCUCUGCAGACAGUCACACAGUGGAACUUGGAUUACACAAAGCACAGCAAGCAGGUUGAUAGGUAUAUUUUCUCACUUUUACCAUUUUUAGAAUUUAGAUUCGUGAUAAAUUAAUUCGAAUCAUGUGGCGUGAUAUUUCCACUCUGUUACAGACCAUGGUUAUGAUAAAUUAAUUUGAAUCAUGAGGCAUGAUAUUUCCAUAAUUAGCCACCUUUGUUGUGGUUUUGUCGAUUAUACUCAAGGGAGACUUUUCUACUUUUUAUUUUCUUCUCAUAGGGUUUAUAUUCUGCGAAGUGAUAUUUUAACUAUUUAUGCGUAUUUAUUUGUCAUCUAUUUUUUUAUGUAAAUUAACUAUAAGAGAUUAAUGAAAUUAACUGAUAAGAAUAUGAAAUUGACAAGUCGCUUCUCUAAAACCAAUUUUGUUUUUCUUUUCAAUUUACUGUCUACUAUCUCUCUCUCUACAAUAAACCGUUACACAAGUUUGUUGGCAAUGUGUGCUACUUCCCAUUAAAUCUGCAUUGACAUAACAAAAUUUUGGUUCUUUUGAAUUAAUGAUUGUUUCAGGGGAAUCAAUUCUUAUGUACAACUUAAACAUCCAAUGGUGUCGUGUGCAUUUUUAUCAACAAUAAAAAGCUUUUUCUCUGUAUUGCAAACAAGUCUUCUUAUAAUUAAAUAUUUGAAAUCCCUGGUCUGUAAUCCUCUUGAUUCAUGGUUUUAACGCCUCCUGAUGAAAUAACUACAACGUCAUCACUUCUUUUAUCAGAUAAGACUUAAACAUUCUACCCAUUGUUGAGUUUCUUUAACGAGUUUCACCCAUUUGUCAUAAAAUUAGAUGAGGUGAUUUCAUACCAUCUCAGAGUGUUGUCAGAAUAUAAUAUGAUAUUUGAUUCUUUUUCUUUUUUUCCCAUGAGUCUCAAUUUGUAUUUGAAACAGUAUGUAAUAAACUUACCAGGUCUUCAUCGCUAUCAUACUUUUACAGGUUUUGUUUUAAGGUUCUGAUUGGUAAAGCAAAAGCUCCUACGAAUUUAGCGGAGUGGACUAAGAAUUCGGGCCUUUUAUUAAUGACAUUAAUUGCUAUGCAAUUUAGUUUUGACUUUUAGCAUGUUCGUGAUCUUUGAAUUUACAUGUCUAGUUGUUUUCAUUAUACUAUUCUGAUAGGUAUGUGCAAAUAACUAUUAUGUUUAUCCCCAUUCUCUGAUGGUGUUUGCUGCAUUGUUGCUACACAAUCUCUGAUGGUUCCAAUGCUGGACAUAAAAGAAAUUGACUAUUUUUUUCCUUUAUUUAUUUAUUUAUUUAUCUGAAGAGGUCGCACUUGGUGCGAUGGCAAGUGCCUUCGCCCAUGAGCGGUAGGUCUCGGGUUCGAGACUUGGGAGCAGCCUCUCCAUAAAUGAGGGUAAGGCUAGCCGACAUUCACCUCUCUCAGACCCUGCGUAAAGCGGGAGCCUUGUGCACUGGGUACGACCUUUUUAUUUAUUUAUUUAUUUAUCUGCAUAUUAUUUUGGUUUGUUGAAAUUUCAACUAUAGUUUGCUUUGUGCUGGACGUAAAGGGUUUUUCUUCAAUGAUUAUAUAUAGCUUCAACAGUGGACUCUGUGUUGUCUCUAGGUGAUUUUGCUUAUUUCUCCAUUUGUUACGUAUGAGUGGAUGCCUAUGAUUAAGUGAAAGUGAAAUCUAAAAGGUUUUUUGUUGUUAUUGUUGGGAAUUUGCCUAAUUUUAGGAAUGGGAAGUGAUUCUGGUGAACAGAGGUCUAGAGUUCAGGUUUGUGCUAAUCUCUCACUCUUCCUCUCUCCUUCUCUACUGGAAAAUCCAUAGUCUUUCAUCUUCCUCGGCUCUUCCUUUCUCUCCGCUCCCCAUUUCUCUCUCCUUGGAGCCUACAAACCAAGUAGUGAUGGUCGACAAGCUUCAAAUAUGCUGGACGCGUACUGGAGAAGGGACAGUUCUGUCCGUUGCAGAGAGAGAGGGGGGAGUAUGGGGGUAGGGGAGAGGAUUUCGGCAGGGAGAUAUGGGUUUGGGGAGAAAGAGUAAGGGAGAAGUAUGGGGUAGGCUGAUUUCCAGGGAUUUCCUUUCACCCCUUCACUCACCACGAACCCACCUUUCUCUUCGUUUCUCCCACCCUCAAAUCUUCCGUUUUCCCUCUCACAAAAUACCCACCAAGGAAACCCUGCUUUUGGUUUAUUUUGGGAUUUUGUUUGCGCUCUCAAUUUCAAACGACGGGCCAAUUGGUUGAGAUUUGGAUUUCUCCCCUUUUUGUGGAAGCUCACAAAUUGUGUUUCGGUGGGAUCGGUCUCGAAUAGCUGCGUGUGUCUACUCUUUCCAAGGUAUGGUGUUCACCGAUGGCAUGGUUUAGUGUGUCUCUCUUCUUUUUUCUUUGUUUUAUAUUUCUAAUCGUUUGCUGCUUGACAAUGGUUAGUUUGGAUGUUUUUCUGAUUUUGGGUUGGUCAGUGUUUUUCGGCUGCUUGAGAAAAUGUGAUCCCAUGUUUUGAUUGAGUGAAAUAAUUAAGAGAUAAAAAAGAGUGGAGAAUUAGUGUCAAGAGUAGUGAUGGAAAAAAUGAGGAAAAAAAGAUAGAUGUGGAAGAAGGGGAGAGACUGGAAAUUGAGGAAAGUGAAGAGAAAAAAAAAUGGGGGUUAAGUGAGCAGAGAAAAAAUGAGGAAAAAAAGGCUUAAUAUGGGGAGUAGGCAGAAGAGAAAAGCAAGAGAAGGGAGACAGAACAGGAACAAGGUGUGGUUUUGUUGUUAGUUUUAUCCAAACUUUUGAUUUGGAUUUUGAUUUGAAGCUUAUUUGUUAUUUGUUUAGUCUAAUUUAGUAUUGGUUAAUCUAGGUUUGUGGCUAAUUUAAUGUUAAUGUUGAUCUAGAUGUUUUAAUUUGUUAUGAACUUAUAUGGGUUUCGUGUUUUAAUUGUUAUUUUACAGUUGCUAGGGUUAACUUUGGCUUUUAUGUUGGUUUGGAUAAUUUUUUUAAUUUCAUUUGAAGAUUUAGUGUCAUUAUACACCUUUGCACCACUGUUUGUUCUGUUUUUCUCUGUUUCUGUAUGUAGUUUUGGUAGAAUUGGACUGUUCUUUUUAACUUAAUUAAAGUGUUUGACACUUAAGUGAAUGAAAGUUUAGUUUGGUUUGAUCACGAUGAGGUGUUUGGUGACACCUUUGCACCACUGUUUGUUCUGUUUUUCUUGGUUUCUGUAAAUAGUUUUGGUAGAAUUGGACUGUUCUUUUUAACUUAAUUAAAGUGUUUGAGACUUAAUUGAAUGAAAGUUUAGUUUGGUUUGAUCACGAUGAGGUGUUUGGUGUUGGGUGUAUGAUCCUUGGGUCCAAUGGAAAUGUGUAAUUCCCAUUAAGGUUUCAUCUUGCUGUAAAUUUAGGUGUUUUCUCUCUGUGUUGGUCCGUCUGCUUAUACUUUUCAAAUGUUGGUUUAUCUUAUGCAAAUAUUGAUACGCUUAACUACCCUGCUUCUUUCUCAUGGUCCUUAAACAUGUGCAAGUUUGUAUGUUUCUGAUGGAUUAUGCUAGUGGGAACUUAGUUACUUUUUUAUUUUUUUUCAUGUUUGUUGGGUUUGUUGUUUUCAGAAAAUUAUUGAAAUUCUGUAAUCUGUAUAUAGAGUGCUAAAUGAGUAUAUGAUUAAUGGGUUGAAUUUUGUUUUCAAAAGGACUGUUAUAUGUUUUGUGUGAAAAUUAUUGAAAUUCUGUAAUCUGUAUAUAGAGUGCUAAAUGAGUAUAUGAUUAAUGGGUUGAAUUUUGUUUUCAAAAGGACUGUUAAAUGUUUUGUGUCAAUUUGGCUGUGAUAGUAAGAUUACUUCAUGGAACAGUGUAAUUGUUGUGGCAUGUGAAUGUUAAAUUUUUCUUAAUUUAAUUUCGGAAAGAAAUUUGCUCAACUGUAGUGCUAUAUGAUGAAGUUAUCAUCCUUAGAGGUUGGGAACUCAAUUAGUGCACCAUUAGUUGUGCAAAUGUCUGAAUAUUGGUGCUUUUCCAGGAAACAGUGCUUUUUGCUUUCUAGAACCGUUUGGAGAGUGCACGACUUGAGGAUCUCAGACCCAAGGUAAAAGGUUAAAAUCUCUGGCUUCCUUUACUGAUGUAAGCUUGCAUGAAAGAGAGAAACAAUAACAAAAAAUUUAUCUGAACCCCCAUUUGGUUCUGUUUGAUUGUCUAUUUAGGGUGUUUUUUAGUUUUGCUUGUGGGGUUCAGAUUUAAUUUGGGUUUAUAUGUGAUUUCCAAUCGAUUAUUUUUUUAUUAGUUGCAGAUCAUUUUUACAUUGGAAGAUUGAAUUUUUGUGGUUGUUUCAGUGUAGUUCUUGGGUACACAAACAUUUAUCCAAUAAAUAAAUUCAUGACAUUGUUUUCAGGGGAUGGACAGAAGUCCCAGGCAGCAAUCUCUUUGUAAUCAUCGCCGGGAAAAUAUUGUGGUCAUUUUGAGUUUGGAUUUAGCCAGCAUGUGGUAAGCGUUACUUUUUCGAUUACUUUCAUUUGUUUAUUUGUGAAUCAAUAACUUUUUUAGGAAUAAUGAAUGUCACAAUUGCUGAUAAAUUGAUACUUUGUUCGGAGCUUGAACUGUAGGUCUGUGCAAGAUAUCCAUAUAUGGAUCAAUGCUAUGGACUCUUCUCAACCUAUGGACCUCAAAUUUCAGUGCGUCUUCCAUCAUUUCUCCUACCUCACUGUAUGUAGCUAUUACAUUUGCAAUCAUAUUAAUUCAUUGAAAACAAUAUUUAUAUUUCUCUGUAAAAUAUACUAUCAUUUCCUUGCUCGUACAUUAAAAUGGAAAUAUAAAAAGUAGAACCGAUCAUUGCUGGGUUCUCUCUUUCGACUGUGUUGUUUGCUUUACCGUUUUUACUUUUCUGUUUCACAGCUCUUUGACAAAUAUCUUAUUCUGCCACUCUCGAUCUCGCCCAGGGGUGUUGCAGGUCGAUUCGAUGCUACGAGGCACUUCAUUUAGGGCUAUCUGAGAGAGAGAGGUGUUGGGUGUUUGAGACAAGGGGUUUCAGGGAUUAGGUUUGGGUGGGGUUUCAAGGAUUAGGUUUUGGUGGGAUUUGAAUGAUUAGGUUUGGGUUUUUGUUUGUGCGAUUGGCAAAGAGAUGGGGGGUCCAAGAUAGGAUUAGGAGAUUUGAUUUAGGGUUUGCAGAGUCAGAGAUAGGAGGUGUCCAAGAGAGAUGUGGGAGGAUUUAGGCGAGGGAUUUCAGGGAUUUGGUUUAGGGUUUGUUUUCUGCGAUUUGCAGAGACAGAGAGAUGGGACAAGGGUGAGCGAGAUGGGAGGAUUUUCUGCAAGGGUUGAAGGAAACGGGCAAGGGAGGUAUGGGUAUAUGGGUUUGUUGCGAUGGGGUUUAGUAAUUUUCAAUAUUCUUCGACUCUUUUUAAUCUGCAAAAUCAAAUUACCCAUGGAAUUUAUAACAUGCAAUCAGUUUCUUUUUAGUUGAGUUCAAAUAAUGUUGAUUGCAUUGUUAUAAAGCUUUGUUUUAUUGUUAGGUUGAAAAUCAUAUCAAUAGAUUCUUUAUUUAGUUGGUCCAAUCGUAACAGAUGAGAUUGUUUUGUUUGAUGUUUAAAUCAAAAUUUGAUCUUUAUUUGUGUGAAAUUAUAAUGGAAUUGCAAAUCAAUUAUAUCUUAGAUUCUUAGUUGCAUACUCACCUUCCCACAACUAUUAUAUUGUCACUUGACUUGAUGGAUUUUUAUAAUUUUCUGGAUCUACAGUUACAAUGCUUUUUAUAAUUUCCUAGAUCUAUUCUUUUUGUUCGUUCAUGAUUAUAUUGAAUUUUUUUUUUCAGGUUAAAUGUGUCUUAUUCAUGUAGUAAGGCUGGUGUAUUCAAAUUCCACAGCAACGUGUGAGCAUAUUUUCUAGUUUACUUCUAUUUAUGGUUUAUGUGUUUGUAAUAACAUCGCAGCACUGUAGAAUUAUUGUAACUAUUCACACUGGGUAGUGACUUUUGCACCCCCUGUUCUUUUCUGCACUCCUCACUGUUCAACUCUUCAUUGAUUCUCGUCUUUGAUAUAUCCGUCGAAUGGCUAGAGAAACAGAGAUAAGUGCAUGGAAAGAAAAUAAGAGAUUGAAAAUCAAUAUUUUUUACGUAGGGAAAAAAGUGUAUUAAUUUAUGUAUUAUGUGGGAUUUCCGAGCCUUUUGUUUUGUGGGUGAUUUUUCCGCAAUGCAAGUUUCCUGGAAAUUGCAAAUCAUUUGGCUUUAGUUGCUGUUUGUUUCCAUCUUUUUCUUUGGAUUUGGAUCCUCUCCUGAGCCAAUGGAGAGGGUCCUCCUGACCAAGUAUUGUGGACCGUUGGAUUUUCAUUUAACGGUUAUAAUUAUUAUAACUUUAAAGGGACCCUUUUGUUUGUAGCGGUUGAAUAAAAAUUCAACGGUCCAAAAUGUUUGGUUAGGUGGAGCCUCUCCAUUAGCUCAGGUGAGAAUCCAAAUCCUUUUUCUUUGAUGCUUUCGCUUGUUUACGUCGGCAAUAUGACGUAAUAAAUUGGUCAAUGUGGCCCUACUACGUUGUUUCAAUGGGCUUUCCAAAUUAUGCACUAAGCAAGUUGCAAAUAAAAUAUUCUGGGAUUUCUGAGCCUUUCUAUUGUUGUGGGUGAUUUUUCCGCAAUGCAAGUUUCCUGGAAAUUGCAAAUCAUUUGGCUUUAGUUGUUGUUUGCUUCCUUCUCUUUCUUUGAUGCUUUCGCUUGUUUACGUCGGCAAUAUGAUGUAAUAAAUUUGUCAUUGUGGCCCUACUUGGUUGUUUCUAUGGUACCGGAUCUCCUUCGGAUCCAAAAAAUCUAAACCUAAUGAUCAAAUGAUCCGGACCAUUGAAAUUUGAUUUAAUGAUUACAAUUAUUAUAAUUUUUAAAGGAGCUCCUUAUUUGUAACCAUUUGAUUAAAUUUCAAUGGUUUGAAUGAUUUGAUCCUUAUGCUCAAAUUUUUUAGAUCCGUAGGGGAUUCAGUCCGUUUCUAUGGGCUUUCCAAAUUAUGCACCAACCAAGUUUUGCAAAUAAAAUAUUCUUCUCUCAAUGACUAUGAAUUGUUUUGUCGGUAAUUUUUCCGCAAUGCGAGUUUCCUGGAAAUUGCAAAUCAUUUGGCUUUAGUUGCUGUUUCCUUCUUUUUCUUGGAUGCUUUUGCUUGCUUACGUCAGCAAUAUGACGUAAACGAGUUUUGCAAAUAAAAUAUUCUUCUCUCAUUGACCAUGAAUAUAUAUAUAUAUAUGUAUGUAUGUAUGUAUUAUUGCUUAUCAAACUUGGAGUUUCAGAUCGAUUUGGCGAGCAAGAGCGCCGCGACCCACCGCAUCUCCUCUGUAUUGAAUUUCUUUCUUCCAAACUCCUAUCUUUAGAUGGGCUCUUCGAUUAGUCAUCAAGCUCUUCCAUUUGUUCUCAAUUCUUUCUGUCGCCGAGAGAGGAACUGAGUUGAGAGGAAGUCUGAGUUUCCUCUCAACUCAGUUCCUCGCCCAACGCCCGCCUAAGCCGCCCAGGCGCCCACUGCUUCUUGGCUUCCAAACUGAUCUUAACACUUGAGAGGUGUCUCUCCCUAUUCAGCCGAGCUCAAAUCCCUCUCUCUCCUCUGUUUAGAUUAGUUUAAAAGAAAGCAGCCUCUCCCUCGUUUCAAAUGCAUUUAUAAUUCUGUGAUCCAAAGCAAUUGCUCUCUUGUUUUAGAAGUCAGAUUUUCAGAGCUGGGUGGUGGUUGUUGUUGUUGUUGAAAUUAUGGGAGUCCUUGCGUCAGCUGUAGUAGCUAUUGUAAAAAUUCCAUUUGAAUGGCUGUUUGGUGCCGCCAUAAGAUUCUACAAGAUGGCUAAGAAGUUUCCAACUCUCCGCAGAGAUCUCACUUCAAAUAUAAACUACUUGGAACAACGGAUCCCACUGAUAAGCCGCACCAGAAUCGUUUGGGUUUCUGAAAAUUUAACAAGAACAAUGGAGGAUGGCAAGGAGCUGGCCAGAAUGUGCGACGAGGGGAAUCUGAACUUCUUUGAAAAGGCUAAAUAUGCUAAAAAAAUUGUUAAAUGGGACGAAUCUCGUCAAAGAAUCUUGAAGUUAGUGCAAACUGAUGCAAAUCUUGUGGCUCAAAAUCAAAACCAAGACCUUGUUACAACUUGGUGUGCAGUUCCUGACCUUCCAAGCAAUACACUAAAACUGGAUGCACCUUUGGCGGGGAUGAAGAUGAAACUCCUUAGAGAUGACGCGCGGUCAAUGCUUGUGCUCACUGCUCCGCCAGGAUGUGGGAAAACCACUUUGGCAAAUAUGUUCUGUCAUGAUCCACAGUAGUCACAGGUAUCUAUCUAUAAAGUUUUUGUACGAUGCGGCAAACAUUUUUUAGAUGCGCACACUCGAUACUGUAGAAUGGCUCCUACCUGUCUGCUAUUGAUAAUCACUUCUUUUCUCUCUUUUUUCUUCUAAUUAGUAAUGUUGCAUUCCUAUGUGUUUUCUUGGCUAGAUAAAUUCAAGGACAAUAUCUUCUUUGCCACGGUUUCCAAUAAGCCCAGCCACCUUGUUGUCCAAGAAUUGUGUCAACAUGCCGGAUUCAGGGUACCUGCUUUAGAAAAUGAAGCAAUUGCAUUUAGCUGGCUGCCGCGAUUUUUGAGGGAAGCAGGGCAAAAUCCCUUACUGUUAAUCUUGGAUGAUGUUCCGUCUACAUCAGAAUCCCUUCUUGACAAGUUUGAUGAAAUCAAAAUUACAGAUUACAAGAUUUUGGUGACAUCAAGAUACCAUUUUCCGAAAUUCGGGCCUCCAUAUAAUUUACAAGCGUUGACAGAUAAAGAUGCACUGACUCUUUUUCGUCGUUCAGCAUUCCUGCCAAAUACGAGCUGUAACAUACCAGAUGAUCUUCAGAUUCAGGUGAUUUAUUAGUUUGAGUUUCUAAUGUAUAUGCCCUUAUUUAUGCAUUCCUGCUUAUAGAAAAUGUCACUUGCUACACAAAUCACCCAUGCACGCAAGUGAACCCGUAGAUUUUAUAAUAUCUGUAAAUAGUUAUUCACCUUAUUUGGGACAAUUGGACUGCAGAUAGUAAACUGCUGUAAGAGAUUUCCGCUUGCCAUUACAACCGUAGGGACGUCACUUUGCAAUCAGCCUAUACAGGAAUGGAGAACCAAACUCAAAAAAUUAUCUAAAGGUUCUUCUAUUCUUGAUUCAGAGAAUGAUUCAGAGAAAAAAUUGCUUGCACUCCUCGAAAGUUGCUUAGAUGACUUGAAUAGAGAAAUGGCUCCUGUCAAGGAUUGUUUCAUAGACCUUGCUUUAUUUCCCCAAGACCAAAGAAUUCCCGUUGCUUUCCUUCUUGAUAUGUGGGCAGAGUUAUAUGAGGGAUCAAAUGAUGACGAUUCAAUAGUGAACCUAUACCACCUCACCUUCCGCAAUUUGGCCAGUCUUGUAGUCACAAGGUAUUCAUACUUUACUUUUUUUACCAAUUUACUACUGUGAUAUGCACGUUUCAGAAAUUUCUUCUGUGAAACUAAAUUUUGAUCACAACCAGGACUAAGGAUUUGGAUGGAUACUAUGGUGAACAUUUUGUUGUCCAACAUGAUGUGCUUAAAUUGCUAUCAAUCCGUGCGAGUCAUGAUGAAGACCCAACAGGACAUAGAUUGAUUGUAGACAUAAAUGGAGAUGAGCUUCCACCAUGGUGGACAGAGAAGAAAACAUGGAAGGCUCGCUUAGUAUCUGUCUUAACACCAUGGUGGACAGAGAAGAAGCAGAAAACAAAGAAGGCUCGCUUAGUAUCUGUCAUAACUGGUUGGCAUCUCUGAACUCUAUUUUUAGAAAAUAGAUACAUACAUAUGUACAAUCACGUACAUACAAGCUCACAAACGUAAUUUCACAUUAAUUUCUCCCCAGUCACAUCAUAUAGCACAUUGUUUAUUUGCAGGUGAAUCUUCUUCAACAGAGUGGCACAACAUGGAUCUACCAAAAGGCGAGGUUCUAGUUUUGAAUUUUCAAGCAAAGAACUAUGCCUUACCCAAGUUCAUGAAGAAAAUGUGCAAGUUGAAGGUUCUAAUAGUCACAAAUGAUGGCUUCUCACCUGCUGAGCUAAGUGACUUUGAACUGCUGUGUUCUUUGUCAAAUCUAAAGAGACUAAGAUUAGAGCAUAUUUCAAUUCCUUUGAUACGCGAGAACAUCAUUCCAUCGAAGAGUCUAAAGAAGAUAUCUUUAUUCAUGUGUAACGUCAGUCAAGCAUUUGGAAACUCUUCCAUCCAAAUUUUUGAGACAUUCCCAUACCUAGAGGAGUUGCACAUCGACUAUUGUAACGAUUUGGUGAAAUUGCCUGCCAAGCUAUGCGAUCUUAUCGGCCUAAAAGUUCUCAGCAUCACCAACUCUCAUAAGCUAUCUGUCUUGCCUGAAGACAUCGGAAAGCUGGAGAAUUUAGAAGUGUUGAGGCUAAGGUCCUGCACAGGCUUGGAAAAGCUUCCAGGCUCGAUUGAGAAACUCAAUAACUUGUACUUUCUUGACAUAUCUAAUUGUUCCAGCAUUAAGACGUUGCCCGAAGGCAUUGAUAAGAUGAAUGGUUUAAGAAAAAUCAAUAUGGCACAAUGUUCAAGAUUGGAUGAGCUGCCUGAGUCAGUGUAUGAUCUUGGUCCGCAGUUAGAGAAAGUGAUAUGUGACGAGGACGCAAGAAUUUUUUGGGAACCUGUCUUAUCAAAUCCCAACAAAAUAACGGUGGCAUUCAACCUGAAUUGGCUCCACAGACUUCAGAUUUGAGAGCUAUCUUUCCACGAUAAGUAUUGGAGCAAAUGGCCUGUGUACUUUGUAUUCCAGUUUAUUUUUUCCUAUUUCUCAUUUGGUGUUUGUAUGAGAUAUUGCAUCAUUCCACUGGCUUGGAUUUCCCUCGUUUUCUUCUCUAUAUACUGAUUAAGAUUUGUUGAAUUUUUGAUUUUUUAUUUUCUUCCUCCCAGGACAGACAGUAAAAACCCUCUAAUGCCUACCUUUUUUCAUCACUUCCCUCUCAUCCCCUCCAUGCUUCUCACAUCUCUUAACCAUCUAUCCACUGGCUAAUGGGUGUGGUCUCUCUAUCGCUUUGUCGACUAGAGCCUUUGUAUUUGUGGUCACUCUACCGAUGUAGCAGAUAUGGCUUACUACUCGAGUACUCAUCUUCAACAUCUUAUGCUUCCAGGAAAGAUACCGUAUCUGCCUGAGGAACAGAUAGGGCAAGUGAGAAGGAUACAAGGAAGCAUGUGGAGACAAGCGUAACAGCACACGUGCCGAUACAUCCACUACUCUGUCAAAAGCAAAAGUAUUCCAUAUCAGCAGGGUCGAACGUACUCUAGAUUUGAUGGACUUGUUUUGACCCUCAAAUUCUUCAGUCGGCCUUAUACUCUGGAGGAAACCAGAAAACCCUCCAGUCCAGUUCAAGAAUAAGCCUGUGGAAAGUUACUUCUUCAAAAGCAAAAGUAUCCCAUAUCAUCUAUUCUCAUUUUUCUUCUCUUUAUUCUUCAUGCUGCCUGCAAGAUAGGGAGAAUGUGAACAAUCAGCCGAAGCUCUGAUUGCUUACCUUGUCUGUCACCUCUUUCAGUAGAUCCUCUAGCUCGGCGACUUGGGGGACUCCUACUACAUGAUUUGUAUCGCACUUGACCAAGCAUGAAACUACAAGUAAGCUUCAAGUGAAAUUGAUACAUUACCUUGUGCAUCUCCACCAGUUACAGAUACCAUCCCUGGAUGGAGGAAUAGUACUUCCAGAGAAGAUGCCACAUCUACCUAUGAGACAGAUAAGGCAAGUCAAGACGAUACCACACUCCGGUACUUAGAAGUUUCGUGGCUACAAGAUCAUUCUCCCACAAUAUUUCCUAAUGUCAUUUGUACUAAAUCAUUCACUUGUCCUCACUAAAGGAGAGCUUGAACCUAUGUACUUGUGUAAACCCUUCACAAUUAAUGAGAACUCCUCUAUUCCGUGGACGUAGCCAAUCUGGGUGAACCACGUACAUCUUGUGUUUGCUUUCCUAUCUCUAUCCAUUUAUAUACUUAUCCACACUAAUGACCGGAGCAAUCUAGCGAAGAUCACAAAAAGUGACCGUUUUCGCUACCUAGGAUCUAUCUUGCAAGAGAACGGAGAAUUAGAUGGAGAUCUCAACCAUAGAAUACAAGCUGGAUGGAUGAAGUGUAAGAGUGCAUCCGGCGUGUUGUGUGACCGUCGUAGGCCACUGAAGCUCAAGGGAAAAUUUUAUAGGACGGCAAUAAGGCCAGCGAUGUUGUAUGGCACAGAAUGUUGGGCGGUGGAGCAUCAACACGUACACAAAAUGGGUGUAGCGGAGAUGAGGAUGCUUCGUGGGAUGUAUGGGCACACGAGAAAGGAUAAGAUUGGGAAUGAGGAUAUCCGAGGUAAAGUAGGAGUAGCCAAAAUUGAAUGAAAUAUGAGAGAAAAUCGGUUCCGGUGGUUUGGACAUGGCAAAGAAGGCCUACUGACGCUUCAGUUCGAAAAUGUGACUACGGAACAGAGGUUCAGGGCCAAAGGGGUAGAUGAAGACCUAGGAAAACUUUGGAAGAGACCCUAAGAAAAGACUUGAGUACUUGGAUCUAACGGAGGACAUGACACAAAACCGAGCGCAAUGGCGUUCUAGGAUUCAUAUAACCGACCCCACUUAGUGGGAAAAGACUUUGUUGUUGUUGUAUUUAUUUAUUUAUUUGCAUAUUAUUUUGGUUUGUUGAAAUUUCAACUAUAGUUUGCUUUGUGCUGGACGUAAAGGGUUUUUCUUCAAUGAUUAUAUAUAGCUUCAACAGUGGACUCUGUGUUGUCUCUAGGUGAUUUUUGCUUAUUUCUCCAUUUGUUACGGAUGAGUGGAUGCCUAUGAUUAAGUGAAAGUGAAAUCUAAGAGGUUUUUUUGUUGUUAUUGUUGGGAAUUUGCCUAAUUUUAGGAAUGGGAAGUGAUUCUGGUGAACAGAGCUCUAGAGUUUAGGUUUGUGCUCAUCUCUCACUCUUCCUCUCUCCUUCUCUACUGGAAAAUCCAUAGUCUUUCAUCUUCCUCGGCUCUUCCUUUCUCUCCGCUCCCCAUAUCUCUCUCCUUGGAGCCUACAAACCAAGUAGUGAUGGUCGACAAGCUUCAAACAUGCUGGACGCAUACUGGAGAAGGGACAGUUCUGUCCGUUGCAGAGAGAGACGGGGGAGUAUGGGGGUAGGGGAGAGGAUUUUCGGCAGGGAGAUAUGGGUUUAGGGAGAAAGAGUAAGGGAGAAGUAUGGGGUAGGCUGAUUUCCAGGGAUUUCCUUUCACCCCUUCACUCACCACGAACCCACCUUUCUCUUCGUUUCUCCCACACUCAAAUCUUCCGUUUUCCCUCUCACAAAAUACCCACCAAGGAAACCCUGCUUUUGGUUUAUUUUGGGAUUUUGUUUGCGCUCUCAAUUUUCAGACGAUGGGCCAAUUGGUUGAGAUUUGGAUUUCUCCCCUUUUUGUCGAAGCUCACAAAUUGUGUUUCGGUGGGAUCGGUCUUGAAUAGCUGCGUGUGUCUACUCUUUCCAAGGUAUGGUGUUCACCGAUGGCAUGGUUUAGUGUGUUUCUCUUUUUUUUUUCUUUGUUUUAUAUUUCUAAUUUAUCGUUUGCUGCUUGACAAUGGUGAUUGUAUGUUUUAGUUUGGAUGUUUUUCUGAUUUUGGGUUGGUCAGUGUUUUUCGGCUGCUUGAGAAAAUGUGAUCCCAUGUUUUGAUUGAGUGAAAUAAUUAAGAGAUAGAAAAGAGUGGAGAAUUAGUGUCAAGAGUAGUGAUGGAAAAAAUGAGGAAAAAAAGAUAGACGUGGAAGAAAGGGAGAGACUGGAAAUUGAGGAAAGUGAAGAGAAAAAAAAAUGGGGGUUAAGUGAGCAGCCAAAAGAGAAAAAAUGAGGAAAAAAAGGCUUAAUAUGGGGAGUAGGCAGAAGAGAAAAGCAAGAGAAGGGAGACAGAACAGGAACAAGGUGUGGUUUUGUUGUUGGUUUUAUCCAAACUUUUGAUUUGGAAUUUGAUUUGAAGCUUAUUUGUUAUUUGUUUAGUCUAAUUUAGUAUUGGUUUAUCUAGGUUUGUAGCUAAUUUAAUGGGUUUCGUUUUUUAAUUGUUAUUUUACAGUUGCUAGGGUUAACUUUGGCUUUUAUAUUGGUUUGGGUAAUUUUUUUAAUUUCAUUUGACGAUUUAGUGUCAUUAUAAUUAUACACCUUUGCACCACUGUUUGUUUUGUUUUUCUCGGUUUCUGUAUAUAGUUUUGGUAGAAUUGGACUGUUCUUUUUAAUUUAAUUAAAGUGUUUGACACUUAAUUGAAUGAAAGUUUAGUUUGGUUUGAUCACAAUGAGGUGUUUGGUGACACCUUUGCACCACUGUUUGUUCUGUUUUUCUUGGUUUCUGUAAAUAGUUUUGGUAGAAUUUGACUGUUCUUUUUAACUUAAUUAAAGUGUUUGAGACUUAAUUGAAUGACAGUUUAGUUUGGUUUGAUCACGAUGAGGUGUUUGGUGUUGGGUGUAUGAUCCUUAGGUCCAAUGGAAAUGUGUAAUUCCCAUUAAGGUUUCAUCUUGCUGUAAAUUUAGGUGUUUUCUCUCUGUGUUGGUCCAUCUGCUUAUACUUUUCAAAUGUUGGUUCAUCUUAUGCAAAUAUUGAUAUGCUUAAUUACCCUGCUUCUUUCUCAUGGUCCUUAAACAUGUGCAAGUUUGUAUGUUUAUGAUGGAUUAUACUAUUGGGAACUUAGUUACUUUUUUUUUUCAUGUUUGUUGGGUUUGUUGUUUUCAGAAAAUUAUUAAAAUUCUGUAAUUUGUUUCUGUAUAUAGAGUGCUAAAUGAGAAUAUGAUUAAUGGGUUGAAUUUUGUUUUCAAGAGGACUGUUACAUGUUUUGUGUCAAUUUGGCUGUGAUAGUAAGAUUACUUCAUGGAACAGUGUAAUUGUUGUGGCAUGUGAAUGUCGAAUUUGUUCUUAAUUUAAUUUCGGAAAGAAAUUUGCUCAACUGUAGUGCUAUAUGAUGAAGUUAUCAUCCUUAGAGGUUGGGAACUCAAUUAGUGUACCAUUAGUUGUGCAAAUGUUUGAAUAUUGGAGAGCACACAACUUGAGGAUCUCAGACCCAAGGUAAAAGGUAAAAGGUUAAAAUCUCUGGCUUCCUUUACUGAUGUAAGCUUGCAUGAAAGAGAGAAACAAUAACAAAAAAAUUAUCUGAACCCCCAUUUGGUUCUGUUUGAUUGUCUAUGUAGGGUGUUUUUUAGUUUUGCUUGGGGGGUUCAGAUUUCAUUUGGGUUUAUAUGUGAUUUUUAGUCGAUUAUUUUUUUAUUAGUUUCAGAUCAUUUUUACUUUGGAAGUUUGAAUUUUUGUGGUUGUUUCAGUGUAGUUCUUGGGUACACACAUUUAUCCAAUAAAUAAAUUCAUGACAUUGUUUUCAGGGGAGUUACAGAAGUCCCAGGCAGCAAUCUCUUUGUAAUCAUCGCCGGGAAAAUAUCGUGGUCAUUUUGAGUUUGGAUUUAGCCAGCACGUGGUAAGCAUUACUUUUUCGAUUCCUUUCAUUUGUUUAUUUGUGAAUCAAUAACUUUUUUAGGAAUAAUGAAUGUCACAAUUGCUGAUAAAUUGAUACUUUGUUCGGAGCUUGAACUGUAGGUCUGUGCAAGAUAUCCAUAUAUGGAUCAAUGCUAUGGACUCUUCUCAACCUAUGGACCUCAAAUUUCAGUGCGUCUUCCAUCAUUUCUCCUACCUCACUGUAUGUAGCUAUUACAUUUGCAAUCAUAUUAAUUCAUUGAAAACAAUAUUUAUAUUUCUCUGUAAAAUAUACUAUCAUUUCCUUGCUGGUACAUUAAAAUGGAAAUAUGAAAAGUAGAACCGAUCAUCGCUGGGUUCUCUCUUUCGACUGUGUUGUUUGCUUUACCUAUCGUUUUUACUUUUCUGUUUCACAGCUCUCUGACAAAUAUCUUAUUCUGCCGCUCUUGAUCUCACCCGGGGGUGUUGCAGGUCGAUUCGAUGCUACGAGGCACUUCAUUUAGGGCUAUAUGAGAGAGAGACGUGUUGGGUGUUUGAGACAAGGGGUUUCAGGGAUUAGGUUUGGGUGGGGUUUCAAGGAUUAGGUUUUGGUGGGAUUUGAAUGAUUAGGUUUGGGUUUUUGUUUGUGCGAUUGGCAGAGAGAUGGGGGGUCCAAGAUAGGAUUAGGAGAUUUGAUUUAGGGUUUGCAGAGUCAAGAGAUAGGAGGUGUCCAAGAGAGAUGUGGGAGGAUUUAGGUGAGGGAUUUCAGGGAUUUGGUUUAGGGUUUGUUUUCUGCGAUUUGCAGAAACAGAGAGAUGGGACAAGGGUGAGAGAGAUGGGAGGAUUUUCUGCAAGGGUUGAAGGGAACGGGCAAGGGAGAUAUGGGUAUAUGGGUUUGUUGUGAUGGGGUUUAGUAAUUUUCAAUAUUCUUUGACUCUUUUUAAUCUGUAAAAUCAAUUUACCCAUGGAAUUUAUAACAUGCAAUCAGUUUCUUUUUAGUUGAGUUCAAAUAAUGUUGAUUGCAUUGUAAUAAAGCUUUGUUUUAUAUUAGGUUGAAAAUCAUAUCAAUAGAUUCUUUAUUUAGUUGGUCUAAUCUGUAACAGAUGAGAUUGUUUUGUUUGAUGUUUAAAUCAAAAUUUGAUCUUUAUUUGUGUGAAAUUAUAAUGGAAUUGCAAAUCAAUUAUAUCUUAGAUUCUUAGUUACAUACUCACCUUCCCACAACUAUUAUAUUGUCUCUUGAUUGGAUAGAUUUUUAUAAUUUUCUGGAUCUACGGUUACAAUGUUUUUUAUAAUUUCCUAGAUCUAUUCUUUUUGUUCGUUCAUGAUUAUGUUGAAAUUUUUUUUUCAGGUUAAAUGUGUCUUAUUCAUGUAGUUAAGGCUGGUUCAUUCAAGUUCCGCAUCAACGUGCGAUCAUAUUUUCAAGUUUACUUCUAUUUAUGGUUUGUGUUUGUAAUAACAUCGCAGCACUGUAGAAUUAUUGUAACUAUUCACACUGGGUAGUGACUUUUGCACCCCCUGUUCUCUUCUGCACUCCUCACUGUUCAACUCUUCAUUGAUUCUCGUCUUUGAUAUAUCCAUCGAACGGCUAGAGAAACAGAGAUAAGUGCAUGGAAAGAAAAUAAGAGUUUGAAAAUCAUUAUUUUUUACGUAGAGAAAAAAGUGUAUUAAUUUAUGUAUUAUGUGGGAUUUCUGAGCCUUUUUAUUGUUUUGUGGGUGAUUUUUCCGCAAUGCAAGUUUCCUGGAAUGCAAAUCAUUUGGCUUUAGUUGCUGUUUGUUUCCAUCUUUUUCUUUGGAUUUGGAUUCUCUUCUGAGCUAAUGGAGAGGAUCCUCCUCAUCAAACAUUGUGGACCAUUGGAUUUUCAUCCAACGGUUAUAAUUAUUAUAACUUUAAAGGGACCAUUCUGUUUGUAGUCGUUCGAUAAAAAUCUAAAGGUUCAAAAUGUUUGGUCAGGAGGAUCCCCUCCAUUAGCUCAGGAGAGGAUCCAAAUCCUUUUUCUUUGAUGCUUUCGCUUGUUUACGUCGGCAUUAUGACGUAAUAAAUUGGUCAAUGUGGCCCUACUAUGUUGUUUCAAUGGGCUUUCCAAAUUAUGCACCAACCAAGUUGCAAAUAAAAUAUUCUGGGAUUUCUGAGCCUUUCUAUUGUUGUGGGUGAUUUUCCGCAAUGCGAGUUUCCUGGAAAUUGCAAAUCAUUUGGCCUUAGUUGCUGUUUGUUUCCUUCUCUGUCUUUGAUGCUUUUGCUUGUUUACGUCGGCAAUAUGAUGUAAUAAAUUCGUCAAUGUGGCCCUACUUGGUUGUUUCUAUGGUACCGGAUUUCCUCUGGAUCCAAAAAAUUUGAGCCUAUUGAUUAAAUGAUCCGAUCAUUGAAAUUUGAUCUAAUGAUUAGAAUUAUUAGAAUUUUUAAAAGAGUUCUUUAUUUGUAGCCGUUGGAUCAAAUUUCAAUGGUCUAGAUCAUUUGACCCUUAUCCACAAACUUUUUAGAUCCGGAGGGGAUACGGUCCGUUUCUAUGGGCUUUCCAAAUUAUGCACCAACCAAGUUUUGUAAAUAAAAUAUUCUUCUCUCAUUGACUAUGAAUAUAUAUAUAUAUACAUAUGCACCAACCAAGUUUUGCAAAUAAAAUAUUCUUUUCUCAUUGACUAUAAACUGUUUUGUCGGUGAUUUUUCCGUAAUACGAGUUUCCUGGAAAUUGCAAAUCAUUUGGCUUUAGUUGUUGUUUGUUUCCUUCUUUUUCUUGGAUGCUUUUACUUGCUUACGUCAGCAAUAUGAUGUAAACAAGUUUUGCAAAUAAAAUAUUCUUCUCUCAUUGACUAUGAAUAUACAUAUAUAUAUAUAUAUAUAUAUAUAUAUAUGUAUGUAUGUAUUAUUGCUUAUCAAACUUGGAGUUUCAGAUCGAUUUGGCGAGCAAGAGCGCCGCGACCCACCGCAUCUCCUCUGUAUUGAAUUUCUUUCUUCCAAACUCCUAUCUUUAGAUGGGCUCUUCGAUUAGUCAUCAAGCUCUUCCAUUUGUUCUCAAUUCUUUCUGUCGCCGAGAGAGGAACUGAGUUGAGAGGAAGUCUGAGUUUCCUCUCAACUCAGUUCCUCGCCCAACGCCCGCCUAAGCCGCCCAGGCGCCCACUGCUUCUUGGCUUCCAAACUUAUCUUAACACUUGAGAGGUGUCUCUCCCUAUUCAGCCGAGCUCAAAUCCCUCUCUCUCCUCUGUUUAGAUUAGUUUAAAAGAAAGCAGCCUCUCCCUCGUUUCAAAUGCAUUUAUAAUUCUGUGAUCCAAAGCAAUUGCUCUCUUGUUUUAGAAUUCAGAUUUUCAGAGCUGGGUGGUGGUUGUUGUUGUUGUAAUUAUGGCAGUCCUUGCGUCAGCUGUAGCAGCUAUUGUAAAAAUACCAUUUGAAUGGCUGUUUGGUGCCGCCAUAAGAUUCUACAAGAUGGCUAAGAAGUUUCCAACUCUCCGCAGAGAUCUCACUUCAAAUCUAGACUACUUGGAACAACGGAUCGCACUGAUAAGCCGCACCAGAAUCAUUUGGGUUUCUGAAAAUUUAACAAGAACAAUGGAGGAUGGCAAGGAGCUGGCCAGAAGGUGCGACGAGGGGAAUCUGAACUUCUUUGAAAAGGCUAAAUAUGCUAAAAAAAUUGUUAAAUGGGACGAAUCUCGUCAAAGAAUCUUGAAGUUAGUGCAAACUGAUGCAAAUCUUGUGGCUCAAAAUCAAAACCAAGACCUUGUUACAACUUGGUGCGCAGUUCCCGACCUUCCAAGCAAUACACUAAAACUGGAUGCGCCUUUGGCGGAGAUGAAGAUGAAACUCCUUAGAGAUGACGCGCUGUCAAUGCUUGUGCUCACUGCUCCGGGAGGAUGUGGGAAAACCACUUUGGCAAAUAUGUUCUGUCAUGAUCCACAAGUCAAAGGUAUCUAUCUAUAAAGUUUUUGUACGAUGCGACAAACUUUUUUUAGAUGCGCACACUCGAUACUGUAGAAUGGCUCCUACCUGUCUGCUAAUGAUAAUCACUUCUUUUCUCUCUUUUUUCUUCUAAUUAGUAAUGUUGCAUUCCCAUGUGUUUUCUUGGUUAGAUAAAUUCAAGGACAAUAUCUUCUUUGCCACGGUUUCCAAUAAGCCCAGCCACCUUGUUGUCCAAGAAUUGUGUCAACAUGCCCGAUUCAGGUACCUGCUUUAGAAAAUGAAGAAAUUGCAUUUAUCUGGCUGCCGCAAUUUUUGAGGGAAGCAGGGCAAAAUCCCUUACUGUUAAUCUUGGAUGAUGUUCCGUCUGCAUCAGAAUCCCUUCUUGACAAGUUUGAUGAAAUCAAAAUUCCAGAUUACAAGAUUUUGGUGACAUCAAGAUAUCAUUUUCCGAAAUUCGGGCCUCCAUAUAAUUUACAAGCAUUGACAGAUAAAGAUGCACUGACUCUUUUUCGUCGUUCAGCAUUUCUGCCAAAUACGAUCUGUAACAUACCAGAUGAUCUUCAGAUUCAGGUGAUAUAUUAGUUUGAGUUUCUAAUGUAUAUGCCCUUAUUUAUGCAUUCCUGCUUAUAGAAAAUGUCACUUACUACACAAAUCACCCAUGCACGCAAAUGAACCCGUUGAUUUUACUAUAUCUGUAAAUAGUUAUUCACCUUAUUUGGGACAAUUGGACUGCAGAUACUAAACCACUGUAAGAGAUUUCCGCUUGCCAUUACAACCAUAGGGACGUCACUUCGCAAUCAGCCUGUAGAGAAAUGGACAAGCAAACUCACAGAAUUAUCUAAAGGUUCUUCUAUUUUUGAUUCAGAGAAAAUUUUGCUUGCGCUCCUCAAAAGUUGCUUAGAUGACUUGAAUAAAGAAAUGGCUCCUGUCAAGGAUUGUUUCAUAGACCUUGCUUUAUUUCCCCAAGACCAAAGAAUUCCCGUUGCUUUCCUUCUUGAUAUGUGGGCAGAGUUAUAUGAGGGAUCAAAUGAUGACGAUUCAAUAGUGAACCUAUACCACCUCACCUUCCGCAAUUUGGCCAGUCUUGUAGUCACAAGGUAUUCAAACUUUACUUUUUUUACCAAUUUACUACUGUGAUAUGCACGUUUCAGAAAUUUCUUCUGUGAAACUAAAUUUUGAUCACAACCAGGACUAAGGAUUUGGAUGGAUACUAUGGUGAACAUUUUGUUAUCCAACAUGAUAUGCUUAAAUUGCUAUCAAUCCGUGCGAGUCAUGAUGAAGACCCAACAGGACAUAGACUGAUUGUAGACAUACGUGGAGAUGAGCUUCCACCAUGGUGGACAGAGAAGAAAACAAUGAAGGGUCGCUUAGUAUCUGUCUUAACACCAUGGUGGACAGAGAAGAAGCAGAAAACAAAGAAGGCUCGCUUAGUAUCUGUCAUAACUGGUUGGCAUCUCUGAACUCUUUCUUUAGAAAAUAGAUACAUACAUAUGUACGAUCACGUACAUACAAGCUCACAAACGUAAUUUCACAUUAAUAUCUCCCCAGAGUCACAUCAUAUAGCACAUUGUUUAUUUGCAGGUGAAUCUUCUUCAACAGAGUGGCACAACAUGGAUCUACCAAAAGGCGAGGUUCUAGUUUUGAAUUUUCAAGCAAAGAACUAUGCCUUACCCAAGUUCAUGAAGAAAAUGUGCAAGCUGAAGGUUCUAAUAGUCACAAAUGAUGGCUUCUCACCUGCUGAGCUAAGCGACUUUGAACUGCUGUGUUCUUUGUCAAAUCUAAAGAGACUAAGAUUAGAGCAUAUUUCGAUUCCUUUGAUACGCGAGAACAUCAUUCAAUCGAAGAGUCUAAAGAAGAUAUCUUUAUUCAUGUGUAACGUCAGUCAAGCAUUUGGAAACUCUUCCAUCCAAAUUUUUGAGACAUUCCCAUACCUAGAGGAGUUGCACAUCGACUAUUGUAACGAUUUGGUGGAAUUGCCUGCCAAGCUAUGUGAUCUUAUCCACCUAAAAGUUCUCAGCAUCACCAACUCUCAUAAGCUAUCUGUCUUGCCUGAAGACAUCGAAAAGCUGGCGAAUUUAGAAGUGUUGAGGCUAAGGUCCUGCGCAGAAUUAAAAAAGCUUCCAGGCUCGAUUGAGAGACUCAAUAAGUUGUGCUUUCUUGACAUAUAUAAUUGUUCCAGCAUUAAGGACUUGCCCGAAUGCAUUGAUAAGAUGAAUGGUUUAAGAAAAAUCAACGUGGCACUAUGUUCAAGAUUAAAGAGCUGCCUGUGUCAGUGUUUGAUCUUGGUCAGCAGUUAGAGAAAGUGAUAUGUGACGAAGACGCAAGAAAUUUAUGGGAAUCUGUCUUAUCAAAUCCCGACAAAAUAAGGGUGGCUAAAGAAGAAUUCAACCUGAAUUGGCUCCACAGACUUCAGAUUUGAGAGCUAUCUUUCCACGAUAAGUAUUGGAGCAAAUGGCCUGUGUGAUUUGUAUUCCAGUUUAUUUUUUCCUAUUUCUCAUUUGGUGUUUGUAUGAGAUAUUGCAUCAUUCCAUUGGCUUGGAUUUCCCUGGUUUUCUUCUCUAUAUACUGAUUAAGAUUUGAUGAAUUAUUUAUUUAUUUUUUCUUCUUCCCUGGACAGACAGUAAAAACCCACUAAUGCCUACCUUUUUUCAUCACUUCCCUCUCAUCCCCUCCAUGCUUCUCACAUCUCUUAACCAUCUAUCCACUGGCUAAUGGGUGUGGUCUCUCUAUUGCUUUGUCGAUUAGAGCCUUUGUAUUUGUGGUCACUCUACCGAUGUAGCAGAUAUGGCUUACUACUCGAUCAGAGCCUUCGUAUUUGUGGUUGCUCUAUCGAUGUAGCAGAUAUGGUCUACCACUCAACCCCGCAUGUAAACUGGCGGCUAUGUCAAGUACAAAGGUUGUCAGAUUAACAAUUAAAAUCAAAUUUAAUCCACGGUAAAAAUAUACAACUAGGUUUGAAAAAGAUAUGACAGAGACAGACGGACAGACACCAACCUCCAAGGAUAGUAUACGGGAUGAUAUAGAGCCUUCAAUCUACGUAUCUGAUUUUCUUUGCUAAUAAUCAAUUGCACAUUCUCUUUUUUUUUACUCCCAGUUUUUCACCAACAGCAAAAACUGUUUCCCACUAACCUCCAAUUAAAUUGCGUACACUGUUUCCCCGCUGCUAUCAGGAUCAAGUUUAGUUCCGGCUGCUGGUAUGUAGCCUCGGCUAUUAUUUGCAUGAUUGCGUCAGGAAGAAUGACAUAUUAAGCAAAAUGGCGAAGCACUUGCCCAGAUUGGAAGCAGGGGCUGCUACUGCUAGAAGACCAUCCGUGUACUGGGAGGUGCCUGAGGAAGCAGAGACCUUGCACAUAGGAAGGUCUAAAGUGAACAAAUUGUUGAACUCCAUGGGUCGUUUUUAAGACCGCUAGAUACUGCUCUGGAGGUGCAGCAGGAAGCAAGUGAAAUCAUGGAGCAGAGACAGAACUCGAACCAGUUGAACAGAAGAGUGUGGUACAAGGUAUACAUAGAACUACUUGGUUUACACAUAGAAUUGUUGAUUUAAAGAUGUAUGUAGAUACCCAUAUAAUCAAUUGACAAUGUAUGGUGGUGGUGUAAUUACGACAGAGACCCUCAGGGCGUACUCUUGGAGCAGCACUUACAGUGUUGUUUGAUGUCCUUAGGAAUGUGAAGGAAAAGACCACGCUCUUUAAACCUCUGCUUGAAGACAUAAAAUCCACGCUCGACUCUUUAGAACCACUGAUUGAAGAGAUAGGAAAGUACAAGAAGGUGUUGGAUCGUCCAAAAGAGGAACUACAACAUUUUGAAAAUCAAAUGAAGAAUGGGGCGGCGCUUGUUCAGAAAUGCGCCAAGCUUAGUCCUUGGAAAGGCUACAAAAAGUAUAGACACUCCAUGGAACUUCUGGAUUUGGACAAAUCUCUACAAAGACUGUUAGCUAUACUUAGAGCGCCAGAAAUAAGAGAUAUGGAGACAGUAAGGAAUAUAUCUACGGAGGUCAGCCAAAAUGAAUACGAGAUUGAUGCUUGGCAUGCAGUACCUCACGUUCCACCGUUUUAGUUGAGUUGGAUUUGCCUUUGAAGGAGUUGAAGAUGAUGUUAUUGAACAAUGAAAAGGUGUUGAUAUUGAUGCUGAUUUCUCCUGGAGGAUUGGGGAAAACCACUUUGGCAACAAAGUUUUGUCAAUAUCAAGAAAUCAAAGGUAUGUUGUGCGCGUGCGAUCACAUGUGUAUCAUCAUUUUAUCUUUUUAUUCUUGUUACAGUCCUACUUCUGAAUCGCAAACUUCUGUAGUACUUUAGCCUGAAAGCUAACUUCUUAUUAUGGUAUAUAUAGAAGUUCUUUCUGCUGCAGGGCGUCAAGGAAUGUUUUACAACUGGACUAAUCUUAAGAAUAUCAUUGUCGUUCUUAUGAGAGUUACUGAUAACUAUGUCCAAACCUCAUGAGAGUUACUGAUAGUUAGUCUCCUUGUGGAAAAAUUCUGUGAACAACCUUCCCAGUACAAAGACUCUGAAGAAUGUUCAAGGAAUGAUUCAUUUGUAAGACCUCAACAUCACCAUCUUGUAUGUUUUAUGUUUGCGUAAUCGUAUAUCUGCGUGCUUAAAUGCCCGCUUGGUGAUAGCUUACUUGUAUUUGGAUAGGUCUUUUCAAGAACAAUAUCUACUUUGUCCUUGUUUCGAAAAAACACCCAACUUGGAACGUAUUGUACCAGAACUACAUCAAUGCAAGGGUUCCCAGGUACCUACUAUCCAAAACGAAGAAACCGUAAUUAAGUGGUGGGAAAGGAAAAGGCAGCAAGGAUGAAAGGCGCGGGAGUGCUCUGGUAGUCGGUGAAGAAAAGAUGGGGAUGAGAGGAUAGGAGGGAGAAAAGAUAAGUUUAUAAAGAUAAAUUUAAUUUUAUAUAGAUAGCCUUAAUUUUCAAUAAUUAUAGCAUAAAAAUAAUUUAUUUUCAAUAAGGACAAUUUAGUAAUCAAGCUAGUUUUAAUUACGAUUCCAGUAAACUAGUAAACAAUAUAUAUAACUAAUAUCGUUUGUAUUCAGAUUCCAGUUUAGUUUCGUAAACAACUUUAACAGGAAUCUAAUUAUGUUUCCUUCUCAAUCCAAUUCAUCCUCAAUCCAAUUCCCCUCAAUAUGAUUACGGAUUAGUAAACGAGCCCUUAGUGUAAAAACGUGUACCCUCAAUUUGGAUGGAACAAUUUCGCUUAAACCUAAUGGGAUGCAAGGAUAAAAGUUCAAACCUAAACCCCAAUUCCAUUAACUUUUUCUUUCCUGGAGUUAGGUUUCUUGACCAGUCAACUAGCCGGAAAAAGUUCGACCGACCUUCUGCCAACUUGCCUAGUAAACGUCCACCUCAAAUAGCUGGAAAGUUCUAGCGACCUGUUGAGAGUGUACGAGAAAUGAAAGGGUAGAGAAGCGGGUCUAUAUUUCCGUGUUGUGUGUCACCAUCCUAUCUUUCGUCAACAUAAAAAAACAUUAUCAGCAGGUCUAAAUGAUAAGACAGGAAGGUUUACAAUGAUUUAGAGAGAGGAUUUUCGGACUCAAAACACAGGAUUCGGCUUUUCUGCCUCUCACUUGUCAUACGUUCCUAUCCCUUCCUAUUUUAUAUGUUUACAGAUAAGCUAUAUUAAUUUUUUAUAUUAAUUUUUUUAUAAAAAUAAUAAGAUAAAAAGUAAUAGUAAUAUAAAAUAUUAACGUGUUUUAACUGUGAUCAUAUAAAUAAGAAGAAAUAAGAAUGCACGAGAAGUAGGAAGGAGAGAAGCCAGUUCCUAGCCAUAUAGCUCCGCUAUGAAAAUGGUCCCUCAAAAAAAUCUGAAAGAGAACCAAACUAAAAGACGCGAAAGAAAUACAACAAAAUACCAAAAGAGAGGCCAGUUUACCUUGGCUCUUCAGCUCCAGCUUCGUCCGUUGACCUCUGGUGGCAGGCUCCAGGGACCAAGAGAUGAAGGGAGGAGGAUUGGGGUCUCGUCUCUUCCACCGUUCAUGGUGCCUCCUCCUCCAUUAGCAAGCGGAGCCACCCAAUUCGCCACCGUAUUGAAUAAGGUUGGCCAAAAUUUAGGUUGCAAUCAAACACAGACAUUUCUAAUUUUGCUGUAUUGGGAGUGCUUUGGUAACUAUGGCACUAGAGUUUAUUGGCGGAACACUGUUUACGCUGCUCUACGACGGCGUUAAGCAAGCGAUGAGCAAGAGCAGCACCUUUAAAUCCCUUCUGGGAGACCUCAAAUCUACACUAGACUCCCUAGUACCGAGAGACAUCCAACAAAUUGAAGAACAUAAUGUGGAAUUGGGUCUCCCCAACGACGAAAUCGAAAGUCUUAAAUUGAAGAUGGAGGAAGGCGUAAAGCUGGUUGUAAAGUUAUCGAAUUUUCGAAUGUGGAACUAUUGCUGUCUGUAUGAUUAUACUGACCAAAUUGUUGAGUUGGAUAGGGCUCUCAAAAGAUUGCUGCAAAAAUUGAAGAUGCAGGAAACAAGGGAUGUGAAAGAGGUUUUAUUGUUGUCGAGGGAAAACCGAGAUAAAUUGGAUGAAGUGAACAGAAGACUGUUGGAUAUACAGAAAUUACUGCAGCAGAGAGCUGGGGAAGGAGGGAGUGGCUUGCAGAAUUUGGUUUCCGGAAAUAGUACAGAAACCGCUCCGCCGGAGCAAACUCAAGGGAAUAGUGGGGAACAAGGUGAGUUGAUUGGAACUAAAUUUAUAGACAUGCUUGGUGUAGAUUUUCUUUUGCCGUUUUUGGAAUAUAGCUUUUGUUGUAGCAAUAAGCAUUACUUAAUAUUUAGCUAAUUUUAGAUCAGACAUAUGGUAAUUAAACCCGAUCAUCUGAUAUUGAUUUUGCUUUCAUUGAAUAUUGACUCCCAUGGCUAGCAAGAGCUUAAAACCCUUCUUUGAUAGUAGCGUGUAAUAUUUUCGACUCCCUUAUGAAACUUGUUGGUGUACCCGACGAUAGAAUAAACUUGCAAAUAGAGAAUAACUAGAAACACACAAAAUAUAUACUGGUUUGGCAGAACUUUUGCGUACGUCUAGUUGUGAUUUCUCUGGGUAGAUGUGUAUUCUUAAAAUGAGAGAUUAGGUUUUCUUAUUUUGAUGGUGUUGUAAUUAUGCAGUGACAUCUUUUGAUGGAGGAGCUUCUCUAGAAGCAGUGUUUUUGGCUUUGUUUGACGCUGUUAUAGGAGCAAAGGACAAGACUGUGAUGUUUAAACCACUAUUUGAAAAUCUUAUAUCCACCCUAGAAUCUUUAAAACCAUUGAUUGAAGAGGUAACAAAACAUAAGAAGAUAUUAGAUCGCACAGAGGAGCGACUCGAAGAUUUUAGAAUACAAAUGGAGAAUGGUGUAGAGCUCAUAGACAAGUGCGCCAAGGAUCACUUGUGGGUCAGCUGCAAACAGUAUAAAUACACUGACAGGCUUCUCAGAUUGGACGAAUCGCUUCAAAUACUGUUAAAUAUACUGAAAGUGCAAGUAGCAAGAGAUGUGAAGCAGACCUCUGCUUCAGUGCAACGUAUAGAGGCCGUGAUCAAGCAAAUUGAAGAAAGUGCUGUGCUUCAAGAUCAAAUUCAAACUAGAGCUCGGAAUGCAUUACCUGAACCUUUAUCACAUACAGUUGGAUUAGAUAUGCUGAAUGUGCGGGGAACAAGGGAUGUGAAGGAGGCAUUGCUUUCUGUCAGGAAUAAAAUAGUGGUUGCGGAGAAAAUCGAAGGAAGUGGUGUGGUACAGAACCUAAGUGAAAUUGAAGGUACUGCAGUACAUGAACCUCCAUUCUUACAGUUGGAUUUGAUAUAGGAGUCAAACCAACAUAGCCAUAGUAUUCUGGUAUUUUGAUGUUAUAGAUUCUUUUUAGAACUUAUUUUGUCAUAUAACUGAAUUUUGAGCUUUAUUUACAAUUUAUAUGGGAUUUGUCAUGUCUAGGAUUGCGUUCAAGUAGCAAACUGUCGACUAUCUCGGUGCCUUCAACUCUUCGGACAGAGGGUGAGAUCGUGCAGUCCUCCAAUGUGAAGAAAUUCGGAUUUAAUGAACUGAAAACAGCCACCAGGAACUUCCAUUCUGAUUGUAUUUUGGGUGAAGGACAUUCAGGUUCUGUCUUUAAGGGGUGGGUUGAUGAGAAUUCACUAACAGCUGCCAAGCCUGGUACUGGCAUGGUUGUUGCUGUGCAAAGGCUUAACCAAGAAGAUCUGCUGGGUCACAAAGAAUGGUUGGUGAGUAUCACUUCUAUCAUUCGAUGGCCUAAAUGCACUUUCCUAAUACCUUGUUGAUUCGUUUUUGCUCAAAGUCCCCUGUGGAUGAAUUGUUGAGUUUAGUUAGAAAGACUAAUAUAUUUAAACAGUCUUGAUGAAUCUUUUGUUAGAAUAUGAGCACAAGUGUAGGAGUAUUUUGGCCAGAUAUUUGAGCUCAAAUUGGUUUGAGUCUUAUUAGAAGAUGUUUGGUUGUCCUAGUUUAUAAAGGAUUGAGACCGGGAAUAGGUCAUAAAUUACUCACUUAUUUUAAAAUUGGGAGACAAUGUUGGUUUCCUACAAGGAUUCUAAUUGGAGAAUCGUACGGAUUGUAUGUCUAUAUAAUAGAGGUCAUUGCUCUCAGAGUAAAACUGGCUCAUAAUUGGACUUAGACCUAUUGUGAGUCGAGCAUGUUGUUUUUGCAAGAGAGAAGAAGGCUUACUAUUGAAGUCCGCUAUGACUUCACCUUCUUUGAUCUUUAAAGGUCAGAUUAUUCUUACAUUUUGCUCCUUAAUAGUUGUUACAAAUAGAUAGUCUUACUCGUAACAUUUUUAGAGAAUCAUUUAUUAAUUUUGUGGAGCCUCUUGAACGCUAGGCGGAAAUCAACUACCUUGGGCAGCUGCAUCAUGAAAAUCUUGUGAGGUUGAUUGGUUACUGCUUAGAGGAUGACCACCGACUUUUGGUGUAUGAAUUUAUGCCUCGCGGAAGCUUGGAUAGACAUCUAUUUAACAGUGAGUUAUGAACUUCCUUCACUCUUUAGCCAUUUGAUCGUUAAAAUCAGCAUUACCGUUGCUAAGGAGAUCAACUGUUUCACUACAAAGUAUAAUUUGGAUACUUAAAUGUUGUUGGUGGAACAGAGUCUUCUUUCUUUCAACCACUUCCGUGGAACCUUCGUAUGAGGAUUGCCCUUGGUGCUGCUAAGGGUCUAGCAUUUCUUAGCAGUGAUCUGCAAGUGAUUUAUCGUGACUUCAAAACUUCUGAUAUCCUGCUGGAUUCGGUAAGUGAACUUUUAACACGGUUGUCUCUGAAAUUAGACCUUUCAAUCAAAAUGAUGCAUGAAAUAGAAAAUUCAAUUUAGUCCUUGAAAAUGGGUUUUGCAAAUCAAUGUGGUCGUUCCGUUGUCUUUCCGUCAAAGUUUCUAUUAGUAUGCUGAUAUGGCACAGGGUGGGUCUUACCCAACCAAUCAUAUGGCGCCAUGUAGAUCAACCAUAAAAACCAAUUUUUUAAAAGAUUUAAAACUAAAACUAAAAAGAACAAAAAAAGAAACAACGUCUUCUUCAUUGAGGCACACGCAGCCUCCCAAUUCAUCUCCGCCGUCCGUUGCCAAGAUUGAUGCUGCGAUGACGAACACGGCAGUGAGAAAGCCGUAAUAGCCGAUCAGACCGGACAAGAGAAGGGAGGACAUGAAGAUUGUGAACUACCACAACAGCGACGAGUCUCUCUCGAUGAAGCUGAGCCCAAUCUCCUAGCCGAUGAAUUUGAGAUCCCAAGCUUGUUACCUGUUGUUUGGUUGCUGGGAAAAUCUAAUUGAUUGGAAUUGCUUGAAAACGAUCUUCAAUUCUCCACCUGAGUGAGAGAUGAAGACAACAUUGAUGUUGUUCUUUUUAUUUUUAUUUUUUAACACUUUUAGUUCAACCAAAAAAAAAAAAAAAAAAAAAAAACCUGUUUUAAUAAAUAGUUUUUUUACAUGGCGCCAUAUGAUUAGAUAGGAUGACCUACUCAGUGCCGCAUCACUACACUAACAGAAAAAUUGACAGAAAGACAACGGAAGGACUAAAUUGAUUUGGGAGAUCUCUUUUUAGGGACCAAACUGAUUGAUUUUUUUAUAUCAGUGACAAUCUUGAUUGAAAUGUCCAAUUUUCGGGAAGCAAUCGUGAUAAAAACCCUUUAACUAUUGUUUUUUUCUUCUAGAAUAGUUGGUGUAGAUUUGCUCACACAUCAAAUUUUUAUUGAAAAACCACAGAUGAACAAUGCUAAACUUUCAAAUUUUGGUCUGGCCUGGGGUUGGCCAGCCAGUGAUAAAACCCAUGUCUCAUCAAGGGUCUUGGGGACAUAUGGGUAUGCAGCUCCUGAGUAUAUAGCCACAGGUACUUUAGUUUACAGUAUUGGGUUCACUUACAAAAGCAAACUACCCCGAAAAGGGGGAAAACAUGUGUACGUUUUGAAUGGCCAUGUUCUGUUUCUUGCAAUAUUCUGUGUUUGCGCCUUCAACUUCAUGUAUUAUUAAUCAGUUCAGUUCAAUUUGAUCACUCAAAACAACAUCCCAAAUAUUUGCAUCUGAAAACUAGAGCCACGUUUCUAUCCUCUUUAGAAUAAAAUGGUGAUUGUUUCAUGGAUUAGGACAUUCUCCAUCCUUUAUUUGCAUUACACAUGAGUGUUGUAGGUUAAAAUUGUGUAGGAACAAAUUGUUUAGAUUAUACUUCUAAGAGGCUUCGUCUCCACCACUCUUCACCUUCACCAGUGUUGCAGCUACCACAAUGCAUUAUUUUUAUCUUAGAUUUGAUCUACAAUGCAUGAUCACUCCCUUCUGAUCCUUUUUUUUUUUUUCUUCUGUAUUUUUGUUUUUUUAGGUCAAUUCACUGCCAAAAUUAAUGUGUAUAGUUUUGGAGUUGUUCUGCUCGAAAUGGUGUCUGGCAGACCAGUUGUGGACAAGAAUCGGCCAUCCGGAGAACACAAUUUAGUUGAAUGGGCCAAGCCUUACCUUGCCAGCAAACGCAAAGUUUCCAAAAUUUUUGAUGCUCGUAUUGAAGGACAGUACUCUUUGAGUGACGCUCUCAAAGUAGUUAAUCUAGCAAUUCACUGCUUAGCAGCAGACCCCAAGUCUAGGCCAAACAUGAACGACGUGGUAAUAACAUUGGAGCAGCUUCAGAAAAGUGAACCUUCCCAAGUGCCGGCUGAUCGUUCGAAGGGUCCAACCGGUCUGACAUGAAGUGGGAGUAAUUUUUGCCUCCAUUCUAUCAAAUCUUCAAAUUACUCCUAUACACAACCGUUAUUUUGAAAGUUUGGAAAACAGUAGAUAGUUUUGUAAAACUAAUUUCUUGAGUUUUCCACCUUUACUCUAUUUAUGAAUUCAUGAGUAAGAAUUAUUGCACUUUGUAACUUUUUAUGUGUUUACACACAAAAAAAAAAAAAGAAUAAUUGGAAGAUACGAGUCAUACGACUUUUUGACAAUAGGGGCAGUUGGACUUUGAAUCUUCAGCGGUUGACCUUUGACUCAGGGAGGAGGGGGUCAGGCCUCUCCCACUAUUACGGCGCCUCCUCCUCCAUGAGCAACCGGAGCCACCCAAUUCGCCAAAUACUACUAUUUCUAGUUUUUGCUUCUGAGAUUGGAUGAAUCGCUUCAAAAAGUGCAAGUAGCAAGAGAUGUGAGGCAGACUUUGCUUCAGUGCAACAUAUUCAGGCGGUGAUCAAGCAAAAUUGAAGAAGGUGGUGUCCUUCAAGAUCAAAUUCAAACUAGAGGUCGGAAUGCAUUACAAUUUACCUGAACUUUAUCACCUACAGCUGGAUUAGAUAUGCUGAAUGUGCAGGGAACAAGCGAUGUGAACGAGGCAUUGCUUCUCGUCAGGAAUAAAAAACCGGUUGCUGAGAAAAUUGAAAGGAGUGACGUGGUACGGAAGCAAAGUGAAAUGGAAGGAACUGCAGUACAUGAACCUUCAUUCUUACUAGGGGUGGUUCGGUAUGGGAUACCGAACCAAAACACUUGUCCCGAUUCCCAAACCAAAAUUUUCGAGAAUCCCAAUUUCAAUACCGAUCCCAAUUUUCGGGAAUCCCAAAAUAUUUUCGGGAUUUCAGGACAAAUCGGAAAUCCCGAAAUAGUUUUGGGCUUUUGAGGUUUUGGACUAAAUUUAACAUAUUAUGCUUUUGGGCUAAAAUUCAACAUUUUAUAUUAAAAAUUUGGGUUUUUAGGCAGGCUGCCAAUCUGCCCAAUUUGUUGUUACACUAAAAUUUGAAUCUACACAAAUCUGCCAAUCUGAAUGCAAUCUGCCAAUCUGAAAUAUGUGCACCAAGAUUUGCAUCAAUUCGGUUGAGCACCACCGCGGAAUUAACUUCUAACUGCACGUUCAGCAGAGGCUAGAGUCUUUGAAGAGAUUUGUCCCAUUUAACAAUUUUUUUACCAUAUUUAGCCUUUUCAAAGAAGUUAAAAAAAACCAGCGGUGUAGAUUAACUUGGAAUUUGGAAAUAAGCACUUUCAAAUUUAUGUUAUAUAAUAAUAGUAAAUGGCAACAUACAAUAAUAUAAUAUCAUUUCUUCAUUUUAUGUUUAUUUAAAUAUAACUUUAACUAAAAACUCUUGGUACUGUUUAUUUUAACAAAAAAGGGUAAACUGUCGGUUUACCCCCUGAACUUUCACCUCACUUUCGAUUUCCCCCCUGAACUUUUCUAUUGGAAAAUUAAGGACUCAAACUAAUUUUUUUAGUCAAUUUGCCCCCUACCGUUAGUUUUUCAUAUAUUCCAUCCAUAUUUCCGUUAAGUGAGACCAUGUGCAUAACAUGUGAGGAUAAUUAAGUCAUUUCAAUUUAAAAAUGAUUAAAAACUGAAAAUAAAUAAUAAUUAAUUUUCCCUCUAUUUUUUCCCGCUAAUUCCUAUCCUCAAUUUUAAUUUUCCCUCUCAUUCCUAUGCAUGAGAAAUAACAUAUGGUGUUAUUGUCUUCAUAAGUAGCUAAGUUAAUCUUUUUUUUUGAAGCAUGUACUACCAUUUUUAUUUUCUCUAACAAUUAAUAAUUUGACAAAUGCUCAUGGUGUUAUUGUCUCCAAAGCAGUGCAUUAAUAUAAGAAACAUGUCCAUAAAAAAUACUAGGGUUUCUUAUAUUAAUGCACUGCUUUGGAGACAAUAGCACCAUUAGCAUUUGUCAAAUUAUUAAUUUGUUAGAGAAAAAUAAAAAAUGGUAGACAAUAACACCAUAUGUCAUUUCUCAGCAUAGGAAUGAGAGGGAAAAAUAAAAUCGAGGAUAGGAAUUAGCGGGAAAAAAUAGAGGGAAAGUUUUGCUUUUUUUAUUAUUUUCAGUUUUUUAAUCAUUUUUAAGAGUGAAAUAACUUAACUACCCUCACAUGUUGUGCACAUGGUCUCACUUAACGGAAAUAUGGAUGGAAUAUAUGAAAAACUAACGGUAGGGGGCAAAUUGGCUAAAAAAAUUAGUUUGAGUCCUUAAUUUUCCAAUGAAAAAGUUCAGGGGGGAAAUCGAAAGUGAGGUGAAAGUUCAGGGGGUAAACCGACAGUUUACUCUAACAAAAAAUCAUAUUUUUACACUAAAAAGUCAAUCCUGGUACUAUUCACUUUACCCUUUAUUUUGUCUUUGUGGUUAAAACUCAAAGUUUACAAGUCAUUUUUAUUAGUUUUCCUUUAUUUAGGAAACUAAGCUUAUUAUAUUAACACUCCACAUAUUAUUGAAUAAACCUAACGUACUUCAUACACCCUACAUUUACUUUUCCAAUCAAAAUUUAUAUACUCACACAUAUUUUUCCAUAAUACAUUUACACUCCACUCUCUCAACAUACGUUUUACAUUGGUCCCCUACAUUUUCUACAUACACGGAUACACUCCACACUCUUCACAAUGAUUUCUUUAUUCUUCUUUUUGGUCUGUGCUAUGUACUGUUUGAUACAAAAUCAUUCAUGUUUAGCAAGGAUUUGCUCAUGUUUUUUCUAUUGUUUAGCAACAAGGAUUUGCUCAACUUCUUUUUAACUAGUGAACAUUGAUAAGUGAGGGGGUGUAUCCCAAAAUGACAAUUUAGGAUAUGUAUAAGAUGAUGAUAUGAGGAAUGACUGGAUGUAUCUUACUAGCAUUCUGUAAAUUAAUGGCACCCCAUCCCACCACUAGAUUAUUUAUCCUUUUUGCUUCUGGACUUCCGUUUUCCGUCCCGUUUUCAAUGAAUCAAAAAGGUGAAUUACACAUAUGUGGUACGAUGUGCAACGUGCUGUGUAGCACCAAAGAUUCGGGUGUCCUAGGUAGGGGUGGUUCGGUAUGGGAUACCGAACCAAAACACUUGUCCCGAUUUCCAAACCAAAAUUUUUGGAAAUCUCAAUUUUAAUAGCGAUCCCAAUUUUCGGGAAUCCCAAAAUAUUUUCGGGAUUUCAAGACAAAUCAAGAAUCCCGAAAUAGUUUUGGGCUUAUGGGAUUUUGGACUAAAUUUAACAUAUAUGCUUUUGGGCUAAAAUUCAACAUUUUAUAUUGAAAAUUUGAGCUUUUGGGCAGGCUGCCAAUCUGCCCAAUUUGUUGUUACACUAAAAUUUGAAUCUACACAAAUCUGCCAAUCUGAAUGCAAUCCGCCAAUCUGAAAUCUGUGCACAAUAGCAUCCUUAAUUUGCCUAUUCAAUUUCUACUACACAUGCAUGCAAUAAAAAUAAAUUAAGUGACAAAUCCAAAAGCAAAAAAAAUUAGUUACAAGCCAAGGUUUUAAAAUAAAUAAAGUAACAAACCCAAAGGCAAAAAAAUUAGUUAUGAGACAAAUUUUCAAAAUAAUUAAGUUACAAACCAAAAGCAAAAAAAGCAAAGCUUAAAGUUUAUGAAGAUUGUUGGCCUCUUCGGCCCCUAGCUUCUUGUCUGGCUAUCUCUGCCUGCAACAUAACAAUGUUUGAUAAGGUUGAAAAACAAAACGUCGGUGCAUCAUGUCCAAAAUUUAGCAAAUGUAAGCACGCAUUUUGCUAAAAACUAGUUAUUACAGGGAUGAUUGCUCACGAAACAAAUAGUUCUCUGCAGAAUUUCCCAAGAACCAGUGUCGACUAGAAAUAAACAUACAACACGCUACACAGAGGAUCACAGAGAAACCUAGUCUUCGUUUUCUAAUACCCACAUAGCACUGCAAUCAGUUAAACUUAAAAGUAAGAGAAGUUCCCAGAUAUUGUUUAAAAAACUAAAAAUAAAAAUUAGGCGUGUAAGAAUGAAAAGAACCCAGUUAGAUGUGAACUAGUAAAGGUUGCAAUAACAAUUAAAAAAAGAAAAAAAUGCGAUGAUUGGGCAUAUUUGUGCUUUGCUUAACUAAUCAGAGCAAUUCAAUCUAAACUUCAAGUUUGUUAUUCUGCAUUCCAGAAAAUGAAAUUGAACCCGAGGUGUUUGACGGAAAGACUGAGCGAACAAUGUUCACUUAACCAUUUUUCCCUUUGGUGCUUACAACCAUUGAGUUAACCUUUGAUAGUUCAGAAAUGUGAUAACAAAAUUGAAAAUUUAUGCACUGAAAUCAAUCCGUUCAGAUUCACACCCACAGGGCCACACCACAUACAUAUUCGAACUCAAAUUCGAACCCACAAUACAGAUUCACACCCACAUACAGAUACCCAAAUGGCAAUACACAAUGAUUCGAACUCCCAAAUGCCGUAAAUUCGAACUCACAUACUCAAAUAAUGAACUUUAUCAAACAAAAACGUACCUUUUGAUAAAAAGCUCACGAAUUCGAGAACCCAGUUGGAAAUUGAAUCUUCCGCUGAAUAAUACAGAAAAAUUGAAGAAAAAAAAUGGGGGAAUAAUACACAAAAUUAAUUCCAAACCCUAAGUUAAAUUUCAAAAGGAAGACAGAAAUUAGAUUUCAAAACACUAAAUUAAAUUAAUUACCUAAUUUGGGAUGAUAGAGAUUUGAACUCAGUGCUGGAUGGAGAGUUCCCCAGAGAUAGAUCGUCGCGACAGAGAAAGGUGGCGUACAGGUGGCUGUGUGGUGAAGGAAGGCUGGAGAGUCAGAUGUGGCGGUGGCCGGUGGCUAGCCGGAAUUCGUCAGAGAGAGAGAGAAAUGAGCUGAGGGCUCGCCGGCUCGGUAAUGGAGAGAUCAGAGAUGAGAUGAGGAGGGCUCGGCCGCUCGGCUAUUCGAUAGAAAUGGAAGGGAAGUGAACUGAAGUGAAGUGGACUGUGAAAGUGAAAUGGUAUGCCGUAUGCAGCAUACUGACCUAAAAACAAACCAACGACAUAGAUUAAAAGGAAACUAAUGAAAAGAGCUUGAAAAUUUUGAGUUUUAAUGAUAAGGACAAAAUAAAAGGUAAAGUGAAUAGUACUAUGAUUGACUUUUUAGUGUAAAAAUGUGGUUUUUCAUUAAAGUGAACAGUACCGGGUGCUUUUCGUUAAAGUUCUCUAGAUUAAAUCCAAAACAAUCAACGGUUCAAAUAAUUCUUUUAUAAUUAAAAAAAAUACAUAUAUAUAUAUAUAAUAUUUAUUUUCGGUUUGGUAUGGGAAUACCGAAAAAAUGAAGAUGCAAAACCGAUUCCCGUCCCGAAAAUAUCGGUUUGGUUCGGGAUAACAUUGAUUUAGGAAUUUUUUGGUUUAGGAUCGGAAUUUUUUCGGUUUGGUUUGAGAUUUUUGGGAUUUUUUUCCAGCCCUAAUUCUUAUAGUUGGAUUGGGUACUCUGACGGUAUAGAUUCUUUUUAGAACUUAUUUUGUCAUAUAACUCAAUUUUGAGCUUUAUUUACAAUUUUAUAUGGGAUUUUUCAUGUCUAGGAUUACAUUCAACUUAUAUGGGGAGCUUUUUGCAGGUGCUGCUGUAGGAGCAUUGUUUACUGUGCUGUAUGAGGUUGUUAAGGAUGUCAAAGACGAUACUAUGAUGUUUAGAGAGCUCCGCUCUGAGGUCUCGAUUCCACGCUAAAAACGUUAAAUCCGCUGAUUAAAGAUAUAGAGAGAUACAAAGAGGUGCUGGAUCAAUCAAACCAGGAAGUGGAAAAGAUUGUGAGACAAAUAGCGAAUGGGGAAGAGCUGGUUCUCAAGUGCUCCAAGCUUAGCCCGUGGAAAGGCUUCAAAAAGUAUAAAUACGCCAAGCAACUUCUCGAUCUGGAUAAAUGUCUAAACAGGUUGCCCAAGAUACUGAAUGGGGAGGGAGUAAGGAACGGGUUUGAGAACUUGGUUAUUUUGAGGGAGAACUUGGCCGUCUCGAAGGAGGCCUUGGCUGCUGUCCAGAAAAAUGAUUUGGUAGGAACAGAGAGAAUAUUGUGAUACAAAAGCAAGAAAAAUUUCAUUGAUUUGGGUUCUGUUCCUGAACCUCCACAUUUUGCAGUUACACUGGAUGGGCCCUUGAGGGAUUUGAAGAUGAUACUCCUCAAUGAUGAUAUUUAGUUGCAUACAUGCUUGUGAACAAGAACUAAAAUUAGAACAAAGAAAUGUAGAUAGUUACCAUUCUCAUAUUGGUAACUUGCAUUUUGGCUCUAGAACUUAAAAGGUAGUUGACUUCGUUUUGGAAAAUUUUCCUGCAGAUAGUUCAGCAUUGCAAGGGAUAUCCUCUUGGUAUUAAGUGUGGGGAGUUCGCUUUUCGGGGAGGCUAUAGAGAUAAAAGGGAUAUCCUCUUGCUAAAGGUUUUUCUAUUCUUGCUUCAGAGACUGAAUUUCUUUUUUUGCCUUGAACGAAGCUUGGAUACCUUGGAUAAAGAAAUGGUUGCCAUCAAGGAAUGUUUUUUGGCUACGGGUCUGCCGUUCCGAUUUUGAUGUCUGGUUUGUGUUUCAUUUCUUAUUUAGUUGACAUGUGUCCAUUCAUUUACUCAAAAAUUAACACCGUUAACCUUCAAUGUAUUAAUAUGAAAAAGCUAAACAUAAAAUAAAAGAUAAAGAAAGGAAAAUGGUAUUUCUCCCUCGUCAGCGCUGGAGCUCUUGGUCUCACUGUUAAAACUCAUCGUAACCACCCUCUUCCCCUCCUACUCCCUCGUCACCACCGCAACCCUUGGGUCUCGCUGUUAAAAAAGGAAAAUGAUAUUUCUCUCUCCUCUCUCCUCUCUCCUCUCUCCUCUCUCCUCUUCCUCACCCUCUCUCGCCAGGAUCUGUUAAAAAUUUCUGGUCCCCUCUCUCAAACCAUGAAAAGGUCAUGGACUCAUGGCUCCGAAUUUACAAAAACUCCAUUAAAAACCUAUCAAGCAAACCCGAUAGCUCAUAGAGCAAAAAAAAUACAAAUUAUUCACGAUUCUAGAACAUGUAUUUACAUUCACAAAUUUCCGAUGGAAAAUUUUUAGAGAAAAUUAAGAUAUAGGGAGAAAUCCAUAAGAAAAAACUAAGUUUGGAAAAGAGAGACAAAAUCAAAUUGUGGGUUUACUCCAGACAUUUUCUAGUUCCGAAAUUCAAAUCUUGAGUUGUUUCUUCCAUUUGCAGAUUCAAAUCCUCCGUUCCCCAGUGUAUUUCAAUGAAUAUUUUCCAAUUGACAAUCAUAGUUACCAAUUCACUUGAUCCGGUGCUGUUGGUUUCCAAUCGGUAACCACGGUUGUGAAUUGGAAAAUAUCCAUCGAAAUAAACUAGAUCAAGUGAUUUGGAACCUUUGAAAAUAUCCAUCGAAAUACACUUGAUCCGAUUUGAUUUAGGCCAUUGGAUGAUAUUUUCCACCAAGAUCACCGGAUCAAAUGAUUUGGGCCUUUGAAAUUUCAUCAAAUGACCCACCUAUUUUGACCCUUUAAAAGUUAUAAUAAUUUUUUACCGUUGGAUAAAAUUUUAAAGAUUCAUAUAACUUAAUCCGGUGAUUUUGGUAGAAGAAAUCCAAAGAGGAUCUCUUUCCAAAAGAAAAGGCCAAAGGUUUGUUGAGGUGGGCCACUACCUUCAAUAUGCUUUCAUUAUAUUAUUUUGGGUAAAUUACGCAAAACUACCUGAAUUGUAGAUUGAACGACACUUUCAUACCUCAUCUUUUAAAAGUGACAAUGUUAUACCUCAUCUUACGAAUUUGUGCCAAUGUCAUACCUUCGUCAAUUUUUCUGUUAAUUUUUCUGUUAAAUGCUGACCUGGUCAAAAACAUCUAACAUGAUUAAAAAAUAAUUAAAUAUAUUUUUAAUAAUUAAAUAUUAAAAAAACUAAAAAAAAAAUGGUAGGGAUCUGACCUUCCCUUUCCUCCACCCGCACCAACCUUUUUUCUUCUUCUCUUCGACAGCCACCAAACCCUUCCCUGUCCCCCCAACCUUCCUCCACCACCCUCUUUCUCUCUUCACCCCACCGCCGCCUCUCUUCCUUCAUCUUCACCACCCAACUGAAUAAACAAAAAAAACCAAGCCCACACCCAGAUCCCACACCAAAAAAAAAAAAACAAAAAAAACCAAACCCACGCGGCCACCCCUAGAUCCCCUUCCCCUCCUACACACCCAAACCCUCAAUUCCCCCUCCCCCCCCCAAACCUUUGUUACUUAAUACGUGUGUGAACGCACAGUACUAGAUUUUUCAGCUGCGAAGUUCGAGCAAUGGUGCAUCACCGACGAGCCGACGCUGGAUGACAAGUGGCAGGCGGCAAUGGAUUGGGCUUGUGUGGGGGAGGAGGAGGUGCAGAUUGUAGCCAGAUUCAGGUGAAACAAGCUUGCUAUUUCCCAAACACUCUAAAAGACCAUGCUUUCUAUGCAUUCAAUAGCUACUUCCAAAGAUUCAAAUACAAGGGUGGGGAUCUUGCUACUUCAAGGGUGCUGCUCUAAUUGCAGAACUUGACCCGAGUAAGUACUUAUUAUCUUUUUUCUUUCUGGUUUCAGCAUAAACCCAUAAAGAAGGAGAGAGAGACAGAGGCGAGAGAGAGAGAGAGAGAGAGAAGAGAGAGAGAGGAGAGAGAGAGGCAAGAGAGAGAAAGAGAGAAGAGAGAGAGAUGAGAGAGAGGGUGGGUGGUGGAGGAAGGUUGGGGGGGAUGGGUAAGAAGGGUUUCCGAUGGGGAGAAGGAGAUCUGGGUUUUAGGGAGGGGGACACGAGUUGAUAGGGGGAGGGGAUCUGGGUUUUUGGGGAAGGGGGACACAGGGAUGGGUGUUUUUUUGGUUUUUUGUUUUUUGUUUUUGUUUUGUUUUAAUUUUUUAAUAUUUAAUUAAUUUUUUAAAUAUUUAAUUAUUUUUUUAAUAGAAAGUAGGCCCGAAUCAAGCCAAGUCAGCAUUUAACUAAGAAAUUCACAGCCAAGCUAACGGAAUGUAUGACAUUGACACAAAUUCGUAAGAUGAGCUAUGACAUUACCACUUUUAAAAGAUAAGGUAUGAAAGUAUCAUUCGACCUAUAAUUAAAGUAAUUUUGUGUAAUUUACCCUAUUAUUUUUAUUUUGGUCGUUGUCGUCAUAACACUUUUAAAUACGCUAUCAUUUACUCCGCUGUGUGCGUUGUCUCGCUCAGAUUGCAGGAAGUUUCCAAGAACGAUACUGUUUCGGUAAAGCUGUUUUGCAACCAUUUCAUUACAAUUUAUUGUGUGUGUGAUGCAUUAAACCGAAAGUCCUACCAAAUGACACGAUUACAUAACGAACAUGCACAGAAAUAUUAAACAUGUUUGACAAUUAAAAUUUUUAUAUUUUGGGAUUCUUAUUUAGUUUAAAAAGCUAAAAGCUGAAAGCUUAAAAAAAUAUUAGGCUUUAAAUAUUAAAAUAUGUUUGAUAAUUAUUUUAAUUUUUGUAUUAUCCUUGCGAGUUUUACUAACAAAAGAUAAUGCAAAAAUAAUUGUAAUUCAACGAUGUCUUUGUAAUGCAUUUGUCGUAUUUUUAAUAGUAAUUUUGUAAUUACUGAGUAGUUCAUUUAUAGUGUCUUUCUAGUACAUAUUUAACAAUUUUUUUAUUAGCACUCCACAAUAUGUUAAAUACACUUAAGAUUAAAAUUUAAUAUUAAAUAAAUUAUAUACUCUAAUAUGCAACGAUAAUUUUGACUUUAUAAGGUUUGAAAAUAAAUAAGAAAUUUCUAAAACACCCCAAGUUAAUUUUAACAUUUAUAUCCCAAGUUUAUUUAUUUCCUUCAACUCUCAAAACCACCUUCACUCUCCAUUGUAGAACAAAACUCUAACGAAUGAAAUUACAAACACGUUAAUGAAAAAAUUAGUCUUCAAGAAUGAAACAUGAAAUCGUGUUUCAGAAGUUUCACAUGAGGUAAAAAUUCGUAUUUUUCAUUGUUUUAGUGACUUCAACAACAUCAACAUGACUAUAGCUUCGUUAUGAAUGAUAUCCCUUGAAAAAAAAAUAUGAUUGAUGAUGAGAAUCACACACCUAAUAAACCUUAGCCAUAUUUGAUAAAAAGAUCCUUUUAUCAAAUAUCAUGUGUUAAUAUGCGUUAUGCUUAUAGCUGCCAUGACUACCAUAUUUUGUUUGGGAAAUACCCCAAAAUGGGACAAUUUCUUAAUCUUGGGACAUAAAUAGGACAAACCGGCCAUGCACAAGUCAUGCACAAUAUGCACAAUAUCAAAAUUACUAAAAUACCCACAUAUAAAUACUAAAAAUCAUCAGCCCAUUGCAUCACUGUUCUCAUUUGGAAGAGAGGGUUGUCGAGAGAGCUUUGUGAGCUCUGGGUUUCUAGGUUGAGCUCCGAUUUUGAAAAGAGUAAAGUCCAAAGAGAGUAAAAAAAAGUGGGCUGGGUUUUGGGUUGACCUCAUACCUCUAAUUUUGAACAAAGGGAUGCGAGAGAAAGGUGAGAAGAGUGAGCUGAGUUUUGUACCAUAUUUUCUGUUUUGGCCAGAAAGUUCCAUUUUUUUCGGCAACUAAAGCUUCAGCAUGUAUAGUAAGGUAGGGUGUUUAGUUCCAAGUUCCUUCAUCAAUGAUUUAUGGAAUAAAUGGGUUCUUUGUAAGAUGAAUUAAUAUUUAGAAGUUAAACUAGGGUUUGUGUUUCAUGUUGGGGUGUAUGGGUUGUGGACUAAAUUUCAAGUUUUGAUAUGCUAGAAACUAGGAUGGAACAAUUUAUGGUUCAAGUGUCCAAUUGCAGAAGUUUGUGAAAAUUUUUCCAUGGUGUGCAUGUGGUGUGCAUGGCUACAUCUUAAUAUGAGAAGCGGGAAGUUCAAUAGUUAUGAUGCACAUAUGUUAUGCCCCGGAAUUUUGUGAGUAUGACCACAACCUAGUUGGCCUCGGCGAAAAAGAAAAAGAAAAAAAGAAAAAAGCUUAGAGGACUUUAAGGGUCAUGUGUGUCCAUGAAAUAAUGAAACGAGUAUCAUGUUUUCUGCGUGCACAGUUAAGUAGUGAUUGAUAUAUGUAACAAGACUUUUCAAACUUUCACUGUAACCUUAUGUACGUAAAAAUUAUGUUUUAAUUGUAUCCACUAUACCAAUAUGUUUAUGUUAAAGUUUCUUGUGCUCUGUGCAUAUCAUGUGCAUGUAUUGUACAUAUUAUGCACAUAUGGCAUGCAUAUAGUGUAUAUGGUGUGGAUUUACAUCUUUGAUACUCUUAACAUUAACGUAGUUUACUACUUUUUUCUUUGAUUCAGAGGCAGGCUUUGCAAAUACGAAAAAAGCGAACAAGUUCCUGAAACAAUUUCCUUUGAUUCAAUUGGGUUCUUUUGUGCCCAUUCAAAUUUGUGCCCAUUCAAACUACAAUUUUCAAAUCCUUGAAAUAUUUGAACCCAAUCAAAUUUGAUACCAAAUUCAAAUUAAUGAAUUUUCGAUUCUUCAUAUAAAGUUUAGGGUCGAUUAUCUGAUUGCAUUAUUUAUUUUAUUUCAAAGAGAGAGCUGUGAGCUAUGGGUUUUUGGGUUGAGCUCAGAUCUAUGAGUAUAAGAUGUGCAUGUCAUGUGCAUACAGUGUAUGAAUGAGCUUAAUACGAAGAAAGCGAACGAGUGUGCGAAACAAUUUUGUCCAUAUCAUUCUCUAUUCCUUCUUUCCACUAUGAUUUCUCUCUUUUCCCUCAAAUUUAUCUCUUCUCCAAAAACAACUGGCCUUUAAUAUGUUUUUUCAUUUAAUUGCAGCAAAAGACAAACCCUAUUUUAGUGCUUGUAAAUUUGGAUCGAGAGGGGGAGUAGAGGGAGGGAGAAGACAAGAAAUAAAAAUCCACAUAUAAAUCAGAGAAAUGAUAAAAAAUCAACAAUAAAAAAUGAAGGAUUUGGGUCUCCUCCAAGAAACACAAAACCAAUUACUUCAACUCCAAAAAUCCAUCAAUCAAAAAGCAAAAUUAACUAAACCCAGUUCACAAAACCUACAAAUGAAAAGGUAAAAACUAAAGAUGGUUGGGCGAGAGGGAGCUUUUGGAUGAAGAAUAUGGGUGGGUGGGAUAGGGUUCUUUGAAUUGGAAUUGGGAGAAAGAGAUUUUCUCUCUCCUCCUUUUUGUUUCUCUCUCUACAAAAUGAGAAAUAAAUGUUGGAAUUUUUGGAUAAUCCAUUUAUAUGGGAAGACAAUUUGGUCAUUUUAAGGUGUGGGAAAAAUUGUAUUUCUAUUUGAUUGUUGUGCAUGCCGUGUGCAUAUUCAAAAUGUCAUAUUUUUGUCCCAAGAUUAAGAAAUUGUCCCAUUUUAGGAUAUUUCUCUAUUUUUUUUAUGCGUUAUAACAGCCUAAUCUCUUCCCGUAAUUCAAUGAUUAAACAACUCAAUCCAUUCCCAUGAUUCGAUUAUUGGAAAAAAAAGGAAAUCAUCAUCAUCAACCCUAAUCAUCUAGAUUCCUACAGCUGCCAUAUUUUUUUUUCCCUUUUUUUUUGUUUUUUUAUCUUCCUCAUCCCCUGCUGCGAAAAUCAUCUUCUUCAUCUACUUGAUGCUGAAUACCCACAGCUUUCCACCUCUUUCCAUGGAGUAAAUAUGAUCAAACAAUUGAAGUGAUAGAGAAAUAUGAAGGGAUGAACACAUGCAAAUAGGAUCAAACAAUUGCCGGCAUCACAUCGUCCAAGUAUUAAGUGAUGUAGGAUGAUACUAUUUAGAACAAUAAGAAGGCAUAUAGAAAUAGAAGAGAUCCGGACUCACUCCGCCCUUUGGAAAACAUCAGACCAAAAGUGUGUUGGAGUCACUCCAAUAGAGAAUUAGAAAAUUUCCUGAAUCACACCGGCUUAUGUGUGGUGUGGUGUAUACAGAAAAUGUGUGUUGCAUAUAUAGAAAAUGUAAGGUGUAUGGUGAUAGUGUGGGGUGUGAAGGUAUUAUGCAGGCCCUUAAUUUAUUAUCUCGAAAUUCUUGAUGCUCUUGCUCAUACGAUUAACGCUUCAGUGAGAGAUUUUAUAUGCGGUUCUCAUUGGGAGUUGCCGACUGCUUUCAUUAAUAUUUUCCCUAAGGUAGCUUUAGUUAUAGCUACUCCUCUCACACUGCAGGCAUCUAUUGACUCUUUAUGUUGGUCUGGUUCUCUCUCUAGUAUCCUUACAGCUAAAGAGGCUUAUUCUCACUUGCUUAAGUAUGAUAACCAGGUGCCUUGGAGUAAAUUAUCUGGUCUCACGGGAUUCAACCAAGGCAAAGCCUUACGGUUUGGAAAGUCCUACAAGGUCGUCUCCUCACUGAUGUGGUGCUUCAACAUAUGGGAGCUUCACUGGUCUCUUGUUGCUCAUUCUAUAAUUCUGUUGUUGAAUCUUUCUUUCACAUUUAUUUGGAAUGUCCUUGAAUUGGGAUCUUGGAGCUUUUUCAUCCUCUUCUCUUCUGGUAAGAUCAUUGUUAUAGGUUUUUUCAGAAACUUUUCUUUCAACUUUUUGUGGUUCAUCUAGAAAACUUUGGAUUAUAGUGGCUUGCACUUAUAUAUGGGGCAUGCGGUGUCUUCGUAAUCAAAUUCAGUUUGGGGGCAAGUUCACUUCAUUGGAUUAUAUCAAGUGCUAGCUAGUGGCUCGGUUUCGUGACUCGACCCUAUUAUGUUUCUCGAAUUUUAGCUCUUCAUCUUCAAUGUUGCAUAUUUUCUCUUUAUUGGGUAUGUCACCACUUUCAAUUGCGUCUCCAUCCUUUAUUCCAGUCCUUUGGAAUAUGCCGAUGAAUGGGUGGCUUAAGGUUAAUAUUGAUGGGUAUGUGCCAACAGACGUGCUGGAUUUGGGGGGAUAUUUCGCUCUUCGGAGGUUGAGGAGCUUGGUGCUUUUGCUUCAAAUACGAAUUUUGUAAGUUCAGUUGUUGCAGAAGUUCUUGCAUUCAUCAAGGCUGUGCGUAUAGCUUGUGUGAAUGACUGGAAGCAUAUAUGGAUUGAAACAGAUUCCAUGUUAAUUAUUCAUUAUCUUUUAAAAGGCUCCUAAUGCGGUCCCUUGGUUCCUUAUGGUGGAUUAGAAGAAUUGUCUUUGUCAACUUCGUUAAAUGCGGUUCAUAUGUACACAUAUUUAUCAAGAAAGAAAUCAGGUCGCAAAUUCUUUAGCUUCAUUUAGGGUAAAUAGUUAUACUGAUCGCUGGUGGUUUACAGUUACGGAUUUUUUUGCCUCAGCCCAUGCUCGUGAUAUUUCAUUUUGCCCUGAUUUGCAAUUUCAUUGAUCAUUUGGUCAUGGCAGGUCUUGGCUUAAUCCCCCAGCUUGUACUUUUUCCUUUUAAUUUCCUAAUAUCUAUUUGUAAAAAUGGUGGAUGAGGGACGGGUUGAGGGUUUCUGGGUGUAAGGGUCCUCACCCUUACGGGGGACGGUAGGGUGCCUCGCACACGAUCAUUGCUGAAGGACUAAUCUCGCCUAAUCUUUCUCCAUUAAACUUCAAAAAAAAAAUAAAAAAUGGUGAAGCCUAUUAAGAUAAAUUUUAUAUAAAAAAGCAAAUUUGGGAUGUUUUAAGUAUGUGGAGUGUAUUCAACAAUAUUUGUAUUAAGGAAGUGAGCGUUUUUGAGAAUUGAAAAUAGGAGUUUUACUCUAACGAAAAAGAUAAAUUUGGGAUCUAUUUAUUUUUGGUCUCUCUCUGGCAAGUGGAGUUCACCUCCUAAAUAUGUGAAUAUACAUUUUAUUUACAUGUUACGGGAAAAAUGGAUAAUUUAGAUUGAUAUUGAUUAUUAGACAGCUUCUUAAAAAAAUAGAAUUAUUAAUGGCUUUUUAUAUUAACAUCCUACAAAAUGUUGAAUGCAUUCCACAUUAAAAUUUAAUAUUAAUGACUUAUUUACCUUACUAUACAAUGACAAUUUUGACCUUAUUAGGUUAAAAAAAUAAAAAAUUUCUAAAUACACCCUAAAUCACUUUUAACGUAUUGUUUAUCUUCUUCAACUAUCAAAACCCCUCCCACCCUCUAUUGUUGAAUAAAACCCUAACCAAUGGAACUACAAAUAUGUUGAUUGAGAAAAAAUAUUUUUGACGAAUGGAAUACGAAAUCGGUAUUUCGAAAUUUUCACAUGAGGUAAGACUUCAUAUUUUUCAUUGUUUUAGUGAUUUCGACGACAACAAUAAUGAUUUAAUCUUAGAACUCAUAAAGAUCAGCAACAUUUGAAGGUAGGAGAAAUGCCCAUAGAAGAAGGAAGAUCCAUAACAUAAGCAUUAUCAUUAAUCUUCUGUAGAAUCUUGUAGGGUCCAUACUUGCGAGGCUUGAGCUUGCUGUAAGUCUCGACUGGAAAUCUUUCUUUCCUAAAAAACACCAUCAUAGCGUCACCGACCUGAAACACAUGGGAACGCCUAUGUUGGUCAACCGCCGCUUUGUAUUUUGCAUUUGUCUGUGCCAUACGUUCAAAAACCCUUGCCUUAAUAGCCUGGAUGCUUUCUGCCAUCUUUUCAGCAACAACACUCACACUUGGACCCUUAGGGAGCUUGAUGAGGUCCAUUGCAUGCUUGGGGACAGUAGUAUACACUAGGGAGAAAGGAGACUUGCCAGUUACUUUGUGAACAACAAUGUUGUAGGCAAGUUCAAUUUAAGGAAGAGCAAGGUCCCACAAACACUACGAACCAUGUUACCCAUGGUGCGGUUUGUAACCUCGGUUUGACCAUCCGUCUGUGGUUGAGCCAUAGUACUACGCCGCAAAUCUGUACCAAAUAAUUUCCACAAGGUAAUCCAAAAAUGAUUGAGAAAUGUUGAAUCACGGUAAGAAGUAAUAGACUGAGGCACUCCAUAUAGUCGCACAAUUUCUCAAAAGAAAAGUUGAGCAAUGUGGAAUCAUGGUCAUUAUUAUUGUUAUUGAAAAACAUUCAAAUGAACCUAAAUAUUUUUCAGAUCAUUCAAUUUGAAAGUAUUCGGCAAACUAAUGUUCAGAUGGUUUGAAAUCAUUCGGCAAAAUUAAAAAUGAGUGUUAUAAGAUUUGAUAAAUAUGGGGUAUAUAAAAAAUGUGGGGUGUAUGUAGAAAAUGUAUAGUGUAUAUUGAUAAUGUGGGUGUGAGGGUAUUAUAGGAAAUGAAGUGGGGUGUAUUAAGAUAAUUUUUAAUUGAAAAAGCAAAUGUUGUGACAUCCCACAUCGCCCAGGGGAGUGAUCCUUAAAUGUAUAUUCCCAUCCCUACUUAGCACGAGGCCUUUUAGGAGCUCACUGGUUUCGGGUUCCGUCGGAACUCCGAAGUUAAGCGAGAAUGAGGCCAGAGCACUCCCAAGAUGGGUGACCUACUGGGAAGUUGCUUGUGAGUUCCAAAAAACAAAACCGUGAGGGAAUGGUAAGCCCAAAGCGGACAAUAUCGUGCUACGGUGGUGGAGCGGGCCCGGGAAGUGGUCCGUCCCGGGCCGGGAUGUGAAAAUUGGUAUCAGAGCCUAACCCUGGCCGUGGUGUGCCGACGAGGACGCGAGCCCCUAAGAGGGGUGGAUUGUGACAUCCCAUAUCGCCCAGGGGAGUGAUCCUUAAAUGUAUAUUCUCAUCCCUACCUAGCACGAGGUCUUUUGGGAGCUCACUGGCUUCGGGUUCCGUCGGAACUCCGAAGUUAAGCGAGAAUGAGGCCAGAACACUCCCAGGAUGGGUGACCCACUGGGAAGUUGCUCGUGAGUUCCCAAAAACAAAACCGUGAGGGAAUGGUAAGUCCAAAGCGGACAAUAUCGUGCUACGGUGGUGGAGUGGGCCCGGGAAGUGGUCCGCCCUGGGCCGUGAUGUGACAAAUGUGGGGUGUAUUAAGUAUGUGGGGUUUAUUCAACAAUUUGUGGGGUGUUAAUAAAAUAAGCCAUUAUUAAUUUCUAGAUAUUUUACAUAUUUUAUUAGAGAUUUUCUAAUUGAGUAUCAGUUUGGGGUUGUUGAAAUUACUAAAAACCAACUUAUUAAAAAAAUCUAGUGUAUUAGACCAUCUCCAACUCUUGGGUUUAAAACCUAAAAUUUUUAACCCAAAACUUAAAAACUUAGGUUUUAAACCCAGAAAUCAUUUUUCUACUCCAACCCUUCUAGUUAAAAUUUUUAACUCGAUAUUAUUAAAGAAUGGAUUUAAGAUAAUUUUUUUUCUUAAGUAACUUUUAAACAAAAUAUUAUGUAGAUUAUUCUAAUUUAAUUUUAUGAACAUUUUAACUUAAAUAUAUUUAAAUUCUGAUAAGCAAGUGACUCUUUACCACAAUAGUAGAAAUGAGUUGAGCCCUUAAAUAACAACGUGGGUUCGAACCCCGUCGAUGACUAAUCUAACAAAAUCUAUCAUUUGACAAAAAAAAUAUAUUUAAAUAUAUUUAAAUAUUGAAAUAUACUAAACCAACAUCAUGAAACUCGUGGAACACUAUAAAAAAAUAUGAAACACAAAAGAUCUUUUUUAUUAUUUUAGCCAUUGGAUUUAAAUUUGGACUAGUAACUUUGGGUUAAAACUCAUAUUUGGCGCAAGGGUUGGAGUAAGUUGGGGUAGGUUUAGAACCUAAAUUUUAAGUUUUACUCCAAGAGUGGAAGUAUGUCUUAUGAGCGUGUUUGUUUGGCUCCCCUAAGUUUCACUGGACUGGCUAGGAGUCCUAGUCCAUGUUUUGUGCAAGCAGUGAUUGUGUUAAAUGAGAGUAAUCCGGACUAGCGGAGAUUAAACGCUUCGCUAGGGGGCCUUAGUGAGUCCCCCUGCAAAUGAGAGGAUUGCUAAUUCUGUCUCUUACACUUGUUUUGCUUUGCUUUACCUCAAGCUCGUCCAAGACUCCAGUAUGCUUUGCACCAUCUUUGUAACCGUCCAACGAUCGAUGAUGGACCUUCAUUACUGUCGAAACCCAAAUCCCCAAAAGACAAGAUAUUUGAAAUAACGCCGCCAGAUGAGCAAUGCUUCAACGAGCUCAAACCUGGAAUCAAACGGAUUUAGGGCAACAAAGCUUGCCCAUUUGAGCUUCCACGACCAUCGAACAAAAACCCGAACAACAAAGUUCGAAUUUGCGUUUUGCAGGAAAAAUUUGGCAAUUAAUCAGAGAAAAAUAGGGAAGGGAGGGAAAGCAUGGGACGGAGAAAACGAGGGAAAGAAAGAUGGAGAAAAUGACGGAGGCCCUAUAGCUGUGGAGAGCAACAUGCCCGUCAUCAAUUGGUUUACUCCUAACCCCUACACUGUUGAGGAAAGGAUAUAGGCCUCCAAGUUGUCCAAUUUCGAGAAGGGAUUUCCUUCAAUGAAUGAUGCGGCCUGGUCUAAGUGGGUGGAGCUAGAGCUAAUCUUCAAGCAGAAGUGGAUGUCAAAUGGCAUAUAUGAGCUCAUCAUGAUGUCUAAAACCACCAUUUUUAUCAAGCACGAGCUACUCUCCAUUGCUCUCUUUUUUUGGAACACGGAGACUAAUACAUUUGACUUCAGAAUGGGUCUUAUGUCCUCUACUGUCUUGGACAUUGCCCAAGUCUUUGGUUUAAGGCCAUCGGGAGGUGUGUGGAUGUCAUUGACGACUGGUCUUCACCUUCUCACCCUGUUGCUGGAGGUUCAGAGGCCUCCCAGGCCAUUGUCAAUUUGGAGCACAACUCCACUAGCUUUAAGUGAUAUGAGACCUUCUUCGUAGGCUUUAUUUCGUUCGCUAAAAAUAAAUAUAGCCCACUCUUUCCUACUGCUGACAGAGCUCAAGAGCACAUGUACUUCCUUUUCUAUUGGUUGAACAAACAUGUGUUUCUCAACAAGUCUAAGGCAGUGAAGCUGGAGUAGGUUCCCUUGGUGGAGGUUCUAAAUUCAUUUGAUGAUGUUGCCACUUGACCCUUCAUCUUGGCUCAUGUCAGCUUAUAUCUACCAUCUACUCUUUGAGAUGACAAUGGGUCAACCUUUUGAGACCAACCUCAAUGGAGCCACUUAAAUGAUCUAGUUUUGGCUUCAAUGGUACUUCCCAGAAUUUCGAGCUUCAAACUUGGAAUUCCCAGUUUUAGCUUAUGCCCGAAUUAUGGCAAGGCCCCUGCCACCAGCCACUCAACCCUUGCUUUCUUUUACUUCUUCAAGAUUUGCAAGACUAAGACCGAUGUUGAGUGGGGUGCCUCAGUGCUUAGAAGGUAUCCCUGGUUCUCAGACAACUUCUUCCAGGACUCUUUUGGUGAAGAUGCCAACAACUUCUGCAUGGAGAAAUUCAUUAGUUGUAUCCAGCAAAAAGAUCUGUCCUGGGGAGUAAGAAGUGACAAUCAAACUAUGCACACGACUUGAAGGUCUACCACCCCAAUUUCUAUGGCAAGCAACUAGGAUUUAGGCAAGCCAUUCUAUUCCCUUUUUUAUUCAGUUUAUUGUGGAACCUCAUAUAGUCUUUGUUCUCCCUCAGAGGUCACUAUUCGGGCAAGCAGACGCAACCUGAAAGUCAUGACCAGGGGUGAAUGCAUUGAGGGGCAGAGGGAUCAGGUGACCCCCCGAACUUAGUGAAUAUCCAGGGAUAACUUGAGUGUUAACCCUCCGAACUUCGGUGAAUGUCCAUGGAUGACUUGGGUACUGCCCCUUUAAAGUUUGGAAUUGCCCUUCAUAUAUGCCCUUCAAUUGCUUGAUAAAAUGCAUUAAAGAAGUGUUGCCCCUUUACAGUUUAGUCCUAAUAUUAUUUACCUCUAGCUUAUUUGUUAGUUGUGAUUACAAUUGUAGGCAGAAAAAAAAAGAACCAAGUAAAAAAUUAUCCAAAAAUGCAAAGUAAAUGAAAUGGUGAUCUCAGAGAAUAACAAAACAACAUUAUUAUUGGACAAACAUAUCAAUGAGAUGCAAUGAUAUCAAACAAUAUUAGUGUGUUCAAGAUAAGUGUGUUUCUUUGUUAAGCAUGCAUAUGGGAGUAACCUUGGAACAUGUUAGUUACCCACGCAAAUAAGGCAUUAACAGGUGUGCAUUAUGCCUUUCCAAAUGACUUCAAGCCUACCAAGACUCGAUGAAAUGAUGAUAUGCAUGCUAUUUCUUUUUUAAAAAAAUAUUCUUACUGAUCCCCCUAAUAUUAUUUCCUGGAUCUGCCACUAGUCAUGACCAAGAUUGCACAUAAGCCCGAUGCUCUCAACUUUGAGUGCACCUUUCUAUUUACCACUUGGUGGGAGGCCUAGUGGUCUAAAAAAUAUGGUGGAGACCUCAGAAAAGCCCAUGACAAGAUCUUCGGAUAAGCUUUUUUCAAGUCUCUUCCCAAGAAAAAAGAGUUUGAGAGUUAUAAAGAAGCCAUUAAUCCAAAGAACCAACUCAUGCUAAUAGGUAACAAUUGUUAUUGCUCUUUUGCCUUAAUUUUAUAAUAUUUUUUUGUUAACCCUCAUCUUAACUUUGUAGUCCAAGGUAACUCUGGUGAAGCAGAUGUCAAGCUAGAGGAAGAGGUUGCUAAUCCAUUGAUCCUUCAAGAGGCUGCCGAUGCAUUGGUCAUUCAAAAGGCUGCUACAAAGGUACACUUAGCUUUUUUUUUAACACCAUCUCAUUAGUGUAAAUUCUUUCAGGCUUUUUCUAUAAGUCAAGCAAGUUUACCAAGUGACGAAUAGACACGAAAGGAAAAGUAAAUGGCCAGAUGAGAUGCCCAGAGUCUUGUGGGCUUAUCGCACGACAGUUAGGAAAGCCAUUAAGGAAACAUUGUUCUGCAUGGCUUACAGAACUGAGGUUAUCAUUCCGGUUCAGGUCACAACUAUGCCAAACUUGGAGAAUACGGAAAUCCUGAAGACAUAUCUCGAUUUCACAAAAGAACGACGAGGGGCGCUCAAGUUCAACUAAUAGCUUAUUAAAGCAAAUCUGAUCAUAUUACAACAAGGGUGUCAGGCCCAGGAGCCUGCAAGCAGUAGACUUAAUCCUGAGGAAAGUAUUCAAAAACACCAGGAUUCCAAGAGAAGGUAAACUUGGGGCAAAUUGGGAAAGUCCGUCCAAGGUCGCUAGAGGAUGAGGCAACAAAACCUACCAUUUAGAGCAUACAGAUGGAAACCCAAUCACUAAGAAGUAGAACAUCGUCAAGCUUAAAAAUUACUACACAUAGAUGCACCACAGGAACUACAUGCGAUUUGAUUCCAUUCCUGAGAUAUGUAGGCAGUCCUCUUUGGACCCAAUCGCAACACCGCCAUCUAGGAGAAGACAAAUCAAUGGAAAACUCAUCUCUCAAUACCCCACCAUAAGCUUAUCGUCAUAAGUGAUCUCUAAUAUAAUUUUUACAUCAUAUAAUCUUUUCCUUAGAACUACACCAGUGAUUUGAUUUUCAUCCUGGAGAUAUAUAGGUAAUCCUCGUCGGAUUCAAUCACACCCCCUUUACAGAUGCCAAUUUUCGGAGGUAAUGUUUCUUCGAAUCAAUAUUACCAAUGUGAUUUUUCUCUAAAAACUCUAUCUUGGGCCCACAAACUUACUCACAUUCUGCUCAGCUACUUAUUCCAUAUUUUAAAGUUCAUUUACUUUAGAAACAUUUACCGGAUUGGGAAUUUUUCAUGAAUAAGAUGUACAAGAUAGAAAAAUCUUUACACAAGCACGUGUCUAUUAUCAAAGUCUCAAAGGAGAUUAGUUCAAUACAACAGUUUAAGGGAGACAACCAUUGUUUGUCAUUAUUGUAUGGGGAAUUCCAAAUAAAUGAUGAUAUUUUCAAACAAACGAUUUCAUAGUCGAAUUAAUGAUUUUUGUUAGGGGUUUCACUUCUAUCCACUUAGAGAAGUAGUUUAUCACCACUAUCAAGUAUUGUCUGUUUCCUGUAGCUUUCUUAAGGGAUCCAACCAAGUUGAUGCCUCAUUGCAUGAAGGGUCAUGAACCUGUUGGAGUGUUAAGUUCUUCUGUGUGUUGAUAGUUCAUAGAGGCAUACUUUUGACAUUUGCGUUGCUGGUUGCAUCUUAUUGCAUGGUAAGCCAAUAGUAGCCUGUAGUUAUUACUUUCUGGGUCAACGACCUUCUUCUAUCAUGAUUUCCGCAUAGCCCAAAUUAGAUGUCAUUCAGAAUUUGCAGACCAACUUUUAGCAUGACACAUAGUAGAGUUUUUUGUGGAUUAAUAUAUAUCUUGAUGCCUUUUGAACUAACUUACUGGCUAGGUUGCAAUCUUCUGGUAGUCAAUGAUUUCAUCUAUCCAAUUUUCUCAAACGGUAAUGACAACGACUACUUUUGGUUUCAUUUCGUGACGCUAGGGACUUUCAGAUACUCGAAGGGAAUUGUUCACCGUAGGGAGUAAUCCACAUUUGAGGCUAUCCUGACAAGUGCGUCGGCAUGGAUGUUUUGUCCUCUUGGUAUUUAUGUGAUCUCAUAAUUUUCAAAUUUCUCGAGAAGUGCCUUCGCCUUAUUUAAGUAAAGCCCUAUGGUAUGGUGAUAAGUGGCUUAGUCUCCCAUGACCUGGUUAACUAUGAGCAUUGAAUCACAAUGAAUUAGCAAUUAUUUUACCUAGAGUUCAUUUGCAAUUCUAAGUCAUGCUGUAAGGGUUUCAUAGUCGACCUCGUUGGUGCGUACUUUGAAUCCCAACUUCAGGACUUGUUCAAGUACAAAGCCAUCUGGUGCUACCAUUCCAGUAUCGGCUCUAUGUAUGUAAGAUGACCCGUCGGCGUAAAGCUUCGAGAGACAAGGAUUUCUAGGGGAUUUUGAGUGCCUUCCAAGUACUUUGUGCUACAGGGAUGAACUCUGCUACAAAGUCUGCCAAGGUUUGGGCUUUGAUUGAUGUCUUAAGAUGGUAAAUUAUCUCGUGUUGCCCUAGUUCGAUAGCCCACAUUGUGACCCUGGAUGAAGCAUUACAGUUGUGUAGGAUGCACCUCAGCGAAUAUUCCAUCAUGUAGAACAAACCUUCCUUGCUGCCAUUACUAGUUCUAAGAUGUAUUUUUCCAUCUUCUGAUAUCUUGUCUUUAGUUUGAAAAGAGCUUUUAAUAUGUAGUAUACCAGUUUCUGCUGCCCCGAGUCUUCUCGGAUCAGAGCUGCACUUACUGUGUUGUCUGAUACGGCUAGAUAAAGGUAUAGAUCCUCUUUGUCGAUGGGUUUGGAUAGCAGCAGAGGUUUGGAGAUGUACUUUUUGAGUUUUGCAAAAGCUUAUUCGCAUUCAUUUGUCUAGAGGAGGCCCUUGUUUUUCUUUAUUGUUGUAAAAAACUAUUCGCACUUAUCUAUGGAUCUUGAAAGGAAUCUGCAGAGGGUUGCCGUUCAUCCGGUUAAACUUUGUGUUUCCUUUAUGGUUCUGGGUGACCUCAUUUCUAUGAUAGCCUUGAUCCGAUCUGGGUUGGCUUCGAUUCCUCGUUGGGUCACCAUGUACCUUAGGAAUUUUCCUGACGCUACUCUGAGGUGCAUUUCUCCAGACUGAGCUUUAAGUUAUAGUUUUGAAGUAGGUUAAAUGAUUCUUGAAGGUGUGUUAUAUAGUUAUUCUUUUCUUUGCUAUUGACAACCAUAUCAUCUAUGUAGACCUUCAUUGUGUUUGUAAUUUUUCUUUGAAGAUUCGAUUGACGAGUCGUUAGUACAUUGCCCCUGCAUUUUUUAGUCUGGAAGGCAUAACCUUGUAACAGUAGGAACCUCAAUCGAUGACGAAUGAUGUUGCUUGCAUGUCUAGCUCAUACAUCUUUAUUUGGUUGUAUCUAGAGUAGGCAUCUAUGAAGCUUAGGAGUUCGUGUCCAACUGUUGAGUCCACUAGUAGGUCGAUUCGUGGAAAAGGAUAUUGAUCUUUUGGGUAGGCCUUGUUCAGGUUCGUAAUGUCCACACAUACUAUUUACUUCCCAUUCUUCUUUUGUGUUAACACGACGUUCGUUAACCAAUAUGGGUGGUGUACCUCAAUGAUGAAUUGGGCGUCCUUGAGUUUGUCAAUUUCUGCCUCUAUGAUUUUACUGUGUUCUGUUUCGCAAUUUCGUUUGCGCUAGAUAACUAAACAGGCAGUUGGGUCUAGGUGAAGACGGUGACAGAUCACAGAGUGGUCGAUCGCAGGCAUGUCUUCUGCUGACCAUACGAACACAUCUUUGUUAGCUCACAAGAAGCUGGAAAUAGUUAUUUUUCUCAGUCAGUCAGUUUUGAGCCUAUUCAGGCUUUUCGUCCUAGUUUGUCGAGGUUAAGACUGAUGUAGAUGACAUCUUCGUUUACCUUGGACUCUAGAUAAUGUCAUCUUUGGGGUCAAGAUCUAAGUCAAAUUCUUUGUAACUCGUCCAUAUGUGUGCUGGAACUUUGUUUUUCUUUUCUUAUCAUGUUCAUACUUUCGACAGUGCAAUAGCGUGCCAUCAACUGGUUUUAUUUUAUUUCUUUUACUCCACCGGGUGCCGAAUAACAAAGUAACUAAUGGUAACUGGAAGGGACGACCUUCAUCUUGUGUACCUAAUUCCAGCCAAGGAUGGAGUUGUAAGAGGUCAGGUAAUCCCUCAUGUAGAAGGUUACCAAGUGCUUGUAGGGUCCGACCUGGACAGCCAACUUUAUGGUUCCAAAUGACUGCACUGUUGCCCCAUUGAAGUUGUGAAGGGUCGUCCUCCCUUUGUUGAUGUUGUCGAGAAUUCCCAUCUUUUUAGCAGCAUCUUUGAAUAGGACACUAACUCUAAAACCAUUGUCAACUAAUAUACGGUCGUCUAGGGCAUUCAAGAUCUGGACCUUAAUGACGAGGGCAUCGCCAUGAGGUGAGUGGACAUCUUCCAAAUCUCGAUCAGAUGACAUCAAUAUGGUAGAGUUGAUGGCCAAUGACUUGUUGAUGCUGGCCACUAGUCUUGGUUUCUUGUAAGCCACAUUCAUUUCUUUCUGAUGUUUCCCAGAUACUCUUAUUCUCUAUAUAUAUAUAGUUAAUCCCAGAAGACGUUGUUACCUCCGGAAGUUGAAUUAGGGAUUUCCUAAGAUAUUUUCUUGGGAAAGAUCGUCGAGAUGACUCUCUAGAUGUUAGAUCAAUCACUUUUAUCCUUCAAGUAACCAGUUUCUCAAAGUGAGAAACUGCUUUUCAGAGAUCUUUGAUACGGGCUUUUAUAUCCACGAGUCAGGCGAGUUCUUUAGCCAUUGGACUAUGUCGAACGACCUCAAGGGAUAGACAAAUAUCCAUGACAUAUUCCCACAUUCCGUAAAUGGUGAUGACGUCAUUGUGCCCCUAGUGGGUGUCAUCAGGAUAGAUGGUUGGGCUUUUGUUGUUGAUCGAACUUUCGGACAUGUCAAACGGUGGAGUGAUUUGGCCAAAAAGAAUAUGGGUUCACUCUCAAUGAAAGCACUAAUUGUUAGAACCAAAUCUGCACACCUCUGUGAGCGGCGGUUAAACAUAAAUUCAAGUAAUCUAGAGCAACCUGUAAAAUAGUAAAACAACCAUGAGCAACCUGUAAAAUAGUAAAACAACCAUGAGCAAGCCUUAGGCCGGGGAGGGGUGUGUUGGCCAAAAGGUUUUCCGAUGGUCAAGUUAGUGAAUGAUUUUAGUCUCAAGUAGUGGGCAAGAGAAUUCAAGUGUAUAGAUUGUGUUAUCGUAUAUGAACACUAGAUGGGUGUAUUUAUACCAUGAGAAACAAACCUUUUUAGGAUAGAAUCCUCGUACUAAGCUAGGAGAAUCCUAGAGGAUAUCUAGUAAGUAGAUAUUGUAUCCUCUUAGGAGUUGUGAUUACUUGCGGCGCACGUCUAUCCCUAGAUUUUAGGGACUCCAAGACUUAUAGGAUCUUAUUGUGUCUAUAUCUAGAUCAAAUUGUGUGUCUUGCAAAACAAGUAUUGUCAUCCAGUGGAUUCCACCUAGUGCCCUGGUGGAGUAAAGUGAUGGUGGCACCCAUGCUCUGUCUAAUACAGGUCCGCCCGGAGUUAGUGAGUCCAUGACCAGACUUCUUAGGUAAUUGUAUUUGGAUUAACUUUACCCCAGCCCUGAAAAAUCAUGGUCCCACAAUCGUCCAAGUAAUUAGGGAAAUACAUGAAGGAAUUUGUUGUGUUCAUCAGUCUGGCUGAAAGAUGAAAUGGUUGUUUUGGUGCCAUGGUGGUUAUUUUUGGCCAACUAUUUUAACAGAGUGCAUUGAAUACGCAUGAGAUUAUGUACAUUGGCAGUUUCAUAGACCUAUACAAUGAGUUCUCAUCGAAGAACUCCAUUCGAUGGUAAAACCAUGGUCAUUUAGAAGAUACGCCAUAGACAUGAUUGGAAAAAUUUCCCAACUUCUAGUUUGGCAAAACUCACUUGGAUCCUAGUUGCCACAUAAUAUUUUACCAAACGGGUUGAAGCGAAGUCUUAUGCCAAAUUGACUGUCAAGGAAGUAUGGAAUUUCGUUGUUGAACAUAUGUGAAAAGAUUCGGCAUCCUAGAGACGAUCAUCACGAAUAAUGGUACAAUUUUUACGGUCAAAAGUCUAAGAAUUACACAUAUAACCUUAAGAUUCAACUAGAACAGUCUAUGCAAUAUUAUCAGCAAGCUAAUGGUCAGACCAAAUCUAGUAAUAAAGUGAUUGAAGGAUUUUUGGAAAAAAUGGUAAAAGAUAUCUGGCAAAUCUCAACGAGGUAGUCUGGCUUACCUCACGUCACAGCACUCAGGGAUCAUUGUCCCUAUGCUUUAACUUAUGGGCAUGAUGUUAUUCUUCCUAUGGAGAUAUGUGUCAACUCAUUAAAGGUCUCCAAGCAAAAUGGUUUGAUAAGGGCCGAAUAUACACAAGCACUUAUGCAAUAAUUGGAAGACCUAGAGGGUGUGAGGCUCGACACUUGCAAUUUACUCGAGAAAGAAUACAAUUGUUGAUGCACAAAAUCAGUGAGGACUUUGGUACAACAAAAAGUGUUAAGUUUGUGACCUUUGCUAGAUUGCUCCAGUCACUAGUGUGGAUAAAUAUGUAAAUGGAUAGAGACAGGGAAGCAAACACAAGAUGUAUGUGGUUCGCCCAGAUUGGCUACGUUCAUGGAGUAGAGGAGUUCUUAUUAAUUGUGAAGGGUUUACAAAAGUAUAUAGGUUUAAGCUCUCCCUUAAUGAGUACUAGUGAAUGAUUUAGUACAAAUGACAGUAGGAAAUAUUGUGGGAGAAUGAUCUCCUUUUAUAAAAGAGAGUUUCUAGCUUUGCUCUGACAUUGACACGUGUCGUGUUAUGAUUGACUUCCGAUGUUGACACGUGUCGCGCUAUGAUUGGCUUCUGAUGUCAACAUGUGUCACGCUAUGAUUGGCCUCCUGGUUAAAGGGAAAUUCUUCUGGGUCCUUGACGGUAUAACGUUGACUGGUGCUCGGUAGUUUUAGGAUUGGUCAAGUAUGGUACAAACAGUGCUCCCCUAAGUUCCCGAGUGAGGGAAUCUCCUCGAUUGGGGACUUGCAAGAUCCAAGCCGUUGAGUAAUCACAAAACUUCUAAGUACCGAAGUGUGGUAUCGUCUUCACUUGCCUUAUCUCUCUCAUAGGUAGAUGUGGCAUCUUCUCUGGAAGUACUUUUCCUCCAUCCAAGGAUGGUAUCUUUAACUGGUUUAGAUGCACAAAGUAAUGUAUCAAUUUCACUUGAAGCUUACUUGUAGUUUCAGGCUUGGUCAAACGCAAUACAAAUCAUGUAGUAUGAGUCCCCCAAGUCGCCAAGCUAGGAGAUCUGCCGAAAGAGGUGACAGACAAGGUAAGCAAUCAAAGCUCUAAGUAAUCAGUCCCAUAUCAGAAGUUUGAUUUUGAGUUCCGGCUGAUUUUUCUCAUUCUCCCUAUCUUGCAGGCAACAUGAAGGAUAAAAAAAAAGAAAAAGGAGAAGAGAUGAUAUAAGAUACUUUUGCUUUUGAAGAAGUAACUUUCCAUAAGCUUAUUCUUGAACUGGGUUGAAAGGUUUUCUAGUUUCCUCCAGAUUAUAAGGCCGACUCAAGAAUUUAAGAGUUAAAAAAAGUCCAUCAAAUCAAGAGUUCAUUCGACCUUGAUGAUAUGGGAUACUUUUGUUGUUGACAAAGUAGUGGAUGUGGUAUGGCGAGGCUUUGCUCUUUGGCGACGUUGCUAGUGAAAGGUUGUUAAAGUUCCUUGAGCUCUUCAGAUAGGGAAGCAAUGCCGAGCUUGGAUUUGACUUAGACUCCUCUGCUUAGAUUAUGCGGUUCUGUAGGGAGGGCGUCGUGUUAUAAUGAUAUGUUCUAGCUCAUCGUUGAACCUUCUGCUUCAAUCUUUUGCAUCACAAAAGUGGUGCGCAACCUUUGCAUUUGAAUGGUCCUUUAGAGCACUACUUCUCAACGACUCAUCCAUACUUGGCAGCUUCAGUGUAAAGAGCCAAUAUCGUAUCAACUGUUCUAAAGUAUUUGCCGAAAAGAUUCGUGACCUUGACAACAAUUGAGGAUGAGUACUCGAGAGCAAUGCUAGGUGAGCAACCAGGCAAAGGUUCCAGGCAAUCAAUUCCAGAUUGGAAGUUUGAUUUCAGGUUUCGACUGAUUGCUUUUUUUCUCCUUGUCUUGCAAAUAAGAGCAAAGGCAAAGGAAAAGAUAGAGAAAAAACAUGAUAUAGGAUACUCUUGCUUUUAACCCUGAUGAUAUGAGAUACUCUUGCUCUGGUGUGGCUUGUUUGCAGAGGUAUUAUCGGGGGGAAAGGAAGCUGAGUAUUUCGAGAGGCUUCGUUGGGAGUGCCCUCUCAGAUAUGAGGAUGGUUGAGUAUUUUUGCAGGUCUGCCUGUCCGUGGAGGGUGGAAGUAGACAUAUAUAAGAGUUUUCCCAACAACAAGUAGUAAUGUUAUUUCUUUACCCUUCUUGGUCAUAGCAAUGUAGUGGGAGCUGCAAGCUUCACGUGUUUUAACUUUGUUAGAGCACUUUGAAAAAACGGUCUGUGGUAUCUAGAAAGCUGAUGUUGCGUGUGAAGAUUGCAGACAAAUUUUAUCCAAGGAAAUCUGGCUCUCGAAGUUCAGAGAGCGGCGCCUCUUCAAUUUUCGAACAAGCAAUCUUGUUGGGGAUCUAGCUCUCGAGAAUCGGAGAGCAUUGCCUCUUCGAUUUUUGAACAAGCAAUCCUAUUAGGGAUCUGGCUCUUAAGAUUUAGAGAGCGCUGCCUUUUCGAUUUUUGAGAAAGCGAUCCUGGUAAGAGUCUGGCUCUCAAGAUUCGAAUAGCGGUGUCUUUUCGAUUUUUGAGAAAAUAAUCUUGGUGGGAGUCUAGCUCUCGAGAUUCGAGGAGUGGUGCCUCUUUGAAAUUUUGAGAAAGUAAUCCUGUUGGAAGUGUUUUCUUGAUGUGAGUAAAGGUUGGGCAUUUUUGCCAGUCUGCUUUGCCACGGAGCACAGAGGUUGACACACAUAUGGACUUUCCAAUUAUCAAGCAGUGGUGAUGUUCCUUUACCCUUGUGGGUAAUAGUUGGGUAGCUGGACCUUCAAAAUUUAUGUGUCUAAACUUUGUCAGAGAUCUUUGGCAAAGUUAUCUGUGGUACCCAAGGAGCUGAUGUUGCGUGUGGGGAUUGUCGACAUAUUUUACUCAGGAAAAUCUGCUUCUCAAAAUCCGAAGAGUGGUGCCUCUUCGAUUUUUGAACCAAACGGACCUGUUGCCCUUUCUUUUAUAGGGGCAUCAAUUGUGUGCAAGAAGUACAUUUAGAGAGUUAUUGCUUGUAGGAAUUUUCCCCUUAUUUUCGUACUUCAGAGAUUUAUUGGACCUCAUUUCUCCUUCAUCAUUUCUGAAAAUGUCUGGCCCAUCCGACCGUCGUUUUGACUUGAACUUUGGUGAAAAUGCAGUCAUGCCUCUUUAAGACAACAUAUGGCGCCCAUUCUUCUUACCCCCUACUGGUCAUCUUACCGUUGGGGACUCUGUAAUGAAGAGUGAUAUGACUGCUGUGAUGGUGGCCAGGAACCUUCUCACUCCUAAAGAUAACAGACUACUUUCCAAACGGUCUGAUGAGUUGGCUGUUAAGGAUUCUCUGGCUCUCAGUGUUCAGUGUGCAGGUUCUGUGUCUAAUAUGGCCCAACGCCUAUUUGCUCGAACCCACCAAGUUGAAUCAUUGGCGGCUGAAGUGAUAAGUCUCAAACAGGAGAUUAGAGGGCUCAAGCAUGAGAAUAAACAGUUGCACAGGCUCGCACAUGACUAUGCUACAAACAUGAAGAGGAAGCUUGACCAGCUGCAGGAAUCUGAUGGUCAGAUUUUACUUGAUCAUCAGAGGUUUGUGGGUUUGUUCCAAAGGCAUUUAUUGCCUUCGUCUUCUGGGGCUGUACCUGUACCGCAUAAUGAAGCUCCAAAUGAUCAACCUUCCGAUGCCUCCUCCUUCUGGGUUCUGUUCUGCCAGUACUGAGGCUCCGAAUAAUCACCCUCCGGUGCCUCCUCUUUCUGGGGCUCUGCCGACUGCUGAGACUUCUCCUGAGCAACCUUUGUGAAGGCUCCCUCUUGUUUGUUUAUUUUGAUUCAUGUAUAUGUACAUAUUUGUAACUUAUCGGAGAUAUCAAUAAAUAAACAAGCUUUGCUUCAUUUCAACGUAUUGUGUUAAAUACACCAAGGCCUUCUUCACUAAGUUCUUUGAAUUUUUUUCUUUUGUUGAAGCUUGUAUGUUGAAGCUUUGUGAGUGAAGCAUGUAGGUUGAGGUAGUGCUCCCUUAAUUUCCCGAGUGAGGAAAACUUCUCGGUUGGAGACUUGAAAAAUCCAAGUCACUGAGUGGUCGUAAGACUUCCGAGUAUCAAGGUGUAAUAGCAUAUGGUAGGAGUCCCCUAAGUUUCCGGUCGAGGGAGUUGACGAAUGAGGCAUUUCCUUCUAAGUGGUAGCCCAAAACUCCUCCUUCAUAUAUAUUUGUUAUGAAAGUUGUUAGGCCCAAAGAAGAUGAGGCCUAGGUUUUUUUUUUUCUUUUCGAAAUUUCGAAUUUUUGAAUUUUCGAAUUUCCGAAAAAAAAAAAUAUAUAUAUAUAUAUAUAUUAAGCUUUGUAGUUGAAGCUUUGGUGUUGAAGCUUUGUAGGUGAAGCUUUAAGGUUGAAGCUUUGUUGGGUACCACGAAUUGAUUUUGCUUCACACUAUCUUGAUCAAGAGUAUGUGAAGCUUUUGUAGGUGAAGCUUUUGUGUUGAAGCUUUUGUGGGUGAAACUUUUGUAGGUGAAGCUUUGUUGGUGAAGCUUUGUUGGUGAAGCUCUGGUGUUGAAGCUUUUGUAGGUGAAGCUUUGUAGGUAAAGCUUUGUUGGGUACCAGAAAUUGAUUUUGCUUCACUCUAUCUUGAUCAAGAUAGUGUGAAGCUUUUGAGAAUUUGUAGUUGCCUUCCAUUUGUUGAAGCUUUUGUUGGGGAAACUUUUGUGGUGAAGCUUUGUAGAUGAAGCUUUGUUAGGUACCAUGAAUUAAUUUUGCUUCACACUAUCUUAAUCAAGAUAGUGUGAAGCUUUUGAGAAUUUGUAGUUGCCCUCCAUUUGUUGAAGCUUUUGUUGGUGAAGCUUUUGUGGUGAAGCUUUGUAGGUGAAGCUUUGUAGGUUGAAGCUUUGUAGGUGAAGCUUUGGUGUUGAAGCUUUGUAGGUGAAGCUUUAGAGUUGAAGCUUUUGUUGGGUACCAUGAAUUGAUUUUUCUUCACACUAUCUUGAUCAAGAGUGUGUGAAGCUUUUGAGAAUUUGUAGUUGUCCUCCAUUUGAUGAAGUUGUUGAAUUCCCCAAUUUCCUUUUUUUUUUUUUUUUUUUUUUUUUUUGGAAAAUAGAAAUUUAAAAAUGUGGGAGAGACAACAUAUACAAAUUUUGCUUCCAUACUGUUGAGCAAGAGAUUGUGAUGCAAGCCACACCUUGUAGUAGUCGAAGGUUUGGAUGAACCAUAUAAAUUGAAUUUGCUUUGAACAGUCUUGAUCAAGAGUGUGUGAAGCUUUCUACGAGUUGUAGUUGCCCUUCAUUGAUGAAGCUUUUGUUGGCACCAUAAAUUGGUUUUGCUUCACACUGUCUUGAUCAAGAGUGUGUGAAGCUUUUGAGAAUUGUGGUUGAACUCCUUUGAUGAAGCUCUUGUUGGCACCAUAAAUUGGUUUUGCUUCACACUGUCUUGAUCAAGAGUGUGUGAAGCUUUUGAGAAUUGUGGUUGAACUCCUUUGAUGAAGCUCUUGUUGGCACCAUAAAUUGGUUUUGCUUCACACUGUCUUGAUCAUAAGUGUGUGAAGCUUUUGAGAAUUGUGGUUCCCCUCCAUUGAUAAAGCUCUUGUUGGCACCAUAAAUUGGUUUUGCUUCACACUGUCUUGGUCAAUAGUGUGUGAAGCUUUUAAGAAUUGUGGUUGCCCUCCAUUGAUGAAGCUCUUGUUGGCACCAUAAAUUGGUUUUGCUUCACACUGUCUUGAUCAAGAGUGUGUGAAGCUUUUGAGAAUUGUGGUUGAACUCCUUUGAUGAAGCUUUUGUUGGCACCAUAAAUUGGUUUUGCUUCACACUGUCUUGAUCAAGAAUGUGUAAAGCUUUCUACGAGUUGUAGUGUUUGCAUUGUUACAGAGGAGAAAUGUCUGAAGCAGAUGCAAGAGGGCUGAAUAGCUUGAUCUUCGUAUGCCAUGCACUGAAGUUGUUGUUAGCUUGCAAUAAGACUUUGUUAGUGACUAUAACUCUUGUUGGGGAUAUGUGCUCCCCUAGUUGAGUUAUCAAGCUUGAGGGAUUUUGAUUAUUUGUGAAUGCUAGGAGUUCACAUGUACAAGUUGUAUCCCUCGUCUUCUGGUAGGUGGAAUGAAUAGUGAGUUGCUUUCAUCACUUGGUUGGUGGUACAUAGGUGAGUUCCUUCAUCACCUUUCAUCACAUUUCAUCACCUGGUUGGUGGCUAAGUGUUCCUUCACUCGGGACUCUGUCGCAAAGUAAUCUUUUCUUUAAUACCCAAUCCCCCACUUUGAAAGAACGAGGUUUGACCCUUGAGUCAUAGUAGUUGGAGAUGCGCUGCUUGUAGGCGACAUUCCUCAAGUGAGCCUGGUUUUUAUGUUCCUCGACUAGAUCUAAGUUGAAGGUAAGUUGUUUGUCAUUUUUGCUUUACACGUAGUUUCAGAUAGGUUAGUGAUGUGUUGGUCAACAUGUUUUCUCUUAACUAGCAUAUCAUCAACGUAAACUUCCAUGCUUUUCCCAAUCUGUUCGGCGAACAUUGAAUUAACUAGUCUCUGAUAAGUCGCUCCUGCAUUCUUUAGGCCGAAGGGCAUGACUUUAUAGCAAUAUAGUCCCCUGUCAGUAGUGAAGGCUGUGUGUUCUUGGUCUGGAGGGUUCAUAAGGAUUUGGUUGUAUCCUGAGUAAGCAUCCAUGAAGCUCAAGAGUUCACACCCUGCCGUAGAGUUUAUAAGUUUGUCAAUGAGAGGAAGAGGAAAGCUAUCCUUCGGGCAUCCUUUGUUUAGGUCGGUGUAGUCGACACACAUUCUCCACAAGACCUUUUAGAGCAGAAGACUUUCUUUGGUCAGAUUUUUCUUAACAAAUACCACAUUUGCUACCCAUGUUGGGUAAUUGACUUCGCGGACAAAGCCUAUGCCUUUGAGUUUUUCAACUUCUGCCUUCAUUGCUUCAUAUCAUUCAGCGUCAUAAGAUGUUCGCUUCUAUCUCACCGGCUUGGUCUUGGGGUCAAUACUCAAGCGAUGACAUAUGAUAUCGGGAGAGAUGCCUGCCAUAUCCUUGUAUGACCAGGCGAAGACCUUAGUGUUCUCUUGCAAAAAAAGAGAUCAAUGCCAACCAAAUGGGUGGUGACAAGAUGGUGUCAAUCUUCACCAUACGAUCUGGAUAAUCUUUUGAGAUAGAAACCUUCUCAAACUCUUCAGCGGGUUAUGCUUGUUGGGUGAAAGAGUCGUCUCGAGGAUCGUCAGGUUAACUGUUGCCACCAUGGAGAUCCAAGUUGGCUUCGUCUAGGCUGGUCUUUAUGACUUGGUCAUGUAUAGAAAAGGGUUUCCUUGGGCACAUGCAAGUAUUGUUGCUUGGCCGAAGUGUUGUAGCAUGAUCGUGCACUAAGUUGAUCUCCUCUAAUGUAACCAUUGCCAUAGGGGGUUGGAAAUUUCAUCAACAACAUAUAUGUGGAUACCAUGGCCUUGAGAUCAUUGAUGCUUUUGCGUCUGAAGAUGACAUUGUAUGUCGUUGGGCAAUUAACCACCUAGAAGUUAGUGGUAAUGGUAGUUGUGUAAGGGCCUAUGCCAAUGGUGAAAGGUAAGUGUAUACUCCCUAAAGGUUGCACGAUAUCACCGGAGAAGUUUAUCAAAGGAGAAAUCGAGCGAUCGAGCAAGUUUCAGCUACAUUAAAUGCCCUGAAAGCUUCAGCAAACAUGAUAUUAAUCGAAGCCCCCGUGUCUACUAGGAUUCGUCGUACUUCAAAGUUAGCUAUGUGAGCUUCCACGAUUAGUGGGUCGUUAUGAGGGUAAAUGAUAUUUUUUUUCUUCCUUAGGGUAGAAACAUAUCGGAUCCCAAUUAGGCUUUUGAUAUUUGCCUCCCGUGAUGUCUUCCACGUGAAACACUUGGUGGCCAGGCCUUAAAGCUCGUUCGUUGUUUUUCAUAGCCCUGUUGGAAGAUUUAGAUAUGGGUGUGCCGCCACUUAUGGAAUAUAUCACAUUCACCUGGCGUUGGUUACUCCUUGGAGGGUGAAGGAGGAAUUGAUCAAUUUUUCCUUCAUGUGCCAAAGCUUCAAUAUGAUCACGAAGGGUGAUACACUUCUCGACGUCAUGGCUGUUAUGCUCGUGGUAGCAGCAAAACGUGCCCGUGUUCUUCGUGGGCUUGUAAUCCGGGUGCCUCGACUUUGGCUUCGAUAUCAAGUGUGCUAUGCUGGGGUAAAUGGCCACGCAUAUGGCGUUCAAAGGUAUGUAUGCCUUAUACCUCAAGGUAGGGCUUAUACUGACAUGUGCUUGACCCACUGUGUUGACUGCCUGGGGUCGGGGAUUAUCGUGGCGAUACCCUUGGUUCCCUUGGUUAUCGCGGUAGUGUCCCUUACUCCUUUUACUAAAAUGAGACUGGUAAGGAUGGAAAUCUUCCCUUUUGCCCUAAGAUUGAUAUGUCUGUUGACUUGGCAAACUAUUAAGUAAGGCAGGGGAAGACAUCGUUGCCGUUUGGAAGGUUGAAGUCUUCUCAUUUGGGUAGGUCGAGCUUCCACUUCCCAUUUGCUGAUAGGGGAUGGUUGUUGGGGGUUUCUCUUGGUGUGUCCUUGCCUCGGUGGAGGCAUAGUUAUAGGCCUGCGUCAUCACCUUAAAGUAAGUCUUCCAAGUGUUGGCAUUGAUCAUGUACUUAAAGAAACAGUCACGCAGGCCUGCCGUGAAGGCUUUGAAGGCAGUCUUGUCGUCUGCCUCGGCACAACGGGAAUACUCAUGGCUGAAGCGGCCAGCAUACAUACGUAAUGACUCGUCUGGCUUCUGGCGAAUAGUGUACAAGUCAUCCGCAGAGUGCAAGCGAUCGGUCUGGAAAAUGUGUUGAGAAACAAACUGUUUCCUCAAUUCCUCAAAUGAGUCUACUGUCUUAGGUGGAAGACGGUAAUACCAGUUUAAAGCUCCACCAAAGAGGGUGGAGGGGAAGAGAAGACAUCGCUUUUCGUUAGUGUGCAUCCGGUAUGCCAUGGUGGACUAAAAAAGGUUAAGGUGUUCAAUCGGGUCCUCCUUUCCAGUAUAGAGUUGCAAGCCAAGCUUCUGCUCUGUCUUUGCUUGGAGGGGGUGUUGAGGAUCCUACUUGUAAGAAGGCCAGGCCUAGGUUGGUUCCAAUCAGAUAUCUCAGCUUGUCGUUCGGCCUUCAACUUGUUUACUUCCUUAAGGAGCUAUAGGACAAUAGGGUCUUGAGUGGAGUCCUGUACCACUGGAGCUUUCUUUCGUAAAUCUCCAUCUCCUCUUGGAAGUAGGAAGGUUUGAUCAAGAGCAUGUGAUUUUUCCCUGGACUCGUCGUACUGACUUCCAAGGUAUGUCUGUCUGAACAUCUGAGUCCCUUAUACCCAGUAUGUUAUCUCUUUAGACAUUUAAGGCUGAGUAAUUCAUCAACCAUUGUAACUUAGUCAANGCUCUUCNNNNNNNNNNNNNNNNNNNNNNNNNNNNNNNNNNNNNNNNNNNNNNNNNNNNNNNNNNNNNNNNNNNNNNNNNNNNNNNNNNNNNNNNNNNNNNNNNNNNNNNNNNNNNNNNNNNNNNNNNNNNNNNNNNNNNNNNNNNNNNNNNNNNNNNNNNNNNNNNNNNNNNNNNNNNNNNNNNNNNNNNNNNNNNNNNNNNNNNNNNNNNNNNNNNNNNNNNNNNNNNNNNNNNNNNNNNNNNNNNNNNNNNNNNNNNNNNNNNNNNNNNNNNNNNNNNNNNNNNNNNNNNNNNNNNNNNNNNNNNNNNNNNNNNNNNNNNNNNNNNNNNNNNNNNNNNNNNNNNNNNNNNNNNNNNNNNNNNNNNNNNNNNNNNNNNNNNNNNNNNNNNNNNNNNNNNNNNNNNNNNNNNNNNNNNNNNNNNNNNNNNNNNNNNNNNNNNNNNNNNNNNNNNNNNNNNNNNNNNNNNNNNNNNNNNNNNNNNNNNNNNNNNNNNNNNNNNNNNNNNNNNNNNNNNNNNNNNNNNNNNNNNNNNNNNNNNNNNNNNNNNNNNNNNNNNNNNNNNNNNNNNNNNNNNNNNNNNNNNNNNNNNNNNNNNNNNNNNNNNNNNNNNNNNNNNNNNNNNNNNNNNNNNNNNNNNNNNNNNNNNNNNNNNNNNNNNNNNNNNNNNNNNNNNNNNNNNNNNNNNNNNNNNNNNNNNNNNNNNNNNNNNNNNNNNNNNNNNNNNNNNNNNNNNNNNNNNNNNNNNNNNNNNNNNNNNNNNNNNNNNNNNNNNNNNNNNNNNNNNNNNNNNNNNNNNNNNNNNNNNNNNNNNNNNNNNNNNNNNNNNNNNNNNNNNNNNNNNNNNNNNNNNNNNNNNNNNNNNNNNNNNNNNNNNNNNNNNNNNNNNNNNNNNNNNNNNNNNNNNNNNNNNNNNNNNNNNNNNNNNNNNNNNNNNNNNNNNNNNNNNNNNNNNNNNNNNNNNNNNNNNNNNNNNNNNNNNNNNNNNNNNNNNNNNNNNNNNNNNNNNNNNNNNNNNNNNNNNNNNNNNNNNNNNNNNNNNNNNNNNNNNNNNNNNNNNNNNNNNNNNNNNNNNNNNNNNNNNNNNNNNNNNNNNNNNNNNNNNNNNNNNNNNNNNNNNNNNNNNNNNNNNNNNNNNNNNNNNNNNNNNNNNNNNNNNNNNNNNNNNNNNNNNNNNNNNNNNNNNNNNNNNNNNNNNNNNNNNNNNNNNNNNNNNNNNNNNNNNNNNNNNNNNNNNNNNNNNNNNNNNNNNNNNNNNNNNNNNNNNNNNNNNNNNNNNNNNNNNNNNNNNNNNNNNNNNNNNNNNNNNNNNNNNNNNNNNNNNNNNNNNNNNNNNNNNNNNNNNNNNNNNNNNNNNNNNNNNNNNNNNNNNNNNNNNNNNNNNNNNNNNNNNNNNNNNNNNNNNNNNNNNNNNNNNNNNNNNNNNNNNNNNNNNNNNNNNNNNNNNNNNNNNNNNNNNNNNNNNNNNNNNNNNNNNNNNNNNNNNNNNNNNNNNNNNNNNNNNNNNNNNNNNNNNNNNNNNNNNNNNNNNNNNNNNNNNNNNNNNNNNNNNNNNNNNNNNNNNNNNNNNNNNNNNNNNNNNNNNNNNNNNNNNNNNNNNNNNNNNNNNNNNNNNNNNNNNNNNNNNNNNNNNNNNNNNNNNNNNNNNNNNNNNNNNNNNNNNNNNNNNNNNNNNNNNNNNNNNNNNNNNNNNNNNNNNNNNNNNNNNNNNNNNNNNNNNNNNNNNNNNNNNNNNNNNNNNNNNNNNNNNNNNNNNNNNNNNNNNNNNNNNNNNNNNNNNNNNNNNNNNNNNNNNNNNNNNNNNNNNNNNNNNNNNNNNNNNNNNNNNNNNNNNNNNNNNNNNNNNNNNNNNNNNNNNNNNNNNNNNNNNNNNNNNNNNNNNNNNNNNNNNNNNNNNNNNNNNNNNNNNNNNNNNNNNNNNNNNNNNNNNNNNNNNNNNNNNNNNNNNNNNNNNNNNNNNNNNNNNNNNNNNNNNNNNNNNNNNNNNNNNNNNNNNNNNNNNNNNNNNNNNNNNNNNNNNNNNNNNNNNNNNNNNNNNNNNNNNNNNNNNNNNNNNNNNNNNNNNNNNNNNNNNNNNNNNNNNNNNNNNNNNNNNNNNNNNNNNNNNNNNNNNNNNNNNNNNNNNNNNNNNNNNNNNNNNNNNNNNNNNNNNNNNNNNNNNNNNNNNNNNNNNNNNNNNNNNNNNNNNNNNNNNNNNNNNNNNNNNNNNNNNNNNNNNNNNNNNNNNNNNNNNNNNNNNNNNNNNNNNNNNNNNNNNNNNNNNNNNNNNNNNNNNNNNNNNNNNNNNNNNNNNNNNNNNNNNNNNNNNNNNNNNNNNNNNNNNNNNNNNNNNNNNNNNNNNNNNNNNNNNNNNNNNNNNNNNNNNNNNNNNNNNNNNNNNNNNNNNNNNNNNNNNNNNNNNNNNNNNNNNNNNNNNNNNNNNNNNNNNNNNNNNNNNNNNNNNNNNNNNNNNNNNNNNNNNNNNNNNNNNNNNNNNNNNNNNNNNNNNNNNNNNNNNNNNNNNNNNNNNNNNNNNNNNNNNNNNNNNNNNNNNNNNNNNNNNNNNNNNNNNNNNNNNNNNNNNNNNNNNNNNNNNNNNNNNNNNNNNNNNNNNNNNNNNNNNNNNNNNNNNNNNNNNNNNNNNNNNNNNNNNNNNNNNNNNNNNNNNNNNNNNNNNNNNNNNNNNNNNNNNNNNNNNNNNNNNNNNNNNNNNNNNNNNNNNNNNNNNNNNNNNNNNNNNNNNNNNNNNNNNNNNNNNNNNNNNNNNNNNNNNNNNNNNNNNNNNNNNNNNNNNNNNNNNNNNNNNNNNNNNNNNNNNNNNNNNNNNNNNNNNNNNNNNNNNNNNNNNNNNNNNNNNNNNNNNNNNNNNNNNNNNNNNNNNNNNNNNNNNNNNNNNNNNNNNNNNNNNNNNNNNNNNNNNNNNNNNNNNNNNNNNNNNNNNNNNNNNNNNNNNNNNNNNNNNNNNNNNNNNNNNNNNNNNNNNNNNNNNNNNNNNNNNNNNNNNNNNNNNNNNNNNNNNNNNNNNNNNNNNNNNNNNNNNNNNNNNNNNNNNNNNNNNNNNNNNNNNNNNNNNNNNNNNNNNNNNNNNNNNNNNNNNNNNNNNNNNNNNNNNNNNNNNNNNNNNNNNNNNNNNNNNNNNNNNNNNNNNNNNNNNNNNNNNNNNNNNNNNNNNNNNNNNNNNNNNNNNNNNNNNNNNNNNNNNNNNNNNNNNNNNNNNNNNNNNNNNNNNNNNNNNNNNNNNNNNNNNNNNNNNNNNNNNNNNNNNNNNNNNNNNNNNNNNNNNNNNNNNNNNNNNNNNNNNNNNNNNNNNNNNNNNNNNNNNNNNNNNNNNNNNNNNNNNNNNNNNNNNNNNNNNNNNNNNNNNNNNNNNNNNNNNNNNNNNNNNNNNNNNNNNNNNNNNNNNNNNNNNNNNNNNNNNNNNNNNNNNNNNNNNNNNNNNNNNNNNNNNNNNNNNNNNNNNNNNNNNNNNNNNNNNNNNNNNNNNNNNNNNNNNNNNNNNNNNNNNNNNNNNNNNNNNNNNNNNNNNNNNNNNNNNNNNNNNNNNNNNNNNNNNNNNNNNNNNNNNNNNNNNNNNNNNNNNNNNNNNNNNNNNNNNNNNNNNNNNNNNNNNNNNNNNNNNNNNNNNNNNNNNNNNNNNNNNNNNNNNNNNNNNNNNNNNNNNNNNNNNNNNNNNNNNNNNNNNNNNNNNNNNNNNNNNNNNNNNNNNNNNNNNNNNNNNNNNNNNNNNNNNNNNNNNNNNNNNNNNNNNNNNNNNNNNNNNNNNNNNNNNNNNNNNNNNNNNNNNNNNNNNNNNNNNNNNNNNNNNNNNNNNNNNNNNNNNNNNNNNNNNNNNNNNNNNNNNNNNNNNNNNNNNNNNNNNNNNNNNNNNNNNNNNNNNNNNNNNNNNNNNNNNNNNNNNNNNNNNNNNNNNNNNNNNNNNNNNNNNNNNNNNNNNNNNNNNNNNNNNNNNNNNNNNNNNNNNNNNNNNNNNNNNNNNNNNNNNNNNNNNNNNNNNNNNNNNNNNNNNNNNNNNNNNNNNNNNNNNNNNNNNNNNNNNNNNNNNNNNNNNNNNNNNNNNNNNNNNNNNNNNNNNNNNNNNNNNNNNNNNNNNNNNNNNNNNNNNNNNNNNNNNNNNNNNNNNNNNNNNNNNNNNNNNNNNNNNNNNNNNNNNNNNNNNNNNNNNNNNNNNNNNNNNNNNNNNNNNNNNNNNNNNNNNNNNNNNNNNNNNNNNNNNNNNNNNNNNNNNNNNNNNNNNNNNNNNNNNNNNNNNNNNNNNNNNNNNNNNNNNNNNNNNNNNNNNNNNNNNNNNNNNNNNNNNNNNNNNNNNNNNNNNNNNNNNNNNNNNNNNNNNNNNNNNNNNNNNNNNNNNNNNNNNNNNNNNNNNNNNNNNNNNNNNNNNNNNNNNNNNNNNNNNNNNNNNNNNNNNNNNNNNNNNNNNNNNNNNNNNNNNNNNNNNNNNNNNNNNNNNNNNNNNNNNNNNNNNNNNNNNNNNNNNNNNNNNNNNNNNNNNNNNNNNNNNNNNNNNNNNNNNNNNNNNNNNNNNNNNNNNNNNNNNNNNNNNNNNNNNNNNNNNNNNNNNNNNNNNNNNNNNNNNNNNNNNNNNNNNNNNNNNNNNNNNNNNNNNNNNNNNNNNNNNNNNNNNNNNNNNNNNNNNNNNNNNNNNNNNNNNNNNNNNNNNNNNNNNNNNNNNNNNNNNNNNNNNNNNNNNNNNNNNNNNNNNNNNNNNNNNNNNNNNNNNNNNNNNNNNNNNNNNNNNNNNNNNNNNNNNNNNNNNNNNNNNNNNNNNNNNNNNNNNNNNNNNNNNNNNNNNNNNNNNNNNNNNNNNNNNNNNNNNNNNNNNNNNNNNNNNNNNNNNNNNNNNNNNNNNNNNNNNNNNNNNNNNNNNNNNNNNNNNNNNNNNNNNNNNNNNNNNNNNNNNNNNNNNNNNNNNNNNNNNNNNNNNNNNNNNNNNNNNNNNNNNNNNNNNNNNNNNNNNNNNNNNNNNNNNNNNNNNNNNNNNNNNNNNNNNNNNNNNNNNNNNNNNNNNNNNNNNNNNNNNNNNNNNNNNNNNNNNNNNNNNNNNNNNNNNNNNNNNNNNNNNNNNNNNNNNNNNNNNNNNNNNNNNNNNNNNNNNNNNNNNNNNNNNNNNNNNNNNNNNNNNNNNNNNNNNNNNNNNNNNNNNNNNNNNNNNNNNNNNNNNNNNNNNNNNNNNNNNNNNNNNNNNNNNNNNNNNNNNNNNNNNNNNNNNNNNNNNNNNNNNNNNNNNNNNNNNNNNNNNNNNNNNNNNNNNNNNNNNNNNNNNNNNNNNNNNNNNNNNNNNNNNNNNNNNNNNNNNNNNNNNNNNNNNNNNNNNNNNNNNNNNNNNNNNNNNNNNNNNNNNNNNNNNNNNNNNNNNNNNNNNNNNNNNNNNNNNNNNNNNNNNNNNNNNNNNNNNNNNNNNNNNNNNNNNNNNNNNNNNNNNNNNNNNNNNNNNNNNNNNNNNNNNNNNNNNNNNNNNNNNNNNNNNNNNNNNNNNNNNNNNNNNNNNNNNNNNNNNNNNNNNNNNNNNNNNNNNNNNNNNNNNNNNNNNNNNNNNNNNNNNNNNNNNNNNNNNNNNNNNNNNNNNNNNNNNNNNNNNNNNNNNNNNNNNNNNNNNNNNNNNNNNNNNNNNNNNNNNNNNNNNNNNNNNNNNNNNNNNNNNNNNNNNNNNNNNNNNNNNNNNNNNNNNNNNNNNNNNNNNNNNNNNNNNNNNNNNNNNNNNNNNNNNNNNNNNNNNNNNNNNNNNNNNNNNNNNNNNNNNNNNNNNNNNNNNNNNNNNNNNNNNNNNNNNNNNNNNNNNNNNNNNNNNNNNNNNNNNNNNNNNNNNNNNNNNNNNNNNNNNNNNNNNNNNNNNNNNNNNNNNNNNNNNNNNNNNNNNNNNNNNNNNNNNNNNNNNNNNNNNNNNNNNNNNNNNNNNNNNNNNNNNNNNNNNNNNNNNNNNNNNNNNNNNNNNNNNNNNNNNNNNNNNNNNNNNNNNNNNNNNNNNNNNNNNNNNNNNNNNNNNNNNNNNNNNNNNNNNNNNNNNNNNNNNNNNNNNNNNNNNNNNNNNNNNNNNNNNNNNNNNNNNNNNNNNNNNNNNNNNNNNNNNNNNNNNNNNNNNNNNNNNNNNNNNNNNNNNNNNNNNNNNNNNNNNNNNNNNNNNNNNNNNNNNNNNNNNNNNNNNNNNNNNNNNNNNNNNNNNNNNNNNNNNNNNNNNNNNNNNNNNNNNNNNNNNNNNNNNNNNNNNNNNNNNNNNNNNNNNNNNNNNNNNNNNNNNNNNNNNNNNNNNNNNNNNNNNNNNNNNNNNNNNNNNNNNNNNNNNNNNNNNNNNNNNNNNNNNNNNNNNNNNNNNNNNNNNNNNNNNNNNNNNNNNNNNNNNNNNNNNNNNNNNNNNNNNNNNNNNNNNNNNNNNNNNNNNNNNNNNNNNNNNNNNNNNNNNNNNNNNNNNNNNNNNNNNNNNNNNNNNNNNNNNNNNNNNNNNNNNNNNNNNNNNNNNNNNNNNNNNNNNNNNNNNNNNNNNNNNNNNNNNNNNNNNNNNNNNNNNNNNNNNNNNNNNNNNNNNNNNNNNNNNNNNNNNNNNNNNNNNNNNNNNNNNNNNNNNNNNNNNNNNNNNNNNNNNNNNNNNNNNNNNNNNNNNNNNNNNNNNNNNNNNNNNNNNNNNNNNNNNNNNNNNNNNNNNNNNNNNNNNNNNNNNNNNNNNNNNNNNNNNNNNNNNNNNNNNNNNNNNNNNNNNNNNNNNNNNNNNNNNNNNNNNNNNNNNNNNNNNNNNNNNNNNNNNNNNNNNNNNNNNNNNNNNNNNNNNNNNNNNNNNNNNNNNNNNNNNNNNNNNNNNNNNNNNNNNNNNNNNNNNNNNNNNNNNNNNNNNNNNNNNNNNNNNNNNNNNNNNNNNNNNNNNNNNNNNNNNNNNNNNNNNNNNNNNNNNNNNNNNNNNNNNNNNNNNNNNNNNNNNNNNNNNNNNNNNNNNNNNNNNNNNNNNNNNNNNNNNNNNNNNNNNNNNNNNNNNNNNNNNNNNNNNNNNNNNNNNNNNNNNNNNNNNNNNNNNNNNNNNNNNNNNNNNNNNNNNNNNNNNNNNNNNNNNNNNNNNNNNNNNNNNNNNNNNNNNNNNNNNNNNNNNNNNNNNNNNNNNNNNNNNNNNNNNNNNNNNNNNNNNNNNNNNNNNNNNNNNNNNNNNNNNNNNNNNNNNNNNNNNNNNNNNNNNNNNNNNNNNNNNNNNNNNNNNNNNNNNNNNNNNNNNNNNNNNNNNNNNNNNNNNNNNNNNNNNNNNNNNNNNNNNNNNNNNNNNNNNNNNNNNNNNNNNNNNNNNNNNNNNNNNNNNNNNNNNNNNNNNNNNNNNNNNNNNNNNNNNNNNNNNNNNNNNNNNNNNNNNNNNNNNNNNNNNNNNNNNNNNNNNNNNNNNNNNNNNNNNNNNNNNNNNNNNNNNNNNNNNNNNNNNNNNNNNNNNNNNNNNNNNNNNNNNNNNNNNNNNNNNNNNNNNNNNNNNNNNNNNNNNNNNNNNNNNNNNNNNNNNNNNNNNNNNNNNNNNNNNNNNNNNNNNNNNNNNNNNNNNNNNNNNNNNNNNNNNNNNNNNNNNNNNNNNNNNNNNNNNNNNNNNNNNNNNNNNNNNNNNNNNNNNNNNNNNNNNNNNNNNNNNNNNNNNNNNNNNNNNNNNNNNNNNNNNNNNNNNNNNNNNNNNNNNNNNNNNNNNNNNNNNNNNNNNNNNNNNNNNNNNNNNNNNNNNNNNNNNNNNNNNNNNNNNNNNNNNNNNNNNNNNNNNNNNNNNNNNNNNNNNNNNNNNNNNNNNNNNNNNNNNNNNNNNNNNNNNNNNNNNNNNNNNNNNNNNNNNNNNNNNNNNNNNNNNNNNNNNNNNNNNNNNNNNNNNNNNNNNNNNNNNNNNNNNNNNNNNNNNNNNNNNNNNNNNNNNNNNNNNNNNNNNNNNNNNNNNNNNNNNNNNNNNNNNNNNNNNNNNNNNNNNNNNNNNNNNNNNNNNNNNNNNNNNNNNNNNNNNNNNNNNNNNNNNNNNNNNNNNNNNNNNNNNNNNNNNNNNNNNNNNNNNNNNNNNNNNNNNNNNNNNNNNNNNNNNNNNNNNNNNNNNNNNNNNNNNNNNNNNNNNNNNNNNNNNNNNNNNNNNNNNNNNNNNNNNNNNNNNNNNNNNNNNNNNNNNNNNNNNNNNNNNNNNNNNNNNNNNNNNNNNNNNNNNNNNNNNNNNNNNNNNNNNNNNNNNNNNNNNNNNNNNNNNNNNNNNNNNNNNNNNNNNNNNNNNNNNNNNNNNNNNNNNNNNNNNNNNNNNNNNNNNNNNNNNNNNNNNNNNNNNNNNNNNNNNNNNNNNNNNNNNNNNNNNNNNNNNNNNNNNNNNNNNNNNNNNNNNNNNNNNNNNNNNNNNNNNNNNNNNNNNNNNNNNNNNNNNNNNNNNNNNNNNNNNNNNGCUCUUCNNNNNNNNNNNNNNNNNNNNNNNNNNNNNNNNNNNNNNNNNNNNNNNNNNNNNNNNNNNNNNNNNNNNNNNNNNNNNNNNNNNNNNNNNNNNNNNNNNNNNNNNNNNNNNNNNNNNNNNNNNNNNNNNNNNNNNNNNNNNNNNNNNNNNNNNNNNNNNNNNNNNNNNNNNNNNNNNNNNNNNNNNNNNNNNNNNNNNNNNNNNNNNNNNNNNNNNNNNNNNNNNNNNNNNNNNNNNNNNNNNNNNNNNNNNNNNNNNNNNNNNNNNNNNNNNNNNNNNNNNNNNNNNNNNNNNNNNNNNNNNNNNNNNNNNNNNNNNNNNNNNNNNNNNNNNNNNNNNNNNNNNNNNNNNNNNNNNNNNNNNNNNNNNNNNNNNNNNNNNNNNNNNNNNNNNNNNNNNNNNNNNNNNNNNNNNNNNNNNNNNNNNNNNNNNNNNNNNNNNNNNNNNNNNNNNNNNNNNNNNNNNNNNNNNNNNNNNNNNNNNNNNNNNNNNNNNNNNNNNNNNNNNNNNNNNNNNNNNNNNNNNNNNNNNNNNNNNNNNNNNNNNNNNNNNNNNNNNNNNNNNNNNNNNNNNNNNNNNNNNNNNNNNNNNNNNNNNNNNNNNNNNNNNNNNNNNNNNNNNNNNNNNNNNNNNNNNNNNNNNNNNNNNNNNNNNNNNNNNNNNNNNNNNNNNNNNNNNNNNNNNNNNNNNNNNNNNNNNNNNNNNNNNNNNNNNNNNNNNNNNNNNNNNNNNNNNNNNNNNNNNNNNNNNNNNNNNNNNNNNNNNNNNNNNNNNNNNNNNNNNNNNNNNNNNNNNNNNNNNNNNNNNNNNNNNNNNNNNNNNNNNNNNNNNNNNNNNNNNNNNNNNNNNNNNNNNNNNNNNNNNNNNNNNNNNNNNNNNNNNNNNNNNNNNNNNNNNNNNNNNNNNNNNNNNNNNNNNNNNNNNNNNNNNNNNNNNNNNNNNNNNNNNNNNNNNNNNNNNNNNNNNNNNNNNNNNNNNNNNNNNNNNNNNNNNNNNNNNNNNNNNNNNNNNNNNNNNNNNNNNNNNNNNNNNNNNNNNNNNNNNNNNNNNNNNNNNNNNNNNNNNNNNNNNNNNNNNNNNNNNNNNNNNNNNNNNNNNNNNNNNNNNNNNNNNNNNNNNNNNNNNNNNNNNNNNNNNNNNNNNNNNNNNNNNNNNNNNNNNNNNNNNNNNNNNNNNNNNNNNNNNNNNNNNNNNNNNNNNNNNNNNNNNNNNNNNNNNNNNNNNNNNNNNNNNNNNNNNNNNNNNNNNNNNNNNNNNNNNNNNNNNNNNNNNNNNNNNNNNNNNNNNNNNNNNNNNNNNNNNNNNNNNNNNNNNNNNNNNNNNNNNNNNNNNNNNNNNNNNNNNNNNNNNNNNNNNNNNNNNNNNNNNNNNNNNNNNNNNNNNNNNNNNNNNNNNNNNNNNNNNNNNNNNNNNNNNNNNNNNNNNNNNNNNNNNNNNNNNNNNNNNNNNNNNNNNNNNNNNNNNNNNNNNNNNNNNNNNNNNNNNNNNNNNNNNNNNNNNNNNNNNNNNNNNNNNNNNNNNNNNNNNNNNNNNNNNNNNNNNNNNNNNNNNNNNNNNNNNNNNNNNNNNNNNNNNNNNNNNNNNNNNNNNNNNNNNNNNNNNNNNNNNNNNNNNNNNNNNNNNNNNNNNNNNNNNNNNNNNNNNNNNNNNNNNNNNNNNNNNNNNNNNNNNNNNNNNNNNNNNNNNNNNNNNNNNNNNNNNNNNNNNNNNNNNNNNNNNNNNNNNNNNNNNNNNNNNNNNNNNNNNNNNNNNNNNNNNNNNNNNNNNNNNNNNNNNNNNNNNNNNNNNNNNNNNNNNNNNNNNNNNNNNNNNNNNNNNNNNNNNNNNNNNNNNNNNNNNNNNNNNNNNNNNNNNNNNNNNNNNNNNNNNNNNNNNNNNNNNNNNNNNNNNNNNNNNNNNNNNNNNNNNNNNNNNNNNNNNNNNNNNNNNNNNNNNNNNNNNNNNNNNNNNNNNNNNNNNNNNNNNNNNNNNNNNNNNNNNNNNNNNNNNNNNNNNNNNNNNNNNNNNNNNNNNNNNNNNNNNNNNNNNNNNNNNNNNNNNNNNNNNNNNNNNNNNNNNNNNNNNNNNNNNNNNNNNNNNNNNNNNNNNNNNNNNNNNNNNNNNNNNNNNNNNNNNGCUCUUCNNNNNNNNNNNNNNNNNNNNNNNNNNNNNNNNNNNNNNNNNNNNNNNNNNNNNNNNNNNNNNNNNNNNNNNNNNNNNNNNNNNNNNNNNNNNNNNNNNNNNNNNNNNNNNNNNNNNNNNNNNNNNNNNNNNNNNNNNNNNNNNNNNNNNNNNNNNNNNNNNNNNNNNNNNNNNNNNNNNNNNNNNNNNNNNNNNNNNNNNNNNNNNNNNNNNNNNNNNNNNNNNNNNNNNNNNNNNNNNNNNNNNNNNNNNNNNNNNNNNNNNNNNNNNNNNNNNNNNNNNNNNNNNNNNNNNNNNNNNNNNNNNNNNNNNNNNNNNNNNNNNNNNNNNNNNNNNNNNNNNNNNNNNNNNNNNNNNNNNNNNNNNNNNNNNNNNNNNNNNNNNNNNNNNNNNNNNNNNNNNNNNNNNNNNNNNNNNNNNNNNNNNNNNNNNNNNNNNNNNNNNNNNNNNNNNNNNNNNNNNNNNNNNNNNNNNNNNNNNNNNNNNNNNNNNNNNNNNNNNNNNNNNNNNNNNNNNNNNNNNNNNNNNNNNNNNNNNNNNNNNNNNNNNNNNNNNNNNNNNNNNNNNNNNNNNNNNNNNNNNNNNNNNNNNNNNNNNNNNNNNNNNNNNNNNNNNNNNNNNNNNNNNNNNNNNNNNNNNNNNNNNNNNNNNNNNNNNNNNNNNNNNNNNNNNNNNNNNNNNNNNNNNNNNNNNNNNNNNNNNNNNNNNNNNNNNNNNNNNNNNNNNNNNNNNNNNNNNNNNNNNNNNNNNNNNNNNNNNNNNNNNNNNNNNNNNNNNNNNNNNNNNNNNNNNNNNNNNNNNNNNNNNNNNNNNNNNNNNNNNNNNNNNNNNNNNNNNNNNNNNNNNNNNNNNNNNNNNNNNNNNNNNNNNNNNNNNNNNNNNNNNNNNNNNNNNNNNNNNNNNNNNNNNNNNNNNNNNNNNNNNNNNNNNNNNNNNNNNNNNNNNNNNNNNNNNNNNNNNNNNNNNNNNNNNNNNNNNNNNNNNNNNNNNNNNNNNNNNNNNNNNNNNNNNNNNNNNNNNNNNNNNNNNNNNNNNNNNNNNNNNNNNNNNNNNNNNNNNNNNNNNNNNNNNNNNNNNNNNNNNNNNNNNNNNNNNNNNNNNNNNNNNNNNNNNNNNNNNNNNNNNNNNNNNNNNNNNNNNNNNNNNNNNNNNNNNNNNNNNNNNNNNNNNNNNNNNNNNNNNNNNNNNNNNNNNNNNNNNNNNNNNNNNNNNNNNNNNNNNNNNNNNNNNNNNNNNNNNNNNNNNNNNNNNNNNNNNNNNNNNNNNNNNNNNNNNNNNNNNNNNNNNNNNNNNNNNNNNNNNNNNNNNNNNNNNNNNNNNNNNNNNNNNNNNNNNNNNNNNNNNNNNNNNNNNNNNNNNNNNNNNNNNNNNNNNNNNNNNNNNNNNNNNNNNNNNNNNNNNNNNNNNNNNNNNNNNNNNNNNNNNNNNNNNNNNNNNNNNNNNNNNNNNNNNNNNNNNNNNNNNNNNNNNNNNNNNNNNNNNNNNNNNNNNNNNNNNNNNNNNNNNNNNNNNNNNNNNNNNNNNNNNNNNNNNNNNNNNNNNNNNNNNNNNNNNNNNNNNNNNNNNNNNNNNNNNNNNNNNNNNNNNNNNNNNNNNNNNNNNNNNNNNNNNNNNNNNNNNNNNNNNNNNNNNNNNNNNNNNNNNNNNNNNNNNNNNNNNNNNNNNNNNNNNNNNNNNNNNNNNNNNNNNNNNNNNNNNNNNNNNNNNNNNNNNNNNNNNNNNNNNNNNNNNNNNNNNNNNNNNNNNNNNNNNNNNNNNNNNNNNNNNNNNNNNNNNNNNNNNNNNNNNNNNNNNNNNNNNNNNNNNNNNNNNNNNNNNNNNNNNNNNNNNNNNNNNNNNNNNNNNNNNNNNNNNNNNNNNNNNNNNNNNNNNNNNNNNNNNNNNNNNNNNNNNNNNNNNNNNNNNNNNNNNNNNNNNNNNNNNNNNNNNNNNNNNNNNNNNNNNNNNNNNNNNNNNNNNNNNNNNNNNNNNNNNNNNNNNNNNNNNNNNNNNNNNNNNNNNNNNNNNNNNNNNNNNNNNNNNNNNNNNNNNNNNNNNNNNNNNNNNNNNNNNNNNNNNNNNNNNNNNNNNNNNNNNNNNNNNNNNNNNNNNNNNNNNNNNNNNNNNNNNNNNNNNNNNNNNNNNNNNNNNNNNNNNNNNNNNNNNNNNNNNNNNNNNNNNNNNNNNNNNNNNNNNNNNNNNNNNNNNNNNNNNNNNNNNNNNNNNNNNNNNNNNNNNNNNNNNNNNNNNNNNNNNNNNNNNNNNNNNNNNNNNNNNNNNNNNNNNNNNNNNNNNNNNNNNNNNNNNNNNNNNNNNNNNNNNNNNNNNNNNNNNNNNNNNNNNNNNNNNNNNNNNNNNNNNNNNNNNNNNNNNNNNNNNNNNNNNNNNNNNNNNNNNNNNNNNNNNNNNNNNNNNNNNNNNNNNNNNNNNNNNNNNNNNNNNNNNNNNNNNNNNNNNNNNNNNNNNNNNNNNNNNNNNNNNNNNNNNNNNNNNNNNNNNNNNNNNNNNNNNNNNNNNNNNNNNNNNNNNNNNNNNNNNNNNNNNNNNNNNNNNNNNNNNNNNNNNNNNNNNNNNNNNNNNNNNNNNNNNNNNNNNNNNNNNNNNNNNNNNNNNNNNNNNNNNNNNNNNNNNNNNNNNNNNNNNNNNNNNNNNNNNNNNNNNNNNNNNNNNNNNNNNNNNNNNNNNNNNNNNNNNNNNNNNNNNNNNNNNNNNNNNNNNNNNNNNNNNNNNNNNNNNNNNNNNNNNNNNNNNNNNNNNNNNNNNNNNNNNNNNNNNNNNNNNNNNNNNNNNNNNNNNNNNNNNNNNNNNNNNNNNNNNNNNNNNNNNNNNNNNNNNNNNNNNNNNNNNNNNNNNNNNNNNNNNNNNNNNNNNNNNNNNNNNNNNNNNNNNNNNNNNNNNNNNNNNNNNNNNNNNNNNNNNNNNNNNNNNNNNNNNNNNNNNNNNNNNNNNNNNNNNNNNNNNNNNNNNNNNNNNNNNNNNNNNNNNNNNNNNNNNNNNNNNNNNNNNNNNNNNNNNNNNNNNNNNNNNNNNNNNNNNNNNNNNNNNNNNNNNNNNNNNNNNNNNNNNNNNNNNNNNNNNNNNNNNNNNNNNNNNNNNNNNNNNNNNNNNNNNNNNNNNNNNNNNNNNNNNNNNNNNNNNNNNNNNNNNNNNNNNNNNNNNNNNNNNNNNNNNNNNNNNNNNNNNNNNNNNNNNNNNNNNNNNNNNNNNNNNNNNNNNNNNNNNNNNNNNNNNNNNNNNNNNNNNNNNNNNNNNNNNNNNNNNNNNNNNNNNNNNNNNNNNNNNNNNNNNNNNNNNNNNNNNNNNNNNNNNNNNNNNNNNNNNNNNNNNNNNNNNNNNNNNNNNNNNNNNNNNNNNNNNNNNNNNNNNNNNNNNNNNNNNNNNNNNNNNNNNNNNNNNNNNNNNNNNNNNNNNNNNNNNNNNNNNNNNNNNNNNNNNNNNNNNNNNNNNNNNNNNNNNNNNNNNNNNNNNNNNNNNNNNNNNNNNNNNNNNNNNNNNNNNNNNNNNNNNNNNNNNNNNNNNNNNNNNNNNNNNNNNNNNNNNNNNNNNNNNNNNNNNNNNNNNNNNNNNNNNNNNNNNNNNNNNNNNNNNNNNNNNNNNNNNNNNNNNNNNNNNNNNNNNNNNNNNNNNNNNNNNNNNNNNNNNNNNNNNNNNNNNNNNNNNNNNNNNNNNNNNNNNNNNNNNNNNNNNNNNNNNNNNNNNNNNNNNNNNNNNNNNNNNNNNNNNNNNNNNNNNNNNNNNNNNNNNNNNNNNNNNNNNNNNNNNNNNNNNNNNNNNNNNNNNNNNNNNNNNNNNNNNNNNNNNNNNNNNNNNNNNNNNNNNNNNNNNNNNNNNNNNNNNNNNNNNNNNNNNNNNNNNNNNNNNNNNNNNNNNNNNNNNNNNNNNNNNNNNNNNNNNNNNNNNNNNNNNNNNNNNNNNNNNNNNNNNNNNNNNNNNNNNNNNNNNNNNNNNNNNNNNNNNNNNNNNNNNNGUAAAAACGCGUACCCUCAAUUUGGAUGGAACAAUUUCGCUUAAACCUAAUGGGAUGCAAGGAUAAAAGUUCAAACCUAAACCCCAAUUCCAUAAACUUUUUCUUUCCUGGAGUUAGGUUUCUUGACCAGUCAACUAGCCGGAAAAAGUUCGACCGACCUUCUGCGAACUUACCUAGUAAACGUCCACCUCAACUAGCUGGAAAGUUCGAGCGACCUUCUGCGAGCUUCCAUAGUAAAUGUCCACCGACCUCAGCUAGGUUAAUUGUAAUAAACUACAUAUAAAAAAGAUGCCCGCAUGCUAAAGAGAACCUGUGAAAAGAGACAAGUAACACAACGUAAUUUCUUCUCUAUCGAAGAAGAAGCAGGAACAUACAUUAUUCAUCAAGAAUUAAGCAAUCAUGGUCAAUGCAGUGGAGACUCUGGUCGGGAGUGUUUCAGGAGCGUUUGGACCGAUAAUUGAUGGCAUUACGAAGACGAUACUGAAUGCUGCCGAGUUUGCGACCUCCCACACAAACGUCAAGUCCACGCUAGAGGCUUUGCAGUCAUUGCCGCAACAAAAGGCAGUGCAGAACACCACGUUGCUUGUCCCGGAUGAGGAACUAAAACAUCUUAAAGAAAAAAUGGAGGCGGGCUUAAACAGUGUUCAAGAGUUAUCGGAGGAGAGUGUGUGGAACUACUGCAUGAGGCCUUUUUACACCAUGGAGCUUAUAGUCUCUUAAAAGGCUGCUAGAGUUACUCCAGAUGCAGAGAAUACUGGAUGUCAAGGAAAUCUUGGUUUAAGUCAAUGAUUGCAAAACCGAUAUCAAAGAGAUCUCGAUUCAACUCGAUGAUUGCAAAACCGGUAUUGUCACGGGGAUCUCGGCUUGGACAGACAAAACCACCGACCACUUGUUCAAGUGGCAAGCAAUGGGAAGGAGACCUUGGAUUUGGCAAAGAAGAUUCGACCGAUUUGAACGACUGGUCCUAGUGGUUUUGCACCAAUCAGUGAGAAAGGUAAUCCUUGUGAUAAAUUUUGUUUUUUUUGGCUAACUUGUGAUAAAUUAUUUAAGUAAAACUAUACAUUAUUUUGAUAUUCUGAAAAAUUCACACAUUCUAAACUUUCUAUAUUUAAAAAGAUAAAUAAACUUAGGAGGCUACACAAUAAGUUUUUUGAAAUGUCAAUAAUAGGCAAUAGCACUUUUCUUAGGAAACCUCAAUUAUUGAAAAGACUGAAAUUUAAUUAAAAUCUAGUGUUAAAUUACAUAUUGAUUCUAGAACUUUGAUGUGUACUUUAUUUCAAAUUCAGAUUCAGUUUUUGUUUAAAAUUUAAUGUGUAUAAUACUCAGCCACUUAGUAUUACGGUCUAGUAGUAAUCUUCUUCAUUUGUAAGUGAGAGAUCUUAAGUUCGAUUCUCGCCAACCACAUUAUUAUACAUGGCAAUGCUCCCCACCACCCUUUGGAUAGAUACUAUCGUUUGUUCAACAAUAAAAAUGUGUAUAACACUCAAUGUCCCUCAUAAAUUCUUUUUUGUUUUAAAAUUAAUGUGUAUAAUAUUUAAUGUCUCUUAAUAAGUAUUUGAAUUGUAUGGUGGGAUCGGAUGUGGGGAGCCGCUGGCAAAACCGUAUAUUGGAUAUGGGGUUUGAGGAACUAAGGAGGUUAAGGAUAGAAGUGGAGGAGGGUACAGAGGUCGUUCACAAGUGCUCCAAUGUUGUUUUGUGGACCGACUACAAAGAGGUUAGAUACGCCAACAAACUUGAUGAUUUGGAGAAAUCUCUUGAGGCACUCGGACUCCGUUUGAACACGAAAGGGAUUUGAAUCCCAUGCAUAGCUCAAUCGAUUACAGCUGUGUUGGAAAUUUAUAUCAUAAUAUUUAUAGAUUUUUUAAUCUUUAAUUUCAAAUAUUUGAAUGAAAAAUUGUUGUAACCGUAAAUUGGUUGAUUGAAUAGGUUAUGCAACUUUUCUAAUGGAAUAGAAUUAAAGGGAUCAAUGCAUUCCUUGGUAAACGGUAUGAUCUAAUGGAUGAAUGUGUUUGGAUCAAAACUUGAACUUUGGGCUCAAGAAAGGAGCUGGCCCAAAGGGAUGCCUAGGGAAGAGCCCGGCCUAAGCCCAGCCGAAGCCCAGAAAGCAGGAAAGGGCCUUUUCUGACUUGGUGCAGCUCAUGAAGACCACUUGCUUACCUACCCAAAGGCCAAGUGGUAUAGACUGACCAGCUACACAACUCAUAAAGUACUUUAUGGUGGCAGUACAUGUAAAAUAGUUGAUGAGUCAUCACCCUUCAACCGCAUUCCGGUAAGGUUGCUGCUACAGGAGACCAAGCCGAGUUGUCUAUAUAAGAAGAAAGAGAAACCAGGAAUAAGGACACUCAAUCAAACAAACAAAUGCAAGCACAAACUCUGCUCAAAGCCAGAUUUGCCUUCAAAACGAAGCUGUAGUCAGCCCAAGCCUUCAUCCCUCUCGAGACAAGCCUUCAUCCCUCUCAGGAUAAACCUUCACUCAAACCCUUGUAAUAGCUCUGCUACCUUGUUCAACCUUGUUGUAGUAUCGAUUCAUCUUUUGUAAUAUCUCUCUCUAAAGCUUUCAGACCCUUGAUAAACUACAAAGAUAGGAACCUGCAAGACGACCAGGCUUGCCCGACAAGGUUAAACCUUGCCCGACCUUCUUUGUUUUUGUCUUUUCAUUCAUUAGCCUAGCAAUAUGUUGUAUACUUCCAGUUAUAUUCAAGUUAUUUCUAGCAAGAUGACUAUUAAAAGGCUUUCUCAGUACUCGGAUCCGAUUUGAAUAUAUCUUCAGUAUUCAAACCAGAUCCAAGUCCUAAGCCAUCGGGCAUGUAAAUCUAAUUAGUUAAAAAUCCUUGGCCUCAAGGCAUAAAAAAGAACCUUAUGUGGACUUAACCCAUCCACGACAAUCCUUGAUAAACGAGAAGUCCGAAGUUACUUGGGGCGCAAGUAAUCGACCUACCUCUUAGUCUUAUUUCUAUUACAUUAUGAUUAUCAUAGAACGCUUAAGUAUGGAAAGGAUUCCGAUAGGAAGCCUCAAGGCCUACACCUAAGGCCCCACGAAGGCACCUAUUUGGAUUCAUUCCGUUCUGCGGUCUAGAACGUUUGAGUAUAAGAACGAACUCUAAUGGGAAGCCUCAAGGCCUACAUCUAAGGCCCUACAAAGGCACCUAUUUGGGUUCAUUCUACCUCUCGGACUCGGGUAAUCAGAAGUAUAAUAGUUAUAAGACUCAUGCAUUCACGAGAACAAAUAUGAUGUGUUCGAGCACUGGUUUAGUUAUUGAUAGGAAGCCUCAACGCCUACACCUAAGGCCCCACAAAGGCACCUGUUAUAACUAACACGGUUUCUCGGGUAUAUACAUAUAUACAACCAAAACUCGACAUCCAUUUCACAUCUGUCAUACUGAAGAUGGCAGUGGCACGCCUGAGCACUUAAAAGUUAACCUUGAUUAUGAGCCUCAAGGCCUACACCUAAGGCCCCACAAAGGCACCUCUCAAAGUUAACUUUGUCCUUCUCUUUCAACCUUGCCCGACGAGCCUUGCCCGAAGAUUCUUGCCAGACAAGACUUGCCCGACAAAGCCCGACAGUGAAGCAGAAGCCCGACAUCAGCCCUCAACCGGCGCCAACCUCCCGGGGAGCUGUGUGCUCGUCGACCAGGAAACAUCCCCGACGGAAAUUCCUGACGCGAACAUAGUUUUGGCACGCCCAGUGGGACUUCAUUUGAUCAGAAGAUAUAUGUCAAAAUGCCAGAAGAUUUGCAAACCACGUUGCUACAAAUGUUGCAAAGAUUGGAGAAAGCUUCCACAGGCACCAGAAAAGAAACAGACCUGGUUCCUCUCGAGGGAAAGAGACUUAAAACCAGCCCGCCAGAAGAGUUGGUGGUAGACAAACCUGCAGUUCCCUUUUCAGAAGCCCCUGUAAAUAUGAUCAAUAUGGCAUGGGUUGAGAAGGGAAAAGAAAGAAUCACAAGGGAACCAGAGGAAGAAAGAUUGGCUGAAAAACCUACUGGAUGGGUGAUUAAAUCGCCCGAAUAUCCAAAAGCAGCCAUAAUCAAGGGGAUGGUUAUGUGUAGUAAGUGUCAAUGCGAGUGUGAGCUCGAAAUUCCCCCGGCUGGAAUCCUCAUUGAUCAUGAACUGAUCAGGAGGAAGGAAGAAGAUGAAAGAAGGAGAGCCCACGAAAAGAUCAAGCAGGAUACGAAAAAAGACAUUUCCCGAAGCGUUUUUCAACGAUUAGGAGGUGAUUCCCAACCCAAAGCUUUGUCAGAAGUAUUUCGAAACCAUGAAGCUUCUGAAAAGGCAGAAGAUAUGGAGGCCAAAAUACGGAGGGGUACAGAUCAUCCUCAAUAUGGCCAGAUGGGAAGGGAAAUCAAGAGGAUGGAUGGGAUAACAAAUCCUGUCAGAAAAGAAAAACCUGCCCACCUUAGGUGAAAAUGGUACGUAGUCGGAAAGAACGGACAGCCUACCAAACAAAUGGGAGCCUCCAUGGUCAGGAGGGUUCAAAGGCAGCACAAAGCCUACAUGAAUUCCCUGAAGACCCCCGCAACAUCCGAAGCCUCCAAAAAUCAAAAAUUGGAGAAAACAUCAUCUGGGGGAAAUAGUCAGCUCCGCUGGAAAAGAGAGAGGUCAAAAAAGGCCAAUAGCAAGACGGAAUGUGAGGGGAAUCACGUGCCGCAGAGCCAGCACCCUGGGAAGUAUCGGAUCUUGAGGAGAGCUCAAGAAGAUCUGGUCAUGGUGCCAACCCCCGGGUGGAAGCCAGAGCCUAUUUGCGUUGGAGCUGUUUCAUCUGAAAGGAGACCACCUUCUCUGCCCUUGGUGGAUCCUUUUGGUGAAGUUCCAAAGCAAACGAUGUAUGCGGGCAUGAAUCAACAGGAGGGGGCACCAGAACCACUACUUCCAGCCGAUGCAAUGGCCUGGUUGGAUGAAUUCAUAGACCAGAUUGGGGGCAAUAAAGAAGAUCUGCCCGAGCCUAGUAAUUUUCAUAUCAACAUGGCGUAUGUAUUAUCCGCCAUGUUUGGUGCCAGACCUGAUCAGCCCGCUACUAUGGAGGAUGAUUACUUGACAACUGAGCCAAUGAUGGCACAUGUCAAUGUGGAGGUAGUCGAAGAAGGAGAGUCGGGCAAGGCUGAAUCCACUAAAGCAUCCAAAGAUAGUCCUUUCAGGAUUUACACAGACGAAAUGGUGUUUAGCCGCCCGAACAGCUCGUUGGCCAAUCAUCUGAAGCCCAUAUAUGUUGCUUUCAUCCCUUCAAAAGAAUUUUAAUUGAUGGGGGAGCAGCUGUCAAUGUGUUACCAGCCAAGCAAAUGAGGAAAAUGGGAAGAGGCACGGAGGAUCUUAUUCCCACAGACCUCACGGUCUCUAGCUUCUCAGGCGCUAUCACCAAAACUCAUGGGAUAUUGCCUUUAGAAGUGGAUUUGGGAUCUAAACAGAUCAUGCUGGCAUUCUUUGUGGUGGACUGCACUUCCACUUAUGGGGCCUUACUCGGAAGAGAUUGGAUCCACCAAAGUCUGGCCAUACCCUCCACUAUUCAUCAACAAAUGGCUGUUUACCAUGAAGCGGGCACAGAAGGACCAGGCUUUUGGGAGAUGGUAGAGGCCGAAUCACGGCCAUUUCUCCCCACAGCCAAUGUUGCGGAAGCAAGUUUCUACAACCCCAACGUAGGAAUCUUGAAGUGUUCAGGAGCUGACGAGAACGGCCGCCCUACCAAGGUGACGGCCCAAAAGCUUUUGGAACAAGGAAUGCUCCUUACUAGAGAAGAGUGGGAUAGACCUUGUAUCCUCCCAAAUAGCCUACACCAUCAAUGACUGAACAAAAGAAGAAAGAUCAGGUAAUGGCAGUCAGAUCCCUGAUUAAAAGACUGUUGGUAUAUGGGAAGGGAAGAAGGCAAGAAAGUGAGCUCUUGGACAAGGAAGAGCAGGAAUGGCAGGUGGGAACUUCAACCAGCCAGCAUGAAAGCAAGGAGGAAUCUUGCAGAGAAGAAUUGGAAAGGGCCAUUCAAAUGGCCGAGUGCAUUUAUGACCUAGAUGGGCCAGAUGACUUGCCCGAGAGCCCGGAGCUGGUCGAAUUUUUGUGUGCAAAACCUGAUAAGCCACCACCAGAAGUCCAGGAUCCUCUGGAAAUUAUUGAUCUAGGGACGGAGGAGGAUCCAAGACCAAUACAAAUUAGUGGUUUAUUGGGGGUUGAUGAUCGGGCAAAGAUUAUUUGCCUUUUGCAAGAAUUCAAAGACUGUUUUGCUUGGCAUUAGACUGAGAUGCCAGGUUUAGAUUCAGCCUUGGUGGAACAUAGAAUGCCCAUCAAGGAGGGAUAUAAACCUGUUAAGCAAGCACCACGAAGGAUGUCAAAGGAGAUAGAAGAAAAGGUCAAAUAAGAUAUUGAAAGGCUAGUAAAAGCUGGCUUUAUCAGACCAGCCAAAUAUGUGGAGUGGUUGGCCAACAUUGUACCCGUUUUAAAAGCUGUAACAAAAGUAGUACGAUGUUGUGUGGAUUACAGAAAUAUUAAUGGCGCUACACCAAAAGAUGAAUAUCCCAUGCCCAUGGCCGAUUUAUCCAUAGAUGCAGUAGCAAAACAUAAAGUCCUAUCUUUUAUGGAUGGGAAUGCCGGGUAUAAUCAGAUAAAGAUGGCUCCAGAAGAUAUACACAAAACAGCUUUUAGGUGUCCCGAUCAUGUGGGGGCAUAUGAAUAUCUGGUCAAGCCAUUCGGGCUCAAGAAUGCUGGUGCAACUUACCAAAGGGCAAUGAAUGCCAUCUUUCACGAUCUGAUUGGCCAGAGCAUGGAGGUAUACAUCGAUGACAUAGUGGUGAAGUCCAAGACAGAAGAGCAGCAUCUGGAAGAUCUCAGACAAACAUUAGCAAGGAUGAGGAUCCACAAAUUAAAGAUGAAUCCAAAGAAGUGCGCGUUUGGAGUAAGAGCGGGCAACUUCUUGGGAUUCCUGGUGCAUCAAAGAGGUGUAGAAGUGGACAAAAACAAAUCUCGGGCAAUAAUGGAGUCACCUUCACCCACCAACAAGGUGCAACUCCAGAGGCUACUGGGCAAAAUCAACUUCUUGAGGAGAUUCAUUGCUAAUUUAUCAGGCAAGAUCCAGCCGCUGACUCCUUUACUAAGAUUGAAAGAUAAAGAGAACUUCGAGUGGGGACCACCACACCAACAGGCCUUUGACAGCAUCAAGGCCUAUUUGACUUCUCCACCAGUGUUGGUGCCACCUCAAAGGGGAAAACCCUUGAAGCUGUAUAUUUCUGCCUCAGAAAAGUCAAUCGGGAGUUUGCUAGCCCAAAAUAAUGAAGGCGGGAAGGAGCAUGCAGUAUACUACCUCAGUAGAAUUCUGACCGAGGUAGAGACAAGGUAUUCCCCAGUAGAGAGAUUAUGCUUGGCUUUAUAUUUCACUGCCAGUAAAUUAAGGCAUUACAUGUUACCUUGUCACGUGCACAUCAUCGCCAAGACAGAUGUGAUAAAGUACAUGUUGUCAAAGCCAAUGCUCACAGGAAGGAUUGGGAAAUGGAUUCUAGCAUUAUCAGAAUUUAGUUUUCAGUACGUACCCCAAAGGGCAGUCAAAGGCCAAGCAAUUGCUGACUUCCUGGCCGAGCACCAAGAAUCUCAAAGUGAGGUAAUCAAUAUCCCAGGAAGCCUGGAGGUUACUAGCAUUUGGAUCCCGCCAAGAAAAGAUAUUUCGGGCAAAGAAGAUUGGGUCCAGCAAGAGAUAAGAAGAGUAACUGGUCUCUGGAUCACUCCUUGGAAGUUGUAUUUCGAUGGAUCUCACACUCAGAAGGCUUUAGGAGCGGGGAUUGUAAUUGUAAACCCUCAGGGGGUUUAUCAUUAUUAUUCAUUUCUCCUGGACUACCAAGGAAAUACUAAUAAUCGGGCAGAGUAUGAGGCCUUAAUAAUUGGUCUGGAAAUCUUGAUGGACCUGGGGGCAGUAGAGGUAGAGGUCUUUGGGGAUUCAGAGUUGGUAAUAAACCAGUUAAAUGGGGAGUUCAAGUGCAGACAUAUUACCAUGGCGGGGUAUUACUUGGCAGCUACACAAUUAUUGAGUUUCUGGGAUUCUGAGAUAUCGGUCAAUCAUGUUCCCAGGGGAUCCAACUUAGCGGCCAACGAGAUGGCACAACUAGCCUUAGGAGUGCCAAUACAGGAGAGAAAAUAUGGGGUAGAUGUCGAGAUCCAAAGAAGAAACCUUCCUUCCAUCUUAGAAAGGGGAUUCAGUCUAGAUAUAAUGGUGCUAGAAGCCGAGAUAGAAGAUUGGAGGUCACCUAUCAUUCAUCAUUUGAAGGAUCCCUCUUCGCCUACAAGCAAGAAGGAUAGACAGCAAGCAACCAAGUAUGUCUUAUGGGCGAAGAACUUGCUAAGGAAAACUCCAUAUGGGUUACUGUUGAAAUGCUUGGGCCAAGAAGAAUCCAUGAGGGUAAUGGCCGAAGUACAUGAAGGAGUAUGUGGAGCACAUCAGGCUGGAACGAAGAUGAGAUGGUUGCUUAGAAGGUAUGGUUAUUUCUGGCCCGACAUGGAAAAAGAUUGCAAGUCUUAUGCCCGAGGUUGUGAAGAAUGUCAAAGGCACGGACCUCUCCAGCAUGUGCCCUCGGUACCUUUAAAUCCAGUGGUCAAGCCUUGGCCCUUCAGAGGAUGGGCGAUGGACUUCAUCGGGCAAAUCUAUCCAGCUUCUAGUAAAGGGCAUACCUUCAUAAUUGUAGCAACAGAUUAUUUCACCAAGUGGGUGGAAGCAUCAGCAGUAAAAUCCAUAACUUUAGCCACAGUCAAGAAUUUCAUCGAGACCAAGAUUCUGUACAGAUAUGGGGUGCCCGAAACUAUAGUGACGGAUCGUGGGCCAUCUUUUAUUUCAAAAGAAGUUGAGGAGUUUGCAAGUAAGUACAAAAUAAAGAUGAUCCAGUCCAGUCCGUACUACCCUCAAUCAAAUGGCCAGGCAGAAGCCAGCAACAAGAUCCUGGUCAACAUUAUCAAGAGAAUGGUGAUUAAUAGUCCAGAAAAGUGGCAUGAAAAUCUGGGGAACACUUUGUGGGCAUACAGAACUUCCAAGAGGGCAGGAACAGGGACAACUCCUUAUGCUUUGACUUUCGGGCAAGAUGCAGUGCUCCCCGUGGAGAUCAAUGUAAGUUCUGUAAGAAUUCAAAAUCAAUUUGGGUUACAUAGUAAAGAGUACAUCGAAGCCAUGUGUCAAGGAAUUGAAGACUUAGAUGUAGCCCGAAUUGAAGCUUUGAACCAGAUCAAAAAGGGAAAGCAAGCCGUUGCCCGAGCUUAUAACAAAAAGGUAAAGAUGAAGUCUUUCAGGGAAGAGGAUUUAGUCUGGAAGACAGUCCUCCCUCUAGGAGCUCAGCUCAGGGGCUUUGGAAAAUGGAGCCCGACAUGGGAAGGUCCUUUCAUUAUUAAUCGCGUUUUGGAUAGAGGAGGAUACUACUUGGCGGACCUUGAAGGAAACAGGCAGAAACAUCCCAUUAAUGUUAAAUUCUUAAAUAAAUAUUGUCCUACGUUGUGGGAUGUUAGAGAUUGUUAUGUUGAAGAGGAUGCAAGGUAAAGCAAGCUUUGGGAUAUCAAUGUGCAGUAUAUAUUUAUCAAUCAUUCAAGAAGAUGGAAAGACAAGAGUUGCUGAGAUAAUGUAUAUUUCAUUUCAACAAAUUGAUGAAAUUUACAAAAGAUUCAAAACCGACGCAUUACAAUCAAUUCUCCUUCUGGAUGCAAUGGUAUCUUCAGCUGAUUUUCCGAUGUCUUCAUGGAUGGAACCCGAUCAGGUGAUCGGGUUGUGCGGCCAACAUGAGCCUGGUAAAGGAUCCUCAGACAGGACCAUCACCAUAAGUGAUGGUGAAGCCCGACUUAUCACCGCAACAAGCAGGAAGACAAGCCUUCGAGAGGAAACCGCCUGACCAAGGGUGUUGGAGAUAGCGGGGUGUUCGACCAAGGGUGUUGGAGAUAACAGUCAUUUGAUGAAAACCCUUUUUUCUCACGAAAAGGGAGUUUUAGGAAACCCUACUCAAAGCCUGAGGAACCCAUUUCUCAGUUUCUGAACGCUCGAGGAAGAUGGAAGAGAAGGCCGAAGAGGAUUUAAUGGCUUGACAUAAGAGGUUCCGAGCCAGAAUUUAUAGAGCCCCCAGAGGAUAGUUCAAAGGUCGUGAGGAAAACAAGGGGCACAGGGUUGCCUUCAUCCUGUCUAGAAAACACAAAGUUCCAAAAGAUUGAUAUACACGCAUGCGGAUUUUCAAUCAAUGAUGGCGCCUGGGAUUCCAACCUUAACAUUAAUUGAAGAGGGCACUGUUUGGAUCAAAACUUGAACUUUGGGCUCAAGAAAGGAGCUGGCCCAAAGGGAUGCCUAGGGAAGAGCCCAGCCUAAGCCCAGCCGAAGCCCAGAAAGCAAGAAAUGGCCUUUUCUAACUUGGUGCAGCUCAUGAAGACCACUUGCUUACCUACCCAAAGGCCAAGUGGUAUAGACUGACCAGCUAAACAGCCCAUAAAGUACUUUAUGGUGGCAGUACAUGUAAAAUAGCUGAUGAGUCAUCACCCUUCAAACCGCAUUCGGGCAAGGUUGCUGCUACAGGAGACCAAGCCGAGUUGUCUAUAUAAGAAGAAAGAGAAACCAUGAAUAAGGACACUCAAUCAAACAAACAAAUGCAAGCACAAACUCUGCUCAAAGCCAGAUUUGCCUUCAAAACGAAGUUGUAGUCAGCCCAAGCCUUCAUCCCUCUCAGGAUAAACCUUCACUCAAACCCUUGUAAUAGCUCUGCUACCUUGUUCAACCUUGUUGUAGUAUCGAUUCAUCUUUUGUAAUCUCUCUCUCUCUAAAGCUUUCAGACCCUUGAUAAACUACAAAGAUAGGAACCUGCAAGACGACCAAGCUUGCCCGACCUUCUUUGUUUUUGUCUUUUCAUUCAUUAGCCUAGCAAUAUGUUGUAUACUUCCAGUUAUAUUCAAGUUAUUUCUAGCAAGAUGACUAUUAAAAGGCUUUCUCAGUACUCGGAUCCGAUUUGAAUAUAUCUUCAGUAUUCAAACCAGAUCCAAGUCCUAAGCCCUCGGGCAUGUAAAUCUGAUUAGUUAAAAGUCCUUGGCCUCAAGGCAUAAAAAAGAACCUUAUGUGGACUUAACCCAUCCGCGACAAUCCUUGAUAAACGAGAAGUCCGAAGUUACUUGGGGCGCAAGUAAUCGACCUACCUCUUAGUCUUAUUUCUAUUACAUUAUGAUUAUCAUAGAACGCUUAAGUAUGGAAAGGAUUCCGAUAGGAAGCCUCAAGACCUACACCUAAGGCCCCACGAAGGCACCUAUUUGGAUUCAUUCCGUUUUGCGGUCUAGAACGUUUGAGUAUAAGAACGAACUCUAAUGGGAAGCCUCAAGGCCUACAUCUAAGGCCCUACAAAGGCACCUAUUUGGGUUCAUUCUACCUCUCGGACUCGGGUAAUCAGAAGUAUAAUAGUUAUAAGACUCAUGCAUUCACGAGAACAAAUAUGAUGUGUUCGAGCACUGGUUUAGUUAUUGAUAGGAAGCCUCAAGGCCUACACCUAAGGCCCCACAAAGGCACCUGUUAUAACUAACACGGUUUCUUGGGUAUAUACAUAUAUACAACCAAAACUCGACAUCCAUUUCACAUCUGCCAUACUGAAGAUGGCAGUGGCACGCCUGAGCACUUAAAAGUUAACCUUGAUUGUGAGCCUCAAGGCCUACACCUAAGGCCCCACAAAGGCACCUCUCAAAGUUAACUUUGUCUUUCUCUUUCAGCCUUGCCCGAUGAGCCUUGCCCGAAGAUUCUUGCCCGACAAGACUUGCCCAACGAGACUUGCCCGACAAAGCCCGAAAGUGAAGCAGAAGCCCGACAGCAGCCCUCAACCGACGCCAACCUCCCGGGGAGCUGUGUGCUCGUCGGCCAGGAAACAUCCCCGACGGAAAUUCCUGACGCGAACAGAAUGUUUGCAUCUCUUGAUCAACCAGUAUCUUAGGUUUUAUAUAAACUCACGUUAGUAUAGCCGUGAUAUAAGAGAAGAAUUAAAAAGAGUAGAGUUUUCUCCUGUGUCCUUUAUUGUCGAAUUUCGAGUCGUAUCUUGAGAGUACGGAAUAUAUUGGGUUUGCCAGAGUCCGAAGCAUGAAGUUUUUUGACUUUGGAUUAUAGAUUGUUGAAUCCUAAGAGACGGACACCUAUUGAAGUACAAAUACAAGAGUAUAUGUCUUUCCGAUCAACUUUCCUUUUUGUUAUUCUGCUUUGCAUUUGAACCAACCCGGCGCUGGAAAAUAUAAUGAGGAGUACUUAAGAGAUUCGAUUUAAUUCGGGAUUUGAUUUGAUUCAAUUAUGUGAUUGUUUGCGUCUCUUUUCCCACAUUUCCCCAAUGAAUCCUAAGACCAUGUAAUUUUGUAAAUCUAGCUAUUGCUUUCUCCGGAGCAAUGGCUAUAAAAUAUACAACUACUUCUAUAAAACAUAUGAGAGUAACUACAACCUCCAAGGAGAGUAUAUGAGAUAAUGUAGCAUAUAGAGCCUUCAAUCCCCCUAUCUGGUUUUCUAUGCUAAUAAUCUAUCACACACACUAUUGUACACUCUCUUUGUUUUUACUAGUUUUUCACCGACACUAAAAACUCUUUCCCACUAACAAGUACCACAUCACCUACUCCAAUUAAAUUGCGUACACUAUUUCCCCGCUGCUAUCAACAUCAAGUUCAGACUCUGAGUCUAAGUCAUCCAUAUCAUCGUCCAUGUCAAGGUUGUCCAUCAUGUACGAGCCCAGACCAAGGGUUCCCGCUGCUGGUAUAGUAGCCUCCUCAAUUAUAUGCAUGAUUGCGUCAAGGCUUUGCAUUGGUUGAUCUGGCUCUUCAAACUGGUUGCUCUCGUCCAUCAAAUCAGCAGGGAGAUUCUUCAAGAACCACGAGUGGUUCUUUAUCUCAGGAAUGCUAAUUCUCUGUUACACGCAUGCACAUCCGUAACUACCCGCACAAUAAAACAACAAAUAAAGGAAAAGAAAAAAACUAGAUUCUUAUGUUCUCGAUAAAUAGAAUCCCCCCAAAAGCAACAACUUUCAAAUGUAACAAGUCCAUUUAUUCCUCCAGUUCUGGCGUUUAAGUGCUCAGUAAUGGGAAAUUGGAGAACUGUUGAAAACUUCCAUGAAAAACAAAGGGCCUCAAAAACACCCUGGAAUAAAAGCAGUGAAGCAACAAGAAAUUCAAGGAAUCGUCUAAAAAACAAGAAAUUCAAGGAAGUAUACAAGCAAACCCCAGCGUACACACACACAAAUGCCCUUUGUGAGGCUUUCCAAGGAACAUCACAAGUAGUUAGAUAUUACCUUUCCUUUUGGAAUAAGAUGUUAAGGGAAUAAGAUUAUCAUACUUGGUUAUACUGUAAUAAGGAAUCUAAUUAUAUUGGCUGGCUCAAAUUAAUACAGAUGGGAAAGUAGUAAUUUAAUUUGGCUUUCUUUCCCACAAUUACCCUUCAAUGUCGUCCCAUUAUAUUGAAAGAUUAUAAGAGUAAGUAGCCUCAAUCAUAUGUUCCAGGUGGUUACGGUCACUUUCCUCCUAUGAAUCUUAUUCCAAAUCGCUUUUCUGUCUUUGACCUUAAAAAAAGUAUCUCAAGUCUAUAAAAAGAGUAUGCUAUUUGAACAACUUACGUUCCCUGGUGGGCUUAACAGAAGCAUUAUUAACUUUUAUCAAUUACACAAAUGCAAAGAACAAAACAAAAGGUGCGGCAACAGAAGAGGUCAAAAGAAAUACAUGUGUGUGUGUGUGCACGUGUGAACCGAGACAAUUUUGAAAACCACAAGCACCCAAGUUCUUUUUCUUUUUUGGAAGAAAAAAAAAAAAAAAAAAAAAAAAAAGAGCCAAAUAAAGUGCAACAUAUAUCUCAAGCAGGAUCUGUGUAGAAGAAAAAACGAGAGUUCAGAGGAAAAAUAAACUAACCGCAGCAGGAUCUGGGACAAAAAUUCUCGAUAUCAGCUCUAGACAUUCAUGAGAUAUUUGAACAGUAUCUGGAAUGGAAUACUGGACGCUGAGUCCUCUGCAGGAAGAUAAUAACAAUCCCGAGUGAGGCAAUUUACGUUAACAAAUUUUAUGUUGUGCUAAGGCGAAAUGACAUACUUGUAUAGUCCUCCGGAAAUCUUUCGGUUCAUCAGGAUCCUCGAAAGGAUAUGCUCCCACCAGCAUCACAUAUAAGGUUACCCCACAUGACCAUACAUCUGCAAUCUGACGUUGUAACACACUUUCAACAUACAAACUUCUCAAUUCAAUAAACAGGAUUACAUUAUUUGAAACUAAUAAAAACUUCAACUUCAUGAUAUAGAAAGGAAAGACAAAAGUGGUUUAAAAAAUAUUAAAUGCAAAAAAAAGUGUUUGUAUGUCUGGUUUCAUGCUCCAAGUCCAGAAAUGAGCUGUAAAGCCAAUACAGAUAAAAUUAGCUGAUGCAUAUAAGCAGGCCUAAAAUGAAGUUAGCUGAUACAUAUAGGCAGGCAUAAAGUGAAGUCAGUACCUAUCGCACGCUUUAUCUCUAAAGGCAUAAAAGCAAAAAAUGAAAACUCAUGAAUAAUUAUCCAACAUGAAGAGAUAAUGAGUCCCAACUAUGUCAUUUACUUGUCAUAGAAAAUAAAUGGACUUUAACAUCCACAUGCAACAUUACAAUAGUAAAUCUCUGGCUGUCAAGUGCAGUUACACCCUUUGAUUCUUGAGAACUAUCAGUUCACGGAAAAAGAAUUAAGUUUAGGAACUUAGGGCUACAAGGUAAUUGCUCUUUUUUCUUUUAUUUUUUUGGUCAAGCAUAUGUUUAGCUGCAGUUCAAACUUGAAGAGCCAGCAAAAGUAUUUCAUAUUUUGAAUUGACCAUGAACUUAUUCAUUGUGCUAAAAUGUUAUUUGGAAUUCAAAUGCAAAGCUUGAAUGGUGAGAGAAUAUAAUAGACAGAGAAAUCUGAGGGGAUUUUCAAAUUACAGUUUAUCAAAGUUCAAACAACUUUGUUGGGAAAGCGUAGAAAGUACUAGCCAAUAACAUUUGCUAUAAUUCAGCUUCAUGAAAUACUCCAGAACAGAAUGCUAACCAAUUAUUAAACAAAACUUCUUGGUCCAAACAAUCAGGGAUAUCCAUAUUCAGUAAAUUAAAACCAAUGGCAUCAUAAUUUGAUAAAUGAUUAACCAAACUAAGGAAUUCUUAUACCUUUCCGUCAUAUUCUUGCCUCAAUAAUACUUCUGGAGCAAUGUAUGCAGGAGUUCCCACAGUAGAUUUUGGUUGUGAAUGAAGCACUGAAGACUGACAAAUAACCACAAUCAGAUAUAAAACGUUACGCCCCAAUAUAGCAUACAAUGAACUUAAAAUAACUUGACCCUUGACCAUUCAUACAGGUAUCUGAGCAGAGUCAGAGGACCAAUACCUUACUACCAACUAGGCUACAUAACUAUUCUAGAAACCAUAUCAUUGAUGAAAUUGUUCUUAACUUGAGAGACCAAAUCCUUCUUAAAUUAUCUAUAAACAAGUCUCUAAAACAAAAACCUUGGGUCUUGGGUCAAACUCGCCUAAGAUCAAGUCAAAAUUCAAGAAAACAGAUAUGCAACAGUCUUAGAACAAAAGCUCUAGAUCAGAAGUUCAUGUCAAGUUAGCCUUGACAGUCCCCUUUAUUUUAAUUAAUGAUAUGAACACAAACACAUAAGCCGAAUAAGCAAGAAAGCGGAACAUUACUAGUACCUUUGAGUACCCAAAAUCACAAAUUUUCAAACGAGGAGCUUGACUGCCAUCCAAUAAAGUGUUCUCCAACUUCAAAUCUCGGUGACAUACUUGCUUCAACAGGGAAAGUAGUAAUUCAAAUAAAUUAUCUAGUCCGCAUCCAGGAAAAAUACAUGAAGUCUUAAAAAGGUCAAAAAAGAAAGACUUGAAUACCAUAGCAUGGCAAUAACUAACUCCAGAUAUAAGUUGUUGAAAAAAGAAGCGGGCCUGGACCAAAAAUGGAAAACACAUCUUCAGCAUGUAAAGUAAAGCAGUAAAAGAAGCCGAAAGAUCGGGAGGAACUAUAGAGAUUGAAAUGAGGACCUCAUCCUCACUGAACCGCCCUGCAUUGUGUAUUCGCUCAAACAUUUCUCCUCCAGAAGCAUAUUCCAUCACAAUGGCCAGAUGGGUAGGAGUAAGAAUGACCUAUAUGCAUAGUAAAAUCCAGAGUAGAUUAGCAACCAAUUAGCCUAACAUCACUAGGAAGACGGAAAUUCAAAUCUUAUCGUCAACACAAGGCUAAACUAACCUCCUUGAAUCUGAUGAUGUUCGGGUGCCUCAAAGACCUAUGAUUUAUUAUCUCUCUUCGAACAUUUUCAUCAAUCUACAACACCGAAAACCACGGUGAGAAACAGAUGCUCCAAAAUCUCACCACUCAAUCAUCACCAAAAGAGCUAUAAAUCAUUAGAAGCAAACUUGCAAGUUUAAUCAACCUAAAAAAUUCAAUAUCUUUUUUAACCCAACUCUCCAUGCUUUAAUUUGAAUUAAUCAAAAUACCAUCUUUUCCUUUCAAACACUUAAUAAUCAUUCAUUAAUUAAUGCUAACAACAUCAAUUACAAGAUUAGAUUACGAAAUUUAGAAACGAAAAACUUGAAAGAAAAAAAAAAGGUAAAACAGCGGCAAAAAUUUAUCAAAAUCGAUCAAAUUACUAAAUUUUGAAACUAAAAACUUGAAAUAGCUAUCCCAUAUUCCAUAAAUGGAUGAUUUAAAAAAAUAUACAAAAAUAAAAUAAAAAACUGAAUUCCAAAACUGACCUUGUUGCCGCGCUCGAUGUACUUGACGGCGACGAGCUCCCUGGUCUGCCUGUCCGUCAUCAGCCUGGCGACCCCGAAGUUUCCGGACCCGAUAUCUCGGACGAAAUCAUACCGGUCGCUGUCGUGCAUGAUAGGCAUAUCCAUGGCCGGCCCAACCGUCAUUGCCUGCCGAUCCAUUUCGAUGAAAUCACGAGUUUGCCCCUCGACCAGAGCCGGUCACAUUAGAGAGCGAAGAAUCGGGAGAGUAAACGGCGUCGUUAUCAGCUUCAGAUUCUAGUUAACCGCAAUCAACAGCUGAACUCAGCGAGCAGAUCGGUGGCUCAGUUCAAUAUGAUCCGUCGCGAUACGGCGGAGCCGUCGUCGAGUGAAUUUUCCGGUCGACGGUGAAUUGUUGUCUGAGGAAACAGUGAAGGAUGACUUGGGAGCGAGGGAAAGGGAGUUGGAGAUGAGAUAAGAAGGUGAAUGGGACAAGGAGAAGUGGCGUCGUUUUGGUGGGUGAAGUGAUACAGGCUUCUUAGAUACGACGCCGGUUUGAGGGUGGAGGUUGCUUAGUUGCUUUCCUAGCCGCAUGGGUUCCCUCACUUUCCUGGCGGCUGGUUGGUUGGGUUGCUCGUCUGCUUUUGUCGAUUGUGAUUGGCUCCGGCUUCGGCUGAAUGACCAAAAUGCCCAUGUUUCGGAUAACUCUGCUGCCGGUGAAGAUCCGAUGCUUCGCGGCACGAGUUAAGAAAAGUUUGGACAGAGAUCGAACGGCGGGUUUUUAGUCGUGGGUCUAGAGAGAGUCAAUCAAGUGAAAGGGGUGAGUAAUCGUGUGAAAGCACGCCAAUCAUAUUGAAAGAGUGGAGGAUAUUCGGUGGAGUCUAAGAUACCAACUGAUCACAAAACGAUCAGACACUAAAAGAGAUGCAAGUGGGUUACUAAUAAACUCUUACAUUCGUAUUACAGUUUAGUUAUAUAUUUUCGUACAGGUAAUGUUAAAUUUGAUUUUACAUGCAAAACAUUUUGAAUUGUUCAAAUCAGUCAAAUAAAACAAGCUUCAGUAUUUUGAAUCAUAUUAUUAGAACCACAAUUAGUUUGGUUUGGUUUAAUUUGGCCUAUUUUAAAACCGCCUAAAUCAAACCAAAUUGUCAAAGUAUUUUUUUUUUUAUAACAUUUUCUUAUGGGUUACUGUUGCUUUGUUAUAUCAUUUGCAUUCACACUUUUAUUAUCAAUUUUGAUUAUCAAAUCUUAAAUACUAAAAUCUUUAAUAUAAAGAAUUUUUAUUAAUAUCAAACUGAUCACUAAAUUAAUUGGUUUGGUUCGAUUAACCUGCUGGCUCCUAACUCGAAUCAAUCUAAAUGAUGUUGAUUGAGGGCUAAACCAAAUCAAUUUGAAUGAUUUUACAUUAGAUCAAUAUGUUGUGUAGCCUAACCUACCCAAACCAGACACCCUCCCCAGCUUCCUUCAUUUCCUUGUGUUUUUUACAUAUCUUCAUGAAAAUAUGAAACUUGACUACAAUACUUACAUAUAUUUAAUAUAAGCAUGAAUGACUCAGUAUGUACAUAGAGCUAGAGAGUCCAACAUGAAUGGCCAGCUUCGGAAAUUUGUCUAUCUGUUGGAAUCAAAGAGGAACUCGACAAAACAGUUUGGCCGCCUUGGACCAUGUUUGUAUUGGGAUGGAACAUGUUUGUAAGAAGCAAGUCUGGCGGCCUUGGACCAUGGAAAAUGCUCAUUUCUAAAGCCGAGAGAGUGAGCGAUAGACUUACUGGACAAAACACUGUACUGGCCACAAUGCUUAACCGAGCUGAAAUAAUGUCAAUACCAACUUCUGUCAACUGCCACAUUUUUGUUAAACAUCGCCCCAACAAUCUUUGACUUCUUGUAGAAUCCCGCUGUCAUCAAAUCGAAAGCUCAAAUUUCUUAUUGCCCUUAAUCCACAAAUUUUUUUUAUUAUGAUUAGAAUACGAGUGGUACACCACGUGUUUUUAUAUAAGUAAUGAAAAUUUUUAUUUUUUAAGUUAUUAAUUUUUUAACACACAUAUUAUAUCAUUUAUAUCGUAACACAUGAUGUACUACUCCGUGUUACAAUCACACUGAAAAUUCUCUCCUUAAUCCAAGCAAUACACAGUUGUCGUGCGCAUUAAUUUUGAACCAAGACCCAUAUUUUAGCCUACCCUCCUCUCCUAGACUAGAAUGUUAGGCAUAAUGAAAUAUUAACGUGAGACACAAAUACAUGAUUUAGUGCGCAAGUUGGGACAAAGCAACUUUCAAGAGGAAAAGUGGGAGUGAAAAACAUUUACAGAGGGUAAAUGAGUAAAUAAGCCGAGAAUUAUUUUAUUGUGGUUUAAUGUGAGUGAGGUUUUAAUUAAUUAAAACUCAUGCAUUUUAGAAUUAUUCGAUUCAAGGUACCCUUAUUCUGAUUCAAGUUCUUAUCUUUCACUUUCAAAAGGCUUUUACUUUACUUUAAGCCCUUGUCUCUGUUGAUCACUUUUGGACGGUUGGCCAAGAUUAAGCACUUAAGUUGAAAAAAAUCCCGUAACCAAAGGGAUAAUCGUUUGUGGGCAAUUGCAAUGAGUGAGACUUUGAUUUUAGUUUUAUUUUUUGCUAAGAUAUUGAAUGUUGAAAACGAUAUAUAAUAAAUUAUGCUGCAUGCAUGUGAAUCCAUGAAAAGUAUGUAUGGAGAAGGAUUUACAUGUCAUUGUUACAUUGUUAUUGUAUUGUCCUGCACUAGUAAUACAACUAUAUAUGUCAAUUUUUUUUAAUGUAACGUUUUAUCAUUGAUACAAAAGUUAGAUAGAAGUACAUUUGUGCCAUAUAAGUUUAGAGUUUAGGGUGUUUUUUUUGUCAAACGAUAAGAUUUUGUUAGAUUAGCUACCGACGAAAUUGUAACUCACUCCGUCAUGCAAGGGCAAAACACUUAUCUACUAUUGUGAUAAAUGGUCACUUGCUUAGAGUUUAGGGUGGCUGAAUGGACUACAAAAUAAAAACGUUAUAUACAUAGUGGGCUUUUCUUUUCUCAUUGAUUGUUACUAACUUACUAGGUGGAGACGACAACAGCCCUAGUUACACCUCUCUCUUAAGCUAGGCCCUGACUUGAAGAAAUACUGCAAACAUUACGCAGAGUUGAGACCGGCCAGAUUGUGAAUAGACCUGGAUCAGAAGUCUAGGCCCAACAAACAUAUGCGUACUGAAGUGUAGAAGAAUCCCUUCCUUGCCUUGAUUAUUAUAUAAUGGAAGACUCAACAAGGGGGCUGCCGUCUUAGCUCAGCUGGUAGAGCGCGUGGCUUUUAACCACGUGGUCGUGGGUUCGAUUCCCACAGACGGCGUAUUAUUCUUAGUUUUGUACUUUCAUUUAAUUUUUUAUUUUUUUUGCCAUUUUGCCCUAGACCAAGUACGAACUAGCGGCGUACGAGUACGACUGAGAAUUAUUGGAGAACAAGCCCCAGUGGGAAACACGUACAUCAACAAUUAAAAAGCAUCAACACACUAGAAGAAAGGAGACAGAAUGUGGAGAGAGAAAGAGAGAGAGAGAGAGACAUAUAUAUAUAUAUAUAUAUAUAUGCUUUUAGGGAUGAUGUGACGGACACAUGUAAUUGGCUCAGUUCGUAUGCGGCGAACCGCUUCACCUGAUAGAUCCCUCAGUUUCCAUUAUCCUUUUUUAUCAAGGCAGAUUGUCUGCUCUCCUGUUUGAAUGUCCUUCUUAUUCUUUCUCUUAUUUGUGCGGUCACGGUUAAGUCAUAUCAACAUUUUAUAUUCUUAUUACUUUUUGUCUUAUUAUCUCUAUAAACAAUUUUAAAAUAAAAUGUUGACAUGGCUUAACCGUGAUCGCACAAAAUAGGAGGGAAUAGGAAUGACACCUAAACAAGAGGGCAGACAAUCUGCCUCCCUUUUUUAUUCCCUUUUUCUUUUCUUUUUCAGUACACGUAGCAAGUGGCAUCGUCGACGUCAAUCAUCAAAUCAAACCACUCUAACAAAAAAGGUUCAAACAUUAGGUUAAUGUUUGGAAUGAGGAUCCUCUUUGAUCAUUCAAUCACAUCCGUUGUAUAUUAUGCAGCUAAUUUUCAUCACGUACUAUUUAUAUUCAAUUUUAAAUAAAAAAAAUUUGCAAUGAUUUUCUAUCGCACGACAGAUUGGAGGAUCCACAGGAUCCUUACAAAGAGGAUCCUCAUUGUUGAUUAAUCAACAAUUUUCUUUUGUGAUUCUGCUCUUUUGAUUCAGACGUUGCUUUACAAUGUACGUUUUUUUGUUUCGUUUUUUCAUCACUAACAUGCUUCAAAUAUUUCACACCUCGCAUGACUCCUGAAUUUUUUAUUUGGACUCAAAUGUUGCAAUACAUUGUCCGUUUCUUGGUUCUGUUUUUUACAUUGGAUUCAGACGCUACGUUGGGCUGUAAACUUAGGGGGUGUAUUCAAUAAUAUCCAAAUAGAUAAUAACCAAGUUAAUUGAGGACCGAGAGACUUACGGGGUGUAUUCAAUUGAGAAUUUGAGAGACGUUAAUGGAUUAAUAAAUCCAUGAAUUUUUAUAGAGUUUAAUUGAUUUGUAGAGAUUCCAUAUGAAAUUUUGAUUCAAUUCUCUCGAAAUCUCAUGAGGAGAGGUGAUAUUUGUAGAUGCUUAAAAUACACUACGAAAUCUCUCCAAUUCCCUCUAAUUCCUCAACUUUCUCAAAUUCUUUAAAAUCAAUUUCUAAUUGAAUACACCCAGAUUUCUAAGGAUUAUAAUAAACUAUCUUAAAAUUCUAAUUGAAUACACCUUAAAUUUCAGAGAAUCACUUAAAAUCAUGAUUGAAUACCCCUAGAUUCAUUAAAAGAAUUAAAAUCCCUCAAAAUCCCAAUUGAAUACACCCCCCUUAAAUUAUUAAGAAUUUUCAAUAGGAUAAUGUAUAUAAAUCGUUUCUAACUUGGUACAAUCUUUACUACUAUAAGGGUUAAUAUUCUUUCUCUAACACACCCCGACCAGAAUCGAGGCAUGUUGGCCGUCACGUGAGGAUGACGUAGUCAUGUGCACAGUGCGGAAGCAAUAUUAAUAUAGGAAAUGCAAAUAAACAAAAACCAAAUCAACUAGAGUACUAGAUAAGAUAAGGUGCAAGUGCGAUAAUAAGUGUGAUGAUGCACAAAAUCAGCGAGGACUUUGGUACAACAGAAAGUGUUAAGUUUAUGACCUUUGCUAGAUUGCUCCGGUCACUAGUGGGGAUAAGUAUGUAAAUGGAUAGAGGCAGGGAAGCAAACACAAGAUGUACGUGGUUCACCAAGAUUGGCUACGUCCACGAAGUAGAGGAGUUCUCAUUAAUUGUGAAGGGUUUACACAAGUACAUAGGUUUAAGCUCUCCUUUUGUGAGUACUAGUGAAUAGUUUAGUACAAAUGACAUUAGGAAAUAUUGUGAGAGAAUGAUCUCUAUUUAUAGAAGAGAGUUUCUAGUUUCAUUCUGACAUUGACACGUGUCAUGUUAUGAUUAGCUUCUGAUGUUGACAUGUGUCGCGCUAUGAUUGGCUUCUGAUGUCGACACGUGUCAGACUGUGAUUGGCCUCUUGGUUGGAGGGAAACUCUUCUGGGUCCUUGACGGUAUAACGUUGACCGGUGCUCAGUAGUUUUGGGAUUGGUUAAGUAUGAUCCAAACAGUGCUCCCCUAAGUUCCCAAGUGAAGGAAGCUCCUCGGUUGGGGACUUGCAAGAUCCAAGCCAUUGAGUAAUCACGAAACUUCUAAGUACCGAAGUGUGGUAUCAUUUUCACUUGCCUUAUCUGUCUUAUACGUAGAUGUGGCAUCUUCUCUGGAAGUACUUUUCUUCCAUCCAAGGGUGGUAUCUUUAACUGAUGAAGAUGCACAAGGUAAUGUAUCAAUUUCGCUUGAAGCUUACUUGUAGUUUCGGGCUUGGUCAAGUACGAUACAAAACCCUAUAAUAGGAGUCCCCCAAGUCGCCGAGUUAGGAGAUUUGCCAAAAGAGGUAACAGACAAUGUAAGCAAUCAGACUUCCAAGCAAGCAACCUGGAUCAGAGGUUCGACUUCGGCUUCCGGUUGAUUGUUCUCCUUUUCCUUGUGUCGUAAACAGCAACAAGGAUAAGGAGAAGCAAAUGGAGAAGAGAUGAUAUGAGAUACUUUUUCUUUUGAAGAAGUAACUUUCUACAAGCUUAUUCUUGAACUGGGCUGGAGGGUUUUUUGGUUUCCUCCAGAGUAUAAGGCCGACUCAAGAAUUUGAGGGUCAAAACAAGUCCAUCAAAUCAAGAGUGCGUUCGACCUUGAUGAUAUGAGAUACUUUUGUUGUUGACGAAGUAAUAUAUGAAUCGGCACGUGUUCUAUUACGCUUAUCUCCACAUGCUUCCUUGUAUUCUUCUCACUUGCCCUAUCUGCUCCUCAGGCAAAAGUGGUAUCUUUUCUGGAAGCAUAAGAUGUUGAAGAUGAGUACUCGAGAGCAAUGCCAGGUAAGUAAUCAAGCAAGGGGUUUCAGGCAGUCAGUUCCUGACUGGAAGCUUGAUUUCAAGUGCUGACUGAUUGCUCUCUUUCUCCUUGUCUUGCAGGUAAGAACAAUGGCAAAGGAAAAGACAGGGAAAAAGCAUGAUAUGGGAUACUCUUGCUUUGACCCUGAUGAUAUGAGAUACUCUUGCUCUGGUGUGGCUGGUUUGCAUAGGUAUUAUUGGGGGGGGAGAAAGCUGAGUAUUUCGAGAGGCUUCGUUAGGAGUGCCCUCUCAGAUAUGAGAAAGGGUUGAGCAUUUUUGCAGGUUUGCCUGUCCGUAGAGGAUAUAGGUCGACAUAUAUGAGAGUCUUCCUAACAACAAGUAGUAAUGUUAUUCCUUUACCCUUCUUGGUCGUAGCGAUGUAGUGGGAGCUGCAAGCUUCACGUGUUUUAACUUUGUCAGAGCACUUUGAAAAAGUGGUAUGUGGUAUUUGGAAAGCUGAUGUUGCGUGUGAAGAUUGCAGACAAGUUUUAUUCAAGGAAAUCUGGCUCUCAAAGUUCAGAGAGCGAUGCCUCUUCAGUUUUCGAACAAGCAAUCAUGUCGGGAAUCUGGCUUUCGAGAUUCGAAGGAACGAUGCCUUUUUUAUUUUUUAGAAAGCAAUCAUGUUGGGAGUCUGGCUCUUGAGAUUCGGAGAGCAGUGCCUCUUCGAUUUUUGAGAAAGUAAUCAUAUUAGGAGUCUGGCUCUCGAGAUUCGAAGGGCGGUGCCUCUUCGAUUUUUUAGCAAGUAAUAAUGUUAUUCCUUUACCCUUAUUGGUCAUAGCAAUGUAGUGGGAGCUGCAAGCUUCACAUGUUUUAACUUUGUCAGAGCGCUUUGAAAAAGUGGUAUGUGGUAUUUGGAAAGCUGAUGUUGCGUGUGAAAAUUGCAGACAAGCUUUAUCCAAGGAAAUCUGGCUCUCGAAGUUCGGAGAGCGUGCCUCUUCGAUUUUCGAACAAGCAAUCCUGUCGGGGAUUUGGCUCUCGAAAUUCAGAGAACGGUGCCUCUUCGAUUUUUUAGAAAGCAAUCAUGUUGGGAGUCUGACUCUUGAGAUUCGGAGAGUAGUGUCUCUUCGAUUUUUGAGAAAGUAAUUCUGUUGGGAGUCUGGCUCUCGAGAUUUGGAAAGUGGUUCUUCUUCGAUUUUUGAGCAAGCAAUCUUGUUGGGAGUGUUUUCUCGAAUGUGAGUAAAGGUUGGGCAUUUUUGCCAGUCUGCCUUGCCACAGAGCACAGAGGUUGACACACAUUGGGACUUUCUAAUUAUCAAGCAGUGGUGCUGUUCCUUUACCCUUGCGGGUAAUAGUAGGGUAGCUGGACCUUUAAAAUUUAUGUGUCUAAACUUUGUCAGAGAUCUUUGGCAAAGUUAUCUGUGAUACCCGAGGAGAUGAUGUUGCAUGUGGAAAGUGGUGCCUCUUCGAAAUCCGGAGAGUGGUGCCUCUUCGGAAUCUGGAUAGUGGUGUAUCUUCGAUUUUUGAACCAAUGGCCCUGUUGCCCUUUCUUUUAUAAGGGCACCAAUUGUGUGCAAGGAGUACAUUCAGAAAGUUAUUGCUUGUAGGAAUUUUCUCCUUACUUGAGAGAUUUAUUGCACCUCAUUUCUCCUUCAUCAUUUCUGAGAAUGUCUGGCCCAUCCGACUGUCGUUUUGACUUGAACUUUGGUGAAGAAGUAGCCAUGCCUUCUCAAGACAACAUAUGGCGCCCAUCUUUUUUAUCCCCUACCUAGUCCUCUUACCGUUGAGGACUAUGUGAUGAAGAAUGAUAUGACCGCUGCGGUGGUGGCCAGGAACCUUCUCACUCCCAAAGAUAACAUACUACUUUCCAAAUUGUUUGAUGAGUUGGCUGUUAAGGAUUCUCUGGCUCUCAGUGUUCAAUGUGCAGGUUCUGUGUCUAAUAUGGCCCAACUCCUAUUUGCUCGAACCCGCCAAGUUGAAUCAUUGACGGCUGAAGUGAUAAGUCUCAAACAGGAGAUCAAAUGGCUCAAGCAUGAGAAUAAAUAGUUGCACAAGCUCACACAUGACUAUGCUACAAACAUGAAGAGGAAUCUCGACCAACUGCAUGAAUCUGAUUGUCAGAUUUUACUUGAUCAUCAGAGGUUUGUAUGUUGUUCCAAAGGCAUUUAUUGCCUUCGUCUUCUGGGGCUGUACCGCGUAAUGAAGCUCCAAAUGAUCAACCUUCAGUGUCUCCUCCUUCUGGGGUUCUGCCUAGUAUUGAGGCUGAGAAUAAUCACCCUCUGGUGCCUCCUCUUCUGAGGCUCUGCCGACUGCUGAGACUUCUCCUGAGCAAACUUUGUGAAUGCUCCCUCUUGUUUUUUUUUUUAAUUUUGAUUCAUGUAUAUGUACAUAUUUGUAACUUAUUAGAGAUAUCAAUAAACAAGCUUUGCUUCAUUUCAACGUAUUGUGUUAAAUACACCAAGAUCUUCUUCACUAAGUUCUUUGAAUUUUUCCUUUUGUUGAAGCUUGUAUGUUGAAGCUUUGCGAGUGAAGCAUGUAGGUUGAGGUAGUGCUCCCUUAAUUUCCCGAGUGAGGAAAACUUCUCGUUUGGAGACUUGAAAAAUCCAAGUCACUGAGUGGUCGUAAGACUUCCGAGUAUCAAGGUGCAGUAGCGUAUGGUAGGAGUCCCCUAAGUCUUUGGUCGAGGGAGUUGACGAGGCAUUUCCUUUCUAAGUGGUAGCCCAAAACUCCUUCAUAUAUAUUUGUUAUGAAAGUUGUUAGGCCCAAAGAAGAGGAGGCCUAGUCAAAUUUUUUUUUUUCGAAUUUUUUUUUCUUUCGAUUUUUCGAAUUUUUGAAUUUCCGAAUUUUUGAAUUUUUGAAUUUCAAAAAAAAUAAAAUAUAUAUAUAUAUUAAAGCUUUGUAUGUGAAGCUUUGGUGUUGAAUCUUUGUAGGUGAAGCUUUGAGGUUGAAGCUUUGUUGGGCACCAUGAAUUGAUUUUGCUUCACACUAUCUUGAUCAAGAUAGUGUGAAGCUUUUGUUGGUGAAGCUUUUAUGUUGAAGCUUUGUAGGUCAAGCUUUUGUGGGUCAAGCUUUUGUGGGUGAAGCUUUUGUAGGUCAAGCUUUUGUAGGUCAAGCUUUUGUGGGUCAAGUUUUUGUAGGUGAAACUUUUGUGGGUGAAGCUUUUAUGGGUGAAGCUUUUAUGGGUGAAGCUUUUGUAGGUCAAGCUUUUGUGGGUGAAGCUUUUGUAGGUCAAGCUUUUGUGGGUGAAGCUUUUGUAGGUGAAGCUUUUGUGUUGAAGCUUUUGUGGGUGAAGCUUUUGUGUUAAAGCUUUUGUAGGUGAAGCUUUGAAGUUAAAGCUUUUGUUGGGUACCAUGAAUUGAUUUUGCUUCACACUAUCUUGAUCAAGAUAGUGUGAAGCUUUUGAGAAUUUGUAGUUGUCCUCCAUUGAUGAAACUUUGUUGAAUUUCCCAAUUUUUUUUUUUUUUUGGGAAACUAGACAUUUGAAAAUGUGGGAGAGACAACAUAUACAAACUUUGCCAUUCAUGCCACCAACCAGGUGAUGAAAUGUACAACCCGUACUCUCCUUCAUGCCACCAACCAGGUGAUCAAAAGUACGCCCAGUACUCCAAAUUGUACAUGAGCAUUACUCAUGUUAUUCAUACAUAAACAUACAUGAGCAUUACUCAUGUCAUUCAUACAUAAACAUGAGUGAGUGAUGCUCUGUAAAGAUUAUAUUCCCGUGAGUGAUGCUCUGUAAAUGAAGCUUUUGAAGCUGAUUGACAUGAGUGAUGUUCAUGAAUGUUUAUGUUGAUUGACAUGAGUGAUGCUCAUGGAUGUUGUCAUGAGUGAUGCUCAUGAAUGUUAACAUGAGUGAUGCUCAUGAAUGUUGACAUGAACAAUGGUCAUGAAUGUUUAUGUAUGAUUGUCAUGAGUGAUGCUUAUGAAUGUUUAUGUAUGAAUGACAUGAGUAAUGCUCAUGUAUAAUUUGGAGUACUGGGUGUACAACACCUGGUUGGUGGCAUGAAUAAGAGUACAGGUUGUACAUUUCAUCACCUGGUUGGUGGUAAUAGCGGCGGGUUGCCGAAUAAUUUUGAAGUACUGAGCGUACUUUUGGUCACCUGGUUGGUGAUAAUAGAGGGUCUGGCUCUUUUGGGCAUAUGGGCCUUCGCCCUCCACAUGACAUUGCAGCCCAUUAUUUUGGGCUUGCCCUUUUUUUUUUAAUUACCCUCUGAUGGGGUUUAUACAUAUUACCCUCUGAUGGGGUUUAUACAAAUGUCUCCGAAAGAUAAUAAAAAUAAAUUACAUCAUUCUAGUGGGGUGUUUAUUCCUUGCUUUUGCAGUGCCCCCAUAUGCUUCCCUUUUGCUAGACCAAGAAAGUAUGGUCAAAAUAUUCCUUUCGCACGUUCUUCUGCGAUUAUGUCUAUCAAAAUAUUCCAUAAUAUUGAAAGGGUUCUGACAAUAAUGGAAAAGAGAAUGACCCCAACACGGUGGACGAGGAGGCUGAGAUUGUGGAAGAACGGGAAAAUGAGAACAGUGAGGAACAGGAGGACGAGGAGGUCGAGAUUAUGGAAAAGUGGGCAAAGCUUGAGAAACUAAUCCCCAGUUCUGAGAGUCAAUCGACCAGCUCGACAUCAACCACGCCGAAGCCACCACGUUGUGCAACGGCAUCAUCGAUCCCAACUCCACUGGUAACCUGGGAAAACCAUAAAUGUGUCGGACAAGAGCGGAGGCCGCAGAAAGAGGGUUCGACUUGAGCUGAGAGAGCUUGGAUGCCAACGACUUAUUGGUGAGAUUACGCGUGAAGAGAUGUAAUCAGGAGGAUAACCCAAAAAUAAUCUUUGGAGGACGCCAUUGGAGAAAGCUUCGAGCUUUGUGGGCUGUAAUCGACAAAUUUCAAUUACGAUUUUAAUUGAGAGAAAAGUACCAAUUUGAAUAUUCCAGAAUUGCAGCCAAUGUCAGGACAAUCCUUUUCUUCGAACUGUUCCUUCUUGAAAACCUUCAACCUAGCAUCUUCCUCCAUUUCUUGGCUAAUAUGAUAGCCGUAGUAACUUUUGUGGUAUCCGUAAGGGAAAAUCUUUUUGCGUUUCUUAUUACUGAUCUGCCCAUGUUGUUGUUCGCCUUGUAACCCUGAGCUCCUGCAAUUAAACUCCAUCAAUUGAAUGUGACACUGACUCAAGCUGCAAACCUGCAAAACUGAUCAUUCUCUGAAAAUUCAUGCGUUGAAGGUGCGCCAUGUGUUCCUCUUUCUUCCGGCCCUCCUCCUUCUGUUCGAUCAAUGGUCUGCUCGGCGGCUGGAGUCGAACUCUGUUUCUCCCCCAAAUGACGACGAUGUGUGGGUCUUGGUUUCCAGCAACCGAAGACGAUUUUUCCUCUGCGUUGGCUUUUUCACGCAGGAAGGAAGGAACUGUGUUUUUUUUUUUUUUUAAUUCUUGGAUUUCUUGAAAAUGCUUAGGGUUUGAUUGAUUUGAUGGGUGAGGGGUUGGUGGUGUCGUGGAAGCAGGAAAAAGAUAAAGACUGGCCUUGGAGGAAGGCAGAUUUGAUGGGAAUCAGAAAGCUGCUGCUUGUGAGCGACUUUUUCAGAAAUGCACCAAGUACAACACCAAUAAAUAAAACCAGAGAGAGAGAUGGAGGGUUUUCUGGAAAAAAAUCAAAAGUGAGGUUUUGGGCUCUUGGGUUUUGCAGAUUCAUGGCGGAGGUGAAAAUUUGAGAGAGAACCGACAUAGUUUCUCGUAUCGUUUCCCACAGACGGCACCAAAUGCUGAUGCACAAAACCGGAGGUCUUGGAACAACGUAAAUCCGACCUUGAAUCUUCAAGAAAUGUAAAUAACACAAGAUGUAUCGUGGUUCACCCCAAGGUUUGGGCUACGUCCACACUAAUUAUGUAUUUAUCUGAAGGAGAGAAAGCUCUGAGAGUGUUGAGCUUUGAGAGGGGUGAGAGGGCUUAGGAAUUGGCCUAUGAGGAUGUGAAUGAGCCUCGCCUAAUUGUGAGGGUGAGGGGUCCUUUUAUAGAAUAAGGACUCAUUACUUAUUACAUAUUUGCCAUUUCAUUUAUUACAUAAUUACAUUUUAAGUCCCCCGAGUAUUUAUACGAGGUCUAAAUACGGAGGCCCUAAGUAUGGUAUAAACAAAGUGUGAGUUCACAAUCAGAGCAUAAGUAACCUAAGUGCAGUCCAGCAGGACAAAUACUAAUUAUACAACACCAAAGAUAAUCCUACAUUGGUGAUAAUCUGUCAGAGUUGCUGUGAAUUCCUCGUAAACCACCAACCAGCACUCUUACCUAAAACCUGAAGGAACGCAAAACAGAAAGUGUGAGUGGGCAAAAACAAAGCUUUUCAAAACCAUUUCAUUUAUCAAAAGUUCUAACCCCUCGCCGUAAAACCUAUAUAAUUUCCCAAUAAAUAAAAUAUAUAGAUAUCUCAAAACCAUGCUCAGAAAACAAUAUUCAUGAGUAUGCCAUGCCAAAUAUCUUAAAAUAACUAAAUAAGUGACUUAGGUGAAAUAAACUCAUGAGAAAUAACAUAUCAGCCGGAUCCACCUAACGUGGCAUGUACAGCUGGGCCUAUAGUUCAACAAGUAUGCCUGCACACGAGUCAGAACCAUUUAAUGUGGUGUGUACGAUAGGACUGGGUGUAAAUAAAUACGCUCUAGUGCUACGAUCACGUGAAGACUGUGCGAAUAAUCGCAGGUCAACUACGAGUCGGAACCACCUAAUGUGGUCUGUAUGACAAGACUGUGCACCUAACUUGGAUCCAAGGUGAGCGUAUGGUGCGAGAGGUGAACAUCACGUGAAGGCUUGUGCCCUGGCCACGGGCCGGAGCACUAACACCAGAGUGCAGGUUUAUAACUUCUCAACACAUCUCACAUAAUUGUCAAUUCACAUAUAAACAUUCUACAACUUACCUGGUACUUACCUGAGUGUCCACAACAUCAAAUCACAUUUAUGCAUACUAAACUAAUUCAUAGUCUAAGCAUGAUACAAUAGGCAUGACAUUUCAAAACAUAAAUUUUAUUUAAACUCAUUUUCUGGGAAAAAUACCAAGUAUAUAAGUAUAUACUGAAAACCAAAAGCCCAUUCACUGAUAUGUGGAAGGGUCGUAGCCCCCGAGUCUUGCUUGACUUCGCUCGUCCUCAGGAUAGGUCUCACCUAUAUGUGAAACAACUAUAUAAACGUUAUUUUAAAGCACAUAAAUAAAACAAGGCAAUAACUUCUCGUAUAUUGCUCAAUUGGGGUAAUUGAAUAUACCACUGAGACCUACUCAACCUCAGGAACAUCCCCAUAUUUUUAGAAAAAAUUUCCGAGCACCCACGUGCCCUCACGCGCCGGCCAAGGCAUGGCCAGACGCGCGGCUCACACGUAAGCACGUCCUUGGCACACUGACGGAUUCCUUAACGGCGUUAGGGAAUAUUUCGUUAAAAAUCAGCAUAUACCGUUAAAGAUACCUGACGCCGUUAGCAUAUUUCGUCAACUUUGACAGAAUAUUCUCCUCUUUCUUCCUUGGUUUGUCGGAGCCCGGCGCCGGUGCCAUUGCCAUCGCCGGAAACUGGAAAAAUCUUUAAAACUUUAUAUCUUCUUCAUUUCUCAACUAAAAUUCAUGAAUAAUAUACCAAAAUGAAGCUUGAGAUGAGAGGAACAAAACCUUACCGCUCUCAUGUCUUCAAUCCACCGGAAACUCACCGAAAAACCCACGAUAAUCCGGCCAUCUCUGCAACUCAACGAACCCGAGUUUCCCAAUGUUCUAAACCUUCCAAAAUUCUUCUAAAAGCUUUGUGAAGAUGAUCUAAGACUUCCAAAAAGCUCAAAACUUCAAGAAACACUCGUGAUCAUGUCGAGUGAACAGUGCAUCUCAUCGGGUGUUUUCGGUUCUCGGGUUUUCGAAGCUUUCACGACCAAAAAGGUAUAGAUCGAGUCCUGAGCUCACAAGUAACACAAAAAUCACUUCUUCAACGUCGAUCUGUGCCUGCAAAGGCUGGUUUCAAAUUUGUCCGUACAAUUGUACGGAAAUGGAAAGAAAUCCGAGAGGGAAAGAAGGAAGAGGGUCUAUGGGAUUGGUUGGUGUGUGUGUGUGGUCCAUGUCACAUCCCCGCCCGGGUCCACCACAUCCCGGACCCGUUCCACCACCGUAGCACGAUAUUGUGCUUUGGGCUUACCAUUCCCUCACGGUUUUGUUUUUAGGAACUCACGAGCAACUUCCCAGUGGGUAUAACUAAAACAAAAAAUAACUAAAACUUAAGUUCCACAAACUUACGAAUAAAUUAAAUCAUUCCAAAACCUAAGCUUAAACCACACCACCACACAAUAUAACUCAAUGCCCAAGGGUAUAAAAGGAAUUUCCACGCUAUCGAGGAUAAAAUAAUAUAUACAUUCGGGACGGGCUAUCACAUUCUCGUUCUCUAUUUUCUUCGUUAGAAUUGAACUAUGAUUCAAGUGAAAUUAAUGUACCAUCUUUCUUAACAAAAACAUUAAAAUGUACCAACACAACUUAUUUUUAAAUUAAAACGUACCUAUGCCGAAUUGAAAGUCUUCAUAGUAAAUUAAAAUGUACCAUUACUAAAUUAAAAUGUAACCAUGCUGAAUUAAAAUGUACCCAUGUUAAAUUGAAGUGCACCGAUGAAUUUUAGGUACAUUUAUUUUAAAUGUACCAAUAUGCAUGUUUUAGUAACUUUAUGUUUUAUUGUUUGUAUCCACAUUUUAUAUGUAUCUAUUGUGUAUUUGCCAAUUAUUAAGAAAAACUUUUGCAAGUUGUCUUUUGGGUACAUUUUAUGAGUCAAGAUAAAACACCAGUGUUGUAUGAGUAUUGGAAGAUUUCAGAUUUUCAUAAUUUUAUGAACUAAUGACAAUUUUUAAAACUGUAAAUGCACGAAUAAUGAAAAGAAAACAAGAUAAUUUUCCAAAAGGAAAUAAUAUAAAAUGAAAUUAAUAAUCCCAAAAUUUAUAGGAGAAUGUUUAAUCAAAAUUUUAAAAGAAACAGAUGUUUAGUCUAAGUAAUUAAAAAACAAGGCACCUAUAUCAAAACAUCCCUUUAUUUUUUACCACGGGGACUCUCUUAAUUGUUAGGUCCUACCACCUACGUUACUUUUAAUCCAUUUUGCUGUUAAAACAUAUCACGUGCCCCUUGUGGAAGAAUAUUUUUUCCGUUUAUCCACUUUGGGGGUUGCCCAACAAAUAUGAACUUAUUAUCCUUCAUCCCUCUCCACUUAAUGCCAAUAUAGAUUUCAACAAUCAAUUUUCAUUUCAAAUCUUCAAUAACCCUUGCCAAAAUCAAACCAGAGAUCAACUUCUCCCUUUCUCUUCAUGACAACAAGGUCUUUAUACAAAUUGAUUCUAGCGAGUCCUAGAAAGUGAAUUGACGCAUGAAUAAAAACCCAACACCUAUCCACCAAGAUUGGAUAACGUACAACUAAUCAGAGGCGGGCCCACCUUGAGACAAGGUGGGUCAGCUAACCCCCCCCCCCCCCCCAACUUAGAAAUUCUUCAUGGAAAAACUGGGUGUUGCCUUUUGAAAAUUUGAGCUGCCCUUGAAAGCUACCCUCCAACUGUUAGAAGAAUUGCCUCUAGGGGCACUGGAUGGGGUAGCUGCUAGCAUCAUGCCUUUGUAUGCUUUGUUACGGGCAUCUUUCAAUUGGCUUACUCAACAUAUGUUGACAUCUGCAGGCAUGCUCGCUCAAAAUCUAUUGUCGACAUGCUCAUGUUGGCAUCUAUCGAUAGGCGUGCAAUAUGACUUAGCAAAUUACUUGAAGUCUACCAAGGCUCGAUAAACUGCCAAUUUUCAUGCUAUACCGUCCAAAAAGUUUUGUGUGCUACACUCACUAUUCUUAUUGACCACCCGAAUAAUAUUUCAUGAAUCCACGGCUGCAACUAAUCCAAUAGUGUUAAGCGGGACUUACUCUAUUCCUACCUAAUUAACCGAAUAAUAUUGUCCCAAAUUUGAUGAGGAUCGUCCUAGCUAGUGAUCGAUUAUAAGGAUCAAACUGUGCCAUAUGUCGUAGCACACAAGUCAAACAUCCUUAAAUGGAUAAGCACUCGAUGAAUCUAAAUUUGCAUACAGCUAGCUAACAGCAAUAUAAAAACCAGAAACAAACGUAAGUGGACCACACAUAAUGUUCCAAUUUAAACACAUCAUUAUCGACUUACUAAAUUCCAACCGAGACCGUUGAGCAACAGCUGCUCUCAUGCCUCAAACAUCUGGGCUCGAUCAAGGAAGCUACAUUUGCAUACGCAAACAGAACAUGAGAAUAAUUAGCAUGGUUAUAGUUAAAAGAUAAGGCCUACGAGGGAUUAGGAGAGAGACCUACGUUGCAAUUAGAAUAGUGUAUAUAUAGGUAACUAUAUAUGCAUGGUAAAUAGAAACUCGUAAUGUUACAAAAUGUUACAAUAUUGACUCCUACUCUGUCCAAACUAACGAGUUAAAUACUAUGUUUUGGUGUGACAAGGUUAUUCUAUGUUUACAUGCAUGUUAGAUUGGUGUCGCGUGAGUCAUUUUCAUCAUUUACAAGAAGUUGUUAUGUACUUUAUUUAGAGAAUAUAGUAAGUACAGAAUGAACGCACUGAUUGUCGUCCCAUCAAAAAAUAGUAGUUGAGUUGAUAGCUCAACAAACAGAAGGAGCACGAAAAUGGUAGUUGACUUGAUAGUUGAACAAACAAAAGGGGCACUCAGUGUAAUGUUGUGUAGUUAUGAGUACUAAUUAAUUCACUAAUACGAUUCUUGUUUUAUUUAUUUAUUUUAAUAGACGAUAUUACCUACAUUAAGAAAUAGAAGGUGGACUUAGUCAGGGCCGGCCAUGAGAAAUUGGGGGCUUUAGGCGAGCUUUUGAGUGAGGGCCCUAAAGUUCUUUGAUACCCAACUCAUUGUACAUUUAUAUGUAUAAGAAAAGAUUUCGCUAAAUACAUGAAAAAAUUCAUUUCUACUUCAAAAAUCAUUAGAAUUCAUAUCCAAAUAAGAAAUAUAUGCAAACAUUACUUAAAUAUUACAUGUCAAUAUUACACCGUGACCUCAAAUGAUUUUACCGAAGCAAUACAAGUUGUUCACAAUUUUUAAACCAAUCUCUUUCAUUAAUAAAUAUUCCAAAUGUUAGUAUUCCAUGGCUGGAGUUGGAUAACAAUUUAUUAAAUCACCAACUGCCAUAUUCUCAUGAUUCCAUGAAAGCCAUUUGCAGAACUUAUAAGAAAAUGAAAACAAAUAACUUACAAUACAAUAAUGACAGCAUAACCAGCAACGGAUUCCAAACCACCCUUCCCAAACUUCACUCUCUAGGUUACUCUUCAGCAACUCAUUUUUCACCUCCAAAAUCACUUCCAUUGUAAAAAACAAAAAAUUUGCCUGUGAUUAGAACACCCAGCUAAUUACAACAAACAUCCAAUUGGAAGUUACAAAAUCCAAUGAAAAAAACCCAACUUACCAUCACUUUUAUUAGUCUCUGGACGCCACGGAAGCACCUUCAAGAUCUCAUAAGCAUUGCAAAUGGGUCCAUCGCAGACUUGCUCAAUGCUCAGUUUGCUCUGUGCGUUAAAUUCCCAAAAAAAAAGGUGAAGUGUUGCUGAAGUUUCUGUUUCACCCCAACCAAGACAUUUUGCAGCCAAGUUUCCACUUUCAAGACAACUAUAUAAUUUUAUAUUUAAAUAUUUUAUUAAAUUCAAACUCUAAAAAUAUAUUUAUAUAUAUGAUAUAUAUACACACAUAUUUAAAAUGAUAUAUUUUGGGGCCCCCUCCCCACCCAAUACACACGGCUAGUUCCAAAUUUUUUUUUAAUUUCAUAUUUAGAUAUUUUACUCAAACCAAAAUUAUAUAUAUAUAUAGAAAAUUAUGAUUGGCACUCUAAAAUUUUCAUUCUACAUUUCAAACUUUCUAUAUUUGAAAAGAAAAAUACACUUGUGAAAAGUGUAGGAUGAGAUUUUUGAAGUGUCAAUAACACUUUCCUAUAUAUAAAAAAAAUAAAAAAAUUUGGGCCACCCCCCGAAGUGGGGGCACUAGGCGGCCGCCUACUCAGGCUACCCUCAGGGCCGACCCUGGACUUAGCCUCAAAAUUGACUAGUAAUAAUGUGGUUCAAAUUCAUCUUUGACGAGAAUCAAACCUAUUAUCUUUGACGAUAAUCAAACCUAAAACUUCUCACUUACAAGUAAUAAGGAAUACCACUAGACCGUAAUACUAAAUGACAAUACAAUUCUUGUUAGAGGAUGAAUUUUUUAUUCUUUUUCCUGUAUUAAUAAAUUGCCACUCUUAUCAUAAUUUGUGUAAGGUUAUUAUCCGAAAUUCAUCUAAAGAGAAACACAACUACUGUUUUAAAAAUAGACAGAUCCACAAAUGCAUAUCUACGUGAGAACCAUAUUCCUUCACCGUACAAUAUGCAUUUACGUAGAUAUAUAGAUUCUAAAGAAAUUAAACCCAUGCAAAUCAUCCCCAUAUUUUCAUAUUCUCGAUCCACAACCACAUUAUAAAACAAAGGCCUACCAUUGAAAAUUAUGGACGCUAAUUAAAAAAUGGAGUCACGUCUCUUUUGUCACUUUGCGACUAUGGAUUCAUGAUCAAAUAUCAUCAGAUUUGAUAUUAAAGGCCCAGAUUAAAAAGUUGAAAGCAUAAUUUAUUUAUUAUUUAUUUUUCGUAUAAUGUACGAAGGUGAGUAAUUAUACAUUUUUUAAGCACUGCCAACUAGAGCAUUUCUGAAAUUAAGGGAUAAUAGGAGGCAGUUAAGGAAGGGAAAUCUCCUUUUUUUUUUUAAUGGGAAUUAGUUGUGGGGCCCACAACAUAUCAAACUUCAACAAUCUGAACUGUUUACUUUUCAAGUUGUACCUCGUAGAUCAUCCGUGCAAAAUAUUAGUCAAAUAUGAAAUAUUUGAAACAUCUAAUUAAAUAGACAAAUAGACAAAUAGUUUUGGAUUGAGUUAAAUUUUUGCAAAGAUGAUCUAUGAAUCGAGACUUACGAAAUAGACGUUUAGAUCGUUGAUUCGAUGUAGAGUGGAUCCCACAACUAAUCAUCAUUUUUUGAAGCCACUUAAUUAUAGGCCUAAUAGUAUUCCUCUUCACUCGUCACUAAGAAAUCUUAUGUUUGAUUAUUGUCAAAGGCAAAUUUGAAUCACAUUAUUGCUAGCCCAUUGUAAGGCUUAGUCCACUCCCCCACCUACUUAGUGUAGAUAAUAUCGUUUGGUAAAAAAAAUUUACUUUUGAAAGCUUGUUAUUUAUACUUAAAUAGUACUAGGGACAUCAAAAUUUUAAAUUAAAUUGACAAACCGUGUCAUCAAUAAAAAUAAGCAUGUUAAUCAACAUUUGAGUAAUAAUUCAAUCAUCAAUAAUCUCAUUAUUUAGUUUACAAAAUUUAAUCUCUCUAACAUAACUCUUAUACUUAUAAAGAUCCAAAAGUUCGAUUUACAUAAAAAUAAGUCAAGGGAUUCGUCAUUUUUCACUUUAGACGGCAGAAAAGAAAUUAUAAAAACAAUCGACAAAAAUCAAAACACUAUGGAUGGUUCCAAAUAUAGUUGUCACGUUAAAUGAAAGGUGAGCAUCAUUUUUCAUUUUUAUUUUUUAUUUUUGUCCUCAAAGAAAGCCAUCGAAAAGCCCAUGGUCCCAAAAGAAUCAUUAUCCCUUAAAGGAAAAGCUAAAAAAUACAAUAUGUCCCCACGAAAAAAAAUCCAAAUAAAUUCUUUAGUGUGCCAAAAACAGAAUUUAGUAUACCACGUAUUAUAAUACAGGGUUAAUCUCAGUUUACUACUCUGAAGUUUCUUGGUUUUCAACAUUUGGUAUAUAAAGAUUUUUUUCGUCCCAGUUUGGUAUCUAAAGUCAUAAUUAUGAGACACUUUCAUACAUUCGUUAAAUUUUUCAUUAUAACCUCAGUUAAAUGAUGACGUGGCAUCCAGUGGACAAUGACUAGGCACUACGUAUCAUUAUGGGCCCACGUAAAUAUUAAAAAAAUUUAAAAUUAAUUUUUUUAUCCCCUCUUCUAGCCCUAGCUAUUCGGCCCUAAAACAAUUAAUUUUUGGGUUAAUCUCGGUUUACUACCCUCAAGUUUCGUGGUUUUCAACAUUUAGUACAUCAAGUUUUUUUCGUCUCAGAGUCAUAACUAAAGUGUUAAUUUUGGGAUAGUCUCAUACAUACGUUAGUCAAACCGUUAAGUCUGCCGUUGAUUAAUGACGUGGCGCCUAUGUGGACAAUGACUGGGCACCACGUAUCAUUAAAAAUAUUAAAAUAAUAAUUAAAAAAAAACUCCUACCCCGCACACUCUCUCUCCUUGCAUUCUCCAUCUCCAUCUCUCUCUCACUACCUUUCUCUACCUUUCUCUCCAACCCAGAACCCCUGCAAAUCAUCCCUAAACCCAAUCUUUCAAUUCAAUCCCCCACUCUCAAACCCUAAAGUUCAGUUCUUUCAGAUCAAAAGGAAAACCCCAACUCUGGGUUUUUCUGUAAGUCGCCGGAGUCGACAUCUCUGAGACACCUGGGUAUUCACCUUUCUUCCAGUGCCUCUAUCUGGUGUCGAAAGACGAAGAUGGAGUAGAGUGACGGCUUACAGCUAGGGUGGCGAAUGCAGGGAUGAGCAGCUUAAAGUUGGGGUAUUGGGGUUUCUAGGAGACGGCGAUGGUGGUGGUGGAGUUUUUGUUGAGAGGAAGAGGAUGAGGGAUGAGAAAGGAAGAGAAUGAAAGAGAGAUUGAAGAAGCCAUGGAUGGCUUUGGCCUACAAAAUUGUUAAAGCAGUGAGGUGGAUUUUAGAAGGCAGGGCAUGCAAAUUAAAAACCCAGAACGACUUCACAGGCUUCUCCUCCGCAGCUUCAGUCUUCAAAACCCUAGCUCUGGGCGGUCGGCCCCUCCCUCGUUUCCCUGCAACCUCAAAAUCCAGCAAACCCAACUCCAUAAAUUCGACAUUUUUUCCAUAACCCUGAGAACCCAACUCGACAAAAUUAUAGAUUGAAAUUGGCAUAAAAAUUUGAUCGUGAACCACCCAGCAUUAUUCGAGACUGAGUUUUCCGUCAUCCAGCCAGUCAACUGGGUUUUUCGAAUUAGGCCGCGGCGGUGAUGGGUUGUCUUCAGAUUCAGAGUUGGUGACGGUGGAGAACGCCGAAUCGAAGACCCGGUGCUGUUGCUAAUACACCUGCAACUUCUUGAGAAGUAGAUGAACGAGAUUCUUUCUCAUUCCAGUUGGACGAGAGGUAAGGGAAGAGAGUUGGCUGCAGAUAUGAGGAAAGGAAAAUGGGUGUGCAGUUAGAUUGUGGAGUUGGGUUUGCUGGAUUUUGAGAAUAUUCAAAAUUUGUGAAAUCAGAUUUGCUGGGUUUUAUAAAGAAUUAAAGACAAGCAGCAAGAGCUUCUAGAGAUGGCGAUGGUGGAGAUCAAAGAAAAGAGAGAAGAAAUUAACACUCAAAGUGGCGGGGUGGAGGGUGGAAGAAGAUGAGGGUUUUUUUUUUAAAUUAAUUAUUUUAAUAUUUUUAAAUGACACGUGGCGCCCAGUCAUUGUCCAUAUAAUCAUCACGUCAUCAGUUAACGGCAGACUUAACAGUUUGACUAACGGAUGUAUGAGACUAUCCCAAAAUUAUCACUUUAGGUAUGACUCUGGGACGAAAAAAACUUGAUGUACUAAAUGUUGAAAACCACGAAACUUGAGGGUAGUAAACAGAGAUUAACCCUUAAUUUUUUUUAAGCCCUCCCUCUCUUCUGUCUUUUACGCCCACCCAAUCCGUUAUACAUGACCCACCUCUACCUUCUUCACCUCCCCUUCCUUCUCUCUCCUCCACCCUUUUCAUCUCCACAUUUUGCAAAAACCCUAAUCCCUAAAAUCGCACACCCGGGUUCUAAUUGGUCUUUAUCCAAGAAUGACAAUAUCCCAACGUAGUACUCAAGACCGACGGAUGAUGAAACAAUUGCAUGAUUCUCAUCAAUUAAAUCCUCCAGAUUCCCCACGCUCAUCGAUGAGCCUCGGAGAUCGUCGACUUUAGAUAUGUCCUCCUCGACUUUCUCCUCAUGCGGCUUGAACCACCCUUGGUUUGUGACGAACUCCUCCUCCAUGAGGAGAUAGUCCUUGAUUCUCUCAAGCUUCAGCAGCCAAAGCUUGCACUUUGUCAGCAGGGUCACCAUCGAGAGCCGUACCGCAGCUUCGAGACCGUUUGCGUUGUUUUCGACCGACUCAAUAGGUGAGACAAAAGAGUGAGUGAAAGAUUAACACGAGGGGUGAGGUGAGGUAGGAGAGGUGGGUGUAAGAGGAGGGUGGGUGCAGAUAAGGGAAAUGAGAGAAAGGAUAGAGGGAUGAGGUCGUAGGGGUAAGGAGCAGCCCAGAAAAUUUAAAAAAAAAAAAUUGUUUUGGGACCUGAUAGCUAGGGUUAGAAGAGGAGAUAAUUUUUUUAAAUUUUUUUAAUAUUUACAUUGGUCCAUAAUGACACGUGUCGCCCAAUCAUUAUCCACAUGGAUGCCACGUCAUCAGUUAACAGAGGUUUUGACAUAAUACUUAAUAGAUGUAUGAAAGUGUCCCAUAAUUAUGAUUUUAGGUACCAAACUGGGAUGAAAAAAACUUCAUGUACCAAAUGGUGAAAACCAAGAAACUUCAGGAUAGUAAACUGAGAUUAAUCCUAUAAUAUAAGUAUUAUAUUUUUGGAUAAAUUACAUAAAACUACCUCAACUAUUAGGUCAGGCACAGUUUCAUACCCCAUCUUUAAAAAAUUUCAAUGUCAUACCUCAACUACGAAUUUGUUACAAUUUCAUACAUUCCGUCAGUUUGUCUGUUAAUUCUUCUGUUAAAUAGUGACGUGAUUUGAGACGAAACCCACUUUCUAUUAAAAAAAUUAAUUAAAUAUUAAAAAAUAAAAAAAAUAAAUCUUUUUUUUUUUUUUUUUGCAUGGGGAACCCACCCUUAUCCCCUCACCCUUUCUUCCCCAUCCACCUGUGUCCCCCUAACCUUCCUUCAACGCUAAAACCAAAACCCCCGCCGCCCUCUCUUCCUCCAUCUCCACCUCCCUCCCAUGGCGCUCCUCCCUACCACUAACUCAUCUUCAACCCAUUUUUUUUAAAGAAUACUUAGCAAAUCCCUAACCUUUUCAAGUCCCUAACCUUUUGAAAUUUGAAAACAAAGCAAACAUGUGAUGUGAAUGGAAGUGUGUGAUCAGUUUCGAAAAAUUAAUGAAACUGCAAUUUCCAAACAAGAAACAGUUGCAUCCCUUCAUAGAGAAUGUGGUUUGAAGCAUCACCUUCCAAAUCCAUAAGGUCAGUUGUAGCUGCAACGCGGACGAGAGUGAAGAAGCUCCUUGGAAACUAGGCUCUUAGCCUUAUCGAGAAGACCGAUGAGGGACUCAACUGCAGAGGUCAGGUUUGACCUGAAGAAAAAGCUUGAGAUCUUUGCCGAUGGUAAGGAGCUGGAUGUUGUGGUCGAAACAGAAGACCUGGACGCGGCUGCUGGAGCUGCCGGCGUCGAAGGAUAUGGCUUAUAAGAUCUUGGAAGGCAGCUUGCAUGGGAGCUGAUUGCUCAAAUUAGCGAUGAUGGUGCGAUGAUGAUGAUGGGAAGUAGGACGCGCGGGUGUUCCUGCUGGUGAACUUUGACGGCGCGAUGAUGAAUAUACGGAGCUCGCCGAGGCUUUCAAUCUACGACAACGGGGAGGGAGAUGAAGGGGAGGUGUGGCGACGGGUAGGGUUGGAAGGGUAGGAACGGAGGAGAAGAGGUUGAAGAUGAGUAAAGUGGUAGGGGGUGAGGCCCACUGUUCUUUAAAGUUUUUUUUUUUAUUUUUUAUUUUUUAUUUUUUUUGCUUUAUAGGUUAACAUUUCUUAAUAUUUAAUGAAUUUUUUAAUAGAGAGUAGUCCCAAGUCACGUCACUAUUUAACAGAAGAAUUGACAGAUAAGCUGAUGAAAGGUAUGAAAUUGUAACAAAUUUGUAGGUGAGGUAUGCCAUUGAAAUUUUUAAAAAAUGGGAUAUGAAAUUGUAACUGACCCAAUAAUUGAGAUAGUUUUAUAUAAUUUACCUUAUAUUUUUUUAAAUUUUCAUUCACUUGUACUAUGAUUUUAUUCAUUGGAACACGAUUCUAGACACACUAUAAAAUCUCUCCACACAAUGUACAAAAACCGGAUGCUGUGGGCACGUGUCGAUACACGGCGUGGAAUCUUACGACUGGAAUCGAAAAUUACCUGGCCGAUUGUGCGCCGAGCCAUGAAAUUCUGGAAACGAUUUUGUACUAACGGACGAGAGCGCACCGAAGAAUCUCACUGCUCCGGAUAAAAGGAUCGUGCACCACGUGUCCGUACGUGGUUGGUGGUGACGGGGUUCUUAUUCUUUUUGUGAUUUGAGAGGUGCCAUAAACAGUGUAGAAAAAGGUGCUUCGCUUAAAGAGAAAAAAAAAACACAAUCCAUUCACAUGACAGUUUUGGCUCCUUUGGUUUUUCAUUUCCCGUUAAACAUGAGGCUCUCUAUUGUGUUUGAGGUGCACGUUUUUUUAUUUCUCGUUCUAUUAUUUAUUUAAUAAUUAUUAUUCUUAAUUUUUUUAAGUCUUUCAAUUCGUUUAUUAAAAAGUCAAGAGUCGUGUGUAAAAUAUGAAAACAAAAUGUGUAAAAUUACGGACGACGCCUUCCUCCAACAAAGAAAAAUCAAUCAAGUAUCAAUAAGGGCACCGUAAAAAAUCUCAUACAAAGAACUUGCCCAAUAAAAUUACUUUUAAUUUUGCCAAAAGGUCAUCUGAGCAAAAGAAGAUAAAGAAUUCAAUUCAUGUUAGCGGCAAGGGCAUAAUUGGCUAUCAGAAUAUGAUUUCUUUAAAAAAAAUAAGAAAUACUGGUUACUUUCUCACAUCCUUUUCUAUCCUCAGUUUAUCAUAGAAAUCUACUACAUUACUCGAGUCAUCCAACAUUUCAUAGAUUUAAUAACGACAGCAUGUCAAAUUUGUCCAAAAAGUUGGAAUUUAUAACUGUGAUAAUAAUAAAUUUUUGGUCAUCGACUUGAUUGUUCUUGCACUAAUUGAGUUGACGACCAAGAGUUUGUCAUUUUCGCUGUUAUAAAUUAUGACUUUUUGGACAACUUUGGCAACAUCAUAAUGAUUGCGUGUCUAUUAUAACAGUUUGCUUUUCGAGAUUCGUUCCACUUAGCCCUCAUUUAUAAACAAUCAUCGGCCAUUGGUUGAUGAAGAUCCCAAAUUGGUUGUAAAUACUAGUCAUGUAGUUGGACAACUUCCUAUGUGCACACGGAAAUUGUGUAGGAUGUAUGCGCUCUACUCACCUAAAAGCAUCUCCAAUUUCAUGCUUUCUAUUUUCAAGUCAAAUUUUAGCUAAAAAUACUAUAAAGUUAAUUUAGGAGACCACUAUAAAAAUUGAACUCCAAUCAAACUCUCUAUUUUAGAGAGUCAUAAUAAUUGUGAACCAAGGAAUAAAUUUUUUACUUAAAAUACUAUUGAAAUUAUAAUAGUUAAUGCUAUGAGCUCCUUUCGCACUCCCUAGAUUUAGGAGCUCCUAUAGGUUUUGCUAUCUUAGGAGCAUAAUAGGGAGUGUGAUAAAAAUAUAUAUUUUUCAACUUCUCUGCUCCUUAUACAGAAUUGCUCUCCUAAGUUCCGAAUUUUGAGGACAUGUGAGGUCCUUUUUUUUAUAUGAACUCUCAGAUUAAUGUUAUGGUAUAUUAAGCUAUCAACAUAAAUAAUCUAUAUCACACCGAAACACAAUAAUUCUAAAAAGUUAAUAAAUUAAAAAAAUAUCUUGCGUGAAACCUACCUUCUUUUUCCCCAACUGUCUGUCUCCUCCACAUCCCCUUCCUCUCUCCAUCUGUCUCUCGAUUGUUCACUUCCCUUUUCUCUUCUUGAGUUGUUUUUCCCCUUUUUUGCAUAUGAAAAUGGGAGAGGGACUUGUUUCAAAAUUUUCACUAUCUUCGAAGAUUUUCAUAUGAAAAAAGGGUUCAUCCGUUCAAGAAGAAAGGGAUCCCAAAAUUUCAAAACCGCAAAAUCUCAAAUUUUUUUGGUUCCUUGUAACUAGGUUUGAAUAUUAUUGAUAAAAGAUUGGAUGAAAUUGGACGUGUAAAAUUAUUAGGGUUGUUUAUACCAUAUUUAGGGCCUCUGUAUUUAGAUCUCGUAUAAAUACUCGGGGGACUUAAAUGUAAUUAUGUAAUAAAGGAAUGGGCAAAUAUGUAAUAAGUGAGGAGCCUUUAUUCUAUAAAAUGACUCCUCACCCUCACAAUGGAGGGAGACCAUUUCUUAAGCCUUCUCACCCUUCUCACAUCCCCUCUCAUAUUAGAGGUUCUCUCCCUCACCUCUCAGGUAAAUACAUAAUCAGUGUGGACGUAGCUCAAACCUUAGGGUGAACCACGAUACAUCUUGUAUUAUUUACAUUACUUACAGAUUCACGGUCGAAUUUAUGUUGUUCCAAGACCUCCGGUUUUGUGCAUCAACAAGGGUUUUAUGCAAUUGGAUUUUUUUAGGUUUAGAUAUAUUCAAUGGGGAGACUAGGUUUUGCAUACGGAAAUGAUUAGACAUGACAUCAAUCCUUCUUCUUUCUUCUUAUUUUAAUUUUGUUUUAUCAAUUAGUAUUUUGUUUCCAUAUAACAUGAAUUAUUUAAGUUGAUAGCUUAAUCUACUUAAGAUUAAACUGAGGGAUCAUAUGAAAAAAAACCUCACAGGUCCUUAAUUAAGGAUCUUAAAAAAGCAGCUCUGUCUUCUUAUAUUUGGUUAAGAUCUCAUUUAGAGAGCCCAUUAGAGAUGUUCUUAUACGUGGGUGCCCAUUUUCCUCUAAUUCAUGCUAUUUUUUUCGUUUAUAAUAUUUACAUAUUCAUGUAUUGUGUAAAUUUUGAAGCAUUGAUUGAUUUCAUUUACAAUCUUGUACAAGUAGGGGAAGUGAAGUAUUUGUGUAAUUUUUGUUUGAUAUUAAAAAUAGAAGUUACAAUUUUUUUCUCACAGGUAGUUUGCUUUUUUAUUUUUUGUACUUUUUGAGUCGAGCAGUAGCAUUAACAUAUUAGAUUAGUUAUCAAUGGAGUUCGAAUUCACAUCGUUAUGCAAAGGCACAACAUUUUUUCACUAUUAUGGUAUAUGGCCACUUGCAGUUUUUUUAAGAGUGUUUGAGCAAAUUAACAAUAAAUUGCGUUAGUGGUUAGCGUCUUUCUAAACCAGAUCCAAAUCUUUUUCUUUUGAUAGUGUUUUUAAGAGUGUUUGAGCAAAUUAACAAUAAAUUGUGUUAGUGGUUGCGUUAGUAUGGGAUAUGAACCAUAUUUGACAACAAUUGAGUUCAAUAGAGUUUCUGUUUACUUUUCGUGCCUGUUAUAGGGCUGCGCAUCAAGUGGCUUCUUAUGUCAAGCGUGUGGGGGUUUUCAUAUGUGGGAUCGUUUUGAACCAUAGUGGUUGUUUAAUACUAUGGCUUCUGAUGUAAACAUUUCAAUUCAUCUUUAAUAAUAUUUGAAUUUUGACAAAAAAUGGUAAAUUGCACUUUACCACCCCAGGUUUGGAGUCGAUUUCAAUUCCUUACAAUAUCUUUAAAAUAUUUCACUUUCAUACCUCAAGUACUAUUUUAUUUCAAUAUAGUACAUCAGUUACAUUUUCCAUCCAUUGGUCCGUUAAGAGCUGACGUGGCUGCCACAUUUGUGCCAUGUGGCAAUUUAUUUAUUUAUUUAUGCAUUUAAAAAGUAAUAAUUUAAUCAUAAUAUUAAAUAUUAUAAAAAUUAAUUAAAAAAAAAACCCCUAAAACUAAAACAAUUGUCUUCCCCAUCCUAGCCGCAUUCACCCGAACCCAUGUUUUCCCCAUCCCUAGAACUUCCUUUCUCUUCAUGUUUUCCAUCACCACAUGGUCAAUCAUCGUCUUCAUCUCCCACCCGAAGUCGAUUUUCAUCUUCCACCCAAAUUGAGACAAAUCUCAGCAAAAAAAAUUGAGAAUUUUGGGAAUUUUCAAAAAUAGAAUUCAAAUCAAGAGAGAUUAACAUUAACGUACAUCGUAGGCUUUUGAGAUUUGCUUGAAUUUGGCCUCAGCGGCCUUCUUUUUGUUAGGGUUUUUAUCAGGGUGCCACUUCAUGGCGAGCUUCCGAGGUUAGAAUGAGAGAAGGAGGAAGAGAAAGAGUGAGAGAAGGAGGUUGCCGGGAUUAGGUGGGACGGCGACAAUAGUGUGUAGGGGAUGGGCAAUAGGUUCCAUCUUUGCCUUUUUUUCUUCUGGGUAAUUUAUCUUAGAUCGUGUGGGACGGCAACAAUGGUGUGUAGGGGACGUGGCUGCCACAUUUUCCAUCCCUAGUUGCUGGUUGUUUUUGGGUGAGGUGGGGGUGGUUUGGGGGGUUCAGGGGUUGGGUUGCAAGUGAGGGGAAGGAGGAGGUUGAAGGGAGGGGAGGUGAAGAAAGUGGAGAGGGGUUGCAGGGAAGGAGAAGGGAUGAGUUUAUGGGUUUGUUUGUGUCUUUUUUUUUUUAGUAACUUUUGUUUAAUUAAUUAUUUUUAAAUGUAUAAAAAAUUAUUUUUUGCCACGUGGCAUAAAUUUGGCAGCCAUGUUAGUACAAAUGUGGAUCAUAUAUUUGCCACAUCAUCACUUAACGAAUUUUCUAACGGAUGUAUUAUAUUAAAAUAAAAUAGUACUUGAGGUAUGAAAGUGAAAUGUUUUAAAGAUGUUCUAAGGAAUUGAAAUCGACCCCAAACCUGAAGGGGUAAAAUGUAAUUUAAUCAAAAAAAUAUCUAUUACAUUUUCUACAAUUUAGAUGAAAUUCAGACGUAUCAUAUUCUUUUGUCGAAAAAUAAAAACAAAAAAUUCAAAUAUGACUGGAUUGCCCUUAUUCGUCUCGCAUUAAAAACAACAAGGUCAACGAUUCAUAUUAACCCACGUAACAAAGAAUCUCGAAGAAGCACCCCACAAAAUACCAACCGAAAGUAAAAGAAAAAGGAAAAUAAUAAAUACUAAUUCAUAAUUACAUUUUCGCCGCGUGAGUACGGAUUCCAAAGAUUCCCUUACUUACCGUGAAAACUCGUUCCCGAGUUAAGAAACUGAGUCAGCGAGUUGACCCGGGGACGCGAGGACCCGCUUAUGUGAACCACUGAAUCUUUGUGUGUCCUGAAUCUCAUAUUCCAUUUAAAUUCGGGCCUCUCUGUUCCUUAUCAGGUUUUUAUCAGGGCAAUGCUCGAAAUCGAGAUAGAGAGAGAAAAUUAACAACAACGAAGAGAGAGAGAGAGAGAGAGAGAGAGAGAGAAUGGAGCUGCUGAGCUUGGACUCCAGUCCUCUGUUCGUCCCGAAAACAAUCACCGACUUUCUCGCUCAGCUCUCCGCCAUUAAAGACGGCUCUCAGAGGUCUUCAGAGCUCGAUGGGAACGUGAAGAGACUGGAAGACGAACUCAGAAAGAUUGAAGUUUUCAAGCGGGAGCUUCCUCUCUGCAUGCUUCUCCUGAGGGAUGGUGGGUUUUUGUUCUCUCUCUAGACUCUUGCUCUCUAAACUCUCUCUCUAGGAUUUGGUUUUUGAUCAUAUUUUUGAGAUGGGUUUUUGAUUUGGUUUGAUGGGUAUGCAGUGAUUGAGCGGUUGAAGGAGGAAGGAAUGCGGUGGAGGCGAAUUGAAGAGCGGCCGGUGAUGGCGGAGUUCAUACCGUGGAAGGGCAAUUCUGAGGAGGACGGAGGGGCAGUUUCGGGAAAGGAAAAUAUUGACAAGAAGAACUGGAUGAGCUCUGCGCAGCUAUGGAGCACAAGCAUCAAUGUUUUUGAUUACACCAAACACGACUCUGAACUUAAACCGGUUAAUUUCUAAAUUCCCCCCCCCCCCUUUUUAUAAGACUGAAACUUUAUUGGGGGUUUUCUGAAAUUUCAUAUUUUCUUGGAUUUUUAUUUUACAGGGGAAUGAGGAAGAUGAUCGGUCGGCGGCGGAGAACCCAAUUGAGCUGAGUAAUAAGAAAGGAGUGGGAGGGGCAUUACUGGCAUUCAAGGGUCAGAAUGAGUUGUCUGGUUUUGCAAACCCACGUUUGAAGGGAGACAAGGAGGUUACCGUGGUUCCAAACCUUUGUCUUAUGACUCCAUUGAUGUCUGAAGCACUGGCUGGUUCUGCAAAUGCAAACUCUAAGACCAACCAUGGCUGCAGAGGUGGCGGUUCGGGUUCUGGUAUGGCAGGACAAUUGAAAUUACAGAACAAACCCCAACAGCAGCCACAGCAGCAGCAGCAGCAACCCUUAAGGAAACAAAGGCGGUGCUGGUCGGCGGAGCUCCAUCGCCGCUUUGUUGAUGCCCUUCAGCAGCUUGGAGGAACACAAGGUUGGAGCUUUAUGACCCGAAAAUAUUUUAAUUGUGCUAAUUGAAAAAAAUUGACAUUAAUUCUCGGACUAAGAAUUGGAAAAUUUGACGAGUUUCAAGAUUUAUUGUUGGUUUUCGGAGAAAAUGUUUGAUCUUUAUGCUGCCAAACUACUUGAAUUUAGUCCUUUUUUUUCGAAUUGAAUGCUCCUCUAUGUUUAGAUUUUAUGUGCUUGUUUCUAAUUUGUCUAAUCUGUUUUUUGUAGUAGCCACUCCAAAGCAGAUAAGAGAACUUAUGCAGGUGGAGGGUCUCACCAAUGAUGAAGUUAAAAGCCACUUGCAGGUUCGUUAAUUACUUAAGUUUCUCUUAUCUGUAAUCACAAUUUUCUUUUUCUGACUCUACUGGAUGAUUGUUUGCUCAUAUUUUUUUCUGAUUUCUGUGCAGAAAUACCGCCUUCACAUCCGAAAGCUCCCGCCUUCUUCGGCUGCUGGCCAAGGCAAUGACUUACUCGUGCCCUUGGAUCACAGUGGAGAGCAUACUAAGGCAAACAACGCACAGUCUGGUUCUCCACAGGGUCCUCUCCUCGCAGGAGGGUUUGCCAAAGGCCGAUCCACAACUGGAGGCGAGUCGGGCGACAGCAGGGAAGGUGAAGAGGAUGAGAAAUCGGAUGGACAGAGUUGAACAAGUGGGAAUCACAACCACCACCACCACCAAGGAGCUGGAGAUGUAUAGAGUCUCAUAAAAUCAUCAUCCCGCAUGAGUUUUGCAGAUACAAAUAUCCAUGGGGAAAAAUCAAAGUCUCUGGAUUUGGGAAUUAUGAGCGUAUAGUAGUAAUAAGCGGAGAAUUUGCCAUUGUAGAGCAAGUUUCUUCCUCUGGUUCUUUUAUAUAGGUUUAUUAUUAUGUAAUGUGCCCUUGAUUAAUGUAGGAAGUAACAUGUUAAUGUUUCCCAACAUGACGUUAUUCAGUUUAAUGUGUUUCUAUGCCCUAGUUCUGUUGUAUUAGCUUAAUUAUGCUCUAAUAUAUGAACUGAAGGUUCAAAUUGAGAUCUAUGGACUAGAAGAAAUCUGCUACAUACUGUUUUCCUUCGGAAAUACAUUGCGGUUGCAGAUAUGACAGUUCCGGAUUUGGAUGAGAUCGAACCCUUUCAUCGUAGGAUUCGACAUGAAAACCUGAGUCCAUCCUGAAUGGAGAAUAGGUAUACCUGCGGACAAUUCCCCUUUCCAUGUCCAAAAUAGAGGGCUUGCCUUGCUUCUUGUGUUAAUGCUUGUCAUCAAGCUCUGACAUCAAAAUUUUGUCCAACUGAACUGAAUCCUAAAAAUUUUGUCCAUUUGCCAGUUAACCUUUGCACCUGCAUUGUCCUUGAAUUCUUAGUAGCAUGCCAACUUCUCUCUCUCUCUCUCUCUCUCUCUCUCUACUUUUAUUUUCCGCUGCAAGAGCAUUCCUAGGGUCAGUGGCACACGUCCACCGACUGUUCCCGACCAUUAUGCAUGCGGAGGCCAAAAUGUAUUCACAGUUAGAAGUAAUUGACACGUGUUAGCGAUUGAUCCUAGCAUUUUCUCUGUUGCAAAACCAAUGUCACGCUACUAUAUGUAUUAUUUUCAAUCUUAAUGGAUUGCCUCAGAUUACUCUCCAAACAAAACGGCAUGGUAUUCGCUGAAGCAAUAGCUUCGUUUCUGGUCAUGUACACGGUUAGGUAUUCGUCAAUUCCUCAAGAGUCAGCGUCAAAUGAAAUCUGGAGACCUAACUAAUCAUAUAAUCGAUUUCUUCUCUCAGACUAAUUAAUGGGUUACAUUAGUUAAUGUUAUCCAUUUAAAUUAACAUCUUAAUAAUCCUCAUCUUACAGCUAGGACCAUGUAAAGACAAAGCAGUCACCUUCAAGAUCGCAAAUUUUUUUUUUUAUUGAAUCUCUCAAAAGAGUUGAUAGGAGAGUCAGCCUCCAAUAAUCUUAUGCUUAGAAAAUUAAAUAUUUCAAACGAUUAUUUUUUUCCCAAAAUUUCAGAAGAUGAUUAAUUAGUACCAAACAUUUUCAUAUUUUAAUUAUCUUGAAUGUCAACUAUUUGAUUUGGUUUUUAUUUAUUAUUUGUCGGGUUUAUGGAUUCUUUAGAUUGUAUGGGAGCACAAUCCUGACCUAAGAUUUUGGUUGGCCUAAAUGUUUGGACUGUCACUGUUUUAUACCAACAAAUAAUCUACUAAUAAAGUCUCAACCAACCAAUUUUUGGAGCAUAAAUAACAGAACAAUUUUUAAACCAGCAAAGAAGCGAUCUACGAGUAUGUUUAGAGGGGGUAUUGUUCUUGUAUCGAGAUUUCCGUGGUUAAACAAAUGCUUGCAGUGUCAAACUGUGAACUUCUACGUCAGCGUUAGUGUCAUGUAGAUGGUUUGAUUUUGGGGAAACUUUUCAGAUAAAAACCAUGCUGAAUAUAUAUAUAUAUAUAUAUCUAUAUAAAAUAUGUUCCAAUUUUCCUUUUUGGAGUGUAUGCUGCCAUGCUAAUAGUAGUCUCUCAGUUAAUAUUAAUGUUUGCUACGAUUAUAAUGGUUAAACCGGAUAUAGUGGCAGAUUUAGAAUUUUUUUUUUUUUUUUUUUUGGUGGACGAGGUAUAAAAGUUUGGUGUGGUGUUGUUGUCUCCUUGUUGGUGGGAGGGUCUUAAUGAGGUAGCAUGGAAGGGAUUCAGGAAGGAAGUUAGGAUGAAGAAAUUUGAGUGAAGUAUUUUAAUUUGGGUUAAAUGGAUUUGAAAAGCAUGAGAAAAAAAAAUGUCAGGUGGUUUCGGUUAGAAAAGAAAAUCUGCAGCGUGGUCUCACCCUGUAUUGCCUAGGUGAUGAGUUAGGAUAUAGAGAAUUUUCAAGGUCUGCUCACCCUUGUAAGGAUCUCUUGUUGGCCUGUUAGUGAAAUUUUUUUGUGAAACGAAUAUACCGUCCCCAUAAUGUCCCACAAUUAUGACAAUGUACAUAUUUCAUAUAAGUCAUUCUUAGUCGCUAUUAACUUGUGUUAGAUUGGCACUAUAUAUAUAUAAUUUUUAAGCACUUUACUUCCUAAUCAAUGAAUUCUUUCAAUUGAUGUUAGACCUUGCAUUGAGGCCUUUGGAAGGUUCAACUGAGAGCUACGCACUUCUGAUUACAAGUCACAAGCGGUAAGGGGUUUUGGAGGGACAAAGCGAGACCGAAAUAAUAAUACAAGCAAACUAUGCUAAUUUAGUUGGGUUGAGUUGUAAAUUUUAACAUUUUACUUUGGGUGAAAACUCGAUUGCUCGUUUAAUAAGUGCGUUGUAAGUAUUAUUAACACGAUUAAAACCAACUAAUGCGAAUAUCAAUAAUCCCAACACGUAGAACUUGCCCAACAUAACUCGCCUUAGAGUGCUUUGGGUGAGUUAGGCUUGCCCCUUCUUUUGGGUGGAAAUUUGUUUCAAUUAUAGCAACCCAAAUCUAUUAGAUUAGCUAACGGGUUGAAAUCCAACUCAACUAACCCACUCAAUGCGCACCCUAACCCCCUUCCUCUCCCUUUUCCCUCCUCCUCUCCUAACUUUCUACUUUUUUUUUAAACAAAUAAUAUUAUCUAUACUAAGGAGUGGAAGAGUGUGCUAAGCAAGGUUCUAAAAAAUACUAUGCGCUAGUCGGGCGGCGGGUGGGGGUCUAGCAUAGACGGCUAGGCGGGCGCCUAGGCGGUCUAGGCGGAUUUAUGUAAAUUUAUUAUAUAUCUUGUAAAUAAGUGUCUAUUUACACCUAAAAAAAACUAUACUUUAAUUGUAUGGAUAAUAAAAGAAUGAUAAAAUGCAAAAAUAGAAGUAGAAGAAUACACAAAGUAUAUACAUAAAAAAAGUUCAAUAUUUAAAAAACAGUAAGCAUAUAAUCAUAAUGAGGAUGAUUCUUGGAUGAUAGACUAAAUUCUUCUUGUUCAUGAUCCUUGCAUUGGAUUGGAUAUAGACUAAAUUAUUUAACCUUAUUGUAUCUAGUUUAUUUCUUUCCUUUAUAUGUAUCCCCUCAAAAGUGCUCUAAUUCGUUUCACUAUUGGAUGAACUUGUAGUAAAUCCAUCAUUUGCAAAUUAGGUACACCAUUUUCAUAAGUAUACCACCAUGAAACCAAAAAAAAAAAAACACACAAUUAAUAAAAAAAAUUAAAAAAUAAAAACCGCCUAGGAGCCAGCUAGGACCGCCUAGGCAGUUACCUAGCUCCAGACCGAUUUUUUGAAACGAUUUGCCCUAAAUUGCGGGAGGGCUAACUACACUUGGCACAUUUCAUAUUUUGAAUAUUUUUAAUAGAAGCCACAAGAUUUUAAUUUUCUCAUAUUUCUAGGUUUUGAAAUUGUAUCCAUUUACACAUUUUAUCUAAUAAAUUAUUUAAAUGUUCAUUAAAGUGAUAACAUGGUAAUCAUGUAGCUCGUAACUCGAUUGACAUGUAAGCUAUAUUUGCACUAUAUAGCCUAAAAAUCUCAUCAAUUUAAUGAAUAAAUAUACAAAAAAUGCAAAUUGAUAUAAUUUCAAAAUUUUAGGAGACAUCGUGAGAAAAUUGAUGCUUCCUUACUCAAUUUAAAAAUCAUCUCAAAGUGUAAAAUGUCGUUGGCCGAUUAAUUUACAAGAAUUAAUUCUAGUUAAUUCAGUACUUAAAGGGGGCGUUUGUUUCACCUCUUUAGGAGAGACUGGACUGGACUGGACUACAGUCCCAUGUUUGAUAGGUGAUGGGACUAAGUUAAGUGGGACUAAAGGGGACUCGUGUGGACUAAAGGCCUCCUUAAAGGUUCUUAGCGAGGCACUCCCCAAACCAUGGGACUUGCUAAGACCUGCUUCUUCCUCCUCCCUGCGAGCCCCUCUGUGAGUUAUUGGCUUCUUCCUUUGCUCUUAUGUUUUCACAAACGCCGAGAGCCACCAUCAUUCCCCCUCGCCAAUUCCCCCUUCCCCUCUUCCUCUCUCCUCGCUUUCUUCUCUUUCUGCUCCGCCAAGAUCCGAGCUCAACUCGAACUCGACCGCGUUUCAAUUCGAACCUCCGAGAUCAUGCGGUGCAAAAUCCAUUGCAGGAAGGAGCUGCGAUCACGGUUUUGGAUAUGAUGGUUUCAGUGUGAGUCUGCGACUCUGUGUGGGUGUGGAGGAAUUGUCGUUGCUUUUGUAGACUUGGAGGUCUCUCAGUCUCAUCGGUUAAUCUUGUUAUUCUUAAUUGUUUUUGGCAGUUAAUAAAAAAAAAAAGAGGAAAGGGAAGGAGAGUGUGGGACGGAGAGAACGAGGAAGAAAAGGAUGGAGGCUUCCACAAAGAGAGGGAGAGUAUUAUUAGAAGAAAAAGAAAAGAUAGAAUUAAUUAAUAUAAUAUUAUUAGAUAUGAAUUAAAAAAUAUAAAAUAUUAUAGUUUGUUAUUAUCCUUCUUUUUAGUUCGACAUUGCAUCAAACGCUUUACUAAGUCAGUCCAGCUUAAUCUAAUCUAAGUCAGUCCAGCGUAGUCCUGAAGCUAAUCCAGUCCGAGAUCCGGUUCAACAAACGCUCCCAAAUAGUCCAAGUUAAGAACUGCGUGGCGGCGUGGCCUACUAACCGACUCACCGAGGAUUGCCUCCAGAUUCCUUCCCUCCCUCCGGUCCGACCCCUUCUCUCUAGUUCCGGAACCAUGAGAGAAAUCGUCACUCUCCAAGUUGGAAGCUUUGCAAAUUUCGUGGGCUCCCAUUUCUGGAACUUCCAGGUACUUGUACAGCUUUACUCAAAAACCCAUUAACUGUUUCUUUCUGCAAAUUUGUUAGCAUAUUCAUAUAUGUUUGAAGGAUGAACUACUUGGGUUGGCGGAGGACCCUAACUCCGACCCGGUAUUCAAGAAUCAGUCUUUGAACAUGGACGUGCUCUACCGCUCUGGUGAGACGCACCAGGUUUGCAGAUUUUGUAGUUUUUCAAUUUAUACAAUUUAGACAGUUUAAAUCAAUUGUUGUGCUUAUGGUUCACUUUCUUUACGAGACUGGUGAAUUUUGACAUGAACAGGGCACUGUGACUUACACUCCCCGCCUCGUUUCGGUUGAUCUUCAAGGUACUUUUAAAACUUCAAUUGGGUUUGUGUAUUUGGUGGCCUAGGAGCUCGUUUGGAGUGCUUUUGAAAAGAUUGAAAGCUCUUUUGGUAAAAAUGUUUUCGAAACCAAUCCUUAGUAAAAAAACAAGUGAAUCCUGGAAAAAGCACUUAAAUGCUUUCGGAACCAAAAGCAUUUUCUCUAUAAGCGCUUUAGUCACUUCCAAACGAGCCCUAGAAUGUAUGGAAGUCGUAAAUUUUCAUUCUUUUUGCCUGUUGCAGGUUCCCUCGGGUCUAUGAGUACACGUGGCACGUUGUACGAUGAGAGUUCAUCUGCAUCAUCAAACAUUUACACAUGGUCAGACCCUUUUUUUAUUGGGGCUUUAAAAAAUUGUGAAUUUGAAUGUGUUACCAUAUAUGCUCUCUUUAUUGUUGUAUAUAUGAAUUUAUUAUCCCCUGGACCAAUGUGUAGGGGUGGUAAUGUUACUACUCAAGUCGCCGAGCCUCAUAAAAAGAAUUUGUUCUUACGAAGUUUGUAUGAGGAAGAGCCGGUGAAUCUUUUGACUCUUGGAAAUGGUGUCAAUGCUGGGGGGAAGAGUUGUCGAGGAGAAAUUCAUGACAGUGACAAAGUGGAGAGUUUAGAAAAUGGGGUCCAGUACUGGACUGACUUUUCAAAAGUUCACUAUCAUCCCCAGAGUUUAUAUGAAUUGAGUGGAUUGUGGGUAGAUCCUCAGAAAUUUGACAAUUACGGGAUUGGAAGAGAGUCCUUAUCAGCAGGUUUACAGGGAGAAGAGGUUAGUGAGAGGCUUCGCUUUUUCGUAGAAGAGUGCGACCAUAUUCAGGUAUAUUUUGUCGUACAAACCAUUCUCCUUUACUUUGAUCUAUUUGCAUUUUUCUUGGCUUAGUUGGUUUUGUGGAGGGGUUGAGUUUCGCUCUAAAGCUGUCGGUUAGUGCUAGUUAAGUGAGCUUCUAAGGAGUGUGUGAUGCCUACUUUGGUAUAGCGGCUACUACACCAACCCCGUUUUCUGUUGUACAUGCAUAUUUCACAUAUGUAGAUACUGAAGUCGGAAGGGCUGACAGUAUUCAAAGAGUGAAUUUGUUGUCCUUCUAAAAUUUUCAUUCAAGUUAUGGUGUUAAAGAUCUUGACAUAUUUGUGAAAUUACUCUCCUUUUUUGGUCUUCAUUAAUUACUCCACUUAGUGGGAUAAGGCUUUGUUGUUGUUGUAUUAAUUAUUCAUCUGCAAUACAAACCAUCUUUUGCUGUCAAAUAUACUCUACGUGUACUUUCUAUUGAUCAUGUAUAAAUAGUGUCUUUCUAGUUAUGGACAAUUGUGUUCACUGUCCAAACUACAUAAGCUGUGUUUACAUGGACAAUUGUUUAGAGACUGAACGCCGCACAGGCUAAUACUGACUUUGGUAAGUAUAUCUUUGUUAGCCUUCUGAACAUCUAGGGUAGAAGUAGUAUCCAGUAUUUUCAGUUUCAAAUGAAUUUUCAGCGCUCCUUUUUUGCAUAAGCCUCUUAAUGUUGGUGUUCAACAUGAAUUUUUUAAUGAAUAAACUUGAGUCUUUGUGUUUUGGCAGGGUUUUCAAUUCAUCGUUGAUGACUCAGGAGGUUUCUCUCCUCUAGCUGUGGAUGUUCUGGAGAGUAUUGCAGAUGAAUACACAAAUGCUCCAGUGUUGCUCUAUGCUGUGCGUGGUCCUGGUUCUUCCAUGGACCCCAGAAGCCAGAAGCAGAGAGUUAGUAGGAAGCUUCACGAUGCAGUUUCAUUUUCAAAGCUAUCAUCCUUAUGCAAAUUGAUUGUUCCAGUCGGGUUACCCUCAUUGAGUACAAGUAAGAAAUCUUGCACUUCUUGAAUGCAUUAUUCAUUCAAUUGAUUUUCAAGUCUCUUCAGAUUCAUUUUACAUGUUGGUCCAACAUUGUGAUUUUAGAGCCUUUGUCCCCUUGGAUAUCUGGUGUCAUCCUAUUUGUCAGGAACUCUGCUUAGGUUGUUAAAUGGCCCACCAAAAGGAGUAUUGGCAUAAUUGAUAUGGAGGCUAGGUCUAAAAGCUUCAUUUGAACCAAUGGUUUGCUGUUCAGUUUCUACGAGAGUGUAGAUACUCUCUUGGUUUCUCUGUUUCGAAUAAGUUACACUUUCUUGUGGAAUAAUAUUCUCUUCACUUGAUUUGAAAGGUAAAGCUUCAAGAUUUCUCAGCAUCAAUGAUAAAAAGCCUUAUCACUGCAGUGCAGCUUAUGCUGCUACCCUACAUUCUAUUAGUCUUCCGUUCCGAAUGGAACCACUCGGGCCCACUGCAGACUCAUCUUAUGCUUCUGGUGCUGUGACUAUUAGUGAGGUUGUGCAAAUCCUAGCAGGGCAAGCUAGGCAGAAUAUGGUUGCCAUUCUGGAUGCUGCAAUGCCAUCCCCUUCUUUAACUGGUAUUUCCUUCAAUCGAUUUUUGUAUCAGACCCUCAGUUGUUAGCAGUGAUUUUGGUUAAUUAUUGUCAUUUCCAACAGGGAAUUGGGUUGGUCAAAAUUUAACAGGGAAUUUGCAGCCAUUGACACCAGAGAUAGCAGAAGAUGUCGAGGAUUUACAGUCAUUAGAAUCCAUGAUAGUCCAUGGGGCCCUAGGAUCAGGUACUUUCUAGAUCAGUGAAGCACUAGUUUUUCUUUAUUAUUUUUUCUUUAGUACGUUGAGAAUGUUAAACAUGCUCAUUCAGGAUACUUCAUACUGUGCACUUUUGGCACAUUGUUCAAUGAUUAUAUUUUCUGAAUAUGAAAUUUAAUGAAUGCCUAGUUGCCUUAGUGGCUACUGGCUAAAGCAAUGUAACUUUGAGCGUUGGCGUUAAAUAGAUCUAAAAUCUUAAGGUUAUAAAUUUUUUGUUUUUUUUUGUUUGGUCAUGACAUUUUAUUCACUAGAAAUCAAAUCUGGUGGUAUCUGUUAACUGGAACUUGGGAGAGACUUAAAACCAUCUAUCAGAGGUUACAAGAUAACUCAGGAGAGACUUAAAUCCAUCUAUAUUUCUUGGCAAAAAUAUCUCCAAAAAUUUCGCUCUUGUGAUAACUGCGCUCUUCUUCCAUCUUAUUCUUGUUAUCACGUUCACUGUCAUUGAUUACACUCUAAAACUGUACUGCAUUUCAUUGAUGUAUAUGGUAUAGCUAAUUUGUUACUUUAGAGGAAAUGUUAGUUUUGUGCUUGUGGAAUUACAAGGCCUUUGAUUGAAACGUCGCUUGUGGAAUUACAAGGCUUGUGGAAUGCUUAUUAUAUUUUAAUUCAUUGUUUCUGUUCAACAGGAGGUCAUCGAGCAUCAAUUUCUGAAGUUAAGGACACAGUCCAUGCUGCCUAUGAGCAUGGAAUAACAAGGCCUAUGUUCUGCCAUCUGUCAGUGGCUCAAUGUCCUCUUCCAAUACCUUUGCCUUUUCCUUCAAUCUUUGGCAACCUUGUUGGCCAACAUGGUGAACUUUUGAGCACGCCAAUUGUUGGUUCCCCAUCAAGGGGAUCACUUGAUAUCCAUUCCAUCCCCAUGGCAGCUAGGCUACGGUCUAGCAGUGCCGUCUUGCCAUUUUUAGAGAAUAGAUUGGGCAGCCUUCGUAGCUGUGGGAUUGCCAGAGGAGCACCUGGGGCGGAGCUAGUUAGAAAUUGGGGCUUUGCAAAGGAUGAAUUGGAAGACAUGGGUGAGAUGCUGUCUAAAAUGAUUGCAACACUGGAUCUGCGUUCUGAAAUGUCCUCUGAUUCAGAUUAAUUUUCCGGUUAGUGUCUCUAUGUCUUUCUCUUUCCAUUUGUUCUCUGUAUAUUAUAUAAGCGAGACAGUAGUUGGUCUCAUAGAACCUCGAGUCCAAUAUGUAUGAGUUAAGCUUUCAUAGUCUUGUUUUCGGGUCCAAUAUGCAUGGGGAGAUUUGUGUGCCUAUGUAAUUUCUAAUCAUUUUAGCCAACUUCCCUAGAUUGUUGUGGUUGUAUAUAAACGAUGGUCCAAUUCAAACGUAGAUUCAAAAUUUAAAAUUAUUGAAUCAGCUUCGAACAGAUGAAUAUCGAGAAAUGGAGAUAAAGUUAUCAUAUAAACCAAAAUUUUAUGGUGAUGUAUGAUGAACAUCAAAAUUAUAAUUUAGUUACCGUAUUUAAGCCUCUGCUACUGCUAGAGUUAAGCAACAAGUCAUAAUUCUAGUGUGGUGAAUUGGUAAUACAUUGACCUCCAAAUAUACCAGAUCAGGUGCAAGUGCAACUAUUCUAUCCAGUAACAAAUAUAAAUUCGUAAUUCAUAUUUAUAUUCACGUAAAACGACAUCGCAUCAUCAUGACAUGCGACGUUUCAAUCAAUCAACUUUCUUAAUAUAAUUUAAAUUUCCCCUGGCCAAACAAAAACGCAAAAUGAAGUCGACGUCUCAACCAAUUAUUGGACAGCAUCGUUUCUUGGAAAGUCCUGCAAUCCGAGCCAGUCGACAUGGCGGAGUAAAGUAAAUAAAAGCGUCUUUGAGACGUCUCUGACGACGGCGGCGAAUACCAAAUCUUAUGUGGUAGAAAAUUCGGCGUCUCUUCUCGCCUUCCGCAUUGUCUUUCCUAGCAUUUUGGUGAAAUUCCUAACCUGUUCGUUAAGUUGUGUAUAUAUAUAUAUAUAUGUCACAUGUGACAUGUGUGCUGAAACCAACAAACAACUUACAUAACAUUCUGAGUUUCUCAUCAAACUAGAUUACUUUACAUUCUCUCCGUAUAUCCAUUCCAAUUUCUCUUCUUCUUUCUUCAGCCAAGAACAGCUUACAUGAUUGACUAAGUUUUGAGUCUCUUUGUUUUGCUUAAUAUGUCUCUGGUUUCAGUCGCAGUUGGUGCUCUCAGAACCGCAUUUCAAAUGCUAUUUGAUGCCGUAAAAUCAGCGCACGAGGAGAAUAAAACGUUCCAACACCUCCUCAGAGACAUCAAAUCAACACUGGACUCUCUACAACCACUCUCAUAAAAAAAAAAAUAUAACCCUGAAAGAGGGACUGGAAAAUUUCGCAAUACAGACAGAGGAGGGAGCAAAUCUUGUUCAAAAGUCCACAGGCCAACUUUGCUGCACUUUUGAACAAGAUUUGCUCCCUCCUCUGUAUUGCAAAAUUUUCCAGUCCCUCUUACAGGUUAUAUUGUUUGAUGAGGGGUUGUAUAGAGUGUAGUGUGGAUUUGAUGUCUCUGGGCAGGUGUUCGAACAUUAUAUUCUCCUCCUCAACUGAUUUUACAGCAACAAACGUCAUUUAAAAUGCAGCACCCAUUUCGACCGAAGCCACAUACAUUAUCUUGAGGAGGGAUACAGUCAAUUGUUUUCCACUUGAUUUUGCUUUAUUUAUACCACUGCCAUCAUAUCAGUGGCUGGAUUGGAGGGCAAUUAUUAAAAAUUAGGAGGGUGAUUUUGUGCGUUGGUUUGGGACGGAUUGGGAUGGGUAAGGUGCCUCAGUCAAACAACUUUUUACAUCAUCAAUCAAAAUCUCAUCAUCUAUCUUCUCUUGCAUAAACAAUCACAACUUAUUCACAUUUCGUUGAUAUAGAUGUAACCAAACAUCCUGAUUUACCAAUCAAAAUCCCAUUAAAGAGAGUCUAUUCAACUUAUUCACAUUUCGUUGAUAUAGAUGUAAUGCCUUUUACAUAUAAAUAAUUAACUUUAAUUUGUUUGUUUGUUUGAGAAAUUUGAACCUUUUGUCUUCGUUGUUAAUUUCGUUGAUAUAGAUGCAUGAUUACAUAUCAUUCAAUCAUUUUUGUUCAAACAUGACAUCCUUUAUCUUAAGCAUCUAUGUAUCAAAAAGAAGAACAAAGAUCAAGUAAUGAGAUACACCAAUCUAAUUCAAUGAGAAGCACUUUGAUUUGAUUUGCAAUUGAACAACCUUAGAUUGUUUGUUUGAGUUCAAAUUUAGGGGGAUUCUGAGUUUUUUUCCGACCAAUUUCAGGCCUUUUCGACCAUUUAUUGUUCCGGCAAGGGUGAUAUUCUUACUCUACACCCUCCAAUUAGCUUAGAUUGUAAAUUAGAGCAUCUAAGUUUUAGUUGUCCAUUGAAUUUUGGUUCAGUUUUACUUUAGGUCAACACGGGAUCCACCCACUUUGGCUCAAUUUUCUGUUGUAGAAAUACUUUCUAAAAAAUGCCUGUUACAUGUGUGGUUGGAAAGAAAUUAUGCAGAAUUUUAGGAGGGUGUAUUCAUUGGGAAUUUGAAAUAUUUUAAUUGAUUUAUAAAUUCAUGGAUUUUUAUAGAGUAAUUGAUUUGUAAAGAUUCCAUGUUUUCCCUCAAAAUUUCUUGGGGAGAUGUGAGAUUUGUAGAUGCUUAAAUAUACACUACAAAAUCUCUCUAAUUCCCUAUAGUUUCUCAACUUUUUCAAAUUCUUUAAAAUCAAAUUCUAAUUGAAUACACUUGGAUGUUAUAAACUUCUUUAAAAUUCUAAUUGAAUACACCCAGAUUUCUAAGGAUUUUAAUAAACUAUCUUAAAAUCCUGAUUGAAUACACAUUGAUUUUCAGAUAAUCACUUAAAUUCCUGAUUAAAUACCCUUAAAUUUAUUAAAAGAAUUAAAAUUCUUCAAAAUUCAAAUUGAAUACACUCCCUUUAAUUGGGUUUAAAAAGGUUGCUAAGUCCAUGGUUGAUUCUAAUUGGUAUACAUCCCUUGGAUGGUUGCCUUGGCCUUUUAGCCUUUGUACUUUUUGAUCGGGGCUUUGCCCUCCUUUGGUUAAUAUAUUUAUCUAAUUACAGAAAAAAAAAAAAAAAAUCUAUGAAUGAUUACCAAGAAGACAGUCAUAUAUUUUCAAUCUGAUAGUAUUUCAUUACCUGAUGCAAAACUUUUCCUCUGCCAGUUUAUCAAUUUGAAAUUCCAGGUUAUUUGUGGUUUGUGAAUUGACAGGUAUGUAUUGAGAAAUUCUUUAUUUUGAGUAUGUUCCUACCUGAAUAAGCUUUUAAUUAGUUAUGAAAGGUCAUAUAUUUUUUGGGUGUUCAUAAUUUAUGACACACACUCCGUUUCUUUUGAGUUGGAAUUGAAUAUUCUGCAGAAUUUCAUCAAUUUCAUCAGUUGGGUUGUUCGUCUUUUCUGAUUUCGAGAAUUGUGUUAUUCUUCUUUUGUGAUUUCUGGGUCUUCUUCUGGUUGUACGGUUUCAUGGUUUUUUUUCCCCUAUACUCAAAUUGUUUCGUUUGACAGGAAUCCAUAAAAAAAAAAAAAAUGUUUGAAUCUGAUUACACACCUCAUUAUGGUUUAAUUUGAAUAUCUGCAUAUUUGAUUUUGACAUUGUUUAAUUAGGAUAUUUUUAAUUUGAGUUUUUGAGUAGGAGGUUCAUUGAUUGUCUAUUAUUAUGGGAGGAAAUGUAGAUUGAAGGUGUCUGCUCUGUUUGGUUCCUGAGAAACUGAAAUGAUAGGAAAAAGAAAAUGUUUGAUCUGUUGAUUUCUCUGAUCUCUUCGUUUGGUUUUUUAUUUUUCCAUCAUAGAGCAUUUCAGAGAAGAGCCGUUGGAGAGGGGUGUGUUUGAACUUGGUAUGUCUCUCUAAUCUCUGUUAUUGAGGAAGAAAUUGGAUAUAUUGUUCUACUUUUUGAUUUGUUACAAGUCAUUUGAUUGUCACUGAAUGUGGUCAUAUUAUUUUCCACUUUUGAAUCCUGCAUUGAUCACAGAGGUACACCUGAGCACCCUGCUCGGACUUGCACUUUGGAGUACCAAGAAGGGGCUAUUUGCGUAAGUAACCAUCUAGAGUUCUACAUAUACCCGUUAAAACAUUCGAUUAUUUUUUUAGCUUUCCUUGUAUAGUAUUAAGCACUGCGGAUGCAUUACGAUUAAUUAGUUGAUUUACACCAAAGUGUAUGGACUAAUCUCUUGAUUCAAGUAUCAUUAUGAACACUUAAUAAAGAAGUAUGUAACGUUAACAGGUAAAAAUAUUUCCAAAGAAAUUGUUUACUGGGAUUGCUGAUAUCCUGAUGUAUAGUGAGUGAUGAUGAUCAUGAUAAUUAUGUGAAGUUUUCUUGCCUAAAGGUGAUGCCUUACAUGUACUCAUGUAUUUUUAUACUUGCCUAUGCAAAAUUAAGGAAUUCAUAUUUAUACAUAGAUAGUGUCUUGCUCGAAGGUGAUGCUGAUUCGAUGAUUCUAGUGUGACAAUGACAUUAUGUUGCAUUUUUUUAUCACAAACUUAUGAAUUCACAGAAAAAAAAUAAUGUUAUGCAGGUUUUAACAUGUUGAACCUUAUGAAUAUUGAGAAGCUCCAUGGUAACAAUUUCUGAAAAAUCUCAAGUUUUAAAAUUUUCAAAAUUGAGGUUGAAAAACAAUUGGAAAGACUAAUUAAGGUAGUAAGGUUUGAUCGUGGAGGGGAGUUCUAUGGCAAGUGUACUGAGAGUGGAAUUGAAUGAUGAAUCUAUUUCUUCGUCUCUUUGUCAAUAAAAAAACAUCAGAAUUAUCAUGGAGAAUAGUAGGAAGUAUGAGAUUAUAAUGACCCGUAUAUAUGAUUUCCUAUAUUUGAAGCAAAGUGUUGUUUGAUUAAACCACGAAUUACAAUGUUUGGAAAAAGCUCUAUUGCUAUUUCGCGAGGCAAUCCACAUCGAUGUAAUGAAAGUGAGGGACCUACGACAAUCACAAAACGUCCCAAAUAAUCGACCCAUUUGCCAAGCAGAGUCUCACGAAAUCUUCCCAUUGAAUAAGUUUCUUCAUAUUGAGUUGGGUUAAAAGCACGGAAUGUAUUUGCACCAUCACCAUCUUCAAAUAAAAUAUUUUCUAUGAUAACACCAUGAAUAGCGAAUAACAGAGUAGUGCCCAACACCCUAGCAACUCCCAUCAUAUAAAAUGGGUUCAUAUGAUACCCCCACCGAAUUUUUUUUCAUUUUGAUGUAAAAGAUUUAUGGAUGAACUUAACAAUUUGGAUAAUAUAUCCAAAUCUAUUCCUUCUUGAUUGAGGAAAGGAGAAGCCGUUAAAAAUGAAAAUUAUAUAUUGAAUCGAGUGCCUACAAAAGUUGUUAAGGUCACUCCUUUUAAAGCUUAGACUAGUAGAAAACCAAGUUUGUCGCACUUUCAUACAUGGGAUUUAAAUGUGAAGCCCAACUCUACAAUCCAAAAGAAAGGAAAUUGGAUUUGAAAACACUUUGUUGGAUAUGCAGAGAAGUCAAAAGGUUUUCAAUUUUACUGUCCUCAUCAUUAUACAAAAUUGCAGACAGUCACAAUGCCAUAUUCAUUGCAAAUUAUGAGGAAACUUGCGUAUCAAGUAACAUAUCCUAUGUUUUUGAGGAGAGAAAUGAAGAUGCAUCAGAAAUUGAGAAUGUUUCUGAGAUGAAUCAUUCCAUUUUGUUACCAUUGGCUCCUGCACAAAUUGGAUCAAGUUCAAUUUCAACUACUACAAUUAAUGCAGCACAUGUGAGCGGAAAUGUGGGAAAUUGUACCAACUUGUAGAAGCCUGCACUCUCUUCCAGCACCACCAACUAUAAUUCAAGAUAGUAUAUUGCCCUCUCAAGCAACACUUCAUGAUCACAAUACCAAGCAUGCCUGAGCCUUAACAAGUUGUGAGAAAAUCCACAAGAACAAGGAAAUCAGCCAUACCAGAUGACUACAUAGUUUAUUUGCAGUAAAUAGAAUAUGAUAUUGGUGAUGAAAAUGAUCCUACAAGUUUUAAAGAGGCUAUGAAAGUACUAAUUCUAGUUUAUGGAAAGCUGCAAUGGAAGAAGAACUGGUUUUAGUGCACAAAAAUAGAAUUGGGACUUUAGUUGAAGAUGCAGAAAACUUGAAAUCAAUAGGUUGCUAAUGGUUCUUCAAGACAAAACAUGAUUCACAAGGAAAUAUUGAAAGUUUAAGGCAAGGUUGGUGGCAAAAGGAUUCACUCAGAGAAGAGUGGCUUAUAAUGAAACAUUCUCUUCAGUCUCUACCAAAUACUCAUUUGAACCAGUGGCUUUCUAUACAUCAGGAUAAAAUGAGUAACAAUAUCUAUGUCAUCCUAUUGAUAUGGAGGCUAGGUCUAAAAGCUUCAUUUGAACCAGUGCUUUUCUAUUCAGUUUUUAUGAGAGUGUAGAUGCUCUUUGGUUUCUCUGUUUUGAAUAAGUUACACUUUCUUGUGGAAUAAUCUUAUGUUCACUUGAUUUGAAAGGCAAAACUUAAAAAAUUUUCAGCAUCAAUGAUGAAAUGCCUUAUCAUUACAGUGCAGCUUAUGCUGCUACCCUACCUCCUAUUAGUCUCUUAUUCCGAACGGAACCACUCCAACCCACUGGAGACUCAUCUUAUGCUUCUGGUGCUAUGACUAUUAUGAGGUUGUGCAAAACCUAUCAGGGCAAGCUAGGCAGAAUAUGGUUGCCAUUCUGGAUGCUGUAGUCCACCCCCUUCUUUAACUGGUGUUUACUUGAAUCCGUUUUCGUAUCAGACCCUCAGUUACUAGCAGUGAUUUUGGUUAAUUAUUUGUUAUUUUCAACAGGGAAUUGGGUUGGUCAAAAUAUAACAAGGAAUUUGCAGCCAUUGACACCAGAGACAACAGAAGAUGUCGAGGACUUGCAAUCAGUAGAAUCCAUGACAGUCCGUUGGGCCCUAGGAUCAGGUACUUUUUUAGUUGGUCAUUCAUAUAAACUUUGAGUCCCUGAUUUCCUUACCUCUUUGUUUUUCUCACUCGAUUGUGAUUAAAAUAGGCAAUUCUCUCUUGCUCCGAUGGUUAUCUUUCGGGACCCUAUCUUUGCUAAUAUUCGUUUAAUUACUAUAAUCGAAAAAAGAUAGAAAAGACGACCAACCAUAUGUAUAUGAAAAUUUGACCAAGUUAUAAUGAUAAUGAUGUAUGGACAUGGUUCAACAUAUUAAGUUGGAUUGAAUGGUCCGUUUUCUUUUCCUUGGGAAAGCAAUUACUAACGCGCGGUUUUACACGGGGAGAUACAUGGAAGUGGGGAAGGAAUGAGUUUAAGCAUUGUACAAGCUGUAAAUUUGUGAUGAAAGUCGAAGAUAUAUAUUAAAAAACUGGGAAUACAAGGCAAACUGGUAAAGGAUGAGAGACCAAAGAGGUAUGAAUUUCCAUGCUGCUGGAUUUUUUUGAGUUAAGCUUUCAUAGUCUUGUUUUCGGGUCCAAUAUGUAUGGGGAGAUUUGUGAGCUUGUGUAAAAUCUUGUAGUUUUUACUUUCGGUUCUAAUAUGAUGUGGAUAUAAAGGAACUCUUCAAUGUUGGAAGUCAAACAGUCUCCAGCAACACAAACAAGAAGCUAACGACUAGAUUUGUGUAAAUAGGCUAACGACUAGUUUUCUCAAGCUAAAGACCAAGAGACAAAUGAAGGGCUGAGAUUGAAAAUGUGCUGUAAGGCCUAGAUUAGAGUAGUACAAUGUUAGGUUGUGUUCCUUGUCUUAUUCCUAAAUUGAGAUAAGAAUGUUGACUGUAAAACCCUACUACUCUAAUAAUAUAUAUAUAUAUAUAUAUAUAUAAAUGAAAUGAAUGCUGCUGCAAUGACAAGCAGCCAUCACUCUUAUUCUCAUUCCCUUUUGCUCUUAAUACCUGUUUGGGCCUAAAAAUAUUGUUUUGGCUCGAGUUUAGAAUUGUUCUCGGCCCAGUGUUGGUUGGGCCGAGUUUAGAAUUCUUCUCGGCCCAGAGGCCGUGUACAGGUGUCGUUGGGGGUUAUCUAGCUUAUGGGCCGCGCGGUCGAAGUUGGCCAUAUCCCAUUGGGGAAUUGGGGAUGUGGAUGAAUCCUGUUAUGAGAAGGAGUUUCAACAGGAUCAGGAUGCUGGAAUUGAAUACGACAUGAUAACGAGUUAUAUUCAAAGUCCUAGUAGGAAUAGGAUUGGCCGAGAUAAAGUUGGAUCAUGGAAAAGAGUUCUAAUCUAGGAGUGAUUGGGAUUCAAUAUAGGUUGGCUGCUAUAAAUAGGGAGGGAAGACAUCGAAACAACCCCCUCCAAUUCAACACACAAACUGCCCUGCGCAAACUCUCGCUCUACGCAAAACCUCUCAACAACCUUGAGAUUUUUGUUUUCCUUUUUCGCCAACACAUCUUCAGUUUGGAUAAACAGCAUUGUGAAGGCAACCGGCAAACAUCUUCAGUUUGGAUAAACAGCACUGUUGUCGUAGAAUCAGCCGACCGUGAAGCACCUUCAGUUUGGAUAAACAGCACUACGACAAGGUCGACUGGUUAUCUAUCUAAGUCUCGGUCGAGAAGGAUUUUCGAAUCCUUAUUGGCAGAGGUCAUCUCGUUAGCCUUCUCGGCGAAACGAGAUGUUACAAGUUACUAUACUCGACACAUUGAACGCCGAGUCGUUUAUGAUUGGUUAUUCGCAAUUAGGUUUUAGAGUUCGGUAUUUUGACGGCCAAACCACUUUCACAAUCAAGACAUACAUUUGUUUUGAGUAUUUGUGUCCCUAUACUUUGGUGUCGAUUCGACGUGCUUAUACUCUCACGAACAUAAUCACCGUGAUCGAAUCCGGCGCCGAUGAUUUGUGAACUUCGCAGAACUAGUAGCUUUGUCUUCAAGCUCUAGAACCUGAAGGCCGAGAUGUGUUCCUUCCUUGGCCGUAGUCGCAAGAUCGAGAAGUCAACCGCGCACCCAACGCAACAUCAACAAAUUUUACUCCUCGGUCAAGCUCGGCCGACGAGUUGGCACGCCCCACAUACAACCGAAUGACGUAGUUAGUAUACUAAUUACUCGGCCUGCGCGUCACGUAGGCUUGGUAGUUUUUAAGGUCAACAUUUUGGCACGCUAAGUAGGACCCAAUGCUAAAACUACGAAGUUCAUGACCAUCGAGACAUGAUUGGUAAAAAAGAAAACAACCAUGGGAAGAUUAGCGACUGAUUUGCCAGUUUAGAGUCCUGGACAAGAGGUGUCACAUGCAUGAAAUCCUAUCGUCGCUGUGACCCUUGAGGCUGUAAGUGUGACACACCGAGAAAAAGAAGUGUGCCUCGGUGCCUAGCUUUGAAAUACAGAAGUACCCGACCGAACCGCAUGCGUUUUCAUUGAAGGAAUAGUAGAUGAUUGCGAUGAAGAUGGUGAUGAAGGCUCUGAUCUUUUGACUAGGUCGUUUCUUUGAAGACGGCUUGACGAGCAAUCUCGACAAGUUGACCAGAGUGGGCCACAAAAUGAACAGUUUGCUUCAAGUGAUACAAAGCAAUGGUCAGACCCAAACCAGAUUGCUCGAACUAUUAGUUAGUAAAAUCUUUGAAGAGAAACAUGUUGAUCAGGCUCGGCAGCUUCCACUUAAAGGUAAUUCCCUACAGGCCAAAGUAGUAUCUACUCGACCCAAGGCGAAUGACUUAGAAAAAAAGGAAGGAUUAAGUAGUAGGUCAGAUGGAUCCGACCAGAGAGUGGAAGCAACACCCGUCGAUGUGACCGAGGUCUAGCAGAUGAUUGAUUCGACCAUGAAAAAGGGGCCGAAGUUCCCUAAAUUCAUCCACCUGUAUCCAGCUUAUGUGGAAAAGUUUGAAUAUCCUAAAGGUUUCAAGAUUCCAGAUUUCAGCCUUUUUGCUGGAGAAUCAUCCUUAUCCUCAUUAGAACAUGUGGCUCGUUUCACUGCGCAAUGCGGAGAUGUUAAUAGUGACUUUCACAAACUACGGUUGUUCAACUUUUCAUUGACAGGCUCAACAUUUGCAUGGUAUAUCAACCUCCUAACUAAUUCAAUCCAAAGCUGGGAGGAGUUGGUCGAGAAAUUUCAUGAACAGUUUUAUCAGCCAGGGAUGGAAAUGUCAGUUUCUUCAUUGGCUAGGAUGGCUCAAGCCUCUGAUGAGUCACUAAUGGAUUAUCUUACUAGAUUUAAAUCGGCCAGCAAUUGGUGCCAAGUACCUCUCCCCGAAGUUGAAUUUGUUAUGCUUGCUCUGAACGGGCUUAACGUGGAGUACAAAAAGAAAUUCUUGGGGGUAAACUUUGGGGAUAUGUAUGAAUUAGCCUAGCAUGUCGAGCAAUAUGAUUAUUUGCUCCGAGAAGAGAAGAUCUCGAAAUCCCUAUCUCUAGGAACGAUUUACAAAAAUCCCAUGGUUAGUUAAACAUCGACUGAAGGCGAGGAUUCUCAGUACAUCAGCGUGGACGCAGCCGAGAUAGUAAUAGAUAAACCAUACAUUUGCAAGGCAUUGACUCAAAUUAAUUCCAAGGAUGCCAAAACCCGCUCGGCCAUUCAAGAGACGGCGAAAACAUCGAAAGUUUACACUUUUGAUAUCACAAAGGCCAAAGCAAUUUUCGAUCAAUUGUUAUUAGCAAAGAUCAUCAAACUUCGGCCAGGGCAUAAUAUUCCUAAGGCUGAAGAGCUUAAAGGAAAGACGUAUUGCAAGUAUCAUAACUCGACCAAGCAUGCCACAAACAAUUGUGUUGUAUUUCGUGAUGAUAUCCAGAGCUGGAUUGACAAUGGCAAGCUAAAGUUUCCUGAAAAAUGAAUGACGGUUGACAGAGAUCCAUUCCCUUCGACAACAGUUGGCAUGGUAGACGCCCGUUUGCCCAAGAGCAAAGGGAAAAAGAAAGUCGGGUUUGCCCCAGUACAACACAUCCUAAAGAAACAUUCCUAGCCACGACUCAAGAUCGACCUAUUUUCCAAUGCGCCACCUACCGGGUUUUCAGGACUGGCUAUAGUUGAAUCCAUGUUAGAUUCCAGCGAAGAAGAAAAUGACGGGUCGAUAGUUUUGUGCAGCAAUUGUAAGGCAUGCGUUGUAUUAACCGAACCCAAGAAGAAACAGCCUUAAACUCAGACGCCGAUGUCAUGAGAGCAAUCGAUGACCACGACGGCACCUUCAAAGGAACCUAGUGAAGGCCAGCGCUAGAAAGUGUUUGAUAGGCUCGGCCCCAAGAAACAGACGGACGACCCUACCUCGGUUAGAGGGUUUCUUGAUUUCGACGCACCAUUUUAUAAUGAGGAUUAUUAUUCACGUAAUUCUAGUAGCUCAAGCUUAUCAGCGAAUCCAAAAACCUACAGGCUGCCUAAACCACGUGACCAAUGUUGGUAUAACUACAAUUCUCCCAUCGACAUGUAUACCGCACUUUCCAAAUCUUAGAAACGUCGACGUCAGCGUAUAGAUUGCAUGGCUCGACGGCAGGCGGCCCAGAUUAUUUCGGCCACUUAAUGGCAGCCGAAAGAGGCUGUGGUGAGCAGAGAUGACCGGCCAACCCCAACAAUCAUGGCUGAGUUACAAGGGCAGAAGGAAACCAAUCGCAACUUCGAAACUACCAUCGAAGAGUCCGAGAAGCGCAUCAAACUCCUCAUUCGGCCUGAGGGGAUGAAAGCUAGCUUCGAGCAAUUUAAGAAAGAGGCCGAAAGCCAAUUGUCCCCAUUACCUUUGAAAGAGCCACUAAUCAAAGUUCGGCAGAAUCUGCACCCCUAUUCCUUGGCGAAUCUUUGGAAUACAUGAAAGAGUUUCACAAGAAAUAUUCUGCCAAAGAUUUGUAUGGUUUACCUAAGGUGUGCCAAGAAGCUCUUGACCUGGCACUAACUUGCCCCGAUGCUAAACAAAUCAUCCAAAAAACCACUGAUCCAGCAAUGAAAGCUAGAUUCUAGCACAUACGUGAGGCUAAGGUUCUCGGCUUCGAGGUCGACCCAUACACGAACAUUGACAUAGCCGAACUCUUUUUUUCUCUCGAAGACCUUCAACACCUUCGAUAUCACUUCGAAGUUUUCUCGACCAUAUCCUUAUUCGGUUUAACGGCCGAUGAGAAAGAUCAGGUGGCACGUCUGGACGCCUACCUAGAUAUAAGGGACGCCCAGAUCGCUUAUGAGGAAUGAGCUCGUAAGACACUGCAGGAGCAAAAUCAGACACCAGGCGCAUGUAAGCCCGACGACGACAGUCAAAAGGACACAAGGUCGGAUUACAUGACACAAGAGCAAGAGCAUGUUGAGACACACAAUAAUCAGACUGAUGAUGCUCUAACACACGAUGCUAUAAUCCUUACUAACUAGAAGACGACGACCAGGAUCCAAUGGGCCUUUCAGUCCUUGAAAAUAUGAAAAUCAGCAUGGUCCAUGUUCUACCUACUGAAUUCUAGCUGACUACACACCAACCAAGUUUCUUGGAUGGCGAUGUGGUCGCCGAGGAAGCAACACAAGUUGAUUUCGUCACCACCACUAAAGAUGAGUCAGCAAACAAUGAUGAUAAACUUAAAACAGUCUUGGACAUCUUGUUUCCCCGUCCCUCAUCGGCUAAUCUUCAACAUUUAAAACCGUUGUAUGUCACGACCCGCAUUGAAGGUUACCCAAUCUCUAAAAUUUUCAUCGAUUGCGGGGCAACAGUCAAUAUCAUACCUGUAUCCAUCAUGAAAGCAUUACGACGAUCCAACGACGAACUCAUUCCUUCAGGAAUAACCAUGAGUAGCUUUGUCGGUGACAAGUCUCAAACCAAAGGAGUACUCCUUCUAGAGGUAAACAUUGCAGGUCACAAUCACAUGACCGUAUUUUUUAUCGUCGACUCCAAGACUGAAUAUAAUGCUUUGCUUGGUAGGGAUUGGAUCCAUCAAACGAAUUGCAUCCCUUAUUCUUUAUACCAAGUUCUCAUUUUUUGGGAUGGCAAAUCGGUCGUGGUCCACCCAGCCGAUACUCAGCCAUUUGAAACCAACAUGAUUCAGGCCCGUUAAUAUGAUGAUCACAUCGGCUACAUUACCCUACAGGGUUUUAAUUAAGAUGGACGGCCGACUCGGAUCUUAGUCCAGAAAACCAUCGAGGUAGGCGCCGAGAUUGUCCACCAGGAUUUGGCAAGACUCGGCUUGGCCAACUUGACCCUACCACUGAUGAUUGAUGUCAAAGGCGAGGGGCGUCGGGCCGCGGUUUCAUCCACGAUGGAACGCCUGUUGGCCCAUUGGUAUGCUAUUUCCAAGCACCCACAUUCGAGCAUCAACUUAAUUGAAUUUUUGGCCGAAGAAGAUAACGGCCCGGUAUUGUCGUUGGAUAAAGUUUAGGCCGCACCGGUCAAACUCGAAGACAGUCGACCUCAAGUUAAGGACCCUUUAAAGGAAAUAAAUGUCAGAACGGUCGACGACCCUCGGUCGUUAUUUGUUAGUGCAUUAUUACCCCAUACCAUGAAAGUCGAACUUUGUCAAUUACUCAACGAGUUUAAAGAUUGUUUUGCUUAGAGUUAUCAUGAGAUGCCGGGCCUUGAUCAGAAUCUUGUUGAACAUGAAUUACGCAUCAAAGCUGGUUGUAAGCCUUUCCGCCAGCCCACUCACCGGUUCUUGACCGAAGUACAGCUUAGCAUAAAGGAUGAACUAGUUCGACUUUUAAAAGAUGGGUUUAUUCGGACCGCUCGAUAUGUCAAGUGGCUGGCCAAUAUCAUCCCGGUGCUAAAGAAAAAUGGUGCCCUACGCAUCUGUAUCAAUUUUCAUAAUUUGAACCUGGUAACGCCCAAAGACGAGCACCCGAUGCAGAUCUCUGACUUGUUAAUUGAGGCCGCAGCACAUCACGAUAUCCUAUCCUUUAUGGAUGGGCAUGCCGGUUAUAAUCAGAUUUUCAUCACCAAGGUUGAUAUCCACGAGAUUGCAUUUCGGUGUCCUGGGGCACUCGGCACAUACAAAUGGGUCGUCAUGCCAUUCGACCUCAAGAACGCCGGGGCUACAUACCAACGAGCUAUGAACACUAUUUUCCAUGAUUUAAUUGGUACCAUCGUCGAAUUCUAUAUUGACGAUGUGGUCAUCAAAUUAGCACGACGGCAGACGUAUUUGGAUGACCUCCGUCAGGCAUUCCUGCGUAUGCGCCGGCACAAUCUGAAGAUGAAUCCCGCCAAAUGUGCUUUCGACGUAUCAGCAGGGAGUUUUUUAGGCUUCCUCGUCCAUCAUUGUGGUAUUGAGGUAGACGACAACAAUGCUCGCGCAUUCAUUAAUGCUCCACCACUGACGACUAAGAAACAAUUACAGUUAUUGCUCGGCAAGAUCAACUUUCUCAGACGAUUCAUUGCUAACUCGGCUGGGAAAAUGAAAACCUUUUCCACGCUUUUGAAACUCAAGGACACUGACACAUUCGAAUGGCAUGCCAAGCACCAAGAGGCAUUCAUGUAGAUCAAAGUCUCUCUAACGACUCCACACGUCCUCGUUCCACUAUGAUGGGGUCAACCUCUUAAGCUAUAUAUCUUAGCGGCCGAAGAAUCCAUCGAUUGCCUUCUUGCACGGGAUAAUAACGCUGGGCGAGAACAUGCCAUUUUUGACCUUAGCCGAAACCUCAACCCACCAGAGAUCAAUUACUCUGCUAUCGAGAAGCUAUGUCUUGUCUUAUUUUUUACCGCAUCAAAACUCAGACAUUACAUGCUCCCGUCAGUCACUCAGGUCAUCGCCGAGACCGAUGUUAUUUGUUACAUGCUUACUUGCUUGAUCGUAAAGGGCCGAAUCGAUAAGUGGAUGAUGGCCCUUUUUGAAUUCAGCUUGCAAUAUGUACCCCAAAAAGCUGUCAAAGGUCAAGCUCUAGCUGAUUUUUUGGCCCACCACCCUUCCCCAUACGCAUUCGGGGGCAAUGCCGUUGACAUUGGCCUGAUACAAACACGUGAUAAUUAUUGGACGAUGUACUUUGAUGGUUUCAGUACUUCAGUCUCGGCUGGCGUUGGGAUCGUUGUUCAAUCCUCUACUCAUAAUCAUUGGUAUUUUUCUCUCAAGCUCGAUUUUGAAUGUACAAAUAAUCAAGCCGAAUACGAAGCCCUUGUUAUCGGCCUCAGCGUGCUGCACGAUUUGUGGGCAACUCAUGUCCUUGUUCUUGAUGACUCCGAACUUGUCAUUAAUCAACUCAACGGGACUUUUCAUUGCAUGAGUUGUACUCUGGCGCCUUACCACAUGAUUGCCAGCUAUUUGGCCGAAUCCUUCGACAUAGUAACUUUCAAACACAUUUCACGAGUUCAUAGCAUUGACGCCGAUGAAUUGGCUCAAAUAGCUUCCGAAGCCCAACUCAUGGGGGGCAAAUUAGCUUGAGAAAUACCUGUGUUACGACAAGUACAUUCAGCCUUGAUUAAUCAGCAAGUUCUCCAACGAGACUGCGUGAUCCGUACAUGGGUCAUGUCUUUGCCGUCGUUGUUAGAACGCAAGGACAUUAUUAAGGUUUGUGCCGUCCAGGCAUUACCAGACGAUUGGAGAAGGACGAUUAUGCGAUAUAUUGAUAACCCCAACGAAAAACAUAACGGACGGACAAGGGUCCAUGCCACAAAUUACAUGUUAUACCAGAAUGAGUUGUAUCGAAAAGGUGAGGAUAGGUUACUGUUGCAGUGCCUCGACCUGCAAAAAGCUGCUUAAGCAAUGGUAGAAGUACAUGAAGGAAUUUGUGGAGCCCACCAAUCUGGACGAAAAAUACGUUGGCUACUUCGACGGCACGGAUAUUUUUCGCCGAGAAUUCUGAAGGAUUGUAUUGAGUACGCAAAAGGUUGUGUACAGUGUCAAAUCCAUGGGCCUAUACAGAGAGUAUCGGCCAAAUUAUUACAUUCGGUCACUAAACCAUGGCCGUUCCGAGGAUGGGCCAUAGAUGUUAUCGGUAAAAUCACCCCAUCUUCUGGUGCAGCCAAACAUGCGUGGAUACUUGUUACAACGGACUACUUCACCAAAUGGGUUGAAGCCAAGUCAUAUGCCGAGCUAACGUCCAAGGAAGUUUGUAGUUUCGUUGAAGAAAACAUUAUGACUAGAUUCGGUGUGCUAGAAACAAUCAUAACAGAUAACGGUACGAUUUUUACAUUCGACAGAUUUAAGGACUAUACGGCAAAUCUAAAGAUUCGACUUGAGCAAUCUACGCCAUACUACCCGCAUGCGAAUGGACAGGCCGAAACAAGUAAUAAGGUUUUUAUUGGUAUUCUUGAAAAGAUGAUAAAAGAAAGGCCAGGCAUAUGGCAUUUAAGGAUAAACGAAGCAUUAUGGGCUUAUCGAACCUCUCCACGGACAGCCAUUGGAACAACUCCGUACGCGUUGACUUAUAGACACGACGCAAUGUUGCCCGUCGAGCUAAGUGUAAACUCAUUACGAAUAAUUGAACAUAGUAGUUUGUUCAGCGCCGAGUACAGUCAAGCCAUGAGAUAAGAGCUAGAAGAUUUAGAAGAUGCUCGACUUGAUGCUUAUAAUUUAUUAGUGGCUCAAAAAAAGAUCGCCGAUCAUGCAUAUAAUCAACGAGUUAGACAAAAAACGUUUGGCAAAGGAGAACUGGUUUGGUAAACCGUACUACCCGUAGGAAUUAAAGACCCUAGAUUCGGUAAGUGGUCGCCGAAUUAGGAAGGGCCAUUCGUUAUUCAUAAAGUCCUCGGCAAUGGGGCAUACCGUCUUAGAGAUCGAACCGGUAUUAUUCAUAAGUUGCCAAUCAAUGGAAAGUUUUUAAAGAAAUACUAUCCAGUCACAUAGGAAAUGCAAGGAUAAAAGCUCAUUUCAUUUCAUUAAGUUCAAUACAUUGGUCGAUUAAUUUACAAUAAUCCUAGGGUGAUGAAGGAAUAAGAGAUUCAAGAACAGCCUUUAGCUCUAGCCAUCUCACCUCGCCCAUCGUGACCUCAGCUUGCUGAUUCCUCUUGUCCAUUUUUAGCUGCUCGACUCGCUUCAUGCCCGUCGCAUAUUCAGUCAGGCAAGAUUUGCCGCCCAACUCAAAAUCCUUCGCAAGCUUAGAAGCAAUUGUCGACCUACGAUUUCGAAGUUCGGCAAUUUGACGGUCAAGGUCAGCUAGGGUCUUCUUUUUUACCUUUAAAACUUUGACCUUCAGACGAAGAGGGUCUCGAACAGCUGUUGCAGCUUUCAAGUCAUUGUCAGCCCAAAGAGCCUUCACGAAAAUACUAAAAUAUUCUCGGGUCCGUUCCAAGGCGGACGACCUUGAAUGAUAGCUUCGGCACUCAGUUGACCGUCAACUCUGAGAUCGUUCAGACAUGCACCUACCGAAUCAAUGCCCUUGCACUCGAGGACUUGCGAAGCUGAGAGAGACAAAAGCUUUUGCAACCGAACAAGAACAGUUGAUUCGACGGGUUCAGUUGUAGUUGUCAAAGGACCAGCCGCUCCCGAAGUGCUUGAUAGAAGAGCAUCAAACUCGACUUCCCAUGAAGGUUGCACACGAAAACAGUUUAGGCGCAAGGAAAAUCAUAAAAGAAUGUAGCAAGGAGGAUUUGUUUUAAACCUAUCGAGAGGAGACUUCGGCCAUCUUCAGGUUCAUUGCUCGAACCUAAAGAGCUUAAUGGCUGAGCCUAAUGUUUCAGACUACUUUUUAAUGCAUGCGGCCGAUGAAGGUUAUCUACAUUCGAUGGCCAUUGAGGUGGCCAAGAAAUAUAGAUAACACCUUUUGGCGUAUAAAAUUUUCGGUGAAAUGAAUAAUUGGGCACCUGACAUUUAAUAUUUUCUCGGUUCAGACUUGUUAUAACAAAUUGACAAAAGAAAGUAAUCGAGCCUUACAAAAGUUGAGGUCACUUCUUGAGAGGGGAUGCUGAGAUCUUGGUCCUGUGGGUGAAUUGGAGUUUCUAACGUCGCUUUAGGUUCGACGAUAGGCCUCUUUCCGCGGUCGGCUACAGGAGGAUUAACCUGAUCGAUGUUCACAACCACGGGGGGAGGAUCAACGGAAAUAGCUUAGGUUGGUCGAGAACGACUCGCCGGUGGAAUCUCGUCACUCUCAUCAUCCUAAAACAAAAAGUGUUAACACUUUUUUGACUUAACAAGUAAAUGGAUUUGACAACAUAAUCAUACAUAUUCCAAGAUGACCGCCGAAUGUUUUGGAUUCUUAGGGAGAUUCUUCCCAGUUGAAGGGGUUGUUCCCCCCAGUAUAGGUACUCCUGUUGACCCUGGAGUUGCAGGUGAUUCGACCGAUGGUACGGUAACUGGCUCAACCACGACCUUGGGGACUUCAGGUAUUGGUCGAGCUUGGGUUGUCGGGCUAGCAGAAGAAGGCUGAUUCUUCGCUGAAGCCUGAAUAACAGAAGCAGGAAGAGAAGCACUCGGAGCAGUUGUCCUAGUGGUGUGGCUAGAGAUAACAUGAAUCUCCUGUGCUCCCUUCUUCGCCAAUUACUUGACGCAUUUUGGGGGACGAGGAGCUUCACCUGCCGUCUCAACGUCCGGGUAAGGUAGUUUACUCGGUGUGUUUUGUGCGACGACUUUGGUUGUCUUAGAAGAAUGGGCCAAUUUUUUCUUGACCACUGCCGGGACGACCACGUUCGCCUGUUUCAGUACCCGAACACCUAAGAAAGUGAAAUCUCGUUAGCAAAACCGUUCAAAUGUUUGAAGAAUAAAGGUAGAAAUAGGGGAAUACCUUGGGGUGCCUCUUUAGAUUGAAGGGCGGAGGUUUUCUUGGGCCGGCCACCAAAAAUUUUGUUGACUACUUCCUCGAUCGAAGAGCCAAAGAAGUUGUGCGUAUAUUCUUCCCACCAGUCGCUGAAGAUAUCGAUGCCAAGAGAUUCAGGGAUAGUUGGUCGAAGGCCAAAAUUUCUUACACCGUUCUUGAAAUUCUUUCUCGGUGUCCUUACACUCCCUUUCUGAGGAACUAGAGACGCGCCUUCAGUUUAGAAGGGAGCGAGAAGAAAGUAAAGGCAUCGGUUAACCUUGGAGGUAGCCGAGUUGUCGGGCGGCAAAGUGAGGAUGAUAGACUUCCCAACUUGCUCGGCGAGCAUCACAACCAAGGGGAAGGUCACAAGUUAACAUGAACGACCCCCAGUUUUGACGAAAAGCGGCAUCUUCGCUUUCACUCUAAGUUGAUGUAGGAAGUCUGAUGGAGCGGGGGUAUUUUUGACGACGACAUAUCAAAAAUUCAUCAUCAGAAAGGACAUCCAGGCCGAAGAGGUGCUUAAAGACUUCUUCGACUCGGUGAUGGGGCACUGGUCGAGAGGCCAAAUGAAGGCCGAACGCUACAGUAGAUUGGAAGUCGGAGACUUCUGGCCGAAGUAUAGAGAAAUAAACCUACAGCUAGAGUUAGAACACCCAUAGAGGUUCAUUCUGGUGCGGGUUGAUCUUGUUGAUGGUCGUUUCUGCCAAGCAACGUAGAAGGUUGACGAGGAUGGCGGAACUGAGCGCCAGAGAGUGACCACUAGCCAGGGCUUCCGCCACCGGCAUAUUGUCAACCAAGCAUUUAUUCGACUUGGUACAACAGAUGAACUUAUUGUACCAGUAAAAUAGGAAGGCCUCGUGUCCCCCUUCUGUAGACAAGCUUCUCCCUGACCAGCAAAAUGGAGGAUAAGGGUGUUAUAGUUCAGAAAAUUCUUGUGCAAUUUCUGAAACAUCUUUUGAAGGCUUUUGACCUUCUUGGCUCAACAUCUCGAUGGCCCGAUCAUCGAACAGCGCCUUGAGGUCAAGAUUGGAUGGGCAUCCAAUAAAGGUGGCGUCGACUGGGAUGCCAGAAUGAGGAGUCCCGAUGAUAGCCGAGAUGUCGAUGAUGGUAGGGGUCAUAAGGCCAAAUGGAAGGACCAUGGUAUUGGUGGCCGAGCACCAGAGGCUUAGAGCUGCCAUGAGGAGUUCUUUAUCCAUUGUAAUCUCCAUGGUCGAGAACUUGAUAGCGUCGUAAAUACAAAGAGCUUUCCACUUUUUACCAAAAUUUUUUUCCAUUCGAAUGACCUAUGUCACCCAAUUCGCAUUGGUUGAGGGCCAGGAUCCUUGGGGUUUUGUUUGGCACCACUUCGACCAAUUGAAUCCCUGCAGCAAACCUGCCAAACAGUGUUUUUUUGAAUAGGUUGGUGAUAGACGACGGCACUGUAUCCUUGAAGAGUGGGCCCAAAAUUUGGUGAGUAGUAUUUAACUCAUAAUCGAAGCACAGAAUCUUCAUGGCAUGCUAAUCGAUGAAAUCCUUGCACUUGUUGCAUUCGGAUGAGAGUUCUGAGACAAAUGAGGCCAUUGAUGAAGGCUAAAAAUUUCUGAGAUGGAAGUUUCAGAUUCCCUGGUUUUUGAAGGUUUUGAGAACAGAGUGGCGAGAAAAUUUUAAGAGUUUUGGAGAGCGUAAGGUACGAAUGGAAGGGAUCUAGGUAUUUAUAGGCACUUGGGACAGAAGGCUAAAUGUUUGAUUUUCAAAAUCAAGGGUGAAAUCAAGCGGGAAAGGUACUAAUCAUUGUACAUGCUCAGAAAAUCGAGACAAAAUGAUCGAUAUUUUCGUGGUUUGAGGACGCACGAUGGCGUGUUACGGCGGGUUUAAUGCGAGAGAGACGUUUCGGCUGUCGUAUGUUUUCGAGGAUCAUGAUUAAAAGCUGCUAGGGUAACGAGGGGGUUAACAUGUGGCAGAAUGAUUUGGAAAUCGAGAUCGUGGGGCUACGUCUCAUAAGUACACAUGGUGGUAGUUCCCAAAAGUGGGUUUCACUUCUUCAAAGUUGAGGCUUGAAUUAAGGAGUAUAGGUUGGCGACCUCAGAAGCGAGGGGGCAAUGUUUGGGCCUAAAAAUAUUGUUUUGGGCCAAGUUUAGAAUUGUUCUCGGCCCAGUUUUGAUUAAGCCGAGUUUAGAAUUCUUCUCGGCCUAGAGGCUAUGUCCAGGUGUCAUUGGGGGUUAUCUAGCUUAUGGGCUGCGCGAUCGAAGUUGGCCAUAUCCCAUCGGUGAAUUGGGGAUGUGGAUGAGUCUUGUUAUGAUAAGGAGUUUCGACAGGAUCAGGAUGCUGGAAUUGAAUAUGGCCUGAUAACGAGUUAUGUUCAAAGUCCUAGUAGGAGUAGGAUUGGCCGAGAUAAAGUUGGAUCAGGAAAAUGAGUUCUAAUCUGGGAGUGAUUGGGAUUCAAUACAGGUUAGCUGCUAUAAAUAGGGAGGGAAGACAUCGAAACAACCCCCUCCAAUUCAACACACAAACUGCCCUGCGUAAAUUCUUGCUCUACGUGAAACCUUUCAACAACCUUAAGAUUUUGUUUUCCUUUUUCACCAACACAUCUUCAGUUUGGAUAAAUAGCACUGUGAAGGCAAUCGGUGAACAUCUUCAGUUUGGAUAAACAACACUGUUGCCGUAGAAUCAAUCGACCAUGAAGCACCUUUAGUUUGGAUAAACAGCACUGCGAUAGGGCCGACUGGUUAUCUAUCCAAGUCUUGGUCGAGAAGGAUUUUCGAAUCCUUAUCGGCAGAGGUCAUCUCGUUAGCCUUUUCGGCGAAGCAAGGUGUUACAAGUUACUAUACUCGGCUCAUUGAACGCUGAGUCGUUUAUGAUUGGUUAUUCGCAAGUAGGUUUUAGAGUUCGGCAUUCUGACAGCCGAACCACUUUCACAAUCAAGACAUACAUUUUUUUUGAGUAUUUGUGUCCCUAUACUUUGGUGUCAAUUCGGCAUACUUAUACUCUCACGAAUAUAAUCACCGUGGCCGAAUCCGAUGCCGAUGAUUUGUGAACUUCGCAGAACUAGUAGCUUUGUCUACAAGCUCUAGAACCUGAAGGUCGAGACAUGUUCCUUCCUCGGCCGCAGUCUCAAGAUCAAGAAGUCAGCCACGCACCCAACGCAACAUCAACAAAUUUUACUCCUCGACCGAGCUCGGCCGACGAGUUGGCACGCCCAACAUACAACCGAAUGACGUAGUUAGCUUAAUAAUUACUCGUCCUGCGCACCACGUAGGCUUGGUAGUUUUUAUGGUCAACAAUACCUCAUAGAAUUACUCACUGAAAUUCCUUACAAAACACUCAGAAUACAAAACAUUAACAUGGCCUCAGAGCCUAUGUUGGAUUAAAAACCAGCUGGGCUUUGUGAAGCUGUUUUUAAGGGGAGAUUUCGAGUAUUUGAAACCCCAGAAAGUGAUUCAAGAACCAAGAAAUGUCUGGAUCAAGUAGCAGCGGUGGUGAGCUUAGAACUCUUAUUUUUAAUGGAGAGAACUAUGAUUUCUGGAGGAUAAGGAUGACCACCAUUUUCAAGUCUCAAGACCUAUGGAAAAUGGUUCAAGAAGGGUAUGAAGUCCCAGAUUCAGAUGAUGAGUCAAAGGAUGAUGAAUAACUCAUUGCAACUUGAAGAGCAUCUUUGAGAGAAAAUGGGAUGAAAGAUGCUAAGGCGCUGGGGAUAAUACAUAAGGAGCAAUCUCAGAUGCUAUUUUUCCCACGAUAUCAAAUGAAUAAACAUCCAAAGCUGCUUAAGAAGUUCUUCAAAGAGAAUACAGAGGUGACAAUAAGGUAACCAAAGUAAAGCUUCAAUCUUUAAGACGUGAUUUUGAAUAUACUCGCAUGAAAGAAGAUAAACCCCUUAAUGAUUACUUUACUAGGUUGUUGGAUGUUGUGAAUCAAAUGAAAACUCUUGGUGAAGAACUACCUAGGGAAAGACUUGUACAGAAAUUGUUAAUCAGUUUGACAAAACCCUAUGACUCUAUAGUAAAUGUUAUAGAGGAAACCAAUGACACUGAUACAUUUGAUACAUAAGAGGUUACAGCCUCAUCAAGAGCUUUUGAGCAAAGGCUAGAGAGACAUGCUGAUGCAGCCACAGAGAGGGUUUUUCAGUCAAUUCUAGAAAGGGAAGUUCAACUGGGCAAUACAACAGUUUCAAGCAACAAAAGAAGCCAUAGAAAAUGAAGUCUAAGAAAUAGGAAGGAAGGCCAAGUGAGUCUACCAGAAACAAUGGUGCUGGUAGGACAAAACCACAGUGUACAAUCUAUGAUAAGGCCCAUUUUGGUGUCUGUUGGUUCAAAGGGAAACCUAAAUGCAGUAAAUGUAACAAGUUUGGCCACUUGUCCAAAGAUUGUGGUUCUAAAAUAAACCAACUAGUGAACUAUGCACAAAAGACUGAUUGAGAAAAACAAAGAUAUAUGGUAUAUUGACAGUGGGUGUAGCAAUCAUAUGACUGCACAGGAGUCCCUACUUAUCAAUAUUGACAAAGAAUUCACUGGGAAGGUUAAGAUGGGCAAUGGUCAACUUGUAAGUGCCACUGGUAGAGGCACUUUGGUGAUUGACACAAAGCAAGGAAGGAGAUACAUCAAAGAGGUUAUGUUGGUACCUAGACUUGAUGAGAACUUAUGGAGUGUGGGCCAAAUGAUUAUACAUGGUUAUUUCUUACUCUUUGGAGAUUCCAUGGUUGAAAUCUUUGAUGACAGGAGUUUGCAUAACAUGGUCACAAGAGUAGAAAUGACAGAGAACAAGAGUUUCCCAUUGCCACUCAACUAUAAUCAAGCUAUCUCACUGAGGGCUAGUGUCAUUGAAAGCACAUGGUUGUGGUACAAGAGAUAUGGUCACUUGAACUUUCAAAGCUUAAAAGAUGUGCAGAGAAUGGAGAUGGUUCAAGGAUUACCAAAACUACAUGGAGAAAAAGAAAUAUGUGAAGGGUGUGUUCUAGGUAAGCACCACUGGGAAAGUUUUGAAGCAGGAAAGUCUUGGAGGGCUACACAACCAUUGGAAACCAUCUAUAUUGAUGUAUGUGGUCCAAUGCAAACUGCAACAGUGAGUGGUAAUAAAUACUUCCUAACCUUCAUAGAUGAUUAUUCUAGAAUGUGUUGGGUGUACUUCAUGAGACAAAAAUAUGAGGUAUUUAGUAUAUUCAAGAAGUUCAAAAUGAUGGUUGAAUUGCAAUGUGGUUACAAGAUCAAGAAAAUAAGAAGUGAUAUGGGAGGUGAAUAUACCUAAAUUGAAUUCAACUUUUUCUGUGAAAACAUGAGAUUGGAAAGACAGUUGACAGUGGCAUAUACCUCUCAACAAAAUGGGGUUGUUGAGAGGAAGAACAGAACCAUAAUUGAAAUGGCGAAAUCCAUGCUCCAUGAGAAAGAGAUUCCUUAUCAAUUUUGUGGAAAAGCUGUGAAUACAGCUGUUUAUUGGUUAAAUAAAUGCCCAACAAGUUCCUUGGAAAAGAAAACUCCAUUUGAAGCCUUUAGUGGAAGGAAACCAGGUGUGAAACACCUAAAAGUGUUUGGCUCAAUAUGCUAUGCACUAAUACCAUCACACUUGAGACACAAAUUGCAGGAAACCAGCAACAAGUGCAUUUUUGUAAGUUAUGGUAACUGUGAAAAAGGGUAUAGAUUGUUUAACUUGAAAACACAGAAAAUCAAUAUCUUAAGGGAUGUGGUCUUCAAUGAAGAUACAAGGUGGAAUAGGGAAGAUGGUGUAAAAGUUAACAUAUCAGUACCAAUGAUAAUUGGUGGAACUGACAAUGUAAUUGAGUCACAAACUCAAAUCUCUGCUCACUCACCAAAUCAAUCCCAACAAUCUCAGUUGCAGUAAUCACCUCAACAUACUUCACCUCAAACUUAGAGUGAAAGUUCUCAAAAUACACAGAAUGCUAUCUCCCAAAACUCCACUCCUAGUUCUACUCCUGUGAAACUGAAGAGCUUGAGUGAGAUAUAUGUAGCCUGCAAUUUCUGCAUAGUGGAGCCUGAGAACUUUGAAGAAGCUGAGAGUGAUAUAGCUUGGAAGAAAGCUAUGGAAGAUGAAAUGGCAAUGAUUGAGAAGAAUUCCACUUGGGAAUUAGUUAAUAGGCCUAGUGAAAAGCCUAUGAUAGGUUUCAAAUGGGUUUAUAAAACUAAACUUAACAUGGAUGGCACAGUGCAGAAAAACAAAGCAAGAUUGGUAGCAAAAGGUUACUUUCAACAACCAGGAGUUGAUUUCAAUGAGACCUUAGCUCCAGUAGGUAGAUUGGACACCAUUAGAACUCUGAUUUCUCUUACUGCACAAAAAGGUUGGAAUUUAUUCCAACUUGAUGUCAAAUAUGCGUUUUUGAAUGGUGUACUUGAGGAGGAAGUUUAUGUUGAUCAACCUCAAGGUUUUGAAGUAAAAAAUGAAGAGAACAAAGUCUAUAGGUUAAUAAAAGCAUUAUAUGGGCUCAAGCAAGCUCUAAAAGCAUGGUACAGUGAGAUUGACACUUACUUUUCACAAAGAGGGUUCAAGAAAAGUCCUAGUGAAGCCACUGUGUAUGUGAAAGGAGGAAAUGAAACUGAUGUGCUCAUGGUUGGAAUUUAUGUUGAUGAUGUGGUAUUCACUGGCAACAAUGAGAAGAUGAUGAUGGAUUUGAAAGAAGAUAAGAUGCAGAAGUAUGAAAUGUCAGACUUGGGGUUAUUGCAUCAUUUCCUUGGAAUUGGAAUUAUUUAGGGAAUUGAAAGGAUAUUUAUCCACCAAAAGAAAUAUGCUCAGACCGUAUUAGAUAAGUUUGGUCUUAAAUGUUGCAAAUCAGUAGCUACACCACUGAUCUCAAAUGAGAAACUCAUUAAAGAUGAUGGAAUAGAACUCGCAAACUCCAAUCUUUACAGGAAAAUUGUUGGAAGUCUUCUCUACCUAACUGCCACUAGACCUGAUGUGAUGUUUGCAGCAAGUCUGCUUUCUAGGUUCAUGCGUAAUCCAACUAAAAUUCACAUGGGAACAGCUAAGAGGGUACUCAGAUAGAUUGUAGGAACCAUUGAUUAUGGUAUCAAAUAUGACAAAGGUAAGGCUGCCAUUCUAGUUGGAUUAUGUGAUAGUGAUUGGGGUGGCAGUGAUGAUGAUAUGAGAAACACUUCAAGGUAUGCUUUCACUCUUGGUUCAGGGUGUACUUUCACUAUUUGGUUCAGUGAAGCAGCAAAGUGUUGCUUUGUCCAUUGUAGAAGCUGAAUAUGUAUCAGCUGCAGAAGCCACUUCACAAGCUAUUUGGGUUAGGUGAUAGGAGCAUAUUUAUGCAACUUAGUGAGCUUGCUUCUUGGCAUUUACUUAGGCCCCGUUUGGGAUUGAGGUGAUUUUAAAAAAAGCCACUGUGAAAAAAAGCUGAGGGUCAUUUUUGUGUUUGGUAAACUGAAAAAAAGGGCUUAUUUUGGAAGCUGCUGUGAGAAUAAGCUGAAAAUCAAAGGAAAAGCUGAAGCUGCUAUUUGCUGCUUUGAAAAAAAGCCAGUUUUUUCAAAGCACACGGAGCUACAGUGCUCCUUUAAUGAAAAGACACACUAUCAUCCUGAUUUUUUUUCCAAAAGCACUUUCACAAAAAAGUUUACCAAACACUCUACUGGCUUUAUUUCACAGCCGCUUAUUCUCACAGCACAGUCGCAUAUUCUCACAGCAGCUUUUUUUCAAAGCACAACAAUACCAAACCAGCCCUUAGUUUAACUCUAGUUAUUUUAGUACUUUAAGCUAUUUUCGUGUGUUUGUAGGUUCAAAUAACAAAGUUGGCAACAAAGUGCUAUUCGGAGCAUUUUGGAGCAUUUUUGGGCCAAGAUUGGAUAGUGCAAGCAUGGAGACAUGAGGAUGGACGUUUUUGAAGAUUAUAAGGCUAGAAAUCAGCAUGUGUGUGUGCAAGUGUGUUGACCUACAACUACAAACACUCAUCCACUACACCCAUUACAUCCACUCAUUACCAAACAUCCAUCCACUACACCCAUUACAUCCACUCAUUACCAAACAUUCAUCCACUAAACCCAUUACAUCCAUUCAUUACCAAACACUCAUCCAUUACACCCAUUACAUCCACUCUACAUCCGCUCAUUAGCAAACAUCCAUCCACUACACCCAUUACAUCCACUCAUUACCAAACAUCCAUCCACUACACCCAUUACAUCCACUCAUUACCAAACAUUCAUCCACUAAACCCAUUACAUCCACUCAUUACCAAACACUCAUCCACUACACCCAUUACAUCCACUCAUUACCAAACACUCAUCCACUACACCCAUUACAUCCACUCAUUCACUCAUUACCAAACAUUCAUCCACUACACCCAUUACAUCCACUCAUUACCACAACACUCACUCACUACACCCAUUACAUCCACUCAUUACCACAAUAUACACCACUACCACCUUAAUUAGAUGGUGGUCCUCUCCCUAGCCUAUAAAUACAUCCACCCUUCACCAUAACAAGGGAUCAGAAAAAAAUCGAUCUAAAGACACUACAUUCAUAUCUCACAACUCCAUACACUUACACUUCCAUUCCUUAGCCGUGAGCACCAUCCAUUCAUCCAUUCAUUUCCCAUAUAUCUCAAAACACAACUCCAUACACUCCCUUCCCUUGGCCGAGACAUUCACCAAUCCUAAAUAUAUUCAUAACCUUUCCAUAUAUCCAUACACAUCCUUAGAAACUUGUGUUGCAACAAGGUGGUGAAAAUGAAGGUCCUUGGCGUUUCAAGCUUGAAACUUUGGAGCGUUUUAGGUGUACUUCGUUCUUGCUUUCAAUGUCUAAAUUUGUUUAUCUUUGCUUUGUGAGUAUGAGGAACUAAACCCCCCCUUAGCUAGGGGGAAUUCGAAACUAUGUUCAUGCUUGCAAUAUGAUUUGAUUACUUUCAGUUAUGAUUCAUAAGUUGUGAUUUCAAUUUACUCAUCCAUUUGAAUUAAAACUGAUUUUUGUAUGUUGGUUAAGAGUGCAUGCUUAAUUUUCAUGCAUAAAUCUGAUGCUAGGAUAUAAGGAAGUUUCACCUAAUCGUUAUGAACUUAUAUUCACAAGUAGUAAAGGUUGCUCGUCACAACCGUGUUAAGUAAAUUCUUGGCAUAAGUUUCAUGCAAUUCAUAGUUACAAGUGUUUCGUCAAUGCUUAUGAUUUUCAUAGAUUUAAUGAUUCUUGCUUGUAUCUCUAUUAUGCAAUUCAUGUAGGGAAUCUGUGGGGAAUGCUUUGGGUUGUUGUAUGCAAUCAUCCAAUUCAAUGAAAUUAGGAAAAUCUGAGGGUUCAUUAAUGCAAUUCACAGUUAAUCUGGGCCGUUGAGAAUUCAUAGUUUAUUGAAAAGCAACUGGAAAUCGUUUUGUUUGCAAGUGUGUCAUGUGUGGAGAAGAACCUCCCAGCUAGCCUUCCAUCCAUUCAAUUUACUCAAAUUCUUGCAGAUUUCAUUAGUUCUUUAAUUUACUUGUUUUGUUUUCAAAUUCAUCAAAACCAAAACCCCAUUUACCUUGUUGAGUUAUAUUAGUUAGAAACUGAUUUAGUUUGUGCUUUUAAGUAUUUCGAACCAAGUUGAAACCAAAAUUCGUCCAAAAGUGUGUUUAGAGUCCAAAUCUGCCCAAUUUGUGUUUUUAGGCAGAUUUGAGUGUUUUUAGCUUGUUUUGAGUUCUUUGAGUUUGUUUUGAAUUCUUUGAGUCUAGUUUAGUGUUUUUAACUUUGUUUAUAUGUUUUUAAGUUAGUUUAGAGGUUAUUAGCAAGCCCUUCUAAUCCCCGGUCCAUAACGAUCCAUACUUACAUUCUUUACUACAAUUGAUACAAGAGGGUUUAAUUUGUGUGUUAAGUUAUUUUCGCACCAAAUUUUUGGCGCCGUUGCCGAGGAUUAGCAACUUUGCUAAUCCCCCGUUGUUUCUUUUACAUGUCUUUUGUAUUAGUUACUGACUUUGUUUUUGUUUUUGUUUUUUAUUUUUACUUUUGAUAAGUAAGACAUGGAUUUUGCUACCAUUCAAGCUCAAUUGGCGAAACUUACUUCUCAAUUGUCACAACAAGCCAAAAGGACCACAAUGCAAAGUAUCCCGACAUGUGGUGUGUCCUAUGGGCAAGGAUAUCCAACUCAUCAAUGUUCUCAAUUCGUUGCAAAUGAAUAUGCUUGGGGUUAUGAAGGCCAUAGCCAAUCAUGGGACAACAUGUUUUCCAACGCUUACAAUUCGGAUUGGAGAGAUUGUUCAGAUUACAUGUGGGGAGAACCUCAACAAUUCCAACAAGAUGGAUAUUGGCAGCAAGAAGAGGAGUUAUAUUCAAGACCUAUGUAGCCACCACAACAAUCUGCUCAAUUCAAUUCAGGUACGUCUUUGGAUAAUGAUAUGUUUAAUAAGUUACUUACUUCUUUGAACCAGGAAGUAGAAAAUCAAAACAAAGAGAUGCAAAAUCAAGCCAAGAAGACGGGCAAAUUGGAGAUGCAAAUUGGGCAGAUUAUGGAGUUCAUGGCACAAAUUCAAGAGCAAAGUGAACUCUCCAACUCAACUAUUGAAAAUUUUUAGGAAGACUUUGAAAUCCAUGAUGCUAUCAUUUUAGGAAGUGCUAUGGAGGUUGGAGCUGACCUAAAAAUGUCUAAACAUAGCCUAGAAGUGGAUGAGGAGCUGCUGAUUGAGGAGGAGGAAGAAGACAUACACACGGCAAGGGUAGAACAACCCUUGCCGCAGCCCCCUAAGCCCUCUAAACCACCCACCACAAGUAAGGACAUCCCAAUUUCAUUUCAUUCUAAUGUUAUUCCUCCGAAUGCACCUUUUCCUCACAGGUUUUUAAUUCCCAAGAAAGAUGAGAGUGAAAAAGACAUUCUGGAAGCCAUUCCAAAGGUGCAAAGUGAUAUCCCAAUUCUUGGCACACCAAGUCAAGUUCCAGAUUGUGUUGAAGUGUUCAAAGAACCUUGUACACCAAGAAGAAGGAGUCAAGAGAAAGAAGUGGCUGGCGAAUGUGUAAAUUGCAUCAAGGAGGUUGUAUAUGAGACAACAAAGCCCAAAGAAGUUGAAUUUUAUGACACGGGACAAGGCCCAACCAUCACAUUCAAUCUAGCCAAGUUCAAUAUCCCUGCAACCUUCAAAGAUGUGGUGUUCGUAAUUGAGUUUGCGUCGGAGCAAGCAAGUAAGCCAUCUUUUCCAACUUCGAUUUUGUUUUCUACUAACUUGCUGAUUUUGAUGAUUCAGGCACCUACACUAGAAUUUAAACCAUUGCCGGAUCACUUCAAGUAUCACCUUUCGUUUAAGGAUUCAAUGUGUGAGCACUUUGAGAAGCAUGUCGUGAAGAAUGUACCCCUCAAUGCCGUGGGCCCUGUUCAAGCUUAAAUAGAGGUAUCGUCCGGCUGGAAGACGUUAAAGCAAGCGCUUCUUAGGAGGCAACCCAUGUACUCAAAUAAGGAAGAUUUUGGAAUUGCUCCAUGAUUGGUUUUGCGUUCCUAAAAACCUUCCCUUUUCCGCAGUUUUAUUUUGUCAUGAUUGUCAUUUUUAUUUGUUGCUUGUUUAAUUGUUUUUGGUGUGGGUUUAUUUUUGAAACAUUGACAGAUACACAAGGUAUUUUUACAUUCAUUUUCCAAAAAUUUGAUGCGAAUAAUAACUUAACACACAAAUUAAACCCUCUUGUAUCAAUUGUAGUAAAGAAUGUAAGUAGGGAUCGUUCUGGACCGGGGAUUAGGAGGGCUUGCUAAUAACCUCUAAACUGACUCAAAAACGUAAAACAAAGUUUAAAACACUAAACUAGACUCAAAGAAUGCAAAACUAAACUAUAAAACACUAAAACAACUCAAAAGACUCAAAACAACUCAAAACAAGCUAAAAGACUCAAAUCUGCCACUAAGAGUGAAAUUGGACGAAAUAGGUUUUAACUUGGUUCAGAACACUUAAAAACACAAACGAAAUCACUUUCUAACUAAUAUGACUCAACAAAGUAAAGGGGGGUUUGGUUUUGACGAAUUUGAAAACAAAACAAGUAAAGUAAAGAACUAGUGAAAUCUGGAUGAAUUUGAGUGAAUUAAAUGGAUAAAAGGCUAGCUAGGAGAUUCUUCUCCACACACGACACACUUGCAUACAAAACGAUUUCCAGUUGCUUUUCAAUAAACCAUUAAUUCUCAACGCCCCAGAUUAACCGUGAAUUGCACUAAUUAACCCUCAGAUUUUCCAAAUGUUAUUGAAUUGGAUGAUUGCAUACGACAACCCAAAGCAUUCCCCACAAGUUCCCUACAUGAAUUGCAUAAUAGAGAUACAAGCAAAGUUCAUUAAGUUCUAUGAAAAUCAUAAGCAUUGAGGAGGCACUCGUUACUAUGAAUUGCAUGAAACUUAUGCCAAGAAUUUAUUUAACACGAUUGUGACUAGCAACCUUCACUACUUGUGAAUAUAAGUUCAUAAGGAUUAGGUGAAACUCCCUUAUAUCCUAGCAUCAAAUUCAUACAUGAAAAUUAAGCGUGCACUCUCAACCAACACACACAAAUUAGUUUUUAUACGAACGGAUAAGUAAAUUGAAUUUAUAACUUAUGAAUCACAACUGGAUGUAAUCAAAUCAUAUUGCAAGUAUGAACAUGGUUUCGAAUUCCCCCCUAGCUAAGGGGGGUUUAGUUACUCAUAAUUGUAACAAAAUCAGAAAAUAACAAAGUAGACAUUGAAAGCAAGAACGAAGUACACCUAAAAACGCUCCAAAGUUUCAAGCUUGAAGUGCCAAAGACCUUCAUUUUCACCACCUUGUUGCAGCACAAGCGUCUAAGGAUGUGUAUGGAUAUAUGGAAAGGUUAUGAAUGUAUUUAGGAUUGGUGAAUGUCUCGGCCAAGGGAAGGGAGUGUAUGGAGUUGUGUUUUGAGAUAUAUGGGAAAUGAAUGGAUGAAUGGAUGGUGCUCAUGGUUAAGGAAUGAAAGUGUAAGUGUAUGGAGUUGUGAGAUGUGAAUGUAGUGUCUUUGGAUGGAUUUUUUCUGAUCCCCUUGUUAUGGUGAAUGGUGGAUGUAUUUAUAGGCUAGGGAGAGGACCACCAUCUAAUUAAGGUGGUAGUGGUGUAUGUUGUUGUAAUGAGUGGAUGUAAUGGGUGUAGUGGGUGAGUGUUGUGGUAAUGAGUGGAUGUAAUGGGUGUAGUGGAUGGAUGUUUGGUAAUGAGUGGAUGUAAUGGGUGUAGUGGAUGAGUGUUUGGUAAUAAGUGGAUGUAAUGGGUGUAGUGGAUGGAUGUUUGGUAAUGAGUGGAUGGAAUGGGUGUAGUGGAUGAGUGUUUGGUAAUAAGUGGAUGUAAUGGGUGUAGUGGAUGGAUGUUUUGGUAAUGAGUGGAUGAAAUGGGUGUAGUGGAUGAGUGUUUGGUAAUGAGUGGAUGUAAGAAUGGAUGUAAUGAGUGUUUGGUAAUGAGUGGAUGGAAUGGGUGUAGUGGAUGAGUGUUUGGUAAUAAGUGGAUGUAAUGGGUGUAAUGGAUGGAUGUUUGGUAAUGAGUGGAUGGAAUGGGUGUAGUGGAUGAGUGUUUGGUAAUAAGUGGAUGUAAUGGGUGUAGUGGAUGGAUGUUUGGUAAUGAGUGGAUGAAAUGGGUGUAGUGGAUGAGUGUUUGGUAAUGAGUGGAUGUAAGAAUGGAUGUAAUGAGUGUAGUGGAUGGAUGUUUGGUAAUGAGUGGAUGUAAUAGGUGUAGUGGAUGAGUGUUUGUAGUUGUAGGUCAACACACUUGCACACACACGUGUUGAUUUCUAGCCUUCUAAUCUUCAAAAACGUCCAUCAUCAUGUCUCCAUGCUUGCACUAUCCAAUCUUGGCCCAAAAAUGCUCCAAAAUGCUCCAAAUAGCACUUUGUUGCCAACUUUGUUAUUUGAAUCUACAAACACACGAAAAUAGCUUAAAGUACUAAAAUAACAAGAAUUAAACUAAGUAAAUGCCAAGAAACAAGCUCACUAAGUUGCAUAAAUAUGAUCCUAUCAUUAGGUUUGUUCUAAAAAACUUUGGAGAGAUGCAAGUAGAUGCCACACCUCUAAUGUAUGACAAUACAUCUGCCAUAAUCAUGACAAGGAACCCUGUCUUCCAUCAGAAGACAAAGCACAUCAAAAGGAAAUACCAUUUCAUAAGAGAAGCUUUGCAAAAGAAUGUGAUUGAACUGUUCUACUGCAAAUCAGAAGAGCAAAUUGUAGAUAUCUUUACCAAGGCAUUGCCUAAGGAAAUAUUCGUGUAUCUCAGGGAGUUACUUGGAAUGCAAGCAGGAAACAGUUUGAAGGGGAGUGUUGGAAGUUAAACAGUCUCCAGCUACACAAACAAGAAGCUAAUGGCUAGAUUUGUGUAAAUAGGCUAACGACUAGUUUUCUCAAGCUAAAUUUCAAAAGACAAAUGAAGGGUUGAGAUUGAAACUGUGCUGUAAGGCCUAGAUUAGAGUAGUACAAUGUUAGGUUGUGUUCCUUGUCUUAUUCCUAAAUUGAGAUAAGAAUGUUGACUGUAAAACCCUACUACUCUGAUGAUAUAUAUAUGAAAUGAAUGCUGCUGCAAUGACAAGCAACCGUCACUCUUAUUCUCAUUCCCUCUUGCUCUGAAUACCUCAUAGAAUUACUCACUGAAAUUCCUCACAAAACACUCAAAAACAAAACAUUAACAUCCAACAGUUUUGGGCCAAUAUAUCAUGUAUCUUGCCAAAUACUAAGAUGUUGUCACAUCGAUAUUUUCUUUCCUUAUAUAAAAUUUCAUUUUAACAAACAAGUAUAUGGACAUAAUAUCGACAAUUAUGUAGUUGAAGUUCUAUAGCAUCAAUAAACAACACGUUAACAGUUGAUAUGUUUGUCGAUAUUUAAGUGGUUUCGUUUACAACAUUAAAAUUUAUAUGUGAAAUAGUUAUACUGAAAUGAGACUAUAUAUAUAAACCAAGGCUUGAAAACGCUCUAAAAGCACACCAUGAUUAUGAAGUUCUUUAAGCAUUCCGGUAUCGAAAUUGUCGGAAACUACAUGUUCAUCUAUGGCAACCCUAAGAAGUAGAUUCAUUCCUCAUUUUGUAAGGCUUCCAUAAUAUUCUUUUGUAUCUUGUCCACUAUCUGGCACGAAUGUGUCAUAAAAUAAUUCGUCAUCCAUCUCGAACGAAAGGAUGAGUUUCUAGUUUUCAUCUAGGGUUUGCAUGUCUAGCUCUAGGGCAAACCAGUAGUAAAAACCCUUGAAGUACAUUUGGGAAGAAGGAAACCAAACCACAAUACUAGGCAUAUCAAAUUUGAUCUCUGUCCAAGAGUUUGAACUUACAAUAUACACCUCUGCCGUGUGAGGGUGAAACAAAAUCCAAAAACCCUCGAAAUGCAUUAUGAUCUUAGAACUUUGCAAUCUUUAGAUUUUUUAUCGUAUCCAAAUCCCACAGCUACUCCAGUGGACUGCAAUAUCUUUAUUUAUUUCAGGGGAGUGAGAUGAAGGCACAACUUCGGAAGAAGCUUGGAUUCCUUUAGUGCCUGAUUGCAUAGAAAAACAUAUUCAGAGUAAUAUGUUAGGCAAAUAAUUCCAAGACAAUCGCCUGCAAUGUCCAAAUACUAAUGCUUUAGCCCUAAGGAAACUGGAACAUUGAGGAGAUCUUGAAGGUAAUAGACAUCACUAUUGUUGUCUUUGCAAGGAUCUAGAAGUGACAACAAAAUUUUCAUGGAGUCAUCGUUGGUGUUGUUAAGGUUGCAACGCUUGAAAAGGAUGCAUGUUGUGUAUGAAAAUUUGUUUGCCAAUGAAUUUUGGAGAGGUGCACAUCCACAAAGCUAGGGUUACUGAUGAAUUUGUACCACUAUUUACGAACACAUUUGAAUCACAGCAGAGAUUUCGGAGGAGGCCAUGAUAAGAUCUGCAGCACCAUUUCUUCUGGCAUUUUGCAAAAGUACGCCAUUUUCUGAGAAAUGAACAAAAUGGAUUCUUAAUCACAGGGACAUACUGCAAAUGAAACGUAUGCAAAAGGAAAGAUCUAGAAAUUAAAAAAAAAAAAAAAAAAGUGGUUACUCUUUUUUGUUUCUUAAAAUUUCAAAACAGCGUGUUUGUCUCCUUGCACUUGAGUUUGGAUGUUCCUCCUAAGAAUAGUUUAGUAGAUUAUCGCCUUGUCACAAAUAGUAGUUGAAAUUCUGUUGUUGAGGUUCAGGAAAGAGAGGAGAUUGCAUUCUCUGAAAUUAUAUAAUUAAGUUUGAGAAUUGACAAAAACUGGUGUUUCUCUUGCAGUGCUUUGAAAUGAAGCCAAUUGCCUGUAGUGUAUAGCUAGAAAUGAAAUUUGUGGAUACAAAAACUAAAUAUGAUAAUUGGUGGUUUGAGCUGCCUGCUUUGUGAGAGAAUUAUCGGAGAAAGAAAUGUGAUUUGUUUUAGGUUGAAUGUGAAGAAAAGAACCAUAUGCUUCUCUUAUUUUCAUUUUUAUCAUUUUGUUGAUCUUAAUUGAAAAUAGGUUUUUUUAGUGAAAAUGGUCUCUGAAAUUUUCCUACCUCCUCAUUUGGUCCCUGAAAUUUGAAAUAAAUAGAAGUGGUCAUUGAGUUUAUUCUUCAUCAAUCAUUUUGGUCAUUUCGUAAGAAUUUCUAUUAAAUGAGGACAAAAAUUAAAAAAAAUACCCUCAAUUUAAUAAACCAUGGGCCAAAAUGAUUUGACAAAAAUUGAGGGUACUUUUGUUAUUUUGGUCCUUAUUUAAUGGCGAUUUUUCAAUGAAUGACCAAAAUAAUUUAUCAUGGACAAACACAGGGAGCACUUCUAUUGAUUUCAAAUCUUAGGGACCACUUCUAUUGAUUUUAAAUCUUAGUGACUAAAGUGAGGAGUUAUGCAAAUCUCAAAGGCCAUUUUGGUUAAAAAGCCUUGAAAAUAUUUGUUAAUACUACCUUUCAUCAUCAAUUGAGGACUUUGAAAAUAUUUUUUUGGGGAAAUAAGUCAAAAUAAUUAUUUUUGAAAUCUAAAUUUGCUAAAAUGAUUAGUCUUUCAAUAUGUCGUCAAUAUUUAGUCUUUCAAUAUGUCAUCGAUAUUUAGCCUUUCAAUAUGUCGUUGAUAUAUAAUUUUGAUCAGUUUAGCAAAUGAGAUUUGAUUUCUAAUCAUUUUAGCCCACCUUCCUCAGAUUGUUUUGGUUGUAUAUAGAAAUUAUGAUCCAAUAUAAAUGAGAAUUCAAAAACUAGAACUACUGAACCAGUUUGAUCGGAUGAAUAUCUAGAAAUGGAGAUCAAGUUAAAUUACCAUAUAAACCAAAAUUUUAUGUUAAUGUAUGAUGAACAUCAAAAUUAUAAUUUACAUAUAUAAGCCUUUGCUACGGCUAGAGUUAACUUAUGCUACAAGUAAGAAUUCUACUGUAAUACAUUGGAAAAUGUAAACUGCCAUUUGAACUCCAGUUGAAAUUAACCCUCUGAACUAUUUUUUUUUGUUAAGUUAACCUCCUGAACUAUUUGAAAUAAGCCAGUUGACCCCUUGUUGGUAGAUUUCAUCUACUAUUUCAUCAAAUUCAAAGGAAGAUUAGUCUUUUCUUCAUCAAUUCUUACUUGUCAACUAUAACCAACAAUGUAAUUAUGACAUGUGAAAACGGACAAUGUAAACAUUUGAUUUUUUUAUGUUUCCUCAGUAUGUUAUAUAUUUUUGAAUUAAUUUGUGUCCAUGUGUCAAAAUUUUAUUGGCGGUUAUAGCUGACAAGUAACAAUUAAUGAUGAAAUGACUAAUUUGUCCUUGAAUUUGAUAGAAUUGAUUCCGCAAUCUAACGGUAAUGGGUUAAUUGACUGAUUUUAAAUAGUUCGGGGGGUUAAUUUACCAAAAAAAUAGUUUAAAGGGGGUCAAAUUCAACUGGGAUGAUAGUUCAGGGUCAAACCGCACUUUACCCACAUUGGAAUACAUUGAUGCAGAGCUUCCGCCGAUCGAUAGAUCUUUUGUGAACGUAUUUAAACUCAGUUCGGUCAUGCAAUUCCAAGAAAUGUAUAGAUUGGAGCAUAUACCAGAUCAAGUGCAAGUGCAACUACUUUAUCCAGAUAACAAAUAUAAACGAGUAAUGCUACAUUUAUUAUCUACUUGUAUCAUAAUUUAUAUGAUUCGCAAACGUAUGUGAAUCAUCUCUCUAUUAGAAAAAUGAACAAAUAAAUAGGUAAGAAUAAUGUUUUUUUAAUAUAAAUUCAUCAUUCAUUUACACCGCAUCGUCACAUGCGACGUUUCAAUCAGUCAACUUAUCACAUAGAUUCUUAAUAUAAUUCUAUCGUGGUCAAAUAAAAAAGCAAUGUGAAAUCGAUCAAUGGAAUUAUAAAUUCCUUCCAAUUAUUCGUAUAAUAACGGACACUUCAAUUAUUGGACAGUUCGUUUCUUCUUGGAAACGUCCUGCAAUCUGAGUCAACCCACAGAGCGAAGUAAAUAAAUAAAAUGGAGCAUUUCUGCUCACCAUCGUUGAUAUGGUGAAUGUCGUUAUACAGCUAAUCAUUUGUCAUGUGUUAUUUCAUUUAAUUUUAGUGAACUUUCAUAUUAAAUGUUAUUUUUUUAAUUUAAAAAAAAUAACCAAAGUUAAAUAAAAUGACACGUAGUAGAUAAUUAAGUUUACGAUAAAAUUAAGAUGGUGAACAAAAAUACUCUCUAAAUAAAAGUGUAUUUGAAAGGUCUUCUAACAACGGCAACAACAACUACAAUAAUAACAAUGAAAGCGUAGUGGGCGACCUCAACAAACAAACCUUUGGUCCUUUUUCGUUUCAUGAUUCCAUUUCCCUAGUCCGAAUACACAGUAAGGAGAAAACAAAAAAGUCUUAGGAAAUUAAAACAAAAGUAAAGAGAAAACAACAAGUUUUAGGAAAUCAAACUUCUCAAUAAGGGACUAUGAUCAUGAUAAAACAUCAUACAGGACAAAGUACAGUAGAGGAUUUUGUUUUGAUUCGUUCAAUAAUUGUUGCAGCCAAUUAACUGCCAUGACUUCGUUUAGGAAACCAGGCAGCUCGGACCCCUUCCUUUGACUUCUUGAUCUUGACAAAACAUUUUAGCCAAGGUGGUUUUCCCACAUCCUCCAGCAGCAGUCAGCACAAGCAUAGACACCUUUUCAUCCUUAAGGAGCUUCAUCUUCAACUCCUUCAACGGCAAAUCCAACCUGACUGUAACUGAUGGCGGUUCAGGCACCAGACGAACACUUCACCUUUUGUGGCUGAUUAGAUUAGUUUUUAUCACCAAACUCUCUUCUAUUCGAGAGAGAAUCAAAGUUUCCCUAAAUAUGUAUGUGGAUUCAGUCGUAAUGGGUGCUCUGAGAACGGCAUUUCAAAUGCUGGUUGAUGCUAUAAAAUCAGUGCAGGAGGAGAAUACAGUGUUCCAACACCUCCUGAGAGACAUCAAAUCUACACUGGACUCUCUACAACCACUCAUAAAAAAAUAUAACGCGAAAGAGGGACUAUAAAAUUUUGCAAUACAGACAGAGGAGGGAGCAAAUCUUGUUCAAAAGUCCACACGCCAACUUUGCUGCACUUUUGAACAAGAUUUGCUCCCUCCUCCAUCUGUAUUGCAAAUUUGCAGUCCCUCUUUCGGGUUAUAUUUUUUUAUGAGUGGUUGUAGAGAGUCAAGUGUGGAUUUGAUGUUUCUGGGGAGGUGUUCGAACAUUGUAUUCUCCUCCUCAGCUGGUUUCACAGCACAAACCGCAUUUAAAAUGCCGUGACCAAAGCCACAUACAUAAUUACGAAAAGAAAGAGACUCAAAACUCAAUUCUCUUACAUAAUCUGAUGAAAGAACAGAAAUUCCAAUGGAUUUACGGAGAGAGAGUAAAAUAAUCUAGCUUGAUGAGAAACUGAGGAUGUUAUGUAAGUUGUUUCUUCGCGACUCGGAGUUUCAGCACACAUAUAUACAACUCAACGAACGUGUUGACCAAAUAAAAAACACGGAAUUAGGAGGCGGGAUGAGACACGGAAUUUUAAAAAUUGAUCCUAUUUUUUUUAUAACAUAAAAGUCGGUGGUUCUAGAGCUGCGUGUGGCCUCUGAGUAGGCUGCGCGUCUGGACUUGGUUUGGUGGUUUGCACGACUUUGUUUUGUAUUGUUUUGUGGACCUCUUUUGUUGUUUUUUGUUUUUAUGAUUAAUAAAAAUUCAUGGAAUGUUUUUGUUUAAAAUUUUAUUUUGUAAAACUCUUUUUUUUUUUUUCAUUUUCAUUAAAUAAAGUUGAGUUAGUGUAUUUUUUUUUCUCUUUUCAUUGAAUAAAGUUAUUCGGAUGCUUUUGGUUUAAAAAAGUUUUAUAAGAGCCCUUAUCAUUAAAGCUCCCAAGAAAUUACGCUAGCAACUCUCUCAUUUUCCUUACCAAAAUCUUAGAUCCACAAAAUAUAUAGACUCUGGCUCGUUGCUCCAACUUAAGGUUGGUGAAAGCCCUUCUCCCUUCCCCUCGCCUUACUAUUUUCUCUUCCCAUAGAUUGUUGUAGAUUUAUUUUCGUUUUAGUAUUUAUGUUAAUAAGAGGCUUCUUGGUGAGUUAUUAGUGAGUCUCUCCUAUUGAGUAUUUUAGUUUUAUUAUUGCUGUGUUAUUGGCUCUUCUUGGGUCUACUUUAGUGUUCUUAGUAGCUUCGUUGAUGGUGUUGAGAAAAAAAUCCGGGGAGACAUUAUUUGGGUCAUUGCCAGUUUCUCUUCGAGUUAGCAUUGCUCGUUGCAAAUAAUGUCUUUAGCAUGUUCGUUAUGUUGCAAUUUCGUGCAUAUAAUUUGCUAAGUGCUUGACUGUUUCUUCAUGAACGAAGUUUUUUUUGGCUUUGGAGUGCCAUCUUAGUCUUUCGAGUUUAAGUGUGGACGACUUCAAGACCUGAAUGCUUUCCUUUGCUUAUUCUUGUGCUUGUUUUGCUCUCAUAUCCACCAAUACGGUGGCAACUAGUUUAGCCAAUUUGACCCUUAGAACAUCUAGACACCAUUUUGUAAUUAUUUAAUUUUUAGUUUUUGUUUGCACUUAUUUUUUAAACUAAAAAAUUUUAGUAACGACCUUUAGUUUUCUGUUAAAAAGAAAUGAAAAUUGAAAACUACAAGGCCGAUUGAUCAUUAUUUCAUUUUCAAUUUUGUUUUAUGUUUUCUGAAAUUGAAAACUUGCUUGGUAACUACUUUCAAUUUGUAGUUUUUAAAAGCUAACUAUUUAAAUUAAAAAAAUUGGAAUUUCAAGAAAACUAAAUAUUGAAAUUAGUUAUGUUUUGAAAUAUAUCAAUAGUUAUUUUUUAAAAUAUGUUAAUAAUUAUGUGGGUACAAUAUUUUUCUGCCAUAAUUUUGUGAAAAACAAUAUUACUAUAUUAUUGAUUUUUACGUAUUUAUUAUAUUUAAAAAAUAUUAUUUGAAUUUUUUAAAUUUCAUAAUUUGUGCGAUAUUAAAUGCAUAAAUGCAUGAGUUAAAUCUCUUAAAUGAUGCUAAGGACCUCAAUCAAAAUAUUUAAACAAACAAGGUUUCAGUCUAACAAUUAAGCUGAUUAGUGACCGAAACCAAAAUGACCCUUAUAUUAAACUCAUCUUCACAUGCCAUGCUAUAUCAUAUCGUCCCUUCACAUGUUGGUUAUCCUUGAUAAUAUGUAGCUUACCACAUAACCCCUAAAUUGAUUAUUCUAUCCUAAUGACUUGCCAUACAUUUAUCCCUCAGAUAAUCCCACACUAACGUUCUUAUACUUCAAUAAUAUUUCCAAAUAUCCACAUAUCAUCACUAUAUAUAAUAACUUUAAAUAUGCAUGUCACCAAAUCCAACUUGCUUGACUUGAAAUAGAGAGAUAUUUGUAAAUAGAGUAAAAUCACAUGAUAACUCAUGGUUUUUAGUUAUUAAAAAAUAAGAGUAGUUUGAACACCACACCUUACAUAAACCACUCAC
rnacentral:lncRNA from 1 species